rnacentral:lncRNA from 1 species
UCCGCACGGGAUACGACGCCUCGGGCCAGCAGGUGGUGAUGCUCAACCUCAACCAGCAAUCCGGCGCCGCCGGCUUCAACUCCAAGCAGCAGUACCUCUAUGGUGAGUUCAGCAUCCAGAUGAAGCUCAUCCCGGGGAACUCCGCUGGCACCGUCUCCUGCUUCUACGUAAGUUCAUGAGCCAAGUUAAUUUUGACCAGGACUAACAUUAAUUAACCUCGCUCUGUCGAUCUUCAUUUGUCUUGAGCUGAGCCAGCGUUGCUAUUGGUUGCAGCUUUCUUCCGGUGACGACGAGUGGCGCGACGAGAUCGACAUGGAGUUCAUGGGCAACUCCAGCGGCCAUCCGGUGGUGCUCAACACGAACGUGUGGGCCAACGGCGACGGCAAGAAGGAGCACCAGUUCGACCUCUGGUUCGACCCCGCCGCCGACUACCACACCUACACCAUCAUCUGGAACCCGGAGAACAUCCUGUUCAAGGUGGACAACCUCUUCAUCCGAUCCUUCAAGCGCUUCGCCGGCCUGCCCUACCCUACCUCCAAGCCCAUGAGGCUGCACGCCACGCUCUGGGACGGCAGCUACUGGGCGACCGAGAAGGGCAAGAUCCCCAUCAACUGGUCCAACGCGCCAUUCGUUGUCUCGUACCGCAACUACUACGCCAACGCCUGCGUCAGCGGCGGCGCGUGCCAUGCCGGCAGUGACAGGUGGAUGAAGAAGCAGCUCGACGGCGCCGAAUGGGGCACCGUGAAGUGGGCGGAGCGAAGUUACAUGCGGUACAACUACUGCGAGGAUGGGUACAGGUUCCCACAGGGGCUUCCCGCCGAGUGCAACCGCUACUGAUCCUAGCUCUGAUCCAUCCACACCGGCCGGGCAUCCAGUGUUGACAUUGAUACUACCUUUUUUCUUGGAUACAGUACAUGAUUCUUGUUCUUCUUUUGUGAAUUUGUGAUUACAAAGCAGCCCUACAGCAAUGUGUGGGCGAUUGUUUGUACACUUGUUUUUUUUUUCCUAAAGAAAAAAGCAUGUAAAUUUUAUUGUGCCUUUGUUUUUUUAUAGUAUAUGAGCUAUGGGUUGGAAUUUUAUUUUGGUGUCACUGAGCAAAAAAACUUCAUAAGAAUAAUUGCUAUAUUAACUACCAUAAACAAACGUAUAACGUUAGUGGUAGGGCACCCGAAAAUACACAAUGUAAUCCGGGUCUAGGUGCAAAUAAUUAAAAUAUAGUAAGAGUAAUCAAAUAUUUUCAAAACUUUUUGGCAACAUACAUGGUCUAUAACAUAAUAACCCACGGUAAAAAGCCAUAUUCCGAGCAAAUUACAACAGAAUCAGUACUAUAUAAACGAUACCAUUCAUGGUUUUUGUAGCUGCACCUUUACCGUUUCGCUCGGAGUACACUAUGACUCACUUUGCCUCGAAACUUUAAACUUGAGUAUUAUGCUGAACUAUGGUUGUCGCGAAAAAGUUUCACAUGUUUUUGAUUUUUAGUAUUAUUUUUGUUUGCUUAAUUGGGUGUGCCUACACCCAUGUUCUAAAUUAUAAACACAUAAUUUUAUGUGCCUUUUAUAUAUUCACAUACAUUAUGCACUACUUUUGUAGAAAAUGCAGUCUUAAAUAUGUUUUUGCGCGGCAAAGCGUGUUCGGUCAGUUAUCUGGAAAAGAAUAUUGGUAUAUGGACACGUACAUUUGCUUAUCCAAGAAGAGAAACAGCGCCUUGUAGUAUCAUCAAUCAUGUAUGCAUCUUUAUACCCUGCCGUGCCAGUCACAAUAAUGGAUUAGACCCGCGGGCAUAUAUGAUAUACCUAUCCUUUCUCCGACACCGCGAACUGAAUGUAUAUACUUUUGUGCUGUCCUCCACUGAUAAUAUAUAUCGGUUGGUGCUGUUGAUAUUAUAGUAUAGAUAACGAACUAGCCGACAUGACAUAUAUCGUUUCGUUGGUUGACGCUUUGGCAAAAGUCUGCCAGCCCUCUUCGCUGGAGAGUGGAGAGACCGCUGCUUUUUGGGGUAUCUUCACGUGCUUUGGCAUUAUGUUCGUGUCCGUCAUCGACGCGCUUAACAGCUGUGGCCGAACGAACGAAGUAGCCAGUAUGCGAGUACGCCGCUCAGCGUCCCACCGCCAUACCGGGCGGGCGGGCGGGCUGCCUGCUAUCACCACCUGCAUGUGCAUCUCCGCCCGCAUUCGGAUACGCCAGAUGCAAGAACGAGAAUGUUAGAACAUCUACAACUGCAGAUAUAGUAAACGGUUUUGCUAAAACUCAGCUAGAUGAGUUUUGUUAUGGUCUCAUUCACCGUUAUAACCAUUAGAUCUGGGUUUUAAGAUUCGUGCGAAACAUUUUUUUUCGCGUAACAAAAUGCAUGGCUGGUCACGUACAGGGCAGCCCCAUGUGCGUUGAAUCUUUUUCUUUGUCCUUUGUUUGUUUGAUUAUUGGGCUGGGCUAUGUGGGCUUUUCUUUUUUUCAUAUUUCCUAGCCGAAUGAGAAACCAUGGAGUCAGAGAUACGAAUGUAAUACUUUUAUGUUUUGUCAUUUCUUUACUAUAGCACUUUGUAAUGAUAUUUUUUUUUGUUUUACCGUCCGAUCGUCACAUAACAGAUUGUAGUUGUUGUAUGUUUUGUCCACGAAAAAACACACGUUAUACCGUUGCUAAUAGUAUGCUAUAGCGCGCAUAGAGAAUUGUCUCGUUAAAUUGAUCGGUGUAUAAUAUCUUUGCUACUAACACGCUAAUAAUAUAUUUUUAGAGACAAUACUAUUUUGUAUAGGGCGUUAUUUUUUUCCUUGGUUUUGUCCGAAUAAGGCGGCUCUAGUUCCGUAUAGGACGUGGCCCAUGUGCAUGAGUAGUACCUUUUUUGUUUUCCGUUUAUGGAGCUAGGUUAUAUGGGCUUUUAUUCUUCUUUUUCUUUUUCUUCUUUUUUACUCAGCGAAAAAAAAGGGAAAGAGGAUAUGAUCCAAUGAUGUGAAUCGUUGAUGUGCUAAUUGCAUGUUAUUGUAACUUGUUUUCAUUUUUAAAUCAUGUUAGUGUCAUCUGUUGACAGUAGCUUCUAGGAUCAGCUCUUUGUAACGACUUUCUUUUCAUAUAUUUUUCUCUCAUGAUUAAUUGCUGUUUAUUUUUUCUUAUUUCACUAAUAUGUAGUAGAAUACAAUUCCAAUCUUCUCCCAUUAACUAAAUUAGUGUAUUCAUUUUGUUUUUAGAUAAAUAUUCAUUUGUUACCAUAGAUUGGACAAUUGAUUAUUAAGGGAUUUCAAUAUUUUUAUUUUUCUCUUCCAUUUAUUCAUUUUCUAUAUUUUUUGUUUCAUAUUUUCAUUUUUAAUUUAUUUUCUAUUUUAUCCCUCUUAUUUAUUUAUAUUUUGUGUAUUUUUUCUAAUGAUAUCAAAGCCCAUGCCUCCUUUUUCGUAGAAAUGCUUUUUCAUGAGUUUUUCCGUUAAAACUUUUGUGCUACCAAAGUUUUUAACUCUGGUCACAGCUGCUAGUUUUUCAAAUUGGGUUGUAAUUUCAAUCUGUCAACUCGGGUUGCAACUAUUAGAUUUUAGAUGAAAUCGCAACCGCGGGGUUUUCAAAAAUGGCACGAGAACACCAUUUUUCAAAUGUGGCCGCGACUGCAGGUUUUCAUAUCGUGGUUGUAACUGCAAGUAUUCGAAGUCGAGUCGCAACUGUAGGUUUUCAAAGCCGGGUGGCAACUGCAGGUGUUCAAAGUCGGGUCGCAACUGCAAGUAUAUUCAAAGUCGGGUCGCAACUGCAAGUUUGUAAAGUCGGGUCGCAACUGCAAGUUUCCAAAGUCGGGUCGCAACUGUAAGUUUUCAAAGUUAGGUCGCAACUGCAAGUUUUUAAAGUCGGGUCGCAACUACAAGUUUUUAAAAUCGGGUCGCAAAUGCAAGUUUUCAAAGUCGGGUCGCAACCAUAAGUUUCCAAAGUUGGGUCGCAACUGUAAGUUUUCAAAGUUGGGUCGCAACUGUAAGUUUGCAAAGUCGGGUCGCAACUGCAAGUUUCCAAAGUCGGGUCGCAACUGUAAGUUUCCAAAGUCGGGGCGCAACUGCAAGUUUUCAAAGUCGGGUCGCAACUACAAGUUUCUAAAGUCGGGUGCAAGUUCCCAAAGUCGGGUCGCAACUGUAAGUUUCCAAAGUCGGGGCGCAACUGCAAGUUUUCAAAGUCGGGUCGCAACUNNNNNNNNNNNNNNNNNNNNNNNNNNNNNNNNNNNNNNNNNNNNNNNNNNNNNNNNNNNNNNNNNNNNNNNNNNNNNNNNNNNNNNNNNNNNNNNNNNNNNNNNNNNNNNNNNNNNNNNNNNNNNNNNNNNNNNNNNNNNNNNNNNNNNNNNNNNNNNNNNNNNNNNNNNNNNNNNNNNNNNNNNNNNNNNNNNNNNNNNNNNNNNNNNNNNNNNNNNNNNNNNNNNNNNNNNNNNNNNNNNNNNNNNNNNNNNNNNNNNNNNNNNNNNNNNNNNNNNNNNNNNNNNNNNNNNNNNNNNNNNNNNNNNNNNNNNNNNNNNNNNNNNNNNNNNNNNNNNNNNNNNNNNNNNNNNNNNNNNNNNNNNNNNNNNNNNNNNNNNNNNNNNNNNNNNNNNNNNNNNNNNNNNNNNNNNNNNNNNNNNNNNNNNNNNNNNNNNNNNNNNNNNNNNNNNNNNNNNNNNNNNNNNNNNNNNNNNNNNNNNNNNNNNNNNNNNNNNNNNNNNNNNNNNNNNNNNNNNNNNNNNNNNNNNNNNNNNNNNNNNNNNNNNNNNNNNNNNNNNNNNNNNNNNNNNNNNNNNNNNNNNNNNNNNNNNNNNNNNNNNNNNNNNNNNNNNNNNNNNNNNNNNNNNNNNNNNNNNNNNNNNNNNNNNNNNNNNNNNNNNNNNNNNNNNNNNNNNNNNNNNNNNNNNNNNNNNNNNNNNNNNNNNNNNNNNNNNNNNNNNNNNNNNNNNNNNNNNNNNNNNNNNNNNNNNNNNNNNNNNNNNNNNNNNNNNNNNNNNNNNNNNNNNNNNNNNNNNNNNNNNNNNNNNNNNNNNNNNNNNNNNNNNNNNNNNNNNNNNNNNNNNNNNNNNNNNNNNNNNNNNNNNNNNNNNNNNNNNNNNNNNNNNNNNNNNNNNNNNNNNNNNNNNNNNNNNNNNNNNNNNNNNNNNNNNNNNNNNNNNNNNNNNNNNNNNNNNNNNNNNNNNNNNNNNNNNNNNNNNNNNNNNNNNNNNNNNNNNNNNNNNNNNNNNNNNNNNNNNNNNNNNNNNNNNNNNNNNNNNNNNNNNNNNNNNNNNNNNNNNNNNNNNNNNNNNNNNNNNNNNNNNNNNNNNNNNNNNNNNNNNNNNNNNNNNNNNNNNNNNNNNNNNNNNNNNNNNNNNNNNNNNNNNNNNNNNNNNNNNNNNNNNNNNNNNNNNNNNNNNNNNNNNNNNNNNNNNNNNNNNNNNNNNNNNNNNNNNNNNNNNNNNNNNNNNNNNNNNNNNNNNNNNNNNNNNNNNNNNNNNNNNNNNNNNNNNNNNNUUUUUUUUGAGUAGUAGACAAUUUGAUGCGCAAGGUACUCUCCAAAUUUCACAUCAUUUGGACAUUCGAGCAUCUCUCAGCAAAAAAGACAAAUUGGGUCAAAAAAAUUAUAAACAGUGAACCUUUUUCACAGACCCAGAUUUUGUCUUUUUUGUUUGAGAGCGCCUCAUAUCCCCAAAUGAACUUAAAAUUGGAGCGGGCCUCGCGCNNNNNNNNNNNNNNNNNNNNNNNNNNNNNNNNNNNNNNNNNNNNNNNNNNNNNNNNNNNNNNNNNNNNNNNNNNNNNNNNNNNNNNNNNNNNNNNNNNNNCAAAAUAUAACAGAUUCCAGACUUAGAAAGAUUUCAGCACCUCCAAAUCAGCACUAUUUCUAGCAACUUGAGAGCAAGUAAACCACACCUAAACAUGCAUUUUAUUGCAACUAAAAAUACCAGGGGCUAGACAAAACAUCAAAGAACAACUCCCUAGUUGACAACUUAAUCAAACGAAGCACGAAAUAAAUCCUACGAGAAAGACAAGAGGGCAACAUAGCAAAAUAUCGCGCGAACUAACUUACUUGAAAGACAUAUAAAAUAUGUGGGCUUGCGCAACAAAAAUAAUGCCACACGAAAAUGCGAGAUAAUAACCUAGACACGGAAAAAUAAACUAGCGCAAUUCCCUACACGCAAAAAUACAAAUGACCGCUCUAAAAUACAUGCAAAAAUGGUUCCUAAAACAUGGACAUUUAUCUAAGGCAUUCAGGCAAUCCGGACUUGCGCGAAAAAAUAAAUGCGAGCACUAUCCUAUCUAGACAUCAUGUAAACCUAGGCAUACGGCACGCUAAAACACGUCAAACAAAUAUGCAAGUUGUGGAAUUGCAUUCUACGCGAGAAACUACACGAAAACCAUAUACUACAUGUCGCGAUCCGAAUUACGGUUAAAUUUCUACGGGGGUUUUAAAAUCUAGCAUAUUUUCCUGAAAUUUAAAUAAAAUCCGAAACCUGGAAAAAAAUAGCUACGGGCCUAAACUUCUAAUGGGCCGACCAGGCACUGGCGCGAGACAACUAAAUACCGCCACGACGAGGGAUAGAGGAAGGGGGGAGGCUGCUCACCUUGCGGGCCUGGCCCGGUCGGAGGGGAGGCAGGCCGAGGCCUGGCUCGGGGCUUGAGGCAGGGAGGCGCGGACGUGGGCCAAGGCUGGGCGCUAGCCUGCCUGGGCGAGGGCCCACGAGGCGGUCAACGCGGCCCAGGAUGGGGAGCGCUCCGCUCGUCCCCUCGUCGUACACCUCCCGCAGCGAAGGCAGCAGGCACGGCGAUGCCCCAGCGAGGCAGCGACCGGCGGUUGGAGGCGACGCGACGGGGCGCAGGAGGGCCCGGAUCCGGGCGACGCUCGCCGGAUCUGGCCUGCGGCGCGUCGGCCGAAGCUGGCGACGGGAGGAGCUCGGGAAGACGGCCGUAGGUUCGUGACGGCUCCCGGCGUGCAUGGCGGCGCGACAGAGGCAUGGGGGCGGGGGCUGUCGGCGCGGGAGGCGGCCGGGAACGGCGCGGGGCCGAGGGAGGNNNNNNNNNNNNNNNNNNNNNNNNNNNNNNNNNNNNNNNNNNNNNNNNNNNNNNNNNNNNNNNNNNNNNNNNNNNNNNNNNNNNNNNNNNNNNNNNNNNNGCAGUGACCCCGUUUGUUUGUUUUUUCGAUUUUUUGAAGAAAACGCAAACAGUUUUUGAAUUUGUGGCACAAUUCUGAAACAAGAACAUUUUUGAAAUUCCGAACAAUUUUUUGAAACAUCGAACAUUUUCUCGAAAUGAGAACAUUUUUUGAAUUCAUGAUAGAUUUUUAAAGCAAUAAUAUAUUUGAUAAAUAUGUUUUUAUAAAAGCAAGGACUUUUUUUGAAUAUUCCCGAAAAUCUUUGAAUCUAUUAAAAAAAAGUAGAAAAAAGUAUCAUUUUUUACAAACUUAACAUUUUUCUUAGGGAUCGCCUGGAACUCAUUCGAAUGGAAUAUAAAAUGGUCUCAAUCGGAUGACGUGUUAGAUGAAGUGGGUCAUUGUUGCCCAGCUCGAUCCCCUGCCAGAUCGAAGCAGGUCUCUUUCUGUCUCCCAUAGAAAACAGAUAAGAAGCCCAAUUGGUUGUUUCCUUUUGUAUGUCAGUUGUGGGUUGUCUUUGUUUGGGUUGUACUUUUUUUGUGUUGUGGGCUUUUGGUUUGUGACCCUCUUUAAAAUAUAUAUUUAACAAAUAAAAUGCGAUACAGAAAAUCAUUCUUGAAGUUAAACACAAGAGCAUCAUCCACAAUCACGUGGUUCUAGGCUACAAAAACACCUCAUUCUUUAUUGAAAACCAUCCGUCCAUCACAAUCAGUAUGAUAUAGAACCUGCAUGACAACUCAUGCACCUAUACAAAGGCCCAUGGCCCCUUCUGGACACAGGUUCAUUGGUUGAACUAUCUUCUUUGGUAUUUUUUAUGUGAUGUCAACAAAUAAAACAAAACAAUAUGUGUUAAAAAAAGACGCAAAAUAGAAAAGGUUUUUUUCAAAAAACUACAAAUAAAAAUAAAAGGAAGCCCUACAUCAUCCCCGGUUGCGGUCGCAUCGUACGUCUUGCUGUUGCAGUUGGGUGUGAUGGUUGCAGUUGCCGUCGGGUCGGGACGGUUGCAAUACUACAAAAAAAAGGAAAACCUAAAAAUAAAGAAAGCCCUCCAGCAUCCCCGGUUGCAGUCGCACCGUACGUCUUGCAGUUGCGGUUGGGUGUGAUGGGUUGCAGUUGCGGCCGGGUCACGGCGGUUGCAAAUACUAACAAAAAAAGAAGAAAAAAAGGAAGCCCUACAUCAUCCUCAGUUGCGNNNNNNNNNNNNNNNNNNNNNNNNNNNNNNNNNNNNNNNNNNNNNNNNNNNNNNNNNNNNNNNNNNNNNNNNNNNNNNNNNNNNNNNNNNNNNNNNNNNNGCGCGAGGCCCGCUCCAAUUUUAAGUUCAUUUGGGGAGUAUGAGGCGCUCUCAACAAAAAAAGACAAAAUCUGGGUCUGUGAAAAAGGUUCACUGUUUAUAAUUUUUUUGACCCAAUUUGUCUUUUUUGCUGAGAGAUGCUCGAAUGUCCAAAUGAUGUGAAAUUUGGAGAGUACCUUGCGCAUCAAAUUGUCUACUACUCAAAAAAAAUUUGGAUUUUUUUGGAUUUGUUUAGUAUUUCUUUUUAUUUUUUUCGUCAGCGGGAGCAUUUGAGCCCGUGCUCAGAAGUGAAUUAUCCCUUCUUGAGCUAUAUCCUGUCGUAAGAAGAACAAUAGGAGUUGUCUUAAAAAAUAUUUUCUUUGUUGUUUUUCAGUUUUGCCUCAGUUCAGCAGUAAUCACCGGCAUGAUACCUCUGGCGCACAUAAUCUGUCCUGGUCUUGUCCCAUGCAUUAUUUAUUUAUUUCUUUAUUAAAAUCCAUCAUUUUUAAAUGAUUGACUCUGGAACCGACUAUGAAAACUUGCUCUUGCGCCUUUCUUUUAACAUUUGUAAUUGCGACCUCACUAGAAAUUUUGUAGUUGUUGUUGGGGAACGUCGCAUGGGAAACAAAAAUUUUCCUACGCGCACGAAGACCUAUCAUGGUGAUGUCCAUCUACGAGAGGGGAUGAGUGAUCUACGUAUCCUUGUAGACCGUACAGCAGAAGCGUUAGAGAACGCGGUUGAUGUAGUGGAACGUCCUCACGUCCCUCGAUCCGCCCCGCGAACAAUCCCGCGAUCAGUCCCACGAUCUAGUACCGAACGGACGGCACCUCCGCGUUCAGCACACAUACAGCUCGACGAUGAUCUCGGCCUUCUUGAUCCAGCAAGAGAGACGGAGAGGUAGAAGAGUUCUCCGGCAGCGUGACGGCGCUCCGGAGGUUGGUGAUGACCUUGUCUCAGCAGGGCUCCGCCCGAGCUCCGCAGAAACGCGAUCUAGAGGAAAAACCGUGGAGGUAUGUGGUCGGGCUGCGGUGGAAAAGUCGUCUCAAAUCAGCCCUAAAACCUCCGUAUAUAUAGGUGGGAGGGAGGGGGCCUUGCCUUGGGGUCCAAGGACCCUCAAGGGGGUCGUCCGAGCCAAGGGGGAGGACUCUCCCCCCCCAAACCGAGUUGGACUAGGUUUGGUGGGAGGGAGUCCCCCUCCCUUCCCACCUCCUCCGUUUUUUUUUCCUUUUUCCUUUGAUUUCUUAUCCUUGGCGCAUAGGGCCCUUUUGGGCUGUCCCACCAGCCCACUAAGGGCUGGUGCGCCACCCUUAUGGCCUAUGGGCUUCCCCGGGGUGGGUUGACCCCCCCCCCCAGUGAACUCCCGGAACCCAUUCGUCAUUCUUGGUACAUUCCCGGUAACUCCGAAAACCUUCCGGUAAUCAAAUGAGGUCAUCCUAUAUAUCAAUCUUCGUUUCCGGACCAUUCCGGAAACCCUCGUGACGUCCGUGAUCUCAUCCGGGACUCCGAACAACAUUCGGUAACCAACCAUAUAACUCAAAUACGCAUAAAACAACGUCGAACCUUAAGUGUGCAGACCCUGCGGGUUCGAGAACUAUGUAGACAUGACCCGAGAGACUCCUCGGUCAAUAUCCAAUAGCGGGAUCUGGAUGCCCAUAUUGGAUCCUACAUAUUCUACGAAGAUCUUAUCGUUUGAACCUCAGUGCCAAGGAUUCGUAUAAUCCCGUAUGUCAUUCCCUUUGUCCUUCGGUAUGUUACUUGCCCGAGAUUCGAUCGUCAGUAUCCGCAUACCUAUUUCAAUCUCGUUUACCGGCAAGUCUCUUUACUCGUUCCGUAAUACAAGAUCCCGCAACUUACACUAAGUUACAUUGCUUGCAAGGCUUGUGUGUGAUGUUGUAUUACCGAGUGGGCCCCGAGAUACCUCUCCGUCACACGGAGUGACAAAUCCCAGUCUUGAUCCAUACUAACUCAACUAACACCUUCGGAGAUACCUGUAGAGCAUCUUUAUAGUCACCCAGUUACGUUGCGACGUUUGAUACACACAAAGCAUUCCUUCGGUGUCAGUGAGUUAUAUGAUCUCAUGGUCAUAGGAAUAAAUACUUGACACGCAGAAAACAGUAGCAACAAAAUGACACGAUCAACAUGCUACGUCUAUUAGUUUGGGUCUAGUCCAUCACGUGAUUCUCCCAAUGACGUGAUCCAGUUAUCAAGCAACAACACCUUGUUCAUAAUCAGAAGACACUGACUAUCAUUGAUCAAUUGGCUAGCCAACUAGAGGCAUGCUAGGGACGGUGUUUUGUCUAUGUAUCCACACAUGUAAAAGAGUCUUCAUUCAAUACAAUUAUAGCAUGGAUAAUAAACUAUUAUCUUGAUACAGGAAUUAUAAUAAUAACUAUAUUUAUUAUUGCCUGUAGGGCAUAAUUCCAACAGUUGUGACCCGACUUUGAAAAUUGGCAGUUGCGACCCGACUUCAAAACUUGUACUAACACCCUUGUUUUAAUACUUGCCAUUGUGCAUCCACUUGAAUACUAGUAGUUGCGCCCCGACUUUAGAAACUUGCAGUUGCGUCUCGACUUUGAAAACUUACAGUUGCGCCCCGACUUUGAAACUUGUCGUUGCGCCCUGACUUUGGAAACUUACGGUUGCGACCCAACUUUGGAAACUUGCACCCGACUUUGGAAACUUGCAAUUACGACCUGAUUUUGAAAACUUGCAGUUGCGACCCAACUUUGAAAACUUACAAUUGCGACCCGACUUUGGAAACUUGCAGUUGCGACCCGACUUUAGAAACUUGCAGUUGCGUCCCGAUUUUGAAAACUUGCAGUUGCGCCCCAACUUUGGAAACUUACAGUUGCGACCCUACUUUGGAAACUUGCAUCCGACUUUGGAAACAUGCAGUUGCGACCCAACUUUGAAAAACUUGCAGUUGCGACCCAUCUUUGCAAACUUACAGUUGCGACCCGACUUUGAAAAACUUGAAGUUGCGACCCGACUUUAGAAACUUGCNNNNNNNNNNNNNNNNNNNNNNNNNNNNNNNNNNNNNNNNNNNNNNNNNNNNNNNNNNNNNNNNNNNNNNNNNNNNNNNNNNNNNNNNNNNNNNNNNNNNUUUUUUUUGUGUGUGUGUGACCGUAGUCUGCGACCGCGGAAGAACUCUGAAUCUGCAAAAGAAACUGAAUCUGCUGUAUAUUAUUUCGCCAAAACUUGUUCGUUACACUGCUUCAGUCGGCGAUCACGUAUAAAAACGCUUGAGGAGGUCUCCGUUCCACGCGGGUGGCUCGUCGGUCUCCUUCUGAAUGUUGUAGAGUCUGUAUGCCCCGUUGUUCAGCACCUUUGAAAUGAUGAAAGGCCCUUCCCAGGCCGGAGCCAACUUGUGUGGUCUUUGCUAAUCCACUCGGAGCACCAAAUCGCCAGCUUGGAACGUGCGGCUCCUGACAUGUCGUGCAUGAAAACAUCGUAGAUCUUGCUGAUAAAUUGUUGAGUGAGUAAGUGCCAUCUCGCGCUCCUCCUCUAGAAGAUCGACUCCAUCUUUCCUUGCUUGUUCUGCUUCGGCUUCGGAGAAGAGUUCGACUCGCGGGGCAUUGUGAAGCAGGUCACUCGGAAGGACCGCUUCUGCUCCAUAGACGAGGAAGAACGGCGAUCGUCCUGUUGAUCUGUUCGGAGUGGUGCGGAGUCCCCAAAGUACUGAAGGUAACUCGGUUACCCAUGCACCAACAGCAUGUCCUACCUCUCGCAAGAGUCGAGGCUUCAAACCUUGAAGGAUAAGUCCAUUUGCACGCUGAGCUUGUCCAUUGGAUUGCGGAUGUGCUACGAAAGCAAAAUCCACUCGGAUACCUUGACUCGCAUAGAACCCUUUGAAUCUGUCUGAGUCGAAGUUUCUUCCAUUGUCCGUGAUUAUGCUGUGAGGCACCCCGAAUCUGGAGAUGAUGUCUCUGACAAACUUCACGGUUGUGGAGGCGUCGAGUUUCUUGAUGGGCUUGGCUUCUAUCCAUUUUGUAAACUUGUCGACUGCCACCAACAGAUGUGUGUAGCCUCCCUGGCCUGUCUUGAAUGGUCCGACUGUGUCUAAUCCCCAAACUGCAAAUGGCCACACAAGUGGGAUUGUCUUUAGUGCAGAUGUUGGCUUGUGGGACUUGUUGGAGUAGAACUGACAGCCUUCGCAUCGAUCGACCAUAGCUUUGGCCAUCUCGUUAGCCUGCAACCAGAAGAAUCCAGCUCUGAACGCCUUGGCGAUGAUCGCUCUUGAAGAAGCAUGAUGGCCGCAGGUUCCCGAGUGGAUUUCCUCUAGGAUCAACUGCCCUUCCUCUGGGGAAAUGCAACGUUGGAGGACGCCUGAAACACUCUCCUUGUACAAUUGACCGUCGAUGACAGUGAAUGCCUUCGACCUGCGAACUAUUUGCCGGACUUGGACUUCAUCUUCUAGAAGUUCUUGUCUCAGGAUAUAUGCCAUAAUCGGCACAGUCCAAUCGGGAAUGAUUACCAGAAUCUCUGUGACCAGAUCAACCACAGCAGGCACAUCGACUUCAGUCAGAACUGUUGUGCUCUUGGGUUGUACUGGUUCUUCCGUGAAGGGAUCUUCUUUGACCGAAGGAAGAUGGAGGUGCUCGAGGCGGACAUCACUCGGGACGGGUCUCCGAGUGGAUCCGAGUUUUGCCAACUCAUCCGCUGCUUGGUUCUUCAGUCUUGGAACAUGAUGAAGUUCUAGACCUUCAAACUUCUUCUCCAGCUUCCUGAUUGCAUUGUAGUAUGUUGUCAUAGUGGGGUUCCUUACGUCCCACUCUUUCAUCACUUGGUUGACCACCAAGUCUGAAUCGUCGUAGACCAUCAGGCGACGGACGCCGAGUGAGAUGGCCAUGCGCAAUCCGUAGAGAAGAGCUUCAUACUCUGCCUCAUUGUUAGAGGAAUCAAAGUGUAUCUGAAGCACAUACUUGAGCUUGUCACCCUUUGGUGAUACGAUCACAACACCAGCGCCGGAUCCAUUCAACAUCUUAGACCCAUCAAAGAACAUUGUCCAAUGAGCCGAGUAGAUGUGAGUCGGUUGCUGUUGUUCUACCCAUUCCACUAUAAAGUCAGCCAGGGCUUGAGACUUAAUAGCUUUCUUGGCCUCGAACUUGAUGUCGUAGUACAGCAUCUCCAUCGCCCACUUCGCCACUCGGCCUGAUGCGUCCCGAUUAUGGAGAAUUUCCGACAAUGGAGCAUCAGAAACGACAGAUACCGAGUGGUCUUGGAAAUAAUGAGCCACCUUCUUUGCCGUCAUAUAGAUCCCAUAGAUAAGCUUUUGAUAAUGGGGAUACCUCUGCUUGGAAGGUGUCAGGACUUCGGAGACGUAGUACACUGGCCGCUGAACUUUGUAUGCUUUGCCUUCUUCUUCUCGCUCGACUGUAAGAACGGUACUGACGACUUGAUUUGUAGGCGCGAUAUAUAGAAGAAGGGGCUCUUUACUGAGCGGAGCAGUAAGAACCGGCUGGGUGGAAAGUAGGACUUUGAGGUCGUCGAAUGCGACUUGGGCUUCGUCUGUCCACUCGAAGGUAUCUGAUUUCUUCAUGAGUCGGUACAGAGGAAGUGCUUUUUCGCCGAGUCGACUGAUGAACCUGCUCAAAGCUGCUAAGCAACCUGUGAGUCGUUGAACAUCGUGUAUUCUGACCGGCCUCUCCAUUCGGACGAUGGUCCCGAUCUUUUCGGGGUUAACAUCGAUCCCUCGUUCGGAAACAAAGAAACCGAGUAACUUUCCGCUGGGAACACCGAAUGAACAUUUGGCUGGGUUUAGCUUGAUAUCCUACCUACGAAGGUUGGCGAAUGUUUCUGCCAAGUCAGUCAGCAGGUCGGAACCUUUGCGUGACUUGACUACGAUAUCAUCCAUGUAUGCCUCCACAUUGCGACCGAUCUGGUCGAGGAGACAUUUUUGGAUCAUGCGCAUAAAGGUAGCUCCUGCAUUCUUCAGACCGAAAGGCAUAGUGAUGUAGCAGAAGCACCCAAACGGGGUGAUGAAAGCUGUUUUCAACUCAUCGGGACCAUACAGACGGAUCUGAUGAUAACCCGAGUAGGCAUCAAGAAAUGACAAACACUCGCACCCCGCAGUCGAAUCGACAAUUUGAUCUAUGCGGGGGAGCGGAAAAUGGUCUUUCGGGCAGACCUUAUUGAGGUGCUUGAAGUCAAUGCACAUUCGGAGUGACUUGUUCUUCUUGGGCACCAUGACUACAUUGGCGAGCCACUCGGAGUGGUGAACCUCGCGAAUGAAUUUGGCAGCUAGCAGCUUAGCCACCUCUUCUCCGAUUGCCUUCCUCUUGUGCGCGGCGGACCGGCACAAGCGCUCUCGGACGGGCCGAGCAGCGGGAUCGACAUGUAGUCGGUGCUCAGCCAACUCCCUAGGUACACCCGGCAUGUCAGAUGGCUUCCAUGCGAAGAUGUCCCAGUUCUCACGGAGGAAUUGGGUGAGCUCGGCUUCCUAUUUAGGAUCCAGGGUGGUGGAGAUAUUCGUCAGGGCGGCAGACUCGUCCGUCGGGUGGAUGCUGAUCUUCUUAGUCUCUCCCGCCGACUGGAACGCAGACUCAGAAGCUGGCUUCUUUGAGCGCAUUAAGUCGGCAGGGUCGACUGUCUUCUUGUACUCUUCGAGCUCGAGUACAGCCAUCUGCUGGUCUGCGAUCCUUGAUCCCUCUUGCAGACACUCCUCGGCUCGCUGGCGGUUGCCGGUGAUGGUGAUAACGCCUUUUGGACCGGGCAUUUUCAACUUCAAGUACACAUAGCAUGGGCGUGCCAUGAAACUCUCGUAUGCUGGGCGGCCCAGAAUUGCAUGGUAAGCGCUCUGGAAAUCCACCACCUCAAACGUGAGCUUCUCCUUGCGAAAGUUCUUGUUAGAGCCGAAGAUGACUUCCAAUGCGAUCUGGCCGAGUGAUUUGUCCUUCCGUCCCGGGACGACUCCGUGGAACUGCAUAUUGCUCUCGCUGAGUCUGGACAUCGGAAUGCCCAUCCCCUUGAGAGUGUCGGCGUACAUAAUAUUCAGUCCGCUGCCGCCGUCCAUGAGGACUUUGCGCAGUCGGACUCCUUCUACCACCGGGUCGACGACCAGAGCCUGCCUUCCUGGGGUGAGGACAUGUGUUGGAUGAUCCGACUGGUCGAAGGUGAUCGCAGUCUGAGACCAUUUGAGAAACUUGGGGGCAGUCGGAACGGCCAUGUUGACUUCUCUGUUCACCAACUUCAAUCGACUCUUGCUUUCGACGUCAGCAAAAAUCAUGAGGGUUGCAUGGACUUGGGGGAACGGAUCCUCCUUGUCCUCCUCAUCUUGCUCGGGAUUCUUCUCACUCGGCUGCUCUUCGCUGAACCCCUGGAUCAGGAGACGGCAUUGCCGAGUGGUGUGCUUCGCGUAUAUGGGGUUGCCUGCCUCGUCCAUCUUCGUGUGGAUUGGACAAGGCUGGUCCAGGAUGGGAUUGUUGAAAGGUUUCUUCUUGGGGGUGAACUGCGCUUUCCCUUUGCCCUUGAACUUGGCGCUGGUUACAGCUGCAGCUUCUGCUUGCGGUGUGGGCAGAACCUUUUGUUUCUGCUUCCGAGUGUUACCUCCGUCAGCAUCGCCGACUGUCUUGUGUUUGCCGCUUCGGAUGCGGUCCUCUUCUUCGCCAUUUGCGUAGCGAGUUGCUAUCUCCAUCAUCUUGCUCAUGGAGAUGUCGCCCGUUCGACCGAACUUCAAGUACAGUUCUCUGUACCGCACGCCUGCCUUGAAGGCGCAGACUGCUUGAUGCUCGGUGACGUUCUCCACCGUGUGGUAAAGAGUCGUCCAUCGCUGGAUGAAGUCGCGCAAGGGCUCAUUCGGCUUCUGGACACAGUGCUGAAGCUCCACAAGACCUGCAGGGCGCUUGCACGUCCCUUCGAAGGUUCUGAUGAACACCCGGGCUAGAUCUGCCCAACUGUAAAUGCUUGAGGGGGCCAACUGGUUCAGCCAAGCUCGGGCCGAGCCGUCGAGCACCAGAGGGAGGUGCUUCAUAGCGACAUGGUCGUCUCCUCCUCCGAUCUGGACUGCCACUCGGUAGUCGUCUAGCCAUGUUUCGGGCUUGGACUCUCCUGAGAAUUUACCGAUUCCCGCUGCCAAUUGGAAGUUGGGCGGGAUAUCAGCCGAGCGGAUGGCUCGACUAAAACACUCGGGGCCGGACACGAUGGCCCUGCUUCCACUCGGACGGUCCAUAUCGCGGCCAUCGCGGUGGGCUCGACCCCUGUCGACUCUUCGCUGGGCGAUUCGCCCUCUCGCGUCGGGUCUUGGGUCGUAAGUGUCGCCGACCGAAUGCCGAUCAUCAUGAUGCCGGGACCCAUAGGGCCCACCCCGCGGAGGGGUGCGUGAGCGACGGCGAUACUGAUGAGAUCCAGGGCUGUGAACCGACCGAUGCGUGUUUGCAUGGACGGAACUAUUGUGGAUCCGAUUGUGUGACUGGGAGACUGCCGAAUUCUGCUGCUGCGCCGUGCGCAACAGAGCUCGGAUUUGCUCGAUUCCCCUUCCUGCUUCUGAAUCAGUCGGCUGGAGGGAAUCGGCAAUCUGGGCAGCCGCGGCCAGGUUGAGGAGAGGUGUGCGGAACAACUCCACGUUGCUCCGCCGAGUGUGUCGACUGGCAGAACGACGAGGCGGACGGCGCGCACCGGAUGCUUCGCCAAUUUCACCUCGGUCGGCUCGACGAGGAUCUUCAUGGGAGUUGGCCAUGUGUACUUCUGCUGCAGGCCCACGACCCACGUACUCGGAAGGGAGCUCAGUCGGAACCGAGUCCGAGCACUGGGAGCGUGGGGCGACUACAACAGACUCCAAAACUGCCACCUGAGAGGACGCGAUCUGGCGCGCUCGGGCAUGUUGCACCCAAGGUUGGAGACGUGGACUGCGGGACCGCUUACUGCGGCGUGUGACGAAGGUGCAAGCCGGCAAUGGAGCCGAUUGUUGAAGAAGAAGAACGCUGCGAGCGCCGGCACGGAAGUGCGUGGCCCCGCGACGGGGAAGCGCCUCGACGUCGAGAGGUGCCUCCCGAAGCCACGCCGAAUCGUCGACGAUGAAGGAGAGAGCACCGAAGAGGAUCUGGUGACCCAUGCUCGAAUCUCCACUGGACGACAUGACGAAAGGAAGUAGUCGCAAACUCGCCGGAAGUCGCUUAGACGCCUACCCCACGGUGGGCGCCAACUAUCGUGGGUAUAAGCCUGACAGUAGAUGUGUAGGGUACGAAUGAGAUGGACAGAGUCCUAGCUAUGGCGAGGUUGUAUGAGUUCAGGCCCCUCUACGGUGGAGGUAAUAGCCCUACGUCUCAGUGCUCUCGGAGCUUGUUACCGAGUGUAAUAUGGAGUACAAUGUUUUUCUAACCCGUUUUACCAGUGGGGGAGGGCGGCUUAUAUAGAGUGCGCUGCCCUCCACAACGGUUCUGAUUCAAGGGUUGAGUAGUGGCGAUUGAAUGCAUGCGUUACAGGUAACGUAUGCUAUAAAUGCUAGUAAAUGCACCCAGAAACGUACGGCAGUUUCCCUCCAGAGAGGUUACGACGCACCGAGUGUAUCCAGUCGGUAGGCCCGGUGUCCUUCGAGUGUUAGUCUCCGACUGGAUGAUUCUGGGCCUGUUACCGACUGGAUGAUGGGGGCACCUUACUUCAGUCGGGCAUACUUAAGGUCCUGUCCCUUGUGUGGGGUAGUCCUUGGGUAGGACCUGUAGGACAGGCCUAUGACCCUACCCUAGGACUAUGACCCCAUCACUUAUGAUUGAUUCCCUAUGCUUGAGUCUUUUCUGGCGUUAUUAUCGAGGAGUGAAGCGCCUUUGGUAAGUGGAAUUUGGUAAGGAAACAUUUUUCACUACAUGCUGAAAUUUAUUGUUGCUUGUUACUAUGGAUAAUCACCCUUUGAGUGGUUUGUUCGGGGUAUAUUGGCCUCCUGCGAUAGUGGGAAAAGCCGCUCCCCAACCUGCAGAACUUUCUGAAAGUAUUUAUUAUGAGAUUUCUUUAGGUAUAUCAGACAAAUUGCUAGCUAAUCCUUAUGCAGAAGAUGAUACAAUUCGUCCUGAUUACCACUUGAUAUAUGUAGAUGAGAUUUGUAAAUUAUUUAGGGUGUGUUUGAUUGUAUUGCCCAGCUUGCCCAUAGCUGAGCUUGCCUAGCUAGCUUACCUUGGAUGGGCUACCUUUGCCUUAGCUACACGUUUGGUUCAACGUCGUUGCUGUCAAGAGCCAUCAGCUAGUCGUUUGGUUGUGCUGCACGCAAGAUAGCUCUUCAUAGUAUCCAAAUACAAGUAGCUUAUAACAAGUGCAUCAUCAUUGCAAUAUCCUUGAAAAAAUUCGGUGAAACGGCUAAAUGGCUACAGGAGAUCAAUUGUAAAUAGUCAUGAAAAAAUUCAUCACAACUUUAUGAAUAUAAAUUUAACACACUUUGCAAACACACUGAUUGAUAAAGAAUUAAUCCGAGUAACAAACUUAUUUUCAUGAAUGAAAAACUGUGGGACAUCAUUACAUGCCAGAAUGAGGCAUCAACUUUAUUUCCCAAGGAUACAAUGUUGGAAGACAUACAAAAUUAUCCUAAAAGUUUGCAGCAAAAUGAAUCACACGUGAGGAGGAACAUGAACGUGGUCAGGAAAGUUAUCACCGACCCAGCACUGCACAAACUCUUGAAUAGGAGCCAUCGGCCUCCCCUUCAACAUGGAAGCCACUUGUUCAUUGGUGGCCAAAGAUGUAUGUAGUGAAAGUCGGUCAAAGAGAGGGUAUCCUUCCAUGUCAUCAAUUAUUUUGAAUAAAUUCUCAUUCAGGUUGGUCACAUGUGUGAAACGCAUAGUAUCCGACAUAUCACAUAGAGAAAAUGUCAUGUCUUGAACUACACUCUCAUCACACUUCACCCUCUUACUUUUAUCACGUUUGUAACCUCAAGGACACUUUGAAGAUGAGCUUUCAUUGUUGGUGUCGUUGGUAAGACAAUAUGAAUCAUAAUGUGUUGCAGGAUCAACCUCAACAUCACUCGCAUUGUUCUUGGUAUCACUAAUAAAAUCCUUGUCACGAGCACGAACACGGUCAUAGGGUGUUUGAAGGACCGUGACCUCUCCAAUAGCAUGCUUAUCCUGAAAUAUGAACCCCGUCUCAUCAAAGUUGGCAAUGGGCACAUUGAUAUAUUUUGCCAUUUUGUCUUUAUUCUGGAAGAGAGAAGAACAAUAUCCAAGAUCAGCUAACCGGACACAACAUGAUACUGGAUGAAACUAUAAUUUGGAUUAAUUGAGAUGUAGUCCUCACAUUCUUCAUCCGAACAACUUCUCUCUCAUCAUAUAAUAUUAUCUUGUUGACAUCAUCCAAAUUGGCACCGCUUAAGUUCUUCGCCUCUACUAUGACCUUCCACUAACCUUUGAGCUUGUGGAACUUGUGAUAAACUUGUCAUUGUGUGAAGGCAGUGGUAAACCUUGCGUUGAUUUGUCUUGCACACUCCUCAUGAUGCGUCUCUUUGAAAACAAAUUGUUUUCCCUCAGACUGAAUCUUCUCUUUGUAGUAACAUAACAUUUCAUCAACAACUUGGGGCUGCCACACCACAUUGUUUCCUGACAUAUUCCUGUGGUAUUAUUUAAAUUUCAUAAUGCAUAGACAGAAUAACAUCACUGAGAUGCAUAUAACAUUGCAUUCGUACCAAGGGAAAGAUAUAACUUUGAAAAAAUCAUGGUUACAAGUUCAAUGCAGAAAACACACGAGUUGUUUUUGUAAGUGCUAAUAGAACUUAGAAAAAAAUCAUACAUAAAGCUUGAAAAAAACUCAACCAUGUCUAAAAUUAUGCCUAUUUCUCCACAUUAUUGGCUGCCAUGGUAUCCCUAUCUCUAAGCACUUCCCUUUGUUCCUCAUGUAAAUCUCGUUGGACACGGUUAGCUGAUCUUGGAUAUUGUUCAAACCAGUUUUGCUCACUGUAGACUAGUUCAUUGGGACCCCUGUUUAGUAAUAUCCAGUUGUGAAGGAUACAAUAUGCUAUGACAACUCACACUUGAGAAGUAAAGGGAUAAUAAGGCCUUGUUGUCAGAACUUUGAAAUGGUUCUUCAAAGUUUCGAAUGCCUCCUCAACAAUAGUACGAAGGGAUGAGUGCCUUAAAUUGAAUGGCUCAUUCUGUGCGCGAGGUUUAUUAUUAAUUACCCCUCCAUUCACACAAAUGAUAUGAGUUUGACGGAACGGCGGUAGGAAUCCUCUCCUAGCUACAUAACCCGCAUCCGCAAGAUAGUACUUACCUAACAUGACAUUAUCGACAAUUAAUCAAUCAUUCGCUCUAUAGGUUAUAUUAUAAUAUGUAAAAAUUGCAGGGCCUAUCUUCACGGACUCUAAGGCCAUUCGUAUGCUCAAGGGAAUGCCUUCAAACGGUUGAAUCGUGUGGCGAACCCUCCCAGCCCACAAAUGCACUGAAUAACACAAUUUUUCUGUUAAUUUGCACAUUGUCGACCAUCUAUAAAUUGGUGAAAGAAAAAUAAAUAUUAAUGACUUACACAACACGGAGCCAUCAAUAUAUAUACAGUCAUGAGCAAACCUAAGCCCUAACAAAUCAAUUCAGAUCCAUGUAAAAUAGAUAGCUCCAUAUCCAUGUUUCAGUACGGACAAAAUCAAGGAAUAAGAUGCACAUGUAUGUUCCACUACAAAUCAAUUACUAUCAUGCAAUUCUAGUAUGGUAGCACUUAAUUUUAGAUUGGCCAGAAAUAAAAAUUGGGGGUUGGGUGCGCACCAAGCCAAUAUCCUGCACAGCCCCAAUGCCACAACCUGCCAUUAGACUGAGUUUGCUAUCACCUCGGCCGUACCAAUCCUAUGCUAAAGGCAAGUCACGAAAGAAAAAUCCAACCAUGAAGACCACGAGAAAUAUACACAACUAAUUAAGAUUUGGAGCUUAUGGUACUAAUCAAUCCUCGAGACAGCUACUCUAGUAACAGGAAAAAAUUCACACGCACAGGCAGGAAGAUUCAAGAGAUGUGCUGACGGAUGCAGACCUGAACAAUGACGAUGAGGCAUCCGCUUUCAAAUCUUGAGCUUGUCUUCACCAAAUCAUGGAGGGGAACAACCAAAUCUUGAGCUUGUCUUCACCAAAUCGUGGAGGAGAAUACGAAGAUUUCGGGGAUUUCGUUGGGAAUGAGGAGAAAAUGGGGAGAGUGGAGGAGGUCAGAGUGGAGAGGAUAUAGGGAUUUGUUGGAGAUGAGUUCAUCCAUCCGUAGAGUUCGUGGAUUUGUUUCGCGUGUCCGAGCUUGCCGUUAAUGGCGAGCCAAAUUGGCUCUCCCCACGGAGCGAGGAUUUUCUGGCCCAUCGAGGUUAGCUGCCCCCCAAAAGCAAGAUAUUACUUGGGCUACCAAAUGAGCAGCCUAGCCUAGCAAGGCAAAACCGACUUUUGCCAAGGAACCAAACGCACCCUUAAGCUUGCAGGUUUAUUCAAGGACAAAGUCAAGAAGAAUGUUUUUUCUCUAUCUUUGGAGAGAAAAUCAUUGAUGUGGUAUAGGCUAUUGAAUGAUACUGGAUUCGCUUGAAGCUAGAAUUUCAUGAGAAGUUUUAUCCUAUGCAUCUAGUUCAUCGUGAUCGGAACUAUAUAUAUUUUCUGGCAUCGUGAAGGAGUAAGCAUCGCUCAAGCUUGGGGAAGACUUAAAUCUAUAAUGCACACUUGCCCCAACAAUGAGCUCUCUAAAGAAGUGAUUAUACAAAACUUUUACGCUUGGCUUUUUCAUGAUGAUCAAUUGAUACUCGAUUCUUUUUUCACUAGCUCCUACAUGAAUAGAAUUAUUAAAUUUAAAUGGGAUCUUCUGGAAAGAACUAAAUGCAACUCUGGAGAUUGGGAACUCGACAAAGGUAAAGAGUGAGAUAUAAAUCUUGAGUUUGGUUGUGUUAGUUUUUUUAUGGAAACUGAUACUUUCAUAAGUUUAGCAAUAAAUAUGGGCUUGACUCUGAGAUAGUAGCUUCUUUCCGUUAAUCAUUUGCUACUCGUGUUGAUCUCCCUAUAGAGACGCGGUUUAAAUUUCAUCCACCUAUUCAAGAAUUAUUUACAUUAAGAAAUCACCAUUUCCUUUAAGAAUAAAGAACUUGUCAAAGUUGCAACCGUGGUUAACAAAAGUCAUAGUAGGACACCUAAACCUUCUCAACAAAUAAAAGUGGAACCUAAUAUUUCUAUGGUUAAAGAUCUCCUAGUUGAUAAUAUUGAUGGACAUGUUAUUUACUUAUGUACUGCAACUACUAGAAUUGCAAAAUCUAUUGGAAAUGAGAGGGAUGGGUUAGACAAAAAUAAAUAAGUUCCUCGCAUGCCCGUUGUUUUUGUUAAAAUUAGAGAUCAUUGUUGUCAUGGCUUGUGUGACACUCGUGCUAAUGGUAGUGCUAUACAUUUUACCUCAUACCAAGAAAUUAUACAUGGUCAACAAUUUUCUAUAUAUUUGUAAUAUAUUUGUUAAAACAUUUGAUUAACGUUUCCCAACCUGGUAAUUAAGAUUUUUGAAAUAUCUUCAACAUUUUUUCUAUACAAAUUUAUCAUUUUUUAAAUGCUUGAUUAACACUUUUCAAAUAUUAUUCAACAUUUUUUCCAAAUGCCUCACUAAAACCUUUAUAUACAUGAUUCAAUUUUUCAUCUUUUUUUAUUACACUCUUUCCAGCACAUUGGGAUCCUAAGCUUNNNNNNNNNNNNNNNNNNNNNNNNNNNNNNNNNNNNNNNNNNNNNNNNNNNNNNNNNNNNNNNNNNNNNNNNNNNNNNNNNNNNNNNNNNNNNNNNNNNNACCCUUGCUAACCCCCAGUUGCGAUCGCACCAUACUUCUUGAAGUUGCGGUUGGGUGUGAUAGGUUGUAGUUGCGGCCAGGUCGGGGCGGUUGCAACUACUACAAAAAAGGAAAACCUAAAAGAAUAAAAGGAAGCUCUAGGUACAUCAUCCCCGAUCGCGGUCACGCCGUACGUGUUGCAGUUGCGGUUGGGUGUGAUGGGUUGCAGUUGCGGCUGGGUCGAGCCGGUUGCAACUACUACAAAAAAGGAAAACCUAAAAAGAAAGGAAUCCCUCCACUGUCCCCGGUUGCGGUCGCCUCGUACGUCUUGCAGUUGCGGUUGGGUGUGAUGGGUUGCAGUUGCAGUCGUGCCGGGUUGGUUGCAACUACUACAAGAAAGGAAAGCCUAAAAAAGAAAGAAAGCCCUCCCCACCUCCAUUACAGUUGCACCGUACGUCUUGCAGUUGCGGUUGGGUGUGAUUGGUUGUAGUUGCGGCCGGGUCAGGACGGUUGCAACUACUACAAAAAAAGGAAAACUUAAAAAGGAAGGAAGUGCUUUGCUGCCCCCAACUACCUUCCCCACCCCAACCACCCCUGGGCUGCGGUCGCAAUGUACAUCUUGUAGUUGCGGUUGGGUGUGAUUAGUUGAGGUGGUUUUAAGUACUACAAAACAUAACGUAACAAGAAAGUCUUCAUCGGCACGAAUGAACCCCCCCCCCACCUUUGGUUCCGAUCACAUUAUAUGUUUGGGGAAAAAUGCGCUUGGAUAUAUUGAGUUGCUGUUGCAAAAAUCGGGGUGGGGUGGUUGCAAAAUUGGGUUUGGGCGAUUUGGGAAAAAUGUUACGACAAAAAAGACUAAAAACCAGGAAUCCACCGGCGCCGACAACCCUCCGCUCGAGCCCAAUUGUUGUUAACUAUCACAUAUCUAAUGUAAUGAGAUGUAGUUGCAAUCCUGUUGGUUAGGUUACGCAACUACUACCAAAAAAAGAGUAGAAAAAGAGAAAGUAUUUCGCUAGUGCAAAAAAGUCGUAGAGAAAACCCCCCCCCCCCCGGCGGGGUUUUGUGGUUCCUUUAUACCUCCUUGUAGUGACUCUUAACUAGCACAAGUUGAAAAAGAAAAUUGCAAAUAUAAAAGGUGCAAAAAACAGGUUGGACCUCCCCCUAGUAAUUUUAUUUUGAAUGCAAAACAUUAAAAAAACUAGUCUAUAUGUUUGGUUCAAUUCAGAAAACAACAGGGAAUCUAUAUUAUAAGAAAAAAAAAAGUCCCCAUGUUGAUCCUCGCAACAGUUUCAGACCCUCCCACCUAGUUCACGCUCACCACAUGUGAAGUGUACAAGUACAUCCAGACUAAUGAUAGGAAAAAUGUAGGCAUGGGCAGAAAUUACAAUUUCUCUACAUUUGAGAAAAUCCUUGAAUACAUACAUUCUUAAAAAAAAACUGUAUUAUGAUUUAGGAUUCUACUCUACACAGCAUCGUCAAACAAAACACACACACACACACAAAAACAACAAAAAGACAUGUGAAUCAUUUCUCUUUUCUGAACUAAUCCCUGCAUACCCCUGUACUAAACUGAUUAGAAACUACCACCACUACGGAAACCCUAGAAGACAAAUUUGUACAAACAACAAGAAAAGAGAGGAACAGAAAGAAGAACAAACGGCUCUGCCGCCUCUAUGGAUCAGUUGAUUUCCUUACUUUGAAACACCACCGCUGCCGAUCUCCCGCACCAGUAGCCGAUGACAGAAAACAGGGUGCCUCAUAUAUUCUACUUGGGCCUGGGCUUCCGUGUAGAAAACGUCCCGGGCCAGACUUGCAAAGACAAAAAAAAACAAGGAAUGUGCCGCUAGCGAAAGCCAGAUGGGUCGCACACAGGUCGCUGCGAAGCUCUCCACGUCGACAAACCUGAAUCGCGGCGCAUCUUGAUCCUUGACGGUUGGAAAAGUGAAUGCGACCAAUCUAUUUCUCAUCUGAAUGAGUUUUAGCAAAACCUUUUUUCUUAAGUUUCCAAUUUUUGGGAAAAACGCCGACAUCUUUUAAAAACGGAAAAUAAAUGUUAGAAAAAUAAAAAAUAAAAUAAAAAUAGAAAACCAAAAUGGGCUUGCCCAACUUCCACGCCGGGGUUAGAUCUCUGUGCGAACCCCCACUACCACUAUGUGCGGUUAUGAGCGGGCGUUCCUAUUUCUCGCUUCCAGCGAGACCUAGGAAUCCUCACUGAAGUGGAAAGCGAGAUUGGCUGGCCCAGGCACAUGGGAGGUUACAACCUCAUUUAUGUUUUCUUCUUUUUCACGUUUUUGGUUUCCGUUCUUUCUUUAUUUUUUUUACCUUUUUAUACUUUAAAAUAUUUUAAAUUUAUAUAGUACAAAAAACAUUUACAAAAAAAAUUUGAAAAGUGUUGACCUAGCAUUUGAAAAAUAUUAUAGGCGUAUAGACAAAAUGUUUAUCAUCUAUAUGAAAAAUGUAUAAAAAAAUAUACAUGAUACAUUUGAUCAUGUACUUAAAAAGCAUUUACUAAAUUAUUUAAAAAAUAAUAAACAGCUAUUUGGAAAAAUAUUAAUCAACAUUUGAAAGAUGUUAAAUGCAUAUAGAAAAAAUGUUGACNNNNNNNNNNNNNNNNNNNNNNNNNNNNNNNNNNNNNNNNNNNNNNNNNNNNNNNNNNNNNNNNNNNNNNNNNNNNNNNNNNNNNNNNNNNNNNNNNNNNUCGUAGGCAGUGGAUCGGUGAUGGAUGAGUAUUAUGGAUGUGAAUCAUCAUGUAACAGCUAUAACACACAGAGAUAUGUAACUAGCUCCCGUUCGUCAAUCUAAUGCAGGCAUGUAUUCCGUAUGUAGUCAUACGUGCUUAGGGAAAAGAACUUGCAUGACAUCUAUUGUCCAUCUCUCCCGUGGCAGUGGGGUCCUAAUGGAAACUACGGGAUAUUAAGGUUCUCCUUUUAAUAAAGAACCGGACCAACGCAUUAACNNNNNNNNNNAGCACGAAGAUCGUGUCGGGGAAACUUCCCUUCCUGAGGGGGAAAUCGUCGCCAUCAUCAUCACCAAUACUCCUCUCGUUGGAGGGGACUCGUCACCAUCAACAUCUUCAUCAGCACCAUCUCAUCUCCAAACCCUAGUUCAUCUCUUGUAACCAAUCUCCGUCUCGCGACUCCGAUUGGUACUUGUAAGGUUGCUAGUAGUGUUAAUUACUCCUCGUAGUUGAUGCUAGUUGGAUUACUUGCUGGAAGAUUAUAUGUUCAGAUCUUUGAUGCUACUCAUUACCUCUCUGGUCAUGAAUAUGAUUAUGCUUUGUGAGUAGUCACUUUUGUUCCUGAGGACAUGGGAUAAGUCAUGCUAUAAGUAGUCAUGUGAAUUUGGUAUUCGUUCGGUAUUUUGAUGUGUUGUAUGUUGUCUCUCCUCUAGUGGUGUUAUGUGAACGUCGACUACAUAACACUUCACCAUUAUUUGGUCCUAGAGGAAGGCAUUGGGAAGUAGUAAGUAGAUGAUGGGUUGCUAGANNNNNNNNNNCGUUGCUUCGUAAGGGGCUGAUUUGGAUCCACUAGUUUAAUGCUAUGGUUAGACUUUGUCUUAAUUCUUCUUUCGUAGUUGUGGAUGCUUGCGAGAGGGGUUAAUCAUAAGUGGGAUGCUUGUCCAAGUAAGGGCAGUACCCAAGCGCCGGUCCACCCACAUAUCAAACUAUCAAAGUAGCAAACGUGAAUCAUAUGAACAUGAUGAAAACUAGCUUGACAGAAUUUUCCAUGUGUCCUCGGGAGCGCUUUACCUCCUAUAAGACUUUGUCCAGGCUUGUACCUUGCUACAGAAGGGAUUGGGCCACUUUGCUACACCGUUGUUACUUUUGUUACUUGCUACUUGCUACGAAUCAUCUUGUCACACAACUACUUGUUACCGAUAAUUUCAGUGCUUGCAGAGAUUACCUUGGUGAAAACCACUUGUCAGAUCCUUGUGCUCCUCGUUGGGUUCAACACUCUUACUUACCGAAAGGACUACGAUAGAUCCCCUAUACUUGUGGGUCAUCACUCGCUACCCCGUGGAUUGUAUCACGGAGAGGGAACAUUGCAAGCUAAUUGCUAAAUACCAAAACCUAACAUUAAAAGUGGCGGUCGGCUAUGCCUUACCUCGUCGACCUGAUGGAACUUUUCAUUUCAAUCCGAUUCCAGAUGGUGGAUUUGAGGGGUUGGAGCUUGAAUACCCUACAGGUGAAGGGGAGAUUCAUCUGGAAAAUGCCUUAAGGACUAAGUGUCUUUGGACAAAGGAAAACAUUCUGCUUCCAAAAUGGACGCCGCCUCAGCAGACUCAGGUGGAGGAGGCCCCUCGUCUCUCUCCGCCGCAUCAACAGACUCAGCCGGAGGAGUCCCCUCAGUUGUCUCUGCUGCGUCAGCACACUCAGAUGGAGGAGGCCUCUCAGUUGUCUCCGCCGCAUUAGCAGACUCGGCCGGAGGAGGCCCCUGAGCAGAAUCCUCCUCUACGUGAGUUGUCUCUGCCAUGUCAGCGGACUCCGCCUCCUCUGCCGCGUCAGCUGACUCCGCCUCAUCAACAAUGACAGAAGAGACCUGCUGCCGCUCCGGCGGCUAGCAGUACAAAAACAAAGAAAUAUAUAACACUUCCAAGAGUCAACAACGCUCCUCCCAAGAGACCCUACGACAUGACUAAGGAGGAAAAUGUGGAAAUCGUGGAUGCCCAAGUUAAGACCCAUUUUGCACCGAAACAUCCACCUCCAAAGGAUAAAAUUGAUUCGGUAAAAGCGAAGCGCUGUCUAUAUGCCCUUAAGCGACCACCACCGCGUCCUCUGCUAUCACACUAUGAGCAAACUAUUGAAAAGACAUAUGUUGAAGCGAAGGAGUAGGGAAUCUUAAGUACCAGUGGUGCAAUAAGUGGGAAAAAAAUUCCCCAGCUCGAUGAACAGGAGAAGAAAUCGUGCCCCCGCUCAAGGUGUUUACCGAUGUCGCUGAUAACCCACAAGUGGAUCGCAACAGUUUUCGAGGGUAGAGUAUUCAACCCAAAUUUGUUGAUUCGACACAAGGGGAAGUAAAAGAAUAUUCUCGAGUAUUAGCAGUUGAGUUGUCAAUUCAACCAAACCUGAAAGACUUAGUAUCUGCAGCAAAGUUUCAGUAGCAAAGUAGCGUGAUAGCAAUGGUAGCAAUGGUAACAGUAGCAGCAGUGACAACAGUUGCGGUAACAGUAUUAGCAGUGACAGCAGUAGCGGCAAAGUAACGUAGCAAGGACCAGUAGGAAAAACUCAUAGGCAUUGGAUCGGUGAUGGAUCAUUAUGUCGGAUGGCAUUCAUCAUGUAACAGCUAUAACAUAGGGUGAUAUGUAACUAGCUCCAGUUCGUCAAUGUAAUGUAGGCAUGUNNNNNNNNNNNNNNNNNNNNNNNNNNNNNNNNNNNNNNNNNNNNNNNNNNNNNNNNNNNNNNNNNNNNNNNNNNNNNNNNNNNNNNNNNNNNNNNNNNNNGAGGUUGGUGAUGACCUUGUCUCAGCAGGGCUCCGCCCGAGCUCCGCAGAAACGCGAUCUAGAGGAAAAACCGUGGAGGUAUGUGGUCGGGCUGCCGUGGGAAAGUCGUCUCAAAUCUGCCNNNNNNNNNNNNNNNNNNNNNNNNNNNNNNNNNNNNNNNNNNNNNNNNNNNNNNNNNNNNNNNNNNNNNNNNNNNNNNNNNNNNNNNNNNNNNNNNNNNNNNNNNNNNNNNNNNNNNNNNNNNNNNNNNNNNNNNNNNNNNNNNNNNNNNNNNNNNNNNNNNNNNNNNNNGUCCGAGCCAAGGGGGAGGACUCUCCCCCCCCCAAACCGAGUUGGACUAGGUUUGGUGGGAGGGAGUCCCCCUCCCUUCCCACCUCCUCCUUUUUUUUUCCUUUUUCCUUUGAUUUCUUAUCCUUGGCGCAUAGGGCCCUUUUGGGCUGUCCCACCAGCCCACUAAGGGCUGGUGCGCCACCCUUAUGGCCUAUGGGCUUCCCCGGGGUGGGUUGCCCCCCCCCCAGUGAACUCCCGGAACCCAUUCGUCAUUCUUGGUACAUUCCCGGUAACUCCGAAAACCUUCCGGUAAUCAAAUGAGGUCAUCCUAUAUAUCAAUCUUCGUUUCCGGACCAUUCCGAAAACCCUCGUGACAUCCGUGAUCUCAUCCGGGACUCCGAACAACAUUCGGUAACCAACCAUAUAACUCAAAUACGCAUAAAGAUGCUCUACAGGUAUCUCCGAACAACUUCCGUAAUACAAGAUCCCACAACUUACACUAAGUCACAUUGCUUGCAAGACUUGUGUGUGAUGUUGUAUUACCGAGUGGGCCCCGAGAUACCUUUCCGUCACACGGAGUGACAAAUCCCAGUCUUGAUCCAUACUAACUCAACUAACACCUUCGGAGAUACCUGUAGAGCAUCUUUAUAGUCACCCAGUUACGUUGCGACGUUUGAUACACACAAAGCAUUCCUCCGGUGUCAGUGAGUUAUAUGAUNNNNNNNNNNNNNNNNNNNNNNNNNNNNNNNNNNNNNNNNNNNNNNNNNNNNNNNNNNNNNNNNNNNNNNNNNNNNNNNNNNNNNNNNNNNNNNNNNNNNCCCACUAGCAGCCAUACGUCGACCUUUUACCUCCGCAAACCCGAUGAAUCAGGGCGCUAACUGAAUUCGGGAGUACAUCUUUGGUGACAAAUGAACGAGUAAAAGUGUAUUUAAAUCGUGAAGUUCGCACCUGCGCUCGCCGUGUGGUACUAAACUAAAUUCUGCGAACCGAGCGGCGUGCUAAGAGGGUGUUUGUUUCCAGGGACUUAUUGGUUUUGGGACUUAAAAAAGUCCCUAUAAGUCUCACCUAAACCAAACACAAUGGACUUAUUGGGACUUAUUAUGGUUAUUUGGGACUUAUCAAAUAAGACUCUCUAAUAGGAGCUUAUUGGGACUUAUUCUGGUUAGGCCCGCGGUAGUCUCCCGAUGCAGUGGCCGCCGCCCUGCCCCGAUUAACGCUCGCACCGCCCCAAUCGUCGCCGGCCGCCCCAAUCACCGCCGGCCGCCCGCCCCGUCUUCCACCGCUUGUAAAAAAAUCACCCCCCACGCAACCCCAUCUCNCCGCCCGCCCCAUCGCCGCCCAGUCGCCGCCCCGCCCCGUCGCCGCCCGGCCUCCGCCUCGUCACCGCCCGGCCGCCGCCUCGUCUCCCUCGGUUCGUCUGGUCCAGCCGCCGCAACAUGGACUUAUAAGUCCCUGUAAACAAACAGGUAGGGANNNNNNNNNNNNNNNNNNNNNNNNNNNNNNNNNNNNNNNNNNNNNNNNNNNNNNNNNNNNNNNNNNNNNNNNNNNNNNNNNNNNNNNNNNNNNNNNNNNNUGGUCCCGGUUGGUGCCAUGAACCGGGACCAAUGCUGUGCCUAUAUAAGCAGCACUCGCGAAAAUUUGGUUCAUUUCGUUCUUCCCCGCCGCCUGACGCCGCCAGGCUGCCCGUCCGUCUCCGCCUCGCCGUCGCCGUCGUCGCCCCGCGCCGUCCCGCGCCGCCCCGACGCCGUCGUCGCCCCCCGCCCCNCGCCCCGCCCCGGCCCGCGCCGCACCUCACCGUCGACCGUCGCCGCGCCGCCCCGCCCCGCGCCGCACCUCGUCGUCGUCGUCGCCGUCCCCGACACCGUCGCCGUGAGCAAAAAUUUUGCUAAUUUAAUUUGAUGUUAGUAGUAGUUAAUUUAGAUGUGUAAUUAAUUGAGUUAGAUUUUGUUAGAUUUUUUUUAGAUUUUUUUGUAGUUCAUAGAUUUUUNNNNNNNNNNNNNNNNNNNNNNNNNNNNNNNNNNNNNNNNNNNNNNNNNNNNNNNNNNNNNNNNNNNNNNNNNNNNNNNNNNNNNNNNNNNNNNNNNNNNNNNNNNNNNNNNNNNNNNNNNNNNNNNNNNNNNNNNNNNNNNNNNNNNNNNNNNNNNNNNNNNNNNNNNNNNNNNNNNNNNNNNNNNNNNNNNNNNNNNNNNNNNNNNNNNNNNNNNNNNNNNNNNNNNNNNNNNNNNNNNNNNNNNNNNNNNNNNNNNNNNNNNNNNNNNNNNNNNNNNNNNNNNNNNNNNNNNNNNNNNNNNNNNNNNNNNNNNNNNNNNNNNNNNNNNNNNNNNNNNNNNNNNNNNNNNNNNNNNNNNNNNNNNNNNNNNNNNNNNNNNNNNNNNNNNNNNNNNNNNNNNNNAAUUUUUAUGAUUUUUUUCUGUUCAUAGAAUUUUUAUGAUUUUUUUCUGUUGUCAUUUUGUUCAUAGAAUUUUAAUAAAAUUUUUCUGUUGUAAUUUUGUUCAUAGAAUUUUAAUGAUUUUUUUGUUCAUAAUAUUUUCUUUGUCAAUUAUGUAUAUGUCCAUAUUAUGUAUGUAUAGGAAAAUUGUGCAUGAUCAAAGUCAUUUAUGAAUAUGUUCAUAUUUAGAAUAGAGGAAAAAGGAAAAAAAUAAGAAGAGAUAGUGUUAAAUAUAAUUAGUUAGAAAAAUAAUAGAACUAUAGUUAAACUAGUUUAUUUUUAGUAAGUACUACUUUAUUUUAUUUAUAGUAAGUGCUUCAUAUAUAGUUGAACUAGCUAGUUGAUUUAAUAAACUACUUUAUUUUACUAUAUAUAGAAGUAGUUUGUUUUUAGUAAGUACUACUUUAUUUAUUUAUAGUAAGUGCUUAGUAGUUGAACUAGUUGAUUUAAUUAAUAAAACUACUUUAUUUAACUAUAUAUAGAAGUAGUUCCCGCAUCGACGUCGACGAUGCCUAUCCCACGUCCUCGUCCUCGUCGACUCGGCGGUGGAGGCCUGCUUGAUCAGGGCCAUGUUCGGGACUGGGCUCCGUCGGGCUGGUAUUGGGAGGUGCUACCUUCCGGGGGACGUAGGUUGGUGAGGAGGCAGCCCGUUGUUGACCCGAUCCUUGUUUGGUGGCGGUCGCGUGGGCCAGUGACGGUGCCGAGGCUUCCGGACACCGCGGAGGUGGUACGUCACCGUGUCAGCGAGGAGGACGAGCACGUCCGUCGCUACAUGGUUGCAUUGGAGGGCAGGUUCGACAAUACCUGGCAGGUUCUUCAGGGAUCUCACUGGAGCUAUGAUCCUGUGAUGGUUCCUUAUCUUUGGGUGUCCACCGCCCGCGAUGAUACCCGUCGGGCGCUACGGUUCUAGUUGUAUUAGUGAUGUUAUAUGUAUGACAAGAGAUGAUGUAGUUUUGCUUAUAAUUGAAUGCAUGCUAAUUUGAAUACUACUUUAUUUUACGAUCUGGUUUUGCUUAUUGAAUGCUUAAAUUGGAAAAGUACUCCUACUUUGAAUGCUAAAAUUGGAGAGCACUAUGCAGAAAUCUAGAAGCCCCCUCCAUCAUCCACGUCGUCGUCCCCGUCACUGACCCCCCUCCGACCUCGAGUGAGGGUCUAUAUUUUUUUAUGCUAUUUUACCUUAAAGAGGGUAUUUAAUUAGGUCCUACCUAAUACUGAUGAUCAUGUUGCUGUAAAUGUUGUAUGACAAUGUUGUAAAGGGUAGUAAUUGGUCUCUUCAGCUGCUUUUUAGAGAUGGAGUUCUUCAUGAUUAUACUUGAGAAAUCCUCCAGCAGGCAGGUGCUGUCGGACAAUUUUGUGAAGAUGUUGAACGGCCGUAGGCCAUAGAACAUGAAGUUGAGGCAGGCCGGCAACGGGCUUCGCAAGCUGUGGGACGUGGAGGUGGUGUUCGACACCGAUGGAAGCAUGUACCUAGAUCGUGGCUGGAAGCAGUUCGUCCGUGCCUACGACCUGCGGCACGGGUACUUCCUUGUCUUCACGUACGACGACAACGCCACGUUCGCUGUGAAGGUGUUCGACACGACUAUGUGUCGGAGGCGCUACCAGGACGAGGACGAUGCCAAUAUGCUCUGUCUCUUCUUCCUCUCCAUUAGGCUAUGUCUCACACCCAUUUUAAAAAAAACUUUUUUGCAUUUGGCAAGGCAAUGGGAGCAGGAGCAGCGAGUACUGACAAUGUUGUAAAGGGUAGUAAUUGGUCUCUUCUGCUGCUUUUCAGAGAUGGAGUUCUUCACGAUUAUACUUGAGAAAUCCUCCAGCAGAUAGGUGCUGCCGGACAAUUUUGUGAAGAUGUUGGACGGUCAUCGGGCACAGAACAUGAAGCUGAGGNNNNNNNNNNNNNNNNNNNNNNNNNNNNNNNNNNNNNNNNNNNNNNNNNNNNNNNNNNNNNNNNNNNNNNNNNNNNNNNNNNNNNNNNNNNNNNNNNNNNCGCCCACCCUAUAAAAAAUGUGCCCCAUGCACAAGACGUGUGUGGCCUGCCCCGGCACCAUCAGUAUAAAGCCGCGCCAUCUCGUGUGCUUCUUCGCACCACACACACCAACCGCCCUUCACUUUGUAAGCUCAUUUCCAAGAAGCAGCUCUAGUCCAGGGGCAGCNUAGGUUGCUCACCUAGUUGUUCACAUAGAGAACCUUUGGUUGCUAAUGCGAAUUUGUUAAGACAAGCUAAAAAUUGGUAGUUCCUAUUCACCCCCUCUAGUCAACUAUAUUGAUCCUUUCAUUGAUCCUCUUAUGAAGGAGGGAGCAUUGGUGAUGACAACGACUUUGAUCUCCCAUCCCGGAAGGAAGUUUCCCCGACAGAAUCGCUUUGCCCGAGAGAAAAAGGGGCCUCUCUCCAGGUUUCCGCCUCGAGACGGCGGCCCUUUGUCCGGAAAGUCUCUUGUUAAAUUUUCUAGGUCAAAACACACCUUAUAGCAGAAGAGACAGGCCUAGGGACCUAUGACGGGGUGACAAGAUAACAUGACGCACCGGGGGGCGCCCUAUUGGCUUGUGGUCAAAAUACACCUUAUGGAAGAUGGCCCCCCUCUGGUAUAUCUUUGGCCCAAUAUUUCAGAUAUAUUUCAGAAAAAUUCUUCGUGAAGUUUCAGGUCAUUUGGAGUCGAGUGAUAUUUAGCCUUUUACUAGGUUUCCAGGUCCAGAAUUCUGGUUUUCGACAAUUUCCCUCUUUGUGAUGUAGCUUGUAGAUUUAGAGAGAAAAGACAUAAGAGUUGUAUCAUAAUGUGAAAUAAUGGACAAGAAUAGCAUAAAUAUAAAUAGAAAAUCAUGAUGCAAAAUGGACGUAUCACAGGGCGUGGCAUCGGUGAGGUCCUCCUUCUCGUCGUCGGUUUCGCCGAACACCGUAUCGCCCGCGUCGCCGCACUCUUGUAGGCGGCCGUCACCUCCGCCACUCGCUGGCGGGACCGCCAGCGGGCGAGGCGGAUCUCGCGUGUGGAGCCAUAGGACUCGAGCACGCCUCCUGCAUCGCCAAGUUCGCGUCCGACGCGACCGCCGUGUCGAUGGGGAGUUGCUCCUCCGCGUGCACGUGGUUGUGAAGAGGUGGUGGUUGUAGGCUGCGUCGGCCUGCGCCUCCCAGAGCUUCUCCUCCUACUCCUCGCGCAUCAUGUCCAUGUAAAGGGCACAUGCCUCGUCGAUGGUCAUGGUGCAAUGCACCAAUGAGGGUGGCACGGAGGAGGGUGGUGACACCGGUCCAUCGUCGUCAAUGUCCUCCAUGUGGACGCCGGCGUCCUAUGAUUUCCUGCCGGCAAGCCGGUCGGCAGCAAUGACAACCGUCUCCUUCUUCUGGUCCAGUGUCAGCCCGUCCUAAAGAGCUUUGGUGGCUGAGGAAUCCAUGGUUGGAGUAGUGCGGAGGGGGAUCAAAGACGUAUGACUGCGGCUAUGGUAGGGCAACGGUUUAUAUAGCAAUAGUGGGCGAUAGAGGGACGAAGAAGUGGCGCGGGAGAAGAUGCCUCGACAACCGCGUGCCAUCAAUGUGGACGAUAGACGGACAGAUGGCCGGUCGUCGUGUCGUGUGAACAUGCAACAGAUGCUUGCACCGGCAAGCAAUGUGGGCGGCGGCGCUCUCUUUGCCGGCGUACUGCUUCAACAUCGGCGCGAGUGAGCGGCCGCGUCUGCUCUGAUCGGGCAUGAAUGCAAAAGCUGAUGCUCUGAAGUGACGCUGACCAAAAGCACGCGGGAUGAAGGAGGUGUUUUGGGCGGGUCAGGACGGUCAGAAUCGGACAUGAGAGCGGUCCGGACUCCCGCAAAGAUUUUUACAUUUGUCUUCAGUUUGCGAAAGAAAAUAUAUUCAGACCGUACCAUAAACCGAUACAAGGCCACGUUGGAUGACUUUUAUGGUCCUCACAAAGCCAUCGAGAAAGGUUUGCGUUUCAGUGUUGGAGAUGCUAUAACCAUCUAUCUAGUUCCAAUGUGGCAUGCAAGCUUUACUCUAUCUCUAAUCCGCAAUGCAUCAUUGAGUGAUGGCCCACAUGCCCCAUCAUAGCCUUUUCUUUGUGAUGACCCCAUCAUAGCUUACUUAAUUUGUCCGAUUAAUAAGAUGCUAACUAGAGUUAGGUCCCUUAAUUUCGGUAUAUGCAUGCGAGUAACAUGGCAUGCUCGAGCGCGGCGAGGUGGUUAACCGACGAGCACGCAACUACAACGAUGAAUGAAUGGCGGAGAUUAGUGGCGGUACCUACGUACGUACGUGUCGCUCGACUGGAUUCCAUCACUUAAUAUGUGCUUUGCUGAUAUAUAUCAACCAUCAAUCAAUGGUUCCACCACCCAAUCUCUGGGUCCCACGGUAAUCUAAGUGUUCCUUUUAUAAGACACCUCAUCAAAUCAAACCAUCGAUGUACGUAUGAACACCCGAGGGAUUAUGACAGAUUGUACCCAUGUGCUGCCCGAAUAAUUGUAACCACCUUCGCGCCCACCAGAUCGAUAAUGCAUGCAUGCAAAAGAAAGUGAUGCUGGACGGCACCACGCACUAUAAAACCGCGACAUCUCCCGUGCUUCUUCUCACACACCACACACCACACAAGGCACUCCACUUUAUAAAGCUCAUUUGAUUCCAGGAAGCUCUCUAGGCUAGAUUGCUAGAACAGCAGUUACCAUGGCACGGCGUCUUCUCGCUGUGCUCGCCGUGGCUCUUGCGCUCUUGCAGGCCGCCUCGGCCAAGUCCUGGCUCGACAAGAGGUUCAACACGGACGGCACCGUCCGCACGGGAUACGACGCCUCGGGCCAGCAGGUGGUGAUGCUCAACCUCAACCAGCAAUCCGGCGCCGCCGGCUUCAACUCCAAGCAGCAGUACCUCUAUGGUGAGUUCAGCAUCCAGAUGAAGCUCAUCCCGGGGAACUCCGCUGGCACCGUCUCCUGCUUCUACGUAAGUUCAUGAGCCAAGUUAAUUUUGACCAGGACUAACAUUAAUUAACCUCGCUCUGUCGAUCUUCAUUUGUCUUGAGCUGAGCCAGCGUUGCUNNNNNNNNNNNNNNNNNNNNNNNNNNNNNNNNNNNNNNNNNNNNNNNNNNNNNNNNNNNNNNNNNNNNNNNNNNNNNNNNNNNNNNNNNNNNNNNNNNNNCUCCGCCCGAGCUCCGCAAAAACGCGAUCUAGAGGAAAAACCAUGGAGGUAUGUGGUCGGGCUGCCGUGGGAAAGUCGUCUCAAAUCUGCCCCAAUACCUCUGUAUAUAUAGGUGGGAGGGAGGGGACCUUGCCUUGGGCCUCAAGGAGCCCCAAGGGGGUCGGCCGAGUCCAAGGGGGGAAGGCUCCCCCCCAAACCGAGUUGGACUUGGUUUGGUGGGUGGGAGUCCUUCCCUUCCUUCCCACCUCCCUUUUUUUUCUUUCUCUUUGAUUUUUCUUUGUAUGGCGCAUAGGGCCCUUUUGGGUUGUCCCACCAGCCCACUANNNNNNNNNNNNNNNNNNNNNNNNNNNNNNNNNNNNNNNNNNNNNNNNNNNNNNNNNNNNNNNNNNNNNNNNNNNNNNNNNNNNNNNNNNNNNNNNNNNNNNNNNNNNNNNNNNNNNNNNNNNNNNNNNNNNNNNNNNNNNNNNNNNNNNNNNNNNNNNNNNNNNNNNNNNNNNNNNNNNNNNNNNNNNNNNNNNNNNNNNNNNNNNNNNNNNNNNNNNNNNNNNNNNNNNNNNNNNNNNNNNNNNNNNNNNNNNNNNNNNNNNNNNNNNNNNNNNNNNNNNNNNNNNNNNNNNNNNNNNNNNNNNNNNNNNNNNNNNNNNNNNNNNNNNNNNNNNNNNNNNNNNNNNNNNNNNNNNNNNNNNNNNNNNNNNNNNNNNNNNNNNNNNNNNNNNNNNNNCGUUUCCGGACCAUUCCGAAAACCCUCGUGACAUCCGUGAUCUCAUCCGGGACUCCGAACAACAUUCGGUAACCAACCAUAUAACUCAAAUACGCAUAAAGAUGCUCUACAGGUAUCUCCGAACAACUUCCGUAAUACAAGAUCCCACAACUUACACUAAGUCACAUUGCUUGCAAGACUUGUGUGUGAUGUUGUAUUACCGAGUGGGCCCCGAGAUACCUUUCCGUCACACGGAGUGACNNNNNNNNNNNNNNNNNNNNNNNNNNNNNNNNNNNNNNNNNNNNNNNNNNNNNNNNNNNNNNNNNNNNNNNNNNNNNNNNNNNNNNNNNNNNNNNNNNNNNCGGCCCGCGCCGCACCUCACCGUCGACCGUCGCCGCGCCGCCCCGCCCCGCGCCGCACCUCGUCGUCGUCGUCGCCGUCCCCGACACCGUCGCCGUGAGCAAAAAUUUUGCUAAUUUAAUUUGAUGUUAGUAGUAGUUAAUUUAGAUGUGUAAUUAAUUGAGUUAGAUUUUGUUAGAUUUUUUUUAGAUUUUUUUGUAGUUCAUAGAUUUUUUUGAUAGAUGUGUAGUUCAUAGAUUUUUCUGUUAGAUUUUUUUUCAUAUUGUGUAAUUAAUUUGUUUAUAUUGUGUUAGAUUUUUUUCUGUUAAAAGAUCUUUUUGGUGAUAUUAUUGUUGAAUAUGCAUGUUUGUAUGUUCAUAUAUAUGUAAAAAUCGAAUAUGUCAAAUUUUUAUGAUUUUUUUCUGUUCAUAGAAUUUUUAUGAUUUUUUUCUGUUGUCAUUUUGUUCAUAGAAUUUUAAUAAAAUUUUUCUGUUGUAAUUUUGUUCAUAGAAUUUUAAUGAUUUUUUUGUUCAUAAUAUUUUCUUUGUCAAUUAUGUAUAUGUCCAUAUUAUGUAUGUAUAGGAAAAUUGUGCAUGAUCAAAGUCAUUUAUGAAUAUGUUCAUAUUUAGAAUAGAGGAAAAAGGAAAAAAAUAAGAAGAGAUAGUGUUAAAUAUAAUUAGUUAGAAAAAUAAUAGAACUAUAGUUAAACUAGUUUAUUUUUAGUAAGUACUACUUUAUUUUAUUUANNNNNNNNNNNNNNNNNNNNNNNNNNNNNNNNNNNNNNNNNNNNNNNNNNNNNNNNNNNNNNNNNNNNNNNNNNNNNNNNNNNNNNNNNNNNNNNNNNNNCUGUACGUGUGCUGAACGCGGAGGUGUCGUCCGUUCGGUACUAGAUCGUGGGACUGAUCGCGGGAUUAUUCGCGGGGCGGAUCGAGGGACGUGAGGACGUUCCACUACAUCAACCGCGUUCACUAACGCUUCUGCUGUACGAUCUACAAGGGUACGUAGAUCACUCAUCCCCUCUCGUAGAUGGACAUCACCAUGAUAGGUCUUCGUGCGCGUAGGAAAAUUUUUGUUUCCCAUGCGACGUUCCCCAACAACAACUACAAAAUUUCUAGUGAGGUCGCAAUUACAAAUGUUAAAAGAAAGGCGCAAGAGCAAGUUUUCAUAGUCGGUUCCAGAGUCAAUCAUUUAAAAAUGAUGGAUUUUAAUAAAGAAAUAAAUAAAUAAUGCAUGGGACAAGACCAGGACAGAUUAUGUGCGCCAGAGGUAUCAUGCCGGUGAUUACUGCUGAACUGAGGCAAAACUGAAAAACAACAAAGAAAAUAUUUUUUAAGACAACUCCUAUUGUUCUUCUUACGACAGGAUAUAGCUCAAGAAGGGAUAAUUCACUUCUGAGCACGGGCUCAAAUGCUCCCGCUGACGAAAAAAAUAAAAAGAAAUACUAAACAAAUCCAAAAAAAUCCAAAUUUUUUUUGAGUAGUAGACAAUUUGAUGCGCAAGGUACUCUCCAAAUUUCACAUCAUUUGGACAUUCGAGCAUCUCUCAGCAAAAAAGACAAAUUGGGUCAAAAAAAUUAUAAACAGUGAACCUUUUUCACAGACCCAGAUUUUGUCUUUUUUGUUGAGAGCGCCUCAUAUCCCCAAAUGAACUUAAAAUUGGAGCGGGCCUCGCGCAUCUAAUCAUCUACCACAUACAAAAAAAUUGGAUUUUUUUGAAUUUUUUUUAUUUGUUUUGAUUUUUUCCGUCGGCCCGGGUGCAGAUGCACCCGAGAGCCAAAACGCCGCACUCCUCAAGAAGAGCAUACUCCACAACAGUGUUAUGGCAACAAAAAUAUGUUUCAUAGGUCAGUACACUAAGACGUAUGUGCUUCUCUUAUGUAUUCGUAUGUUUGCUCUUGCAUAUGUGACAAUAAAAAUGAAAAGGCUAGCCUAAAAAACAACACGACAUGUGCAAACUUUGGGGAAAAGAAAAAAAUCCAACCAACAUAUAUGUGUUGGAAUUAUGCCCUAGAGGCACUAAUAAAUAUAGUUAUUAUUAUAAUUCCUGUAUCAAGAUAAUCGUUUAUUAUCCAUGCUAUAAUUGUAUUGAAUGAAGACUCAUUUACAUGUGGAUACAUAGACAAAACACCGUCCCUAGCAAGCCUCUAGUUGGCUAGCCAGUUGAUCAAAGAUAGUCAGUGUCUUCUGAUUAUGAACAAGGUGUUGUUGCUUGAUAACUGGAUCACGUCAUUGGGAGAAUCACGUGAUGGACUAGACCCAAACUAAUAGACGUAGCAUGUUGAUCGUGUCAUUUUGUUGCUACUGUUUUCUGCGUGUCAAGUAUUUAUUCCUAUGACCAUGAGAUCAUAUAACUCACUGACACCGAAGGAAUGCUUUGUGUGUAUCAAACGUCGNNNNNNNNNNUUUUUUGUUUCCCAUGCGACGUUACCCAACAAUAUGAUUAUGUCAUAUGAGUGAGACCAUAGAUAAAUCUCAGCUAGCUGAGUUCUAGGUACUCCCUAUAGUAAAUAUGAUCUUCUAAAUAUUCACGAACGCGUCCGGCCGUUGGUGAAAACGUUUAAUAGUGAAAACGAAUUUUUAAUAUUUUUUUAUUUAAGAGAUAAAAUAUUUUCAAGUAUAAAAACAAAAUAAAACUCGCUGAUGUCAUAUGUUUGAUCCGGCGAGAUGAAUGGUUAUGAAAACGUAUGAAUCAUAUUGCCUCGUGUCACACAUGUGAACGUUAUCAUUUAGGUAAAUAAAUACAAAUUUUAUACUAGAUCAAUUAUACUUAUUGGGGACUGCUACGCGUCCGCCGACUAAUCUUUUUAAAAGAUCGGCCGGCACGCCUAGCGUUAGAUUUGAUGCAUCGACGCCCUCAAUAUUUGCAACAGUGAUCUUCUUGCAGAAAAUUUCUGCAACAGAAGUCUUGUUACAUAUUUUUUUCUGCAACUAGAGUUUUAUUGCAGAUUUAUUUUCGCAACGGAGGUUUUGUUGCAGAUUUAUUUUUUGCAAUGAAGAUUUUGUUGCAGAUUUUUUUGUGUUCAUCUUUGUGCAUUUUUUUUGCAAUGAAGGUUUUCUUGCGGUUUUAUUUUUGCAACAAAGGCUUUGUUGCAAAAUUACUUUUUUGUCUCGUAUUUUUACAACAUAGCUAAUGUUACGAAAGAAACUUGCAACAUUGUUGAUGUUGCAAAAGUUGAAAAACCAUCAGAAACAAAACGGCAGGGAUACACGUAAUACGAGCGAGGCGACGGAUGAGAUCAAAGAAAUCAGCCGAUUGAGAAAAAUCAUUUCCCAUACUUAUUUUAGGGUGGAGGAUACUUUUUAAAACUUAUUUUAACUCCACACAUUUUGUGCUUUCAAUAUGCAUCAUUCAAAGCCACGUCAUCAAUUUUCAACCCUGUCUGACUUCAUUUGUAAUAUUUCAUGCAUUUAAUGAUUUUUUGAGCUAAAUGACCGUGAAAUUGAAAAGCACUACAAAUUAACUCUGAAAAUGCUGAAAUUUGGGAUGGUAUCAUCAUUUCAUCCACAUAACACGUGCUAAAAAGUUGACAAGGUUACGGCAAAAACUGGAUGCAUUCCCUGUACAUACUGAACAAUCAUUUUUAAAGUAUGAGGGUUUCGAACGAAAACUCAUGUGUUACAAAGACAUUCCUUUUUUUUUAAUUUAUUUUAACUCCAGACUUUUUGUGCGUUCAAUAUGCAUCAUUCAAAGGUACGUCAUCAAUUUUCAACCAGUUCUAACUUCUUUUGCUAUUUUUAAUGUAUUUAAUGAUUUUUUGAGCUAUAAAACAAAAAGAGCUAAACAAAAUAAUUUUUGAUUAAAACAUUCAUUUAAAAUAACCAAAAUAUAACAAAUUUAGUAUAAUGAUAAAACAUGCUAAUAUUAAACAGCGGGAAAAACAAUCACUCAAAAUCAAUUUUAAAGUAAAGUUAUUCACAAAGUAUCUAUUCACACAAAUUUCAAAAAAACCAAAUUUAAACUAUUCAAAUUUGAAAACUACUGACACUGACAGAAAGUUUAUAAUUUUUGUGACCUAAAGCAAAAAGAUCGAUUCAAAAACUAUGAAUAUUCUAUAAGUUAUUCCAAAUCUAAAAACAGAAUUUGUCAUGUUUAGAAAAACAAAACAAGUCAAAAAAAGAAAACAGAACUUUAGUGCUCGUUGGAGCCACCAACCUGGACUAAAGGUGACUUCCCGUGUGAAAUUUGCGCCGUCAAUAAGGAGACCUUUAGUGUCGGUUGGUGUAUGCAACAGGGACUAAAGAUCUCAUUCGAACCGGGACUAAUGUCUAUUGAGCUCCGUCCGACGUCCUAGCCGCUUGAACCAGGCCUAAUGCUCAUAUUAGUCCCGAUUCGUGACGCGACCGGGAGUAUUGCUUCGAUCCGGUUAGGACGAAAGCCAUGUUUUCUACUCCCUCCGUUCCUAAAUACAAGUCUUUUAAGAGAUUUCACUAAUGACUACAUACGAAGCAAAAUAUGUGAAUCUAUAUUCUAAAGUAUGUCUAUAUACAUUCGUAUGUAGUCCCCUAGUGAAACAUCUAAAAAGACUUAUAUUUAAGAACGCAGCGAGUAGGAGUGUAGUAAUGUAAUCAUUGGUGCUUGACUCUGGCGCGCGCGUCCGCCGGUGGGUGGACAUGCACAUGCACAUGCAGAUGGUGAUGAGGAGGUGCAGGUAGCCCGCCCGGCGUGGCGGUGGACGCGGGAGGCCUACUGUCUGCUUCGUUCGUUCGGCCGCCCGGAACACAUGCCAUGUCGUGUUAGCAGCUGGUUUAGCGCGUUGAAGACGGACGCGUCACGGAUUACAUUGUGCCAAAGCAUGUGAAGCUACCGCAAAAGGACGCGGCAGCUGGCGGACUUUGGCCAAAGCGUCAACGGACGGAAGUAGGCGACGAUGCCCUACAUACAUGAAUGUCAUAUCGAUCAGUUCGUUACACUAUACUAUAAAAAUCAGCACCACCAAACGGCAUUAUUGGUGGAGGAGACAGCACAAAGGUGUGUAUAUAUAGACCGAUCAUACAAUUUGCGGUGCCCAAAAAGGUUACUAGAUAUAUAUGCCACCGGCGGAACUUCCGUUCAUUAUUGGGGUUGGCACGGUCGGGUAUAAAGAUGUAGCGUAUGCAUGCAUGAUACAGCAUGCUAGCUGUUCCCUUCUUGGACAAGCAAGCUUACGUACGUGUCCAUAUAUCAAACAUGCCGGCUGUGCAGCACCAGUGCAUUGCGUAUUUGCGUUAUACUUAUACGGUAGCAUAAAGAGUGGCGUGCCUGAAAUGCUAUGGCGGACAUGUUACAUGUGGUUCCACACAUGCAUCGGAAUGAACUGUAGAAAUCUAAAAAAUGACAAACUUUCCUAAAAAAUGUCACAUGUGGUUCCACACAUGUGUUUUCCUACUUUACUGUUUACUUGGGCGCAUGCGCAUCCAAGAACCCAAACUUUUGCAAUGGUGUUGCUCAGUACUAUAUUCUCAUUUUAAACAUUGUACAAUUGCAAAUACUCAUAUACACACACAAACAUUCACUUUGAUGAAUGCAUACAUACAAACUCUAUCCUUAAACAUCUUCUUUCACUAACUAAACAUUACAGGAAAGUCAGAAAUAAAUUCUACCACAAAAGAUCUAACCACCUAAGCUCCGCUCAGUUCACGUUCAGUAGUACUAUAUUCCAUUAUUCUUUAAACCUUCAUGAUUGAUUUGCUACACAAGUAUUUCCUUCAUUCCAUAGCCGCCGCUCAAACGGAUGUAUCUUGCAUUGAAAAAUAUGUCGAGAUACAUCGAUUUUAGUGAAAAGUUGUAUGGAACGAGGGAGGGGGUAGUACUAUUGUUGUAUCCGAAAGGCGCAAUAAAAAUUACAUGCUUCUUUUCUGUAGGAAAAAUGUACAAACAAUCGCCCACACGCUGCCUCAGGGCUGCUUUUUAAUUACAAAAUUCACAAAGAAGAACAAGAAUCAUGUACUGUAUAAAAAAGGAUAUCAAUCAAUGGGUGAAUGCCCGGCCGUCUGGAUCAGUAGCGGCUGCACUCGGCGGGGAACCCCUGUGGGAACCUGUAGCCAUCUGCGCAGUAGUUGUAGCGCAUGUAAUUUUGCUCCGCCCACUUGACGGUGCCCCACUCGGAGCCGUCGAGCUGCCUGUUCAUCCACCCGUCGCUGCCGGCAUGGCAAGCGCCGCCGCUGGCGCAGGCGUUGGCGUAGUAGUUUUUGUACAAGACGUUGAAGGGUGCGUUGGACCAGUCGAUGGGGACCUUGCCCUUCUCGGUCGCCCAGUAGCUGCCGUCCCACAGCGUGGCGUGCAGCCUCAUGGGCUUGGAGCCAGCGUAGGGGAUGCCGGCGAAGCGCUUGAAGGACCGGAUGAAGAGGUUGUCCACCUUGAAGAGGAUGUUCUCCGGGUUCCAGAUGAUGGUGUAGGUGUGGUAGUCGGCGGCGGGGUCGAACCAGAGGUCGAACUGGUGCUCCUUCUUGCCGUCGCCGUUGGCCCACACGUUCGUGUUGAGCACCACCGGAUGGCCGCUGGAGUUGCCCAUGAACUCCAUGUCGAUCUCGUCGCGCCACUCGUCGUCACCGGAAGAAAGCUGCCAUUAAUAGUAAACGCUGGUUCAGCUCAAGAUCGGUAGAGGGAGGUUUUUGUCUAUGUCAAUCGGAGGCUGAUCAACGGAACAAAUAUAUAAGUGGACUUACGUAGAAGCAGGAGACGGUGCCGGCGGAGUUUCCCGGGAUGAGCUUCAUCUGGAUGCUGAACUCGCCGUAGAGGUACUGCUGCUUGGAGUUGAAUCCGGCGGCGCCGGAUUGCUGGUUGAGGUUGAGCAUAACCACCUGCUGGCCCGAGGCGUCGUAUCCGGUGCGGACGGUGCCGUCGGUGUUGAACCUUUUAUCGAGCCAGGACUUAGCUGAGGCGACCUGCGAGAGCGCCAGGGCGACGGCGAGCACAGCCAGAAAGCGCUGUGCCAUGGUGGAUGUCCUGGUGGACUAGAGAGCUUCUUGGAAUCAAUUGAGCUCCAAAGUGGAGUGCUUUGUGGUGUGUUGUGUGUGGUGGGAAGAAGCACGGGAGAUGUCGCGGUUUUAUAGCGCGUGGUGCUGCUGCUGUGCCUCUGCUUCUUCAUGCAUGAGGGCACCUUUUUUUCUUCUUUUGCAUGCAUGCAUGCAUUAUCGAUCUUUUUUUCUUUUUUGAAACUUCAUGCAUUAUCGAUCUGGUGGGCGUGAAGGUCGUUGCAAUUAUUCGGGUGCACAUGGGUACAAUCUGCCAUAAUCUCUCGGGUGUUCAUACGUACUUCAUCAGUGGUUGAUAAGGUGCCUUAAUAAAGUAGCACUUACAUUACUGUGGGACCCAGAAAUUGGGUGGUGGAACCGGCCACUGAGUAAGAUCAUCUCCGAUAAAUGAUGUAUGCUCUGAUGCUCCAAAUCGGUGAUGUAUAAAUUUGAAGCAUUAAAAAGUCUUUUUUACAUCUUCGAAAAAUGCACAACUCCAACAAAUGAUCUAAAAUAGAGAUUUAUAAAAGAGCAACUUCAACAAAUGAUCCAAAACAAGGAUGUAAAAUUCUGAAAAUGACCAACUACUACUUUAUAGUUCAAACAUCAAAUUCAACAUAGUUUCAUACAUAAAUUCAACUAGUACUUAUUCGAACUACUAGAUGAAACUACUCCUCAUCGUCGGAGCUACAAACUUCUUCCAGAACUCGUCCUUGUCCGGGUCUUCGCACCCCUCGUCCUCCUCGUCAGAGCCACCCUAGUCCUCAUCCGAUGACUUGAUAGGGAUCACAGUUGAGGGGCCGUCCUCGUCCUCCUUCUGCACCCCCUUCUUUUCCGCCUCGACGUCACACUUCCAGUAAUGCUCCAGCUCGUUGGGAGUGACGACAACCGCCGAUCUCUUCUUCGCCUUCUUCGCUGGCAUUUACUCCAUCCGGAUGCCCUGCGGCAUGAGCCAUUCCGCCACUGCACGGGUCUCGACCUCCGGGAAUUUGAGGACCGUCUUCGGUCGUCCGGCACGCCACACCGCCACGUCAUAGGCAUGCGCGGCCUCAUCGACGGUGGGAUACGUCUAGAGCCACCAACGCGGCGCAUCGUCGGAUAACUCCACUCCGAAGUUCCCGGAGGGCUUCACCCUCACGUCGAAGAAACCUAACUUGCCCUUCGGCGUCUUCUUCGGCGCCAUCGGGAAGCGGGUGACGGGCAAACGGGGAGCGAGUUGGGGCGGCAGCCGAGCGGGGAGCGGUCGGUGGCGUGCGGCGCGGGGCGGAAGCGGGCAGUAUGGGGCGGCGGGUGCGGUGCGGGCAAGGACGGGCGGCGACGUAUUGUGCGGGCGGGGGCGGGCGGAGGCCAGAGCAGAGGCGAAAGCAGCNNNNNNNNNNNNNNNNNNNNNNNNNNNNNNNNNNNNNNNNNNNNNNNNNNNNNNNNNNNNNNNNNNNNNNNNNNNNNNNNNNNNNNNNNNNNNNNNNNNNUAAGCAUCAUGGGCAGCAGAAGUAGCAUCAUCAAGCACAGGCAACAUAUCAACAUUUCUAGGAGGAGGUGAAGUCGCAAACUUACUCAUAACUUAAGGUGAAUCAAGUGCAGAGCUAGAUGGCAGUUCCUUACUUCUCCUCGUAGUGGAAGGCAGGAUUUUAGUUCUUGGAUCUUUCGGAUUCCUCAUAGUGGACAGCAGACGUCAAUCCCAAGUGACUCAGAGAAUAUAGCUGUGCUUCCCCAGCAACGGCGCCAGAAAAAGGUCUUGAUAACCCACAAGUGUAGGGGAUCGCACCAGUUUUCGAGCAUAGAGUAUUCGACCCAAAUUUGUUGAUUCACUCACAAGGGGAAGCUAAAGAAUAUUCUCAAGUAUUAGCAGCUAAAGUAGUAUGAUAGCAACGGUGCCAGAAACAGUGUCUGCGAGCAAAGUAUGAGUAGCAAAGUAGUAUGAUAGCAACGGUGCCAGAAACGAUCAGUUGACAAGGCAGAUUAUUCCUAACUGUUGUAUCAAUGUCGCCAGAAAAAGGUACGUUGACGAGUAACUAAUCUUCCCCGACAACAGUGUCGUAAAAGAUCUUGCAACAAGUAACAGCGGAGUAGCAAGGAACAACAGUAGCAGCAACAACAAAGUAACAGCAGUAGCAACAGUAGCAGCAAAGUGACAGCAGUAGCAACAGUAGCAGCAAAGUGGCCCAAUCCCUUUUGUAACAAGGGACAAGCCUAGACAAAGUAACGUAGCGAGGACCAGUAGUAAAAGACCCGUAGGCAGUGGAUCGAUGAUGGAUGAGUAUUACGGAUGUGAAUCAUCAUGUAAUAGCUAUAACACGGAGAUAUAUGUAACUAGCUCCCGUUUGUCAAUCUAAUGCAGGCAUGUAUUCCGUAUGUAGUCAUACGUGCUUAGGGAAAAGAACUUGCAUGACAUCUAUUGUCCAUCUCUCCCGUGGCAGUGGGGUCCUAAUGGAAACUACGGGAUAUUAAGGUUCUCCUUUUAAUAAAGAACCGGACCAACGCAUUAACACACAGUGGAUACAUGAACUCCUCAUACUAUAGUCAUCUCCGCGAGUGGUUCCGGCUAUUGUCAUUCCGGGGUGGCCGGGUCAUAACACAUAGUAGGUGACUACAACUUGCAAGAUAGGAUCNNNNNNNNNNUCGUAGGCAGUGGAUCGGUGAUGGAUGAGUAUUAUGGAUGUGAAUCAUCAUGUAACAGCUAUAACACACAGAGAUAUGUAACUAGCUCCCGUUCGUCAAUCUAAUGCAGGCAUGUAUUCCGUAUGUAGUCAUACGUGCUUAGGGAAAAGAACUUGCAUGACAUCUAUUGUCCAUCCCUCCCGUGGCAGCGGGGUCCUAAUGGAAACUACAGGAUAUUAAGGUUCUCCUUUUAAUAAAGAACCGGACCAACGCAUUAACACACGGUGAAUACAUGAACUCCUCAUACUAUAGUCAUCUCCGGGAGUGGUUCCGACUAUUGUCACUCCAGGGUUGCCGGGUCAUAACACAUAGUAGGUGACUACAACUUGCAAGAUANNNNNNNNNNAGGGAUAUUAAGGUUCUCCUUUUAAUAGAGAACCGGAACAAAGCAUUAGCACUUAGUGAAUACAUGAACUCCUCAUACUAUGGUCAUCUCCGGGAGUGGUUCCGGCUAUUGUCACUCCGGGGUUGCCGGGUCAUAACACAUAGUAGAUGACCACAACUUGCAAGAUAGGAUCAAGAACACACACAUAUUGAUGAGGACAUAAUAGGUUCAGAUCUGAAAUCAUGGCACUCGGGCCCUAGUNNNNNNNNNNUAAAACACACAUAUAUUGGCGACAACAUAAUAGGUUCAGAUCUGAAAUCAUGGCACUCGGGCCCUAGUGACAAGCAUUAAGCAUAGCCAAGUAGUAGCAACAUCAAUCUAGAACAUAGUGGAUACUAGGGAUCAAUCCCCGUCAAAAACUAACUCGAUUACAUGAUAGAUCUCAUCCAACUCAUCACCGUCCAGCAAGCCUACGAUGAGAUUACUCANNNNNNNNNNNNNNNNNNNNNNNNNNNNNNNNNNNNNNNNNNNNNNNNNNNNNNNNNNNNNNNNNNNNNNNNNNNNNNNNNNNNNNNNNNNNNNNNNNNNAAGAAAAACUUUGACGAACUCUGUUUGAUCUUGUUGUUGCAACUAUGUCUAACUGAUAUCCAGAGUUUCAGCAAGAUCACAAGCAAACCACAUAAGCAAAUGACAUCUAGGUCUCAUGGUAAACUCAUAUCAAUGGCAUAAUCAACUAGCGAGCAAAUAAUAAUAAGCCUCAAAUGUCAACACUUCAAUCAAAACAACAUGAAGCGGUACGAAUAGAUGGUAUCUCGCUACCCCUUUCUAAGACCGCAAAACAUAAAUGUAGAGCACCUUCAAAGACCAAGGGCUGACUAAACAUUGUAAUUCAAGGCAAUGAAGAUCCAGUCACAGUCAUACUCAACACAGUUAAAAGCAAAGCAGAAAAAUGACAGAGGUGCUCUCUAAUUGGUGCUUUUGUAAGAGGAGGAUGACUCAACAGGUGCCAGAGCUCAAGCUUUGAAAACAGAGAUAAUAAUUUUGGGUGGCAUGCUUUCAUUGUCAACGCAAUGACUAAGAGUUCUCAACAUCUUCCACGAUGCACAUGCUAUAGGCGGUUCCCAAACAGAAAAGUAAAGUUUUGACUCCCCACCACCAAUCAAUCACACUCCACGGCUAGCCGAAUCCUCGGGUACCGUCCAUACCAACAUCAAUUCUAGGGGAGUUUUGUUUGCAAUUAUCUUUUCGAUUUGAGCAUGGAACUGGGAAUUCCAAUUACCGGCCCCUUUCUCAUGAAUGAUAGUGAAUAAACACAUAUCGAGGAUAACACGACUAGCAUGGAAGAUACCAAUAGCCCCAUGUCACCACAUGAGUGGUUCGGGCAUGCAAAACAGAUUAUUUCUUGAAGAUUUAGAGAAUGGCACAUGCAAAUUUACUUGGAACGGCAGGUAGAUACCGCACAUAGGUAGGUAUGGUGGACUCAUAUGGAACAACUUUGGGUUUAUGGAAGGGGAUUCACAAGCAGUAUUCUCGCUUAGUACAAGUGAAGGCUAGCAAAAGACUGGGAAGCGACCAACUANNNNNNNNNNACGACAACAGUCAUCAAUAUGCAUUGAAAUUAAUCAACGUUGAGUGCAAGCAUGAGUAGGACAUAAAUCACCAUAAACAUGAAUAUCAUAGAGGCUAUGUUGAUUUUGUUUCAACUACAUGCGUAAACAUGCGCCAAGUCAAGCCACUUGAAUCAUUCAAAGGAGGAUACCAUCCUAUCAUACUACAUCAUANNNNNNNNNNGCAACAACAGUCUUAAAAAUGCAUUGGGAGUAACUAACAUUGAGUACAAGCAUGAGUAGGACCUAAAUCACCAUGAACAUGAAUAUCAUAGAGGCUAUGUUGAUUUUGUUUCAACUACAUGCGNNNNNNNNNNNNNNNNNNNNNNNNNNNNNNNNNNNNNNNNNNNNNNNNNNNNNNNNNNNNNNNNNNNNNNNNNNNNNNNNNNNNNNNNNNNNNNNNNNNNACAGUUAGGACCCGACUUUGGAAACUUGCAAUUAUGACCCGACUUUAGAAACUUGCAGUUGCGACCCGACUUUGAAAACUUGCAGUUGCGCCCCGACUUUGGAAACUUACAGUUGCGACCCGACUUUGGGAACUUGCACCCGACUUUAGAAACUUGUAGUUGCGACCCGACUUUGAAAACUUGCAGUUGCGCCCCGACUUUGGAAACUUACAGUUGCGACCCGACUUUGGAAACUUGCAGUUGCGACCCGACUUUGCAAACUUACAGUUGCGACCCAACUUUGAAAACUUACAGUUGCGACCCAACUUUGGAAACUUAUGGUUGCGACCCGACUUUGAAAACUUGCAUUUGCGACCCGAUUUUAAAAACUUGUAGUUGCGACCCGACUUUAAAAACUUGCAGUUGCGACCUAACUUUGAAAACUUACAGUUGCGACCCGNNNNNNNNNNACAAACUUGCAGUUGCGACCCGACUUUGAAUAUACUUGCAGUUGCGACCCGACUUUGAACACCUGCAGUUGCCACCCGGCUUUGAAAACCUACAGUUGCGACUCGACUUCGAAUACUUGCAGUUACAACCACGAUAUGAAAACCUGCAGUCGCGGCCACAUUUGAAAAAUGGUGUUCUCGUGCCAUUUUUGAAAACCCCGCGGUUGCGAUUUCAUCUAAAAUCUAAUAGUUGCAACCCGAGUUGACAGAUUGAAAUUACAACCCAAUUUGAAAAACUAGCAGCUGUGACCAGAGUUAAAAACUUUGGUAGCACAAAAGUUUUAACGGAAAAACUCAUGAAAAAGCAUUUCUACGAAAAAGGAGGCAUGGGCUUUGAUAUCAUUAGAAAAAAUACACAAAAUAUAAAUAAAUAAGAGGGAUAAAAUAGAAAAUAAAUUAAAAAUGAAAAUAUGAAACAAAAAAUAUAGAAAAUGAAUAAAUGGAAGAGAAAAAUAAAAAUAUUGAAAUCCCUUAAUAAUCAAUUGUCCAAUCUAUGGUAACAAAUGAAUAUUUAUCUAAAAACAAAAUGAAUACACUAAUUUAGUUAAUGGGAGAAGAUUGGAAUUGUAUUCUACUACAUAUUAGUGAAAUAAGAAAAAAUAAACAGCAAUUAAUCAUGAGAGAAAAAUAUAUGAAAAGAAAGUCGUUACAAAGAGCUGAUCCUAGAAGCUACUGUCAACAGAUGACACUAACAUGAUUUAAAAAUGAAAACAAGUUACAAUAACAUGCAAUUAGCACAUCAACGAUUCACAUCAUUGGAUCAUAUCCUCUUUCCCUUUUUUUCGCUGAGUAAAAAAGAAGAAAAAGAAAAAGAAGAAUAAAAGCCCAUAUAACCUAGCUCCAUAAACGGAAAACAAAAAAGGUACUACUCAUGCACAUGGGCCACGUCCUAUACGGAACUAGAGCCGCCUUAUUCGGACAAAACCAAGGAAAAAAAUAACGCCCUAUACAAAAUAGUAUUGUCUCUAAAAAUAUAUUAUUAGCGUGUUAGUAGCAAAGAUAUUAUACACCGAUCAAUUUAACGAGACAAUUCUCUAUGCGCGCUAUAGCAUACUAUUAGCAACGGUAUAACGUGUGUUUUUUCGUGGACAAAACAUACAACAACUACAAUCUGUUAUGUGACGAUCGGACGGUAAAACAAAAAAAAAUAUCAUUACAAAGUGCUAUAGUAAAGAAAUGACAAAACAUAAAAGUAUUACAUUCGUAUCUCUGACUCCAUGGUUUCUCAUUCGGCUAGGAAAUAUGAAAAAAAGAAAAGCCCACAUAGCCCAGCCCAAUAAUCAAACAAACAAAGGACAAAGAAAAAGAUUCAACGCACAUGGGGCUGCCCUGUACGUGACCAGCCAUGCAUUUUGUUACGCGAAAAAAAAUGUUUCGCACGAAUCUUAAAACCCAGAUCUAAUGGUUAUAACGGUGAAUGAGACCAUAACAAAACUCAUCUAGCUGAGUUUUAGCAAAACCGUUUACUAUAUCUGCAGUUGUAGAUGUUCUAACAUUCUCGUUCUUGCAUCUGGCGUAUCCGAAUGCGGGCGGAGAUGCACAUGCAGGUGGUGAUAGCAGGCAGCCCGCCCGCCNNNNNNNNNNNNNNNNNNNNNNNNNNNNNNNNNNNNNNNNNNNNNNNNNNNNNNNNNNNNNNNNNNNNNNNNNNNNNNNNNNNNNNNNNNNNNNNNNNNNGGGAGAGGAUCCACCUAUAUAAGCGGGACUUCGAAAAUUUCCAACCCAAUUCGUCCAUUUCUCUUCUUCUUCCUCUCGCUCUCCUGCCCGGCGCGGCACAACAACGAACUAACCGACGCCGUCAGGCUGCCUGCCGUCCUGCUCGCCGCGGCCUGCUGUCCUCCUCGCCGCCGCGCCGUCCUCCUCGCCGUCGGCCGUCCUCCUCGCCGUCGCGCCGUCCUCCGCGCCGUCCUCCUCGCCGCGUGCCGUCGACACCUCCGGCCGGUAAGCCCCCCGCCCCCUCCUCCCCAACACUCCGGCCAGUAUAGAAGAAAAGAAGAAAAAGGAGAAGAGAAGAAGAAAAAUGAGAAGAAAGGAAGAAAAAGGAGAAGAAAAGAAGAAAAAGGAGAAGAAAAGAAGUAAAAAGAAAAAUAUUUUUUUGUCAUUUAAUUCCUAUUGUUAUUAGGUUUGUGCUAGAUUAUUAGGGUUAGUAAUAUUUAGAAUUAGGUUAGGGUUACAAGAAGAAUAAAUAUGAACAAAAAUAAGAAAAUAAGAUUAGGAAAAAUGAAAAUAAGAAGAGGAGGAGAAGAAAAGAAGAAAAAGUGUAUAUUGUAUAGUGUAUAUGCUUAAGUGUAUAGUAUAUAUAGUGUAUAGUGUAUAAGAAGAGGAGGAAUUUUGCUAUAGUGUAUAUAGUGUAUAGUGUAUAAGAAAAGAAGAAAAGAAGAGGAGGAGAAGAGAAGAAAAGAAGAGGAGGAGAAGAAAAAUGAAAAUAAGAAGAGGAGGAAUUUUGCUAUUGUAUAGUGUAUAUGCUUAAGUGUUAAUAGUGUUUCUUAGAUUAUUGCUUAAUUUUGCUAUUGUAUAUGCUUAAGUGUUAAUAGUUUAAUUUUGCUAUUGUAUAUGCUUAAGUGUUAAUUGUUUAUUUUUAGCAAGAAAAUUAAUAGAACUAGUUUAUUUUUUAGUUCAUUUUACGAUGCCUAUCCCGCAUCCUCGUCGUCGACUCGGCGGAGGACACCUGCUUGAUCAGAGGGCCCUGUCCGGGACUGGGCUCCGCCCGGCUGGUAUUGGGAGGUGCUACCUUCCGGGGGGUGUAGGUUGGUGAGGAGCCAGCCCGUCGUUGACCCGAUCCUUGUUUGGUGGCGGUCGCGUGGGCCAGUGAGGGUGCCGAGGCUUCCGGACACCGCGGAGGUGGUACGUCACCGUGUCAGCGAGGAGGAUGAGUACGUCCGUCACUACAUGGUUGCGUUGGAGGGCAGGUUCGAGCAUACCUGGCAGGUUCUUCGGGGAUCUAACUGGAGCUAUGAUCCUGUGAUGGUUCCUUCUCUUUGGGUGUCCACCGCCCGCGCCGAUACCCGUCGGGCGCUACGGUUCUAGAUGUAUUAGUGAUGCUAUAUGUAUGAUAGUAUUCGAGGAGUAUUAGUGAUAAUAUUCGACGAUGUACGGACAAAAGUGAUGAUGUGCUUAUAAUUGAAUGCAUGCUAAUUUGAAUACUACUUUAUUUUACGAUUUGGUUUUGCUUAUUGAAUGCUCAAAUUGGAAAAAUACUCCUACUUUGAAUACUAUGCAGAAAUCUAGGAGUCCUGGGUGGAGUCACGACCCGGGACUUAAGUUGUUUUGGAACGGAGUUCCUGAUAGAAUAAUUCUUUUUUGGUACAAAGGUUAAGAGAAUCCUUUUUUUGCAGAACUAUGGAUCCACAUAUCAGGAACCUCGAAGAGGAAGAACUUCUCGAAGAUAUAAUCGAAGACGGCCCCGACGUUGAACCAGCUGAAUCUCCGUCGUCAUAUCUAAACCAGGACGUUGGAAUGGAGGUCGAGCGACACGAAGAUGAAGCCGAUGGGGCAGGAGAUAGGUCCAAUGACGGAGAAGGUGAUAGCUCCACUGAUGGAGAAGCCGUUGAAGAGGAGAAGUCCGGCGAGGUAUACAUAUGAAGUUAGACAAUCACUUGUAAUAUGUGAAAAAUAUUGGAGAUAGCUCUAUAUUGUAUACAUAUACAUUCAUUUGACGAAUGUUUCUCCCUCUUAGGCCUCCACAUCGAGCAAAACUACGAAACGAGGCCCGACUAGAAAGUUGGAUGCACGGACGCAUUACACAUUUGAGGUGAUAUUUCCUACGGGCGAACCCAAGCUUCCUAAGAAUGCUGCUGACACAUUCAAGAAGCAAUGCGGAGUUCUUGUUAGGGAUCACGUCCCGAUCAGCGUUCGGGAGUGGAACAAGUGCAAAGGGGCAGCCGAUAGCGACUAUGUCGCCGAAAGGUACAAAGAUAAUCUUUGGAAUGAUCUCAUGUCACAUUUCAACCUGCCAGAAUGUGAGAAUGAAUACGUCGCAGAAAAACUGAGGGCCAAAGUCAAGCAGUGGACUCUGAAGAAGAUGGCUGAACUGUUCCAUAGCUGGAAGAAGAAGCUAUGGAAAAACUAUCUGAAGACACAGAAAGUGCUAGUAUUCGAGGGUUAUCUAGCCAAGCAGGCGAAUCACUGGAAGGCAUUUCAAGAGUACAAGGAGUCAGAAGAUGCCCAGGCAUUAUCAGAAAUGAACAAGAUAAAUGCCGACAAGAAGAAAUAUCACCACAAGCUGGGGCCAGGGGGCUAUGAGACUGCCAUCCCAAAGUGGGAUAAGAAAUAGCAAGAUCUGAUAGAUAAGGCAUCGUACCUGAACCACUCCGUGAUGAGUGGGAAUUGAGAGCAAGAAAUUGGUUCCUUGCGCAUGGUGGGUCGUACGACGAAACAACAGGGGACCUCAUCUGCAAUGACGAUCUUAGGAUACCCAGGGAGAAUUGGAAAAGGAUAGUGAAAGAAAUUAAGGAUGGGCAAAGAAAGUUCACUGCAGAUAGAGAUAAAGAUUUGCUCACACUGGUCCUCGGCAAUGACGAACAUGGAGGACGAAUGCGAGGCUUCGGUCCUUCUUACCCGUGGUGGCUUGGGUUUGCCAGAGACCAAGACACUUACAGAAGCCGAGAGAGAGCAAAGAAGCGGCAGCAGGAUGAGGAGAAUGACAAGUUCAACCAGUUGCUUGCCAGGAUUAACGAGCAACAGAAGCAGAUUGAUGAGCUUAGAGGAGUACCGCGCCACGAAGAUCUUGCACUUGAUAUUACCGGCGCCCCAUCUAAGCGGAAAAGCAGUGUGGCUGAAUCUGAGGCCCCGCCCGACGAUGAACGAAGAAUGAUAGAGGGCGGUCCCGGCUACCCCCGUGGAUGGAAUCAAGGAGUCAACAUCAUGUGAACUCCAUGAGAAAUUCAAGAACAUAUCCAUGAAGGUGGCAGUCGGAUAAGCUUUACCUUCUGGCCCUGAUGCACACUGGCAUGGCCGUGAGAUUCCAGCUGGCUUUGCUAAAGUCGGGGUGGAUGAAAUCAUGACGGGGUUUAAUGAUAUGGAGCUCGACAUAGUUGGACCCGAAGAUGAGAGGACACUCGGAGAAGUACUGGGUGGAGUCAUCCUAUGGGACAAGAACUACAUCAAGCUUCCAGGCUCAGCCCCAAGGACAACACCGCCUCCGAGUCGUCGCAGGUCACCUACACCUCCAUUACCUUCAAGCCCUCCACAUGACGUCGGCCAGCACAACACGAGUCCAUCUCGAUCACCGCCGCCGGACUUGGGUCGUCCGUCUCUGCCGCCGCCCGCACAUGAUACUAAGCGGAAGCGUGCCAGCAAGAACGCUCCGUCGAUGAUUUCUAAGAGAAGGAGCUCCCUAAAGCGCAAACUGUCGGCCCUCCCAAAGGUACCUCAUGCUAAUCUUCCUAUCAGACCUUAUGAUCGUACCCCCAAGGAAAACGCCAGGAUAGCAAAGGAACAACAUGAUGCACAGAUGAAAAGGAAGGAACCCGAGCCCCGCCCGGAAUACACCGAGAAGCACAUAGCAUGGGCAAAAGACUUCAUAACCACUCCAUCACAGUAUGACUUACACUAUAAGCCUGAUGACUAUACACGCACAUUGCAGAAGGAAGUGAAAAAGAGCAGCUCACGUGCAAGUGCAAGUGGGAGCAAAUCAAGUUCAACUACAAGCAAAAAAAAUCAGACGUUCCACAGCUUGGACAACAUGCCAAAUAGUCGAUCCCACCCCUCAAGGUGUUAACCGAGAAUGUUCCCCCUCUGGUGCAGGGGCAAGCUUUUGAAAGAGCAAAGGAGUUGGCGGGUGAAUGUGGUAUCUCGGUUGAAGAUUUGCUGGCUUCCCAAGACGACAUGAUACCCAAGGCUGUGGUAGCCCCUAAGCCACAGUUUGUCAUGGGAGAGCCUUUGGUCAGCAAAGAUGAUCUCCCAACAAAUAUGCGUUACUUGCACAAAUGUUACUUAAGUGAAUCAAAGAAUGGGAGAACAAUGAUCGUGCUGAGUGUCCCACGGGAGUACUACGGCCGCUCCGAAGAAAUCCAUAUCGACUUUGAUGAACUCUUCCAGAUGUACAAUGGCGACGCCCUCGACAAAUCGCUUAUGAGUUGCUAUUGUCUGUAAGUUUUUUAAUUCGUUGUCUACAUAUAACUUGUUUAGUUAUUUCAAUUCAUUGUCUAUAUAUAACUUGUACUCUAUUAUGCAGAAUGAAGAUUCUGGAGUGUAAAAGUAAGAGCAUCCUAAAUAUUGGGUUUAUUGACCCAGAUAAAAUACAUAUAGCGACGCUAACUGACAAACCCAAGGAGACGGAGGAAAAUCUUCUAAGGUUUCUAACAGAUCAAAAUUUCUGUGACCACAUACUGUUUCCAUACAACUUCAGGUGAGGGUCUGUCACGCCCAAGAUGCGACCCUAUCCUCAAUUUGGCACGAAGGCCUCGUCAGGGAUAGAAGCGCAUCUCGUCGUGUCGCAAGAAUGGAUAUCGUUACAAGUACAUGUACUGAAAAGAAGAGAUAUAUAAAGAGUUGGCUUACACUUGCCACAAGCUACAUCAGAGUCACAUCAGUACAUUACAUGAACAUCAAGAGUAAGAGCAGGGUCCGACUACGGACGAAAACAAACGACAAAAGAAGAACGACGUCCAUCCUUGCUAUCCCAGGCUGCCGGCCUGGAACCCAUCCUAGAUCGAUGAAGAAGAGGCAACUCCAAAUGAACAAUCAAUGCGCUCGCAUCAAGUAACCUCUACCUGUACCUGCAACUGGUGUUGUAGUAAUCUAUGAGCCACAUGGGAAUCAGCAAUCUCAUUUCCAAAGGUAUCAAGACUAGCAAAGCUUAAUGGGUGAGGCAUGGUUAAGUGGUGAGGUUGCAGCAGUGGCUAAGCAUAUAUUUGAUGGCUAAACUUACGAGUACAAGAACUAAGAGGGGGGAAGAUCUACGCAUAACGGACGUGAACUACUGAUGAUCAAAUGAAUGAUCCUGAACACCUACCUACGUCAGACAUAACCCCACCGUGUCCUCGAUCGGAGAAGGAACUCACGAAAUAGACAGUCACGGUUACACACACAGUUGGCAAGUUUUAAUUAAUUAACUUCAAGUUAUCUAGAACCAGUGUUAAACAAAGUUUCCAUGUUGCCACAUAACCGCGGGCACGGCUUUCCGGAAGAUUUAACCCUGCAGGGGUGCUCCAACUAGUCCAUCAAAAAUUACCACAAGCCGCAUAGAAAUCCUCAAUCACGAAGCUCGCGAUCUCGUCGGAUUCCCUAGUGGAAAACCUCAACUCUGAGAUUACCCAAAGCAUCACCGGAAUCCCGAUGCACAAGAUAUUCCGUCAAAGGUAAAACUAAUCCAGCAAGGCCGCCCGACAUGUCGACGUACCCGAUAGGAGCCGCGUAUCUCGUUCUCAGGACACGACGGAUGGAACUAGCUACGAGUGCCAAACCUCGAGUUUCCUCGCGGUGGCCCCGCAGGCAGACCGUUUGGGACCAACACCAUCAGCACUGGCCCCCCUGUUUAUGUAAAAUUACUCCUCGGGUAGCGCUAACUCCCUAUGCAUUUCAAUUUAACAGAAUUAUUAUGUUGGGCAAAAGUAGAACCAAAGUUGGGCCUUGCCAGACCAGCUUUAAUCUAAAACGAAUUAUCAAGGGGUCCCCAUAACAACCCCGAUCGUGUUAGGAGCGCUCGUUUAUGGAACAUAACACCGGUAGCCGAAACUAAGGGGGCAAAGGUGGAACAAAACACCAGGCUAGAAAGGCCGAGCCUUCCACCUUUUACCAAGUUUAUAGGUGCAUUAAAUUAAAUAACAUUUAAUAUGGUGAUACAACAAGGAACCCAUGCUUUCACAUGGAAGCAACUGCACCUGCAACUAGCAACGCUAUCAACAGGGUUAAGCAAGCAGUAACAUAGCCAAUCUGUGGUUUGCUAGGUUGACUAGGUUGAAGGUUUCAUGGCAUUGUUGAGAGGCUGAUAUUUAACAUGUGGUAGGCAACGAGACAUAAGCGAUAGAAACGGUAAUACUAGCAUGGCAAUGAUAGUAAUGGUAUCUGGGGAAAUGAUCAUCUUGCCUGAGAUCCCGCUUGGAAGAAGAAUGCCUUCGUGAAGCUGACGAACCGACAUAGUCGAACGAGUCCUCACAUCCGACACGCUUGCGGAACUCUAUCGAGACGGAGGAAACCGGAAACAAGCAUCAACACACGAUAUACACCACACGAUGCAAGACACACAUGAUGCAUGAACGGUCUAAUGCAAGGCAUGACAAUCACAACAAUCAAACACUACACAUUAAGUGAAGCUCGAUAUGCAACGGGUUGCAUAUCGACGCAACUCCACAUUUAAUUGUUUAGUUCACUCCCGUUAAUUUACACAGCAAUAUUUAAAAUGUUGUUAACAUGGCAAGGGGGUGAAGCACAAAUUAAUCUACCUAGCUAGGAAUUUUAAAUGAAACCGGAAACGUCAUAUAGCAUCUCCGAUAUGACCCCAUGCGUUAAAUCUUAAUUCUGCCCAGAUUUGUCCUAACCACAUUUUAGGUUUGUAAAACAACGAAAAAAAGUGGAGCAUGAGAUUCUACACGCCGUUCUACUCGAUUUACAUAUAUAGAACAUCUCCAACGGAGCUACGGUUAAAUAACUACGACCUAAACCGUUUCUAUUGUGUCGACACGCAAACCGAUGCAAACAGCACACUAAACAGUUCUAAUUAUGCAUGAGAGUUGGAAAGUAUUAAUCUACGCAAAACUCUACACGUUCUACAUAUAUAACUCGUUCCGGUCCAUUACACGGUUUAAAAGUAACGGACGGUUGAAGAACAUGUUAUUUGUGCAAUCUAGCAAAUUCGCUAGUAAUAGGAAAAACCUAGACAGCGAAAAAAAGCUAUGGGCCGAAUUCGAAGACAUAGUGCAGCCCAGCGAUAGAUCAGGCCCAAACGUGUGACAACAAAUAUAAAAAAAAUACAAGGAAAAAAUAAAAUAAAAUGGGGCAGCUGGGAUUUGAUCCCAAGACCCCUAGGAUGGAAUCGGUUGACACCAUCCAGUGGGCUACGGCCUUGAGACUGACAAUAUAUAGUGUUCAUAUAGAAGAACUAGCUAAACCACACAGUGCAGAAGUGAAGCAAAAUAAAAAUAACCAGUGCCAACGAAACAUGUCACGCAUGGGACUCGAACCAGAGAUCUCCAGCGUGGUAGUUGGCCGUUCUAACCAUCUCACCUAGCAAACUGCUUGUGAAAGAAAGCAAUAUCGAGGCUUUCUGUAGGAAAACCUUCGGACGUUCUACAGGAAACAAAGAGAAAGCACACACACACACACCUGCAGAGUUCAGUUCGUCAGGGACGAACGGAUGACAGCGCGGGCGGCUGGAGGGGCGGCUCCGAUGGGGCUCUCGUCGGCGGGCUGGAAAGAUCCGGUCAAGGGGGUCCCAUUUCCGAGCUCGAUGACGACUCCGGUCACCGGCAGCCGUAGAUCGAGGCACGGCUUGAAGGACCUCGGCGCCUCCAUGGCUGCUCCUGAUUGCGAACGGGAGAGAAAGAGAACAUUAGAGAGAGGAGGAGGAGCAACACGCACUGACAGAGAGAAGAAGGGGGCAGCGGGGUCGGCCUGGUCGGGGGCCUUAACCUGCUGGUGAUGGGGUCGAGGCCUGCUGGAGAUGGGGUCGAGGCCGAGGAGGAAUGGGGACGAGUCGGCGCCGGAGCUUGGCGGCGUCCUGUCCCACGAGAACGAGGGUCGAGGGGGCCCUAACACGCAGCGAGGGCACCUGGGACGAGCUCGAGGACUCUGCAUCCCUGGCGAAGCAACACAUCCAAGCUGCUGCAGCGAGCUUGCGCGCUGGUCAACAACUGCUGGCGGCGGGGCUGCGCUGGUGAUGACGGGCGGACGCGGGGCCUGCGGUGGUUGGACACGUCCAGGGGACAAGGGAACGAGUCGAAGGGAUGGAAUCGUGAGGAAGCUUGCUGGUUGGGCUGGGGAUGAAACCGAGGUGGGUUGGAUCAGAUCCCAAGGAAGAAGAGGCUGGUGGCGCAACACGGAAUGGGAGGAUGGGACAGAUCAGGCCUAGGGCUAGUGGCAUAUAGAAAACAUGGUUGGAUGGGUUUAGACCCUCCGAUCUACAUCACACGGUCGGGAUUAAAUAGGUUAGGGUAUCCAAUGGACAAACCGAUGACGGUUUGCGGUAAAACGGGGUUGAUCCGGACCCAACGGUCACAAGCACUCGGUUCGGGUUCCGGGAGGUUUUCGGACUAGGCUGCGCAUAGGGUCGAUGCACUGUACAGAGGGGCUAGGCGGAGAUGAGAGGGAAAACUGGCACCCGACAACAUAUUUUAAAAACACCGACAACUGUCCGACGGUAGAUCGAAUACGGUGCCGCUACGGUCGACCGUUCGGGUACCAAACGGACUCCGAUCGCGACGAAAUUUGACAUGCGGCCUAGCUAUAACUAAUCACGACCGCAUGCCAAGUUUCACCUCGAGCAGAGAAAGUUUGAAACGCACUUUAAAAACAGGGUUUCGAUGAUGCCGCGGGCGCGUGUGAGUGCGGUCGGGCUCAGAACGGACAAUGACGCGGACCGGCAACUACUAACAGAUGCAAGUUUUGAAAACGGGCGGCAACGGAGAUGCCGAUGCAAUGCAGAUGAUGUGCAUGAUGCGAUGAUGAUGCGACAAAUAAAAAUAGACACACAACGAAAACGGAAAGAGAGGGGAAUCUUCUGGAAUGUCGGCAUCGGGCUGUCACAGGGUCUUUACUCUAUUGUGUCCAUUCACUUAUAAGUGUAAUUGAUAAGUUACUGACACACACACACACAUAUAUAUAUACAUGUGCAGCUUCCAUUGGAUUCUGUUGGACAUUCAAAUUGAUAAGGGAAGAGUUGAUGCUUUCGACCCAUUAUCGAGACCCUUGGAACAGUUCCAAAGCCUGCAGGACAUGCUCCAAGGGUAAUUUUAAUCAUUCUUGUGCUCUAUCGGUCUCUUUCGAUGAUUUUCUGAUAUAUCAACUAAUGAAAAACUUAGCAAAUCAUUAUCCUUGUCGGGCAGGGUUUGGAAGCGGUUCAAGUGCGUGACUCCCGGUAACUUUCCUGAGAAGCUGACCUUUAGAGCGGCUCAGGUAAGUAGUAGUAUGAUAUACUUCUAUUAAUUUUCAAUACAUUUAUGAUGCUAGAUUAUUAUUUUGAUUAUAUAUAUUCUAUUCUCGUAAAGUGCGACCAGCAGCCAUGGGCAACGCAUCUAUGCAGAUACUAUGUUUGCGAGACCAUUCGCACGUUUACCUCUGAGUUCAAGGAUCAUAGAUUCGACGUAAGCAAUGAACAUUCACACCUUUAUUUUUACCCGUCAUUCUUUCUUAUCAUGAUUGAUAUUCAUAUUCAUCUCCUCUUCUUAUAUAGCACACGGCCAUGAGGACGAAGGUCCUACCACAGCAACGCGUGAUUGCUGUUGCAGAUGAGCUUGCAGGAUUUCUGAGGACGGAAGCUAUAGAAGACAAAGGACGAUUUAGUGUAGCUAAGGGCCAUUAGUGAUGUUCGUCCAUGUAAUCGAAUAGACGGGCUCUAGUCCUGAUAAUUCAGAUCUCCAUAUAAUUGUAUAUAUAUGAUCGCUUUUAAGAUAAGUUAAUCUUAUAUAUAUAUAUAUGCAUAAUUAUUUCUAUUUAAAUUAUAUGAAAACUAAUUCCCGAACACCAAACGAGGCAUCACGUUAAUCUCCCCAACACCUAAACCCUAGAACCCUAAAACCCAAAAAUAAUUUCAUUCAAAAAAAACCCAAAAAAUGAGCAAAAUCUGAAAAUCUUUAGUACCGGUCUGUGUAAUGAACCGGGACUGAAGGGCCUGCCCCUGGGGCGCUACGAGGCGCCCACGUGGAGCACCUUUAGUCCCGGCGUGUAAGAGGGCCGGGACGAAAAGGUUAGGCCUUUAGUCCUGCCCCUUUAGUCCCGGUUGGUGAACCAGGACUAAAGCCCCUUACAGGCCGGGGCUAAAGGCCCCGUCCCCACUAGUGAACAUGCCCCAAACACAGUCGAUGUCGCUUGAUUCAUGUGCACGAAACAUGCAUCAGUUUCUAUCUAGAUCGAGAGCGAUGUAAGCGUCCAACAUCGUGUGGACGUUAUCAUUUAGAGCCACACAUGUGGGCACUCCUCGCCCGAAUGGACACACGAUGCUCACCCGAACGUGUGGAUAAAAUUGCUCUUCACCCACACGACGCUCACAGGGUGAUGAUGUUGGGGAACGUCGCAUGGGAAACAAAAAAUUUCCUACGCGCACGAAGACCUAUCAUGGUGAUGUCCAUCUACGAGAGGGGAUGAGUGAUCUACGUACCCUUGUAGAUCGUACAGCAGAAGCGUUAGUGAAUGCGGUUGAUGUAGUGGAACAUCCUCACGUCCCUCGAUCCGCCCAGCGAACAAUCCCGCGAUCAGUCCCACGAUCUAGUACCGAACGGACGGCGCCUCCGCGUUCAGCACACGUACAGCUUGACGAUGAUCUCGGCCUUCUUGAUCCAGCAAGAGAGACGGAGAGGUAGAAGAGUUCUCCGGCAGCGUGACGGCGCUCCGGAGGUUGGUGAUGACCUUGUCUCAGCAGGGCUCCGCCCGAGCUCCGCAGAAACGCGAUCUAGAGGAAAAACCGUGGAGGUAUGUGGUCGGGCUGCCGUGGAAAAAUCGUCUCAAAUCAGCCCUAAAACCUCCGUAUAUAUAGGUGGGAGGGAGGGGACCUUGCCUUGGGGCUCAAGGAGCCCCAAGGGGGUCGGCCGAGUCCAAGGGGGAAGGCGCCCCCCCCAAACCGAGUUGGACUUGGUUAGGUGGGUGGGAGUCCUUCCUUCCCUUCCCACCUCCUCUUUUUUUUUCUUUUCUCUUUGAUUUUCUUUCCUAGGCGCAUAGGGCCCUUUUGGGCUGUCCCACCAGCCCACUAAGGGCUGGUGUGCCACCCUCAAGGCCUAUGGGCUUCCCCAGGGUGGGUUGCCCCCCGGUGAACUCCCGGAACCCAUUCGUCAUUCCCGGUACAUUCCCGGUAACUCCGAAAACCUUUCGGUAAUCAAAUGAGGUCAUCCUAUAUAUCAAUCUUCGUUUCCGGACCAUUCCGGAAACCCUCGUGACGUCCGUGAUCUCAUCCGGGACUCCGAACAACAUUCGGUAACCAACCAUAUAACUCAAAUACGCAUAAAACAACGUCGAACCUUAAGUGUGCAGACCCUGCGGGUUCGAGAACUAUGUAGACAUGACCCGAGAGACUCCUCGGUCAAUAUCCAAUAGCGGGACCUGGAUGCCCAUAUUGGAUCCUACAUAUUCUACGAAGAUCUUAUCGUUUGAACCUCAGUGCCAAGGAUUCAUAUAAUCCCGUAUGUCAUUCCCUUUGUCCUUUGGUAUGUUACUUGCCCGAGAUUCGAUCGUCAGUAUCCGCAUACCUAUUUCAAUCUCGUUUACCGACAAGUCUCUUUACUCGUUCCUUAAUACAAGAUCCUGCAACUUACACUAAGUCACAUUGCUUGCAAGGCUUGUGUGUGAUGUUGUAUUACCGAGUGGGCCCCGAGAUACCUCUCCGUCACACGGAGUGACAAAUCCCAGUCUUGAUCCAUACUAACUCAACUAACACCUUCGUAGAUACCUGUAGAGCAUCUUUAUAGUCAUCCAGUUACGUUGCGACGUUUGAUACACACAAAGCAUUCCUCCAGUGUCAGUGAGUUAUAUGAUCUCAUGGUCAUAGGAAUAAAUACUUGACACGCACAAAACAGUAGCAACAAAAUGACACGAUCAACAUGCUACGUCUAUUAGUUUGGGUCUAGUCCAUCACGUGAUUCUCCUAAUGACGUGAUCCAGUUAUCAAGCAACAACACUUUGUUCAUAAUCAGAAGACACUGACUAUCUUUGAUCAACUGGCUAGCCAACUAGGCUUGCUAGGGACGGUGUUUUGUCUAUGUAUCCACACAUGUAAAUGAGUCUUCAUUCAAUACAAUUAUAGCAUGGAUCAUAAACGAUUAUCUUGAUACAGGAAUUAUAAUAAUAACUAUAUUUAUUAUUGCCUCUAGGGCAUAAUUCCAACAGUCUCCCACUUGCACUAGAGUCAAUAAUCUAGCCCUCACAUCAUCAUGUGAAUUACAUUGUAAUAAAUCUAACACCCAUACAGUUCUGGUGUUGAUCAUGCUUUGGCCGUGGAAGAGGUUUAGUCAGCGGGUCUCCUACAUUCAGAUCUGUGUGCACUUUACAUAUAUUUGUGUCCUCUCCCUCAACGUAGUCGCGGAUGAGGUUGAAGCGUCGUUUGAUGUGUCUGGUCUUCUUGUGAAACCGUGGUUCCUUUGCUAAGGCAAUGGCACCCGUGUUGUCACAGAACAAGGUUAUUGGAUUCAGUGCGCUUGGCACCACUCCAAGAUCCGUCAUGAACUUCUUCAUCCAGACACCCUCCUUAGCCGCCUCCGAGGCAGCCAUGUACUCUGCUUCACAUGUAGAAUCUGCUACGACGCUUUGCUUGGAACUGCACCAGCUUACCGCACCCCCAUUAAGAAAUAAUACGUAUCCGGUUUGCGACUUAGAGUCGUCCGGAUCUGUGUCAAAGCUUGCAUCGACGUAACCUUUUACGGCGAGCUCUUCGUCACCUCUAUACACGAGAAACAUCUCCUUAGUCCUUUUCAGGUACUUCAGGAUAUUCUUGACCGCUGUCCAGUGAUCCAAUCCUGGAUUACUCUAGAACCUACCUGCCAUACUUAUGGCCAGGCUAACAUCCGGUCUAGUGCACAACAUUGCAUACAUGAUAGAACCUAUGGCUGAAGCAUAGGGGACGGAGCGCAUAUUCUCUCUAUCUUCAUCAGUUGCUGGGCACUGAGUCUUACUCAAUCUCGUACCUUGUAAAACUGGCAAGAACCCUUUCUUGGACUGUUCCAUUUUGAACCUCUUCAAAAUUUUAUCAAGGUAUGUGCUUUGUGAAAGUCCUAUCAGGCGUUUUGAUCUAUUCCUAUAGAUCUUAAUGCCUUGAAUGUAAGCAGCUUCUCCUAGGUCCUUCAUAGAGAAACUCUUAUUCAAGCAAUCCUUUAUGCUCUCUAAAAACUCCACGUUGUUUCCAAUCAGCAAUAUGUCAUCCACAUAUAAUAUUAGAAACGCCACAGAGCUCCCACUCACUUUCUUGUAAAUACAAGAUUCUCCAACCACUUGUAUAAACCCAAAUGCUUUGAUCACCUCAUCAAAGCGUUUGUUCCAACUCCGAGAUGCUUGCACCAGUCCAUAAAUGGAUCGCUGGAGCUUGCACACCUUGUUAGCAUUCUUAGGAUCGACAAAACCUUCGGGUUGUAUCAUAUACAACUCUUCCUUAAGGAAACUGUUAAGGAACGCCGUUUUGACAUCCAGCUGCCAGAUUUCAUAAUCGAAAAAUGCAGCUAUUGCUAACAUGAUUCUGACGGACUUAAGCAUCGCUACGGGUGAGAAUGUCUCAUCGUAGUCAACUCCUUGAACUUGUGAAAAACCCUUUGCCACAAGUCGAGCUUUAUAAACGGUCACAUUGCCGUCAGCGUCCGUCUUCCUCUUAAAGAUCCAUUUGUUCUGAAUAGCCUUGCGGCCCUCAGGUAGUACCUCCAAAGUCCACACUUUGUUCUCAUACAUGGAUCCUAUCUCAGACUUCAUGGCUUCUAGCCAUUUGUUGGAAUCUGGGCCCACCAUUGCUUCUUCAUAAUUUGCAGGUUCAUUGUUGUCUAACAACAUGAUUGAUAAGACGGGAUUACCGUACCACUCUGGAGCAGCACGUGGUCUCGUCGACCUGCGUGGUUCGACAGAAACUUGAACCGGAGUUUCAUGAUCAUCAUCAUUAACUUCCUCCUCAACCGGCGCCGCAACGACAGAGGUUUCCCAUUGCCCCGCGCCACCAUCCAGAGGGAUGAGAGGUUCGACAACCUCGUCAAGUUCUAUCUUCCUCCCACUCAAUUCUCUCGAGAGAAACUCCUUCUCGAGAAAAGCUUCGUUUUUAGCAACAAACACUUUGCCCUCGGAUUUGAGAUAGAAGGUGUACCCAACUGUCUCUUUUGGGUAACCUAUGAAGACACACUUUUCCGCUUUGGGUUCCAACUUUUCAGGCUGAAGCUUUUUGACAUAAGCAUCACAUCCCCAAACUUUAAGAAACGACAACUUUGGCCUUUUGCCAUACCACAGUUCGUAUGGUGUCGUCUCAACGGAUUUUGAUGGUGCCCUAUUUAAAGUGAAUGCAGCUGUUUCUAAUGCAUAACCCCAAAACGAUAACGAAAAAUCGGUAAGAGACAUCAUAGAUCGCACCAUCUCUAAUAAAGUACGAUUACGAUGUUCGGACACACCAUUACGCUGUGGUGUUCCAGGCGGUGUUAACUGUGAAACAAUUCCACAUUGUCUUAAGUGAGCACCAAACUCGAAACUCAGAUAUUCACCCCCACGAUCAGACCGUAGGAACUUGAUCUUAUUGUUACGAUGAUUUUCAACUUCACUCUGAAAUUGCUUGAACUUUUCAAAUGUUUCAGACUUGUGCUUCAUCAAGUAGACAUAACCAUAUCUACUCAAAUCGUCAGUGAAGGUGAGAAAAUAACAAUAUCCGCCGCGUGCCUCCACGCUCAUCGGACCACACACAUCGGUAUGUAUGAUUUCCAGCAAGUCACUUGCACGCUCCAUUGUUCCGGAGAACGGAGUCUUAGUCAUCUUGCCCAUGAGGCAUGGUUCGCACGUGUCAAGUGAAUCAAAGUCAAGUGACUCCAAAAGUCCAUCAGCAUGGAGUUUCUUCAUGCGCUUUACACCAAUAUGACCUAAGCGGCAGUGCCACAAAAAUAUGGCGCUAUCAUUGUUAACUCUAACUCUUUUGGUCUCAAUGUUAUGUAUAUGCAUAUCGCUAUCAAGAUUUAAUAUGAACAAUCCUCUCACAUUAGGUGCAUGACCAUAAAAGAUGUUACUCAUAGAAAUAGAACAACCAUUAUUCUCUGACUUAAAAGAGUAACCGUCUCGCAAUAAACAAGAUCCAAAUAUAAUGUUCAUGCUCAACGCAGGCACUAAAUAACAAUGAUUUAAGUUCAUCACUAAUCCUGAUGGUAACUGAAGUGAAACUGUGCCGACGGCGAUUGCAUCAACUUUGGAACCAUUUCCUACGCGCAUCGUCACUUCAUCCUUCGUCAGCCUUCGUCUAUUCCGCAGUUCCUGUUUCGAGUUGCAAAUAUGAGCAACAGAACCGGUAUCCAAUACCUAGGCACUACUACGAGAGACGGUUAAGUACACAUCAAUAACAUGUAUAUCAAAUAUACCUGAUUUUUCUUUGGCCGCCUUCUUAUCUGCCAGAUACUUGGGGCAAUCGCGCUUCCAGUGACCCAUACCCUUGCAAUAGUAACACUUCGUUUCAGGCUUAGGUCCAGCUUUGGGUUUCUUCGUCGGAUUGGCAACAGGCUUGCCGCUCUUCUUUGAAUUACCCUUCUUGCCUUUGCCGUUUCUCUUGAAACUAGUGGUCUUAUUCACCAUCAACACUUGAUGUUCUUUACGGAGUUCAGACUCUGCGACUUUCAGCAUCGCAAACAACUCGCCGGGAGACUUGUUCAUCCCUUGCAUGUUCUAGUUCAACACAAAGCCUUUAUAGCUUGGCGGCAGUGAUUGAAGGAUUCUGUCAGUGAUAGCCCCUUGCGGGAGUUCAAUACCCAGCUCAGCUAGACGGUUUGAGUACGCAGACAUUUUGAGCACAUGUUCACUGACAGACGAGUUCUCCUCCAUCUUGCAAGCAUAGAAUUUAUCAGAGGUCUUAUACCUCUCGAUCCGGGCGUUCUUCUGAAAGAUAAACUUCAACUCCUGGAACAUCUCAAAUGCUCCAUGACGCUCAAAGCGACGUUGAAGUCCCGGUUCUAAGCCAUACAAGACUGCACAUUGAACUAUUGAGUAGUCCUCCUUACGUGCUAACCAAGCGUUCUUAACAUCCUGAUCAGCCGUAGCGGGUGGUUCAUCUCCUAGCGCAGCAUUAAGGACAUAAUCCUUCUUCCCAGCUUGUAAGAUUAGCUUAAGAUUACGAGCCCAGUCUACAAAGUUGCUUCCAUCAUCUUUCAACUUAGCUUUCUCUAGGAACGUAUUAAAAUUCAGGAUGACUGUAGCGUGAGCCAUGAUCUACAACACAAAUAUAUUCAAAGUGGACUUAGACUAUGAUCAAGAUAAUUAGAAUUCAACUUAAUCAAAUUAUUCGCUAAACUCCCACUCAAAAAGUACAUCUCUCUAGUCAUUUGAGUGGUUCAUGAUCCACUUACACUAGCUCAAGUCCGAUCAUCACGUGAGUUGAGUAUAGUUUCAGUGGUAAGCAUCCCUAUGCUAAUCAUAUCAUCUAUAUGAUUCAUGAUCGACCUUUCGGUCUCAUGUGUUCCGAGGCCAUGUCUGCACAUGCUAGGCUCGUCAAGCUUAACCCGAGUGUUCCGCGUGCGCAACUGUUUUGCACCCGUUGUAUGUGAACGUUGAGUCUAUCAAACCCGAUCAUCACGUGGUGUCUCGAAACGACGAACUGUAGCAACGGUGCACAGUCGGGGAGAACACAAUUUCGUCUUGAAAUUUUAGUGAGAGAUCACCUCAUAAUGCUACCGUCGUUCUAAGCAAAAUAAAGUGCAUAAAAGGAUUAACAUCACAUGCAAUUCAUAAGUGACAUGAUAUGGCCAUCAUCACGUGCUUCUUGAUCUCCAUCACCAAAGCACCGGCACGAUCUUAUUGUCACCGGCGCCACACCAUGAUCUCCAUCAACGUGUCGCCGUCGGGGUUGUCGUGCUACUCAUGCUAUUACUACUAAAGCUACAUCCUAGCAAAAUAGUAAACGCAUCUGCAAGCACAAACGAUAGUAUAAAGACAACCCUAUGGCUCCUGCCGGUUGCCGUACCAUCGACCGGCAAGUCGAUAUAUUCUAUUACAACAUGAUCAUCUCAUACAUCCAAUAUAUCACAUCACAUCGUUGUCCAUAUCACAUCACAAGCAUACCCUGCAAAAACAAGUUAGACGUCCUCUAAUUUUGUUGUUGCAUGUUUUACGUGGUGACCAUGGGUAUCUAGUAGGAUCGCAUCUUACUUACGCAAACACCACAACGGAGAUAUAUGAGUUGCUAUUUAACCUCAUCCAAGGACCUCCUCGGUCAAAUCCGAUUCAACUAAAGUUGGAGAAACCGACACUUGGCAGUCAUCUUUGAGCAACGGGGUUACUCGUAGCGAUGAAACCAGUCUCUCGUAAGCGUACGAGUAAUGUCGGUCCAAGCCGCUUCAAUCCAACAAUACCGCGGAAUCAGGAAAAGACUAAGGAGAGCAGCAAAACGCACAUCACCGCCCAAAAAAACUUUUGUGUUCUACUCGAGAAGACAUCUACGCAUGAACCUAGCUCAUGAUGCCACUGUUGGGGAACGUCGCAUGGGAAAAAAAAAAUUUCCUACGCGCACGAAGACCUAUCAUGGUGAUGUCCAUCUACGAGAGGGGAUGAGUGAUCUACGUACCCUUGUAGAUCGUACGGCAGAAGCGUUAGUGAACGCGGUUGAUGUAGUGGAACGUCCUCACGUCCCUCGAUCCGCCCCGCGAACAAUCCCGCGAUCAGUCCCACGAUCUAGUACCGAACGGACGGCACCUCCGCGUUCAGCACACGUACAGCUUGACGAUGAUCUCGGCCUUCUUGAUCCAGCAAGAGAGACGGAGAGGUAGAAGAGUUCUCCGGCAGCGUGACGGCGCUCCGGAGGUUGGUGAUGACCUUGUCUCAGCAGGGCUCCGCCCGAGCUCCGCAGAAACGCGAUCUAGAGGAAAAACCGUGGAGGUAUCUGGUCGGGCUGCCGUGGAAAAAUCGUCUCAAAUCAGCCCUAAAACCUCCGUAUAUAUAGGUGGGAGGGAGGGGACCUUGCCUUGGGGCUCAAGGGGGGUCGGCUGAGUCCAAGGGGGAAGGCUCCCCCCCCAAACCGAGUUGGACUUGGUUUGGUGGGUGGGAGUCCUUCCUUCCCUUCCCACCUCCUCUUUUUUUUCUUUUCUCUUUGAUUUUCUUUCCUAGGCGCAUAGGGCCCUUUUGGGCUGUCCCACCAGCCCACUAAGGGCUGGUGUGCCACCCUCAAAGCCUAUGGGCUUCCCAGGGUGGGUUGCCCCCCCGGUGAACUCCCGGAACCCAUUCGUCAUUCCCGGUACAUUCCCGGUAACUCCGAAAACCUUCCGGUAAUCAAAUGAGGUCAUCCUAUAUAUCAAUCUUCGUUUCCAGAUCAUUCCGGAAACCCUCAUGACAUCCGUGAUCUCAUCCGGGACUCCGAACAACAUUCGGUAACCAACCAUAUAACUCAAAUACACAUAAAACUACGUCAAACCUUAAGUGUGCAGACCCUGCGGGUUCGAGAACUAUGUAGACAUGACGCGAGAGACUCCUCGGUCAAUAUCCAAUAGCGGUACCUGGAUGCCCAUAUUGGAUCCUACAUAUUCUACGAAGAUCUUAUCGUUUGAACCUCAGUGCCAAGGAUUCAUAUAAUCCCGUAUGUCAUUCGCUUUGUCCUUCGGUAUGUUACUUGCCCGAGAUUCGAUCGUCAGUAUCCGCAUACCUAUUUCAAUCUCGUUUACCGGCAAGUCUCUUUACUCGUUCCGUAAUACAAGAUCCCGCAACUUACACUAAGUUACAUUGCUUGCAAGGCUUGUGUGUGAUGUUGUAUUACCGAGUGGGCCCCGAGAUACCUCUCCGUCACACGGAGUGACAAAUCCCAGUCUUGAUCCAUACUAACUCAACUAACACCUUCGGAGAUACCUGUAGAGCAUCUUUAUAGUCACCCAGUUACGUUGCGACGUUUGAUACACAAAAAGCAUUCCUCCGGUGUCAGUGAGUUAUAUGAUCUCAUGGUCAUAGGAAUAAAUACUUGACACGCAGAAAACAGUAGCAACAAAAUGACACGAUCAACAUGCUACGUCUAUUAGCUUGGGUCUAGUCCAUCACCUGAUUCUCCUAAUGACGUGAUCCAGUUAUCAAGCAACAACACUUUGUUCAUAAUCAGAAGACACUGACUAUCUUUGAUCAACUGGCUAGCCAACUAGAGACUUGCUAGGGACGGUGUUUUGUCUAUGUAUCCACACAUGUAAAUGAGUCUUCAUUCAAUACAAUUAUAGCAUGGAUAAUAAAAGAUUAUCUUGAUACAGGAAUUAUAAUAAUAACUAUAUUUAUUAUUGCCUCUAGGGCAUAAUUCCAACAGAUGAAUGGUAACUAUUGUGCAUAUGUGGCAACUAAUUAAUCACACAUGGCAACUAUGGUUGACUAUACAUGGCAACUAUGGUUUAACAAUACGUGGCAAGCCCAAUUAGUUUCACAUGGCAACUAUAUUUAGUGAUACAUGGUAAGUAAAGUUAAUAACAUAUGAGGACUACAAUUAAUUAUACAUGUCAACUGAAGUUUGCCCUCACAGGAUGGGGGUGAGUAGUAGUUGUUGGUUUGGCGUGCGAAUCGUCGUAGCUGCGCCCAAAACAGUUUUAAUAUCAGUCCACACAGAAUCUGUGGGUUGGCUCCUUGGUACGACCAGACGAGUCAUGUGGCCGGAUGUUUGAGAAAUAACUUUUAUGCUAAUGGUGAUCCAUUUGUCCAACACCAUCAAAAUUAUUUAUCAGCACUGACAUGCCACGCUGGCGCCAUGCCACCACUUUGAUUUUGUACAAAUAACAAAAAGCUAAACACAUAAUAUGUUUAAAACUAAGCUAGGUACUUCAUCAACUAAUUUAAAAACUAAGCACAUAUGCAAUAGUUUUAGAAGUAAGCUAGGUAGUCCAUCAACUAACAUAGAAGUUUAACUACUUAGUUAGGUACUCAAUCAACUUAACAUAGAAGUUGAACAAAAGAUAGAUAGUCAAUUAGUUAAACAACUAACAAACAAAGAUAGUUAGCUAGGUAGUCGAUCACUCUUUAAUGAUUACUUUCAUCCGCCGAAGAUUCUGCCUAUUGGCUUGUCCCUCCUUGAGAAAAUGAGACUUCAUAAUUUUGGGCUCAUUCCUCUUGGCCCUUAGUUGUUUAAUCUCCUUCUUUAGUUGACCAUUCUCCAUGAUUAGCUCACCCUUCUCAUCGAUGAGAUUAACAUUCUCAUCAAUCAGCUAAUCCCUAUUUUGAUUUAGCCCAUCCAUCACCUCCUUCAGGGCCUUCAUGAUACUUUCAUUAGCAUCCAAACAUUGUCAGUUCUUCAUGUCCACAUCAUACACCUUUUCUUGAACUUGUUCCUGGAAUCCCUACCUAUCACUACGAAGAAAUGUUUGCAAUCAUCAUAUGCACGACCUUUCAAUCAUAUGCAUGAGUCUGUUAAAAAAAGCAAUUGCUGGUCAUGAGUUCUUAUCCGGUUGCUGCUCUCAUCGCCACCAUUGGCAUACACGGUGAAGUCCCCGCUAAGUCCGUAGGCGUCGUUGUACGAGUCCAUCGAAGCAAACUAUUAUCGGUAAGCAUGCAAGUCAUAUUAUAACUAAAAAAUAUUAUCACUAAGAGAAUACGUAUUCCUAGGAAGAACUAGAGUAUGGAUGCCCUAUCAACACUACUUAUGCCUAGGAGAAACUAGAGUAUGAAUGCAACUAAUGGAAUACAUAUUUAAGUUAGGUAGGAAAUGCUCAACGGGGAUUACAACAUGACUAUUUUAAGAUGAAGAGAAUUUAUGAAAAAUAAACCAGACUAGUUAACAUUUAUAUGAAGAGCAUCUCUGAAUUUUUUCAGUCACAAAGAGAAUCAUGAACUUUCCAAAUGCAUGAAAGUCUACUCCGAAACUGUCAUACUUUUAAUACUCCUUCAUUUUGAAAGUGCAUGAAUCUGCACUCCUACUGCCUAUUACAUAAACAUCUUCAAAGUGGUCAUAUUUUUAAUACUCCUUCAUUUGUAUCUUUGAAAUUGCACAAACAUCUAAUCUUACUGCCCAUUUUCUUCACAGUGACAAAUCUUUUAGUCUUAGAAGUGUUGCAUGAGUUCAAGUACAAAUCUUACUCAAUUUUGAAAGUACUUUUCAGUUUUUUAGGCUUGACGCCGACAAAGCUUACUAGAUUUUGAUAAUUCAUGCAACUUACGACAACAAAUUUUUAGUUUUGAUAGUGACAAAGCUUACAAUAGAUUUGACAAUAAUUUUAAUAAUUCAAGAAAAUUAUGAAAGCUUACAUUUUGAUAGUAGUUUUCAGUUUUGACAAUAGUAUUUAGUUUUGAUUAGGCUUGGGAUAAUUCAAGCAAAUUAAUUAAACUUAUCCAGCAACCAUCUACUUUAUGAUGGAGUAUUUUCUAACAGGUUCACUAAACUUCAGAAAACCAACUACACCAAUUGGCUAGCUAACACUAUCGACUUUUCGUGGCAGCAAGCAAGCAGAUUAAUUACUCCAUCAAUAGGCAAAAUUUAAUAUCUACUCUCUCAUGGAUUAUUUUGAUUAUUUUAUUAAUUACUACAUCAAUCGACAACCUAAUUCUACUGACUGUUGUGAUUGGCAAACGAUGCGGUUGUGUUUAUCUCAUUCAACUCUAUGGUGUGAAAAAAAUAGCACCAAGUAAAAUUUGGAACUAUCAAAGCAUGACAAAAAGAGUAACCACCAUAGGCUGCCAAAGCAUGAACCCUAGCUAAUCUAACACACAGAAGAAACAAGCAAAGAAAUCAGAGGGAGAUUUUUAUAGAGCGGAUUGGAGCAAAGGUGCGUCAUUGCGAGCUUGCGUCUCCAUCACCGUCACCAAAACCCUAACGUUGGGAAUCGAACUAUGGGGAGCGCAAAAAAUGAAUCAACUUGUUCUAGAUGUAUGGAUGAUAACCCAUAAGUAUAGGGAUCGCGACAGUCUUCAUGGGUAAUAUUUCACCCUAAUAUAUUGAUUCGACACAAGGGGAGCUAAAGGAUAUUUAUUGGCCAUGAUUAUUGAGUUGUCAGUUCAACCGCGCCUGGGAUAUCUCUCUGGAGCAAGGGUGUAGUAGCACAGCAAAAGGUAGUAGUAAGAGUAACAGUGAUAGGAGCAAUUUUGAUAACAAUAGUAACAGUAGCAAUUGAGUAGCAGGUGUGAGAACAACAGUAACAAUAGUAACUUAGCAAGAUUCCGUAUAUGUAAAGCAUAGGCAGGUGGAUCUAUGAUGGAUAAUGAUUUAGAUGACAUUGAUCAUGUAACAGUUACACACUAGGGCGACACAGAACUAGCUCCAAUUCAUCAAUAUAAUAUAGGCAUGUAUUCCGUAUAUAGUCAUGCAAGCUUGCAAUACGAACUUGCAUGACAUCUUUUGUCAUGCCCUUCCGUGGCAGCGGAGUCCUAUUGGAAACUACGGGAUAUUAAGACCUCCUUUUAAUAGAGAACCGGAAUAAAGCAUUAACACAUGGUGAGUACAUGAACUCCUCAAACUACGACAAUCACCGAAAAUAAUCCCAAUUAUUGUCACCUUGGGGUAUGCGGAUCAAGACACGUGAUGAGUAACUAUAACUUGCAAGAUAGGAUCCAAAUCACUCUUAUAUUCACGAAAACAUAAUAGGUUCAGAUCUGAAUUCACGGCACUCGGGCCCUAGUGACAAGCAUUAAGCAUAGCAAAGUCGUAGCAACAUCAAUCUCACAACAUAGUGGAUACUAGGGAUCAAGCCCUAUCGAGCUUAAAUCAAUUACAUGGUCAGUAUUAGCUAAUCCCAACACCAUCUAGCAAGCCUACAAAGAAAUUACUCACUCCCGCUGGUGAGCAUCAUAGCGGUGUUGAUGGAGAAGAAUUGGAGAUCACGAUGGCGAUGAAUCACCCUCUACGGAGCCCCAAUCGGACUCCACAUCAGCCCUUCGAAGGAAGAAUAGGAGGUGGCGGUGGCUCCGUCUCGUGAAAUGCGAUGAAAACAUCUCUUUGUUUUUUUCUCCGAAGAUGUGAUUUUGUAGGACUCGAAUAAGGGUCGGAGGAGCCAUGUGGGCCCCACAAGCCAUCAAGGCACGACCUGUGGGGGGAGGGGGGCACCCUUCUGGGUUGUGCCCCUAGCAGCGUUUCUCCGGCAGGUCUUUUCACUACUAGGAGAAAGCCUACUAGUAGCGCUGGUCUUACCCUUACUAGUAGCGCCGGGGGCAGUGCUACUACUAACGUGCUACAGCUAACCUGUUAGUUGUAUCGCUGGAUUUAAAAGCGCUAUUGUUACCUAUGUUAGCAGUAGCGCUGGAAUAGAUAAAGUGAUACUGCUAAGCCAGCGCUACUACUAAUAUUCCAGCGCUACUUCUAAUAUUCAUGCUUUCAAUAUUUAAUUCCCGUCAUAUUUAUGCACCCUCUACGUAUUUGUGCAUGCUCUAAACAGUAGUUUUAUCGUAUCAUAAUAAACAUGCAUUAUUCUCAUCAGAUCAUACACAUAAAGUAGUCUUGUCAUUUAUACCAUCAUCAUCAUUAUCCAACACAAAUAUCAUUAUCCAACACAAAUAUCAUCAAAUCUCGAAAAUAGUGAUACACUCAAGUCAUGGCACACCCACAAGUGUCAUCAUCCCUAUCUAAACCAUCAUGUAGAAGAGAAGAACGACCAGCAUGAGCAAGAGCGCGACUAUGCAGUACUUCUUGAGGCACCGGUUUCGCCCCGUCUCUUGCCGUAGCAUCCACCUCAAGUAACUCAUUUCCGCUUUGGAUCUGAUGUCGAACCCUCUGUGGCUAGCGCCCGGGUACCUGUCCACCCGGGCCUGAGCAUCUAGCCAGUGUCGUACACUCCUGGAACCCUCCCAAUGAAUACGACGUAGCAGCCCUUCGCCAUCUCCAAUCUAUGUACCUGCAUCGUAAGUUGAUUAACAACGAUAUAUAAUAUGCAACAUAAUGUACUUGAGAAACAAAAAGAGGCAUAGUUAGCAGAAUACAAGUAGUAAACAUAAAUAACGAAGUUCCUCAUACACAAACUAAUUAACUAGAUCGAUGUAUAUGCUAGUUCAUCGAAAGCCGGUAGUACUAAUUAUAAACACACAUUGUCUUCGUCAAUCACUCCUCCAUGUUGGCUCCCCAAUCAUCAUAGUCAGGGAUGAAUGACCCGAGAUGGUUGGCUUUAGGUCCAGACACUGAGCGCGUAGCCGUUCUCGGACAUUCUCCCGCCUCAUUGGCGCAUGGAAAAACAUCCCUCCUUGUUCGACGACCUGCUUCAUGAUCACUUGGGCAAGUUCACACUGUAUGUGAUAAAACUCAGCUCAGAUUCGAUGAUCCGGUGUCGUUCCUAUGCUUGUGACCUAGUUGACAAUCUCGGCAUCGUCGGAAUUAGCUGUCAUGCAAAGGUGUUGAUUAUCCCUUCAGUACUCGAUCAUGUGAUGCAUGAGGUAGAAUCCAUCAGCCUUAGUAGUGUGCGGUUGCUGGAUGCACCAGAAGUCAGUCUUAUGGACGAAAGCCGGCGCUUGAUUCCUGUACUUUUUCACCUUGAUAUAUCCACCAGUAAGGUUGAAGGUUAUCAAGGCACUAUCGAGAACACUCUUUAUGUACGUGUAAUCCUUUUUCUCGAUGUUCUUUGACGAGUUCAAGUACAGAGCAUGUGAGUAUUGUGGGUACAGACAGAUGAGGACGCCCCACCGGUUGCGCAAAAAUAGGUACACCUCAAAUUAGCCUCAAUGCUUGCAACAGAAUGAGCAAAACUUACGAAAGGAUAUCCACGGAUGACUUACGUGGGAUGAUGAGGCAGGCGAAUCGUUUCCUUGUCCUUAUUAGCGAUCAUGAAAUCGCUGAUGUACUUGCUCGCAUAGUCACGGUGCUCUUUGCACACUGCCAAGAAGCUCUCGUGCAUAUAGUACAGGUCAGCAACGCAAACAUAUUCUAUGUUCUAGCGUCUGAUGAUGUAGUUGAGAUACAAUGCAUACAGGCGGAUGAACUGAGAAAUCUAGCUUGGUCAUGUGGAACAUGUUGUAGAUGUAGUCAAAUCGCAGGAUGAACUUAUCCGUGGGCCGUUUGGCGACGUAUGAAAUCGCACCCGGAACCUGAGCCGGGUAAAGCGGGUAGUAUCCUGGUUUUUUCGUGGUGAGAAGUGUUCUCUCUAUGGCUAGCACAUCAUCAUGAAGUCUCCUUAGAUCAUUGUUCUGUAUGUUUUCUAACGCUUUCUAAGGUAGGAUCAGGUUGCUGAUGACAUGGAAACGAUCCACACCUACGACAGGUAUUCUAUCUACCUCCCGGGGCUUUAGAGGCGGCUGGCUUCUUGAAGCAGCUCUAGCACCUUUAGACCCUUUCUUCUCCGGUCUCCUCCUUCGCUUCUUGGCGGGUGGCGAUUGUGAGCCCGCCAUACCUUCCCUAACCACCACCCCAGCAUCGUCGGGCUAAUUACCAACGGACGGCCCCCGUGUUGUUCUUGCUGGGUAGAUGCGUGAUACGUCUCCAAUGUAUCUAUAAUUUUGUAUGGUUUCAUGCUAUUAUCUUGUCAAACUUUGGAUGUUAUGCAUGUCCUUUAUAUAUAUUUUGGGACUAACUUAUUAACUCAGUGCCAAGUGCUAGUUCCUGUUUUUCCAUGUUUUUGACCCCUUUCAGAGGAGAUUUUGAAACAGAGUCCAAACGGAAGAAAUCCCCGAAAAGUUUUUUUUCGUAACGGAAGAAGAUCGGGAAGCUUCAGAGCCAAGGAAGGGGAGCCUCAGGGGCCCCACAAGCCCCCACCCUGCGGCCAGGGGGAGGCCGCGACCCACAGGCUUGUGGCCCCCCUGGGCGCCCUCUACCCUAGGGGUUGCGCCUAUGAAUUCCCUAAAAAUCCCAAAACAAUCAGGAGAUCAUCAAAAUUACUUUUCCACCGCCGCAAGCUUCUGUCUUUGCAAAAUCCCAUCUGGGGCACGUUCCGGUGCCCUGCCAGAGGGGAGAUUCGGAUACGGAGGGCUUCUUCAUCAACACCAUGACCUCUCCGAUGAUGCGUGAGUAGUUCACCAUACACCUACGGGCCCAUAGCUAGUAACUAGAUGGCUUCUUCUCUCUCUUGGAUCUUCAAUACAAAGUUCUCCAUGAUCUUCAUGGAGAUCUAUCCGAUGUAAUCUUCUUUUGCGGUGUGUUUGUCGAGAUCCGAUGAAUUGUAGAUUUAUGAUCAGAUUAUCUAUGAAUCUUAUUUGAGUUUCUUCUGAUCUCUCUAAUGCAUGAUUUCAUAUCCUUGUAAUUCUCUUCGAGUUGUGGGUUUUCUCUGGCCAACUAGAUCUAUGAUUCUUGCAAUGGGAGAAGUGCUUGGUUUUGGGUUCAUACCGUGCGGUGACCUCACCCAGUGACAGAAGGGGUAGCGAGGCACGCAUCGUGUUGUUGCCAUCAAGGGUAAAAAGAUGGGGUUUUCAUCAUUGGUUUGAGAUUAUCCCUCUACAUCAUGUCAUCUUGCUUAAGGCGCUACUCUGUUCGUCAUGAACUCAAUACACUAGAUGCAUGCUGGAUAGCGGUCGAUGUGUGGAGUAAUAGUAGUAGAUGCAUAAAGUAUCGGUCUACUUGUCUCGGACGUGAUGCUUGUAUGUAUGAUCCUUGCCUUAGAUAUCGUCAUGACUUUGCGCGGUUCCAUCAAUUGCUCGACUGUAAUUUGUUCACCCACCAUGCUAUUUGCUAUUUUGAGAGAAGCCUCUAGUGAACACUAUGGCCCCCGGGUCUACUCCACACCAUAUUUUCAUCCUUACACUUUUUACUUUGUUGCACUUUCCACCUUCAGAUCUCACUUUGCAAACAAUCUUGAAGGGAUUGACAACCCCUUUGAAGCGUUGGGUGCAAGCUUGUUUGUGUUUGCACAUGUAAUCUGGACUUGACGAGACCCUCCUUGUGGAUCGAUACCCUCUUGUGAUGCAUCACCCUUUCCUCUUCAAGGGAAAACUAACGCAAGCCCAGUCUCUGUCAACGUGUCAAUUUCUGGCGCUGUUGUUUGAGAAGUAGCAGAAGGAUUUCUGGCGCCGUUGCCGGGGAGGAAGAUCAAGUCAAGGACUCAUCCAAGUAGGUUUCACAAACUCAUCUCUUGCAUUUACUUUGUUUUCCAGUUGCCUCUCGUUUUCCUCUCCCCCACUUCACCAAUUUUCCUUUUUCAUUUGCCUUUUUCGUUCGCCUUUUCGUUCACCCUUUUUCUCGCCUGCUCUUUGUUUGCUUGUGUGCUUGCUGAAGUCACCAUGAACGAAAACACCAAACUUUGUGACUUCUCGAAUACUAAUAAUAAUGAUUUUAUUAGUACUCCGAUUGCUCCCGCCACUAGUGCGGAGUUAGACGAAAUCAAUGCCGCUUUGCUGAAUCUUGUUAUGAAAGAGCAAUUCUCUAGCCUUCCUAGUGAAGAUGCCGCAUCCCAUCUCAAUAAAUUCAUUGAUCUUUGUGAUAUGCAAAAGAAAAAAUAUGUGGAUAAUGAUGUGAUUAAAUUGAAGCUUUUUUCCUUUCUCGUUGCGAGAUCGCGCAAAAUCUUGGUUUUCUUCUUUGCCCAAAAAUAGUAUCAAUUCUUGGGAUAAGUGCAAAGAUGCUUAUAUAUCCAAGUAUUUUCCGCGGGCUAAGAUCAUCUCUCUCCAUAAUAAUAUCAUGAAUUUCAAGCAACUUGAUCAUGAACAUGUUGCACAAUCUUGGGAGAGAAUGAAAUUAAUUAUUAGAAAUUGUCCCGCUCAUGGCUUGGGUCUUUGGAUGAUUAUUCAAAUCUUUUACGCUGGCUUGAAUUCCGCUUCUAGAAAUAUCUUGGACCCCGCCUCAGGUGGAAUGUUCAUGGAAAUCAUGUUAGGGGAAGCCAUAAAGCUCUUAGACAACAUCAUGACAAACUACUCUCAGUGGCACACUGAAAGGUCAUCUACUAGUAAGAAGGUACACACUAUAGAAGAAAUUAACUCGUUAAGUGCUAAGCUGGACGAGUUAAUGAAUUUGGUUGCUAGUAGAAGUGAUCCUUUGGAUCCUAAUGAUAUGCCCUUGUCUUCUUUGAUUGGGAGUAGCAACGCUAGCUUGGACGUUAAUUUUGUUGGUAGGAAUAACUUUGGCAACAACAAUGCUUUUAGAGGAAACUAUGUUCCUAGGACUUUUCCUAGUAACUCCUCUAAUAAUUUUGGCAACUCCUACAACAAUACUCAUGGAAAUUACAAUAGAUUACCCUCUGAUCUAGAGAGUAAUAUCAAAGAGUUCAUCAACUCUCAAAAGAUUUUCAAUGCGUCCAUAGAGGAAAAGCUACUCAAAAUUGACGAUUUGGCUAAGAGCGUUGAUAGAAUGUCUAGUGAUGUUGAUGCUUUGAAAGUUAAAUGUGCUCCUCCCAAAAUCAACAUGGUUGAAACUUUGAAAGCUAUGCGUGUUUCCAUGAUUGAGAGCCAAGAAAGAACCGCCCAAAUUCAUGCUACACAUGAAUGGCUUAAAAAGGCGUGUUCUCGUGAUGAGAAUCACGAAGAUCUUAAAGUUCUUGGUGUGACUCCCAUUGAAUCUUUGUUUUCUUGUGUCAAACCUAAUGAUUAUGGGGCUGGAUAUGAAUCCACUUUGGUUGAAAAGUUCCCCAAUGAUUCGGAGUCCAUCUAUCGUGAUGCUGAAAGCAUUAAAAGUGGAGUAGAAGAUGUUAAAACUUUGAGUAGUAAUAAAUUACUACCAUGGAUUUCAAGGAAUUCAAUUAUGAUAGUUGCUCCUUGAUUGAAUUCAUUUCUUUGAUGCAAUCCAUGUUGAACUCUCCACACGCUUAUAACCAAAACAAGGCCUUUACCGAUCAUAUCGUCGAAGCUAUGAUAAAAUCUCUUGAAGAGAAACUUGAAUUGGAAGUCUCUAUCCCUAGAAAGCUUCAUGAUGAGUGGGAACCUACCAUCAAAAUCAAAAUCAAAAACUAUGAAUGCAAUGCUUUGUGUGAUUUGGGUGCUAGUGUUUCUGCGAUUUCAAAGUCUUUAUGUGAUGUUCUGGGUUUUAAUGAGAUUGAAGAGUGUUAUCUUAAUUUGCAUCUUGUUGAUUCUACUGUCAAGAAACCCAUGGGACGGAUGAGUUAUGUUCUUAUUAUUGCAAAUAGGAACUAUGUACCCGUGUAUUUCAUUGUGCUUGACAUUGUUUGCAAUCCUACAUGCCCUAUUAUUCUUGGUAGACCUUUCCUAAGGACUAUUGGUGCUAUCAUCGAAAUGAAGGAAGGGAAGAUUAUAUUUCAAUUUCCUUUAAGGAAGGGCAUGGAACACUUUCCUGGAAAGAAAAUAAGAUUGCCUUAUGAAUCCAUGAUGAGGGACACUUAUGGUUUGAGCACCAAAGACGACGAUACGUGAUUCUAUCGCUUUUAUGCCUAGCUAAGGGCGUUAAACAAUAGCGCUUGUUGGGAGGAAACCCAAUGAAUUUAUAUUUUUCUUUCUGUUUUGUUGCAUCCACAUCAUCACAAUUCUGUUGUGAUUGUGUAUUUUGUGUUUCCUUUUGUGUUUGAGCCAAGCAAAACCUUUAUGACUAGUCUUGGUAAAUGUUAUUUGAUCCUGCUGGAAAAAGACAGAGACUUUUCGCUUACAAGAUGAUUUUUCAUUUUUAUUCAGAAAGAGAUUUUGAGUUGAUUCUUUUUGCUGCUGGUAUAUAUGCUUGUUUCCCAGGCCGUCGUAAUGUUUCAGAUUUUUUCAGGUACCAGAAGUAUACGAAGUAUACAGAUUGCUACAGACUGGUCUCUUUUUGACAGAUUCUGUUUUUGUUGAGUUGGUUGCUUGUUUUGAUGAAACUAUGGUUAGUAUCGGGGGGUAUUAGCCAUGGAAAAGUGAGAAUAAAGUAGCCCAACAUCAAUAUAGAUAGAAUUCAAGUUUUCUACAGUACCAAAAGAAGUGGUAGUUUGUUUUCUUGUGCUAAUGUUAUCACGAGUUUCUGUUGAAGUUUUGUGUUGUGAAGUUUUCAAGUUUUGGGUGAUGUUCUCAUGGACGAUGAGAUAAGGAGUGGAAAGAUUUCAAGCUUGGGGAUGCCCAAGGCAUCCCAAUCCAAAUUAAAGGACACCAAAAAGCCUAAGCUUGGGGAUGCCCCGGGAAGGCAUCCCCUCUUUCGUCUUCAAUCCAUCGGUAACAUUACUUGGAGCUAUAUUUUUAUUCACCACACGAUAUGUGUUUUGCUUGGAGCGUCUUGAUCGUAGGAGUCUUUUCUUUUUGUUGUGUCACAAUCAUCCUUGCUGCACACCUUUUUGAGAGAGAGAGAGAGACAUGCACUCAUCGUGAUUUUGCUAGAAUGCUCAUAGUGCUUCACUUAUAUCUUUUGAGCUAGAUACUUUUGCUCUAUGUGCUUCACUUAUAUCUUUUAGAGCACGACGGUGCAUGAUUUGGUAGUUGGCUUAUGCUAUGAAAGUAGUACCAAAGGUGAUAGAUACCCAAAGAGGAUGCAAAAACAUCCAUCUUCAUGUGCAUUGAAUAGAAAGAGAAGUUUUGAUUCCUCUCAAAUAGUUUUGAGACGUGGAUUUGGUAAUAUUAAGAGCUAUGUUAGUAGGGUGUUGUGAAUCUAGAAAUACUUGUGUUGAAGUUAGUGAUUCCCCUAGCAUGCAUGUAUGGUGAACCGCCAUGUUAGGAAGUCGGAGCAUAAUUGAUCUAUUGAUUGUCAUCCUUUGUGUUGAGGUCGGGAUCGCGCGAUGGUUUACACCUACCAACCCUUCCCCUCGGAGCAUGCGUUUAGCACUUUGUUUCGAUUACUAAUAAAAACUUUCGCAACAAGUAUGUGAGUUCUUCAUGACUAAUGUGAGUCCAUGGUAUAUAUGCACUUACCUUCCACCAUUGCUAGCCUCUAUAGUGCCGCGCAAUUCUCGCCGGUGCACAAACCCACCAAAUUCCUUCCUCAAAACAACCACCAUACCUACCUACUAUGGCAUUUUCAUAGCCAUUCCGAGAUAUAUUGCCAUGCAACUCCCACCGUUCCGUCUCAUGACUUGUGCCGUCACUCUCAUAUUGCCAUUGCAUGAUCGUAAGAUAGCUAGCGAGAUGUUUCAACGUCAUACGCCAUGCUAGAUCGUUGCACAUCCCGGUACACUGCCGAAGACAUUUCCUAUGGAGUCAUCAUUGUGAUUUUUGAGCUGUGAGUAAAUAAAAGUGUGAUGAUCAUCAUUAUUAGAGCAUUGUCCCAUGUGAGGAAAAAAAGAGGCCAAAGAGCCCAAAAACAAAAAAAGGGAAAAAAAGAGAGGCCUAAGAUCCCAGAUGAAAAAAAAGAAAAGAGAGAAAAAGAGAGAAGGGACAAUGCUACUAUCUUUUUCCACACUUGUGCUUCAUGAUAGCACCAUGUUCUUCAUGAUUGAGAGCUUCUUGCUUUGUCACUACGAUAUGCUAGUGGGAAUCUUCGUUAUAUAACUUGGCUUGUAUAUUCCAAUGAUGGGCUUCCUCAAAAUUGCCUUAGGUCUUCGUGAGCAAGCAAGUUGGAUGCACACCCACUAGUUCUCCUUUUGAGCUUUCACAUAAUUAUUGCUCUAGUGCAUCUCUUGUAUGGCACUCCCUACUCAUUCACAUUGAUAUCUAUUAACGGGCAUCUCCAUAAUCCUUUGAUAUGUCGAGUCAAUGUGACCAUCUCCUCUUUUUUGUCUCACAACCACCACCACACUCUAUUCCACCUAUAGUGCUAUAUCCAUGGCUCGCGCUCAUGUAUUGCGUGAUAGUUAUAAAAAGUUUGAGAAAGUAAGAGUGCGAAAACAAUUACUUGGCCAAUACCGGGGUUGUGCAUGAUUUACAUUAGUUGUGUGAGGAUGAUAGAGCAUAGCCAGACUAUAUGAUUUUGAAGGGAUAACUUUCCUUGGCCUUGUUAUUUUGAAAGUUCAUGAUUACCUUGCUAGUUUGCUUGAAGUAUUAUUGUUUUCAUGUCAAUAGAAAACUAUUGUUUCGAAUCUUACGGAUCUGAACAUUCAUGUCACGUGAAAGAAGUUGAAAAGGACAACUAUGCUAGGUAGCAUUCCACAUCAAAAAUUCAUUCUUUAUCACUUCCCUACUUAAGGACGAGCAGGAGUUAAGCUUGGGGAUGCUUGAUACGUCUCCAACGUAUUUGUAAUUUUUGAUGGUUUCAUGCUAUUAUCUGGUCAAACUUUGGAUGUUAUGCAUGCCUGAUACGUCCAUUUUGCAUCAUCUUUUCAUGUUGUUAUUUAUCGCCUCUUUGGCUGUUUUUUCACUUCACGGUACAAUUCUUAUGCCUUUUCUCUCUUAUUUUGCAAGGUUUACAUGAAGAGGGAGAAUACCGGCAACUGGAAUUCUGGCUUGAAAGUGGAGCAAAGUUGAGAUACCUUUUCUGCGCAACUCCAAACGCCGUGAAAAUCAACGGGGAUUUUUUCCCAAUUUAUCAAAAAUACUGGGCCGAAGAAGUGCCAGAGGGGCACGAGGGGGUGCCCACAAGCCUGCACAGCGCGGCCACCCCCCAGGUCGCGCCAUGAGGGCUUGUGGGCAGCCCACUAGCCCACUUGCUCCCCUCUUUUGCUAUAUGGAGGGUUUCGUCCAGGAAAAAAUCGACAGGAGCUUUUUCGUGGUUUCGCCGCCGCCACGAGGCGAAACUUGAGCAGAACCAAUCUAGAGCUCCGGCAGGAUGAUCCUGCCGGGGAAACUUCCCUCCCGGAGGGGGAAAUCGUCGCCAUCGUCAUCACCAACACUCCUCUAAUCGCAGGGGACUCGUCACCAUCAACAUCUUCAUCAGCACCAUCUCAUCUCCAAACCCUAGUUCAUCACUUGUAACCAAUCUCCGUCUCGCGACUCCGAUUAGUACUUGUAAGGUUGCUAGUAGUGUUGAUUACUCUUUGUAGUUGAUGCUAGUUGGAUUAUUUGGUGGAAGAGUUUAUUUUCAGAUCCUUGAUGCUACUCAUUACGCCUCUGGUCAUGAAUAUGAUUAUGCUUUGUGAGUAGUUACUUUUGUUCCUGAGGACAUGGGAUAAGUCAUGCUAAUAGUAGUCAUGUUAAUUUGGUAUUCGUUCGGUAAUUUGAUAUGUUGUAUGUUGUUUUUCCUCUAGUGGUGUUAUCUGAACAUCGACUACAUAACACUUCACCAUUAUUUGGGCCUAGAGGAAGGCAUUGGGAAGUAGUAACUAGAUGAUGGGUUGCUAGAGUGACAAAAGCUUAAACCCUAGUUUAUGCGUUACUUCUUAAGGGGCUGAUUUGGAUCCACUAGUUUAAUGCUAUGGUUAGACUUUGUCUUAAUUCUUCUUUCGUAGUUGCGGAUGCUUGCGAGAGGGGUUAAUCAUAAGUGGGAUGCUUGUCCAAGUAAGUGCAGUACCCAAGCGCUGGUCCACCCUGAUACGUCCAUUUUGCAUCAUGUUUUCAUGUUGAUAUUUAUCGUUUCUUUGGCUGUUAUUUCACUUCACGGUACUAUUCCUAUGCCUUUUUCUCUUAUUUUGCAAGGUUUACAUGAAGAGGGAGAAUACCGGCAACUGGAAUUCUGGCCUGAAAGUGGAGCAAAGUUGAGGUACCUAUUCUACGCAACUCCAAACGCCGUGAAAAUGAACGGAGAUUUUUUUUCCCAAUUUAUAAAAAAAUACUGGGCCAAAGAAGUGCCGGAGGGGCACCAGGGGGUGCCCACAAGCCUCCACGGCGCGGCCACCCCCCAGGCCGCGCCAUGGGGGCUUGUGGGCAGCCCACUAGCCUACUGGCCCCCCUCUUUUGCUAUAUGGAGGGUUCCGUCCAGGAAAAAUGAGAAGGGAGCUUUUUCGUGGUUUCGCCACCGCCAUGAGGCGGAACUUGAGCAGAACCAAUCUAGAGCUCUGGCAGGAUGAUCCUGCCGGGGAAACUUUCCUCCCGGAGGGGGAAAUCAUCGCCAUCGUCAUCACCAACACUCCUCUCAUCGGAGGGGACUCGUCACCAUCAACAUCUUCAUCAGCACCAUCUCAUCUCCAAACCCUAGUUCAUCUCUUCUAACCAAUCUCCGUCUCAAGACUCUCAUUGGUACUUGUAAGGUUGCUAGUAGUGUUGAUUACUCUUUGUAGUUGAUGCUAGUUGGAUUACUUGGUGGAAUAGUUUAUGUUCAGAUCCUUGAUGCUACACAUUAUGUUGGAAAUAUGCCCUAGAGGCAAUAAUAAAUUAGUUAUUAUUAUAUUUCUUUGUUCGUAAUAAUCGUUUAUUAUCCAUGCUAUAAUUGUAUUGAUUGGAAACACAAUACUUGUGUGGAUACAUAGACAAAACACUGUCCCUAGUAAGCCUCUAGUUGACUGGCUCGUUGAUCAAAGAUGGUCAAGGUUUCCUGGCCAUAGGCAAGUGUUGUCACUUGAUAACGGUAUCACAUCAUUAGGAGAAUCAUGUGAUGGACUAGACCCAAACUAAUAGACGUAGCAUGUUGAUCGUGUCAUUUUGUUGCUACUGUUUUCUGCGUGUCAAGUAUUUGUUCCUAUGACCAUGAGAUCAUAUAACUCACGGACACCGGAGGAAUGCUUUGUGUGUAUCAAACGUCACAACGUAACUGGGUGACUAUAAAGAUGCUCUACAGGUAUCUCCGAAGGUGUUCGUUGAGUUAGUAUGGAUCGAGACUGGGAUUUGUCACUCCGUGUGACGGAGAGGUAUCUCGGGGCCCACUCGGUAAUACAACAUCACACACAAGACUUGCAAGCAAUGUGACUUAGUGUAAGUUGCGGGACCUUGUAUUACGGAACGAGUAAAGAGACUUGCCGGUAAACGAGAUUGAAAUAGGUAUGCGGAUACUGACGAUCGAAUCUCGGGCAAGUAACAUACCGAAGGACAAAGGGAAUGACAUACGUGAUUAUAUGAAUCCUUGGCACUGAGGUUCAAACGAUAAGAUCUUCGGAGAAUAUGUAGGAUCCAAUAUGGGCAUCCAGGUCCCGCUAUUGGAUAUUGACCGAGGAGUCUCUCGGGUCAUGUCUACAUAGUUCUCGAACCCGCAGGGUCUGCACACUUAAGUUUCGACGUUGUUUUAUGCGUAUUUGAGUUAUAUGGUUGGUUACCGAAUGUUGUUCGGAGUCCCGGAUGAGAUCACGGACGUCACGAGGGUUUCCGGAAUGGUCCGGAAACGAAGAUUGAUAUAUAAGAUGACCUCAUUUGAUUACCGGAAGGUUUUCGGAGUUACCGGGAAUGUACCGGGAAUGACGAAUGGGUUCCCGGAGUUCACCGGGGGGGGCAACCCACCCCGGGGAAUCCCAUAGGCCAUAAGGGUGGCGCACCAGCCCUUAGUGGGCUGGUGGGACAGCCCAAAAGGGCCCUAUGCGCCAUACAAAGGAAAAUCAAAGCAAAAGGAAAAAAAAGGGAGGUGGGAAGGAAGGGAAGGACUCCCACCGACCAAACCAAGUCCAACUCGGUUUKGGGGGGGGAGCCUUCCCCCCUUGGACUCGGCCGACCCCCUUGGGGCUCCUUGAGCCCCAAGGCAAGGUCCCCUCCCUCCCACCUAUAUAUACGGAGGUAUGGGGGCUGAUUUGAGACGACUUUUCCACGACAGCCCGACCACAUACCUCCACGGUUUUUCCUCUAGAUCGCGUUUCUGCGGAGCUCGGGCGGAGCCCUGCUGAGACAAGGUCAUCACCAACCUCCGGAGCGCCGUCAUGCUGCCGGAGAACUCUUCUACCUCUCCGUCUCUCUUGCUGGAUCAAGAAGGCCGAGAUCAUCGUCGAGCUGUACGUGUGCUGAACGCGGAGGUGCCGUCCGUUCGGUACUAGAUCGUGGGACUGAUCACGGGAUUGUUCGCGGGGCGGAUCGAGGGACGUGAGGACGUUCCACUACAUCAACCGCGUUCACUAACGCUUCUGCUGUACGAUCUACAAGGGUACGUAGAUCACUCAUCCCCUCUCGUAGAUGGACAUCACCAUGAUAGGUCUUCGUGCGCGUAGGAAAAUUUUUGUUUCCCAUGCGACGUUCCCCAACAGUGGCAUCAUGAGCUGGGUUCAUGCGUAGAUGUCUUCUCGAGUAGAACACAAAAGUUUUUGUGGGCGGUGAUGUGCAUUUUGCUUCCCUCCUUAGUCUUUUCUUGAUUCCACGGUAUUGUUGGAUCGAAGCGGCUCGGACCGACAUUACUCGUACGCUUACGAGAGACUGGUUUCAUCGCUACGAGUAACUCAGUUGCUCAAAGAUGACUGGUGGGUGUCAGUUUCUCCAACUUUAGUUGAAUCGGAAUUGACCGAGGAGGUCCUUGGAUGAGGUUAAAUAGCAACUCAUAUAUCUCUGUUGUGGUGUUUGCGUAAGUAAGAUGCGAUCCUACUAGAUACCCAUGGUCACCACGUAAAACUUGCAACAACAAAAUUAGAGGACGUCUAACUUGUUUUUGCAGGGUAUGCUUGUGAUGUGAUAUGGCCAACGAUGUGAUGUGAUAUAUUGGAUGUAUGAGAUGAUCAUGUUGUAAUAGUUAAUAUCGACUUGCACGUCGAUGGUACGGCAACAGGCAGGAGCCAUAGGGUUGUCUUUAUAACUAACGUUUGUGCUUGCAGAUGCGUUUACUAUUUUGCUAGGAUGUAGCUUUAGUAGUAAUAGCAUGAGUAGCACGACAACCCCGAUGGUGACACGUUGAUGGAGAUCAUGAUGAUGGAGAUCAUGGUGUGACGCCGGUGACAAGAAGAUCGUGGCGGUGCUUUGGUGAUGGAGAUCAAGAAGCACGUGAUGAUGGCCAUAUCAUGUCACUUAUGAAUUGCAUGUGAUGUUAAUCAUUUUAUGCACCUUAUUUUGCUUAGAAUGGCGGUAGCAUUAUGAGGUGAUCUCUCACUAAAAUUUCAAGACGAAAUUGUGUUCUCCCCGACUGUGCACCGUUGCUACAGUUCGUCGUUUCGAGACACCACGUGAUGAUCGGGUGUGAUAGACUCAACGUUCACAUACAACGGGUGCAAAAGAGUUGCGCAUGCGGAACACUCGGGUUAAGCUUGACGAGCCUAGCAUGUGCAGACAUGGCCUCGGAACACAUGAGACCGAAAGGUCGAGCAUGAAUCGUAUAGUUGAUAUGAUUAGCAUAGAGAUGCUUACCACUGAAACUAUUCUUGACUCACGUGAUGAUCGGACUUGAGAUAGCGGAUUUGGAUCAUGUACCACUCAAAUGACUAGAAAGAUGUACUUUUUGAGUGGGAGUUCUUAAGUAAUAUGAUUAAUUGAACUAAUUGUCAUGAACAUAGUCUAAUGGUCUUUGUGAAUUACGAUGUAGCUUGCGCUAUAGCUCUACUGUUUUUAUAUGUUCCUAGAGAAAAUUUAGUUGAAAAUUGAUAGUAGCAAACUUUGCAGACUGAGUCUGUAAAACCAAGGAUUGUCCUCGUUUCUAUGCAGUAGGCUUAUGUCCUUAAUGCACCACUCGGUGUGCUGCACCUCGAGCGUCGUCUGUGGAUGCUAUGAACAUCCGACAUACACGUUUCUGAUGACUACACGAUAGUACAGUGCAAAAUACUUAAUGGCUUAGAAGCAAGGCGCCGAAAACAUUGUAAAACGUCACGGAACAUAAGUGAUGUUCUAAAGAGAUGAAAUUGUGAUUUCAUGCUUGUGCCCUUGUUAAGAGGUACGAGACCUCCAACAAGAUUCUUUGUCCACAAAGUAAAGGAGAAAAGCUCAAUCGUUGAGCGUGUGCUUAGAUUGUCUGAGUACGAUAAUCACUUGAAUCAAGUGGGAGUUAAUCUUCCAGAUGAGAUAGUGAUGGUUCUCCAAAGUCACUUCCACCAAGCUGUGAGAGCUUCGUGAUGAACUAUAACAUAUCAAGGAUAGAUACAAUGAUCCUUGAGCGAUUCACGAUGUUUGACACUGCGAAAGUAGAAAUCAAGAAGGAGCGUCGAUAGUUGAUGGUUUGUAAAACCACUAAGUUUCAAGAAAGGCAAGGGCUAGAAGGGAUACUUCGUGAAACGGCAAAACAGUUGCUGCACUAAUGAAGAGACCCAAGAUUAAACCCAAACCUGAGACUAAGUGCUUCUGUAAUGAGGGGAACAAUCACUGAGGCGGAGGAACUCUAGAUACUUGGUAGAUAAGAAGGCUGGCAAAAGUCGAAAGAAGUGUAUUUGAUAUACAUGAUGUUGAUGUGUACUUUACUAGUACUCCUAGUAGCAUGAGGGUAUUGGAUACCGGUUCGGUUGCUAAGUGAUUAGUAACACGAAAUGAAAGCUACGACAUAAACGGAGACUAGCUAAAGGCGAGGUGACGAUACGUGUUGGAAGUGUUUCGAAGGUUGAUAUGAUCAAACGUCGCACGCUCCCUCUACCAUCGGGAUUGAUGUUAAACCUAAAUAAUUGUUAUUUGGUGCUUGCGUUAAGCAUGCACCGUGGGCUUAUAGAACUGCCUAUAAGAAUACCAUCGGCAUGUCUCCGUACAAAAUGGUGUAUGGGAAAGCAUGUCACUUACCUCUUGAGCUAGAGCAUGAAGCUUAUUGGGCAAUCAAAGAGCUCAACUUUGAUUUCAAACUUGCCGGUGAGAAGAGGUUAUUUGACAUUAGCUCGCUUGAUGAGUGGAGAACUCAAGCAUAUGAGAAUGCCAAGCUCUUCAAAGAGAAGGUUAAGAGGUGGCAUGAUAAGAGGAUACAAAAGCAUGAGUUCAAUGUAGGUGAUUAUGUCUUGCUAUAUAACUCUCGUUUAAGAUUCUUUGCAGGCAAGCUCCUCUCUAAAUGGGCAGGUCCCUAUGUUGUUGAGGAAGUAUAUCGUUCCGAUGCUAUCAAGAUCAACAACACGGAAGGUAAUUGUCCGAGAGUGGUAAAUGGGCAGAGAAUCAAGCAUUAUAUCUGAGGUACUCCCAUAAAUAUUGAAAGCAAUAUCAUCAAUACCAUAACUCCGGAAGAAUACCUAAGGGACAUUUAUCAGCCUCUUUCAGACUCCGAAAACGAAGAGGUAUGUGUUUCGGUAAGAAAACAGAGUCCAAAACUUUUCCAGUAGGAAAUUUUCUCCAUUUUGGAAUAUUUGAAAAAAUACAAAAAUUUGAAGUAGUCUGGAAAGUGCAUGAGGAGGCGAUAAGCCUGCACGGCGCGGGCCCACCCCCUGGUCGCGCCGUGAGGGCUUGUGGCCACCUCGUGCGCCUCCCGGACUCCGCUUUCGUGCAGGGGACUCCUUCUGGUCUGAAAAAAAUCAUUAUAUAUACUUCCGUUUGGGCUGACCCCUGCAUCACGCAGAUUUCCUCUGUUUUUCGUUUCGAGCCUGUUUCUGUUGCAGAUCUAGAUCGCUAUGACUUCCCCAAAAGCUUCGAAGGACAAGAUCUUCAAGAAGAUCUCCAAGGAAGACAACUGAGCAUUGGUAUGGGCCCCGGUAUCGUAUCACCAUCACAUCUUUUGCCUUUACCUUUGUUUUAGUUUUCCUUUUCAGUUUUCUCUUUCUCUAGUAGUCUUAAAAGUCUUAGUGUUUUAGUUUUGAGUUUUGCUUUGUGUCACCCCCGAUGUAUUCUUGCUCGUGAGCCAUAUAAUAAAGAGUGUCUUAGUUGAAGGGCUUUGCCUCUUGCCAUGAUCAAAAGAGUGAGAAUUGAACAAAAGCAUGAAAGAUCAUGUAAUGAUCUUAUGCGAAGUGAUGGCUUCACAUAUAAAAAGAAUGAGGAUUGAAACUUGUUGAGGGUAGGCAAACGUAGACCUUGCUCAUUGUUGCAAUUAAUAGGAAGUGAUAAAGAAGGAGAGGUUCACAUAUAAAUAUAUCAUCUCUGACACCAUCUAUGAUUGUGAACACUCACUAAACUAUUACAAGCCUAGAAGUAGAUGUUGGACAAGGAAGACAACGUAAUGAAUUGUGUUUGCUUGGCUCUGAACAAUGUAAUAUGAUUAGAGAUCCCUUAGCAUGUGACGAUUGCUUCCACCUCAUUUUAGCUAAAACUCUCGCACCAAGUAGAGAUACUACUUGUGCAUCCAUAAACCAUCAACCCAGUUUUGCCAUGAGUGUCCACCAUACCUACCUAUGGAUUGAAUAAGAUCCCUCAAGUAAGUUGUCAUUGGUGAAAGCAAUAAAAAUUGCUCUCUAAUAUGUAUGAUCUAUUAGUGUGUGGAAAAUAAGCUUUAUACGAACCUGUGAUGAGGAAGACAUAAAAGCGAUAGACUGCAUAAUAACAUUCUUUAUCAUAGGGGGCAAUAUAAAGUGACGUUCCUCCGCACUAAGAGGACAUGCAUCCAAACCUCGAAAGCACAUGACAACCUCUGCUUCCCUCUGCGAAGGGCCUAUCUUGUACCUUUACUUUUUGUCCCUCAAAGAGUCAUGGUGAUCUUCAGCAAUUCCCUAUUUUGCCUUUGUCUUGGCUACCGUCACAUGCUUGGGAAAGAUCUAUAUUCAUAUGUCAACUUGGAGGUAGGCAUUCAUGAAUUAUUAUUGUUGACAUUACCCUUGAGGUAAGAAGUUGGGAGGCAAAUAUAAGCCCCUAUCUUUCUCUGUGUUCAGCUGAAACUUUGAUCUCAUGAGUACCACAUGAGUUGUAGCAAUUAUAGAAAACGAAAUAAUGAUUGAGUAUGUGGAUUUGCUUUACAAGCUCUUACUUGACUCUUUCUGAUGUUGUGAUAAAUUGCAAUUGCUUCAAUGACUAAAGGCUAUCGGUUGUUACUUCUCGGUAAGGUUCUUGAUCCAUGCUUUACUUUGUGAAGGAAUUAUCACUUUAGCAUGAGAGAUUAUAUGUUGGUAUUGCUGUUCUGAUCAUGAUCAUGAUGCAUGCAUGUUCGUAUCUUGUUUUGUCGACACCUUGCUUCCUAAACACGUGGACAUAUUUAUUGAGCUAGGCUUUCGCUUGAGGACAAGCGAGGUCUAAGCUUGGGGGAGUUGAUACGUCCAUUUUGCAUCAUGUUUGCAUGUUGAUAUUUAUCGCUUCUUUGGCUGUUAUUUCACUUCACGGUACUAUUCUUAUGCCUUUUCUCUCUUAUUUUGCAAGGUUUACAUGAAGAGGGAGAAUACCGGCAACUGGAAUUCUGGCCUGAAAGUGGAGCAAAGUUGAGAUAUCUAUUCUGCGCAACUCCAAACGCCGUGAAAAUCAACGGAGAUUUUUUCCCCAAUUUAUAAAAAAUACUGGGCCGAAGAAGUGCCGGAGGGGCACCAGGGGGUGCCCACAAGCCUGCACAGUGCGGCCACCCCCCAAGCCGCGCAAUGAGGGCUUGUGGGCAGCCCACUAGCCCACUGGCCCCCCUCUUUUUCUAUAUGGAGGGUUUUGUCCAAGAAAAAAAUGAGAAGGGAGCUUUUUUGUGGUUUCACCGCCGCCACGAGGCGGAACUUGAGCAGAACCAAUCUAGAGCUCUGGCAGGACGAUCCUUCUGGGGAAACUUCCCUCCCGGAGGGGGAAAUCAUCGCCAUCGUCAUCACCAACACUCCUCUCAUCGGAGGGGACUCGUCACCAUCAACAUCUUCAUCAGCACCAUCUCAUCUCCAAACCCUAGUUCAUCUCUUGUAACCAAUCUCCGUCUCGCGACUCCGAUUGGUACUUGUAAGGUUGCUAGUAGUGUUGAUUACUCUUUGUAGUUGAUGCUAGUUGGAUUACUUGGUGGAAGAGUUUAUGUUCAGAUCCUUGAUGCUACUCAUUACACCUCUGAUCAUGAUUAUGAUUAUGCUUUGUGAGUAGUUACUUUUGUUCGUGAGGACAUGGGAUAAGUCAUGCUAAUAAUAGUCAUGUGAAUUUGGUAUUCAUUCGGUAUUUUGAUAUGUUGUAUGUUGUUUUUCCUCUAGUGGUGUUAUGUGCACGUCGACUACAUAACACUUCACCAUUAUUUGGGCCUAGAGGAAGGCAUUGAGAAGUAGUAAGUAGUUGACGGGUUGCUAGAGUGACAGAAGCUUAAACCCUAGUUUAUGAGUUGCUUCGUAAGGGGCUAAUUUGGAUCCACAAGUUUAUUGCUAUGGUUAGACUUUGUCUUAAUUCUUAUUUCGUAGUUGCGGAUGCUUGCGAGAGGGGUUAAUAAUAAUUGGGAUGCUUGUCCAAGUAAGGGCAGUACCCAAGCGCCGGUCCACCCACAUAUCAAACUAUCAAAGUAAGGAACGCGAAUCAUAUGAACAUGAUGAAAACUAGCAUGACAGAAAUUCCCGUGUGUCCUCGGGAGUGUUUUUCCUCCUAUAAGACUUUGUCCAGGCUUGUCUCUUGCUACAAAAGGGAUUGGGAUACUUUUCUGCACCGUUGCUACUUUUUGUUACUUGUUGCUUGCUACGAAUCAUCUCACCACACAAUCACUUAUCACCGAUAGUUUCAGUGCUUGCACAUAUUUCCUUGCUAAUAACCACUUGUCACGAUCCUUUUGCGUCCUCGUUGGGUUCGACACUCUUACUUAUCAAAAGGACUACGAUUGACCCCCUAUACUUGUGGGUCAUCGACUACCCAAUACUCAAACUAUCAAAGUAACGAACGCGAAUCGUAUGAACAUGAUGAAACUAGCAUGACAGAAAUUCCCGUGUGUCCUCGGGAGCGUUUUUCCUCCUAUAAAUGCCCUUUAUAUAUUUUUUGGGACUAACUUAUUAACUCAGUGCCAAGUGCCAAUUCCUGUUUUUUCCAUGUUUUUGACCCCUUUCAGAGGAGAUUUUGAAACUGAGUCCAAACAGAAGAAAAUCUCCUAAAAGAUUUUUUUCGUAACGGAAGAAGAUCGGGAAGCUUUAGAGCCAAGGCAGGGGAGCCUCAGGGGCCCCACAAGCCCCCACCCCACGGCCGAGGGGGGAGGCCGCAUCUCAUAGGCUUGUGGGCCCCCUGGAUGCCCUCUACCCUAGGGGUUGCGCCUAUAAAUUCCCUAAAAAUCCAAAAAAAUCAGCAGAUCAUCGAAAUUACUUUUCCGCCGCCGCAAGAUUCUGUCUCCGCAAGAUCCCAUCUGGGGCACGUUCUGGUGCCCUGCCGGAGGAGAGAUACGGAGGGCUUCUUCAUCAACACCAUGACCUCUCCGAUGAUGCGUGAGUAGUUCACCAUAGACCUACGGGUCCAUAGCUAGUAACUAGAUGGCUUCUUCUCUCUCUUGGAUCUUCAAUACAAAGUUCUCCAUGAUCUUCAUUGAAAUCUAUCCGAUGUAAUCUUCUUUUGCGGUGUGUUUGUCGAGAUCCGAUGAAUUGUGGAUUUAUUGUCAGAUUAUCUAUGAAUUUUAUUUGAUUUUCUUCUGAUCUCUCUUAUGCAUGAUUUCAUAUCCUUGUAAUUCUCUUCGAGUUGUGGGUUUUGUCUGGCCAAUUAGAUCUAUGAUUCUUGCAAUGGGAGAAGUGCUUGGUUUUGGGUUCAUACCGUGCGGUGACCUCACCCAGUGACAGAAGGGGUAGCGAGGCACACAUCAUGUUAUUGCCAUCAAGGGUAAAAAGAUGGGGUUUUCAUCAUUGGUUUGAGAUUAUCCCUCGACAUCAUGUCAUCUUGCUUAAGGCAUUACCCUGUUCGUCAUGAACUCAAUACACUAGAUGCAUGCUGGAUAGCGAUCGAUGUGUGGAGUAAUAGUAGUAGAUGCAGAAAGUAUCGGUCUACUUGUCUCGGACGUGAUGCCUAUAUGUAUGAUCAUUGCCUUAGAUAUCGUCAUGACUUUGCGCGGUUCUAUCAAUUGCUCGACAGUAAUUUGUUCACCCACCGUGAUAUUUGCUAUUUUGAGAGAAGCCUCUAGUGAACACUAUGGCCCCCAGGUCUACUCCACACCAUAUUUUCAGCCUUACACUUUGUACUUCGUUGCACUUUCCGCCUUCAGAUCUCACUUUGCAAAAAAUCUUGAAGGGAUUGACAGCCCCUUUGAAGCGUUGGGUGCAAGCUUGUUUGUGUUUGCGUAGGUACUCUGGACUUGACAAGACCCUCCUUCUGGAUCGAUACCUUGGUUCUCAAACUGAGGGAAAUACUUAUUGCUCCUGUGCUGCAUCACCCUUUCCUCUUCAAGGAAAAAACCAACGCAAGCCCAGUCUCCGUCAACGUGUCAAUUUCUGGCGUUGUUGUUUGAGAAGUAGCAAUGCGGCAUCUGGAGGCGUCUCCUGCCAGGAUCACAUGAAGAGAGACUUUUUUGCAAUCACCCGUAGGACGUUGCGGCUCCGGCAAUUCAGGCAUCAUCAAGUCAUCUCCACGCUCAUAACCCGAGUCGUACUCCCGAGCAUCGUCAUAGCCGGUAUUGAUAUACUGGUUAGGGUUAUCAGCAUCCUCCUCCAUGACAUCAUCAUCAUUUGGUUCGUCGACGGGGGCGACAUCAGCUGGCACUAAUGGAGGCUCUCCCUCGUCACGUGGACCGCUAUCACCCGCCGCGACAUGUUCAUGUAAUUGGCUAGGUUGGGUGGUGUUCAUACCUUGUUGAGGAGUUGUCGUUGGUGUGCUACCGGGCGCCUAGACACGAAGGCGUGUCUUCGGCCAAGGCAAGAUUAAGCUCUUGCAUGUGCCAAUCUUUUAGGGGUCUCGUCAUCAUCGACUGGUGUUGGAAGAGGCAAAUCCUCGAAGCCCGCUGAUAACCCACAAGUAUAGGGGAUCGCAGCAAUUUUCGAGGGUAGAGUAUUCAACCCAAAUUUGUUGAUUCGACACAAGGGGAAGCGAAAGAAUAUUCUCGAGUAUUAGCAGUUGAGUUGUCAAUUCAACCACACCUGAAAGACUUAGUAUCUGCAGCAAAGUAUUAGUAGCAAAGUAUUGUGAUAGCAAGAGUAGCAACGGUAACAUUAGUAGCAGUGACAGCAGUAACGGUAACAGUAGUAGCCUUGACAGCAGUAGUGGCAAAGUAACGUAGCAAGAACCAGUAGGAAAAGACUCGUAGGCAUUGGAUCGGUGAUGGAUAAUUAUGCCGGAUGACAUUCAUCAUGCAACAGUUAUAACAUGGGGAGAUAUGUAACUAGCUCCAGUUCGUCAAUGUAAUGUAGGCAUGUAUUCCGUAUAUAGUCAUACGUGUUUAUGAAAAUAAUUUGCAUGACAUCUAUUGUCCAUCCCUCCCAUGGCAGCGGGGUCCUAAUGGAAACUACAGGAUAUUAAGGUUCUCCUUUUAAUAGAGAACCGGAACAAAGCAUUAGCACUUAGUGAAUACAUGAACUCCUCAUACUAUGGUCAUCUCCGAGAGUGGUUUCGGCUAUUGCCACUCCGAGGUUGUCGGGUCAUAACACAUAGUAGGUUACUACAACUUGCAAGGUAGGAUCAAGAACACACAUAUAUUGACGAGAACAUAAUAGGUUCAGAUCUGAAAUCAUGGCACUCGGGCCCUAGUGACAAGCAUUAAGCAUGGCAAAGUAGUAGCAACAUCAAUCUCAGAACAUAGUGGAUACUAGGGAUCAAUCCCCAUCAAAACUAACUCGAUUACAUGAUAGAUCUCGUCCAACCCAUCAUCGUCCAGCAAGCCUACGAUGAGAUUACUCACGAAUGGUGAAGAGCAUCAUGGAAUAGGCGAUGAAGGAAGGUUGGUGAUGACGACGGUGACGGUCUCCCCUCUCCGGAGCCCAGAACGGACUCCAGAUCUGUCCUCCAAAGGAAAAACAGGUGGUGGCGGCGCCUCCGUAUCAUAAAACGCGAUGAACUCUUCUCCUUGAUUUUUUUCUGGGCGAAUGGGACUAAAUAGAGCUGGAGUUGGAGGCGACGGAGCCCCGAGGGCCCCACAAGCCUACUAGACGCGGCCAGGGGGGCCGGCGCCUCCUGGGAUUGUGGGCUCCUCGCUCCACGCCUCCGGUUGAUUCUUGCACCAGUAUUUUUAUAUAUUCCAAAAAAAUUCCUCGUAAAUUUCCACGUCAUUCCAAGAAAUUUUAUUUCUGCGCAAAAACAACACCAUGGCAAUUCUGCUGAAAACAGCGUUAGUGCGGGUUAGUUCCAUUCAAAUCAUGCAAAUUAGAGUCCAAAACAAGGGCAAAAGAGUUUGGAAAAGUAGAUACGAUGGAGACAUAUCAACUCCCCCAAGCUUAAAGCCUUUCUUGUCCUCGAGCAAUUCAGUUGACAAACUGAAAGAGACAAAAGAAAAACUUUUACGAACUCUGUUUGAUCUUGUUGUUGUAAUUAUGUCUAACUCAUAUUCAGAUUUUCAGCAAGAUCAUAAGCUAACCACAUAAGCAAUGCCAUUUAGGUCUCAUGGUAAACUCAUAUCAAUGGCAUAAUCAACUAGUGAGCAAUAAUAAUGAGUUUCGAACGUCAACACUUCAAUCAAAACAAUCAUAACACAAUAUGAACAAGUGGUAUCUCGCUAGCUCUUUCUGAGAUCGCAAAACAUAAAUGCAGAGCCCCUUCAAAGACCAAGGGCUGACUGAACAUUGUAAUUCAUGACAAAGAAGAACCAGUCACAGUUAUACUCAAUAUCAAUUAAAAGCAAAGCAUAAAAAUGACGGAGGUGCUCUCUAAUUGGUGCUUUUUGAAAGAAGAGGAUGACUCAACAGAAACAUAAAUAGAUAGGCCCUUCGCAGAGGGACGCAUUGAUUUGCAGAGGUGCUAGAGCUCAAGCGUUGAAGAAAGAGAUAAAUAAUUUUGGGUGGCAUGCUUUCAUUGUCAACGCGAUGACCAAGAGUUUUCACCAUCUUUCAUGCUACACAUGCUAUAGACGGUUCCCAAACAGAAAAGUAAAGUUUUGACUCCCCCACCACCGAUCAAUCACACUCCACGACUAGCCGAAUACUCGGGUGCCGUCCAUACCAACAACAAUCCAAGGGGAGUUUUGUUUGCAAUUAUCUUUUCAAUUUGAGCAUGGAACUGGGCAUUCCAAUUACGGGCCCCUUUCUCAUGAGUGAUAGUGAAUAAACACAUAUCGAGGAUAACACACCUAGCAUGGAAGAUACUGAUCGCCCCUUGUCACCACAUGAACGGUUCGGGCAUGCAAAAUAGAUUAUUACUUGAAGGUUUAGAGAGUGGCACAUGCAGGUAGAUACCGCAUGUAGGUAGGUAUGGUGGACUCAUAUGGAACACCUUUGGGUUUAUGGAAUUGGAUGCACAAGCAGUAUUCCCGCUUAGUACAAGUGAAGGCUAGCAAAAGACUGGGAAGCGACCAACUCAAGUGCGACAACAAUCAUCAAUAUGCAUUGAGAUUAACCAACAUUGAGUGGAAGCAUGAGUAGGACAUAAAUCACCAUAAACAUGAAUAUCAUAGAGGCUAUGUUGAUUUUGUUUCAACUACAUGCGUGAACAUGUGCCAAGUCAAGCCACUUGAAUCAUUCAAAGGAGGAUACCGCCCUAUCAUACUACAUCAUAAUCAUCUUGAAAUUCAUGUUGGCAUCCAAGACAAACCAUUAUAAGCUCCUAGCUAAUUAAGCAUGGCAUCAGAAACUAUGAUCUCUAAGUUGUCAUUGCAAACAUGUUUCUCUCACAAAAAAGCUGAAUCAGGAACGAUGAGCUAGUCAUAUUUACAAAAACAAAAUAGAUCGAGUUCAUACUAGCUUUUCCAGGCUCAGUCACUUCAUCAUAUAUCGUCAUUAUUGCCUUUCACUUGCACGACCGAAUGAUGUGAACAAUAAUGAGAGUGUUCGUGCAUUGGACUAAGCUGGAAUCUGCAAGUAAACACAAAGGAGAAGGCAAAGUAGUAUGGCUCUUUGACAGAUAAACAGAUAUGCAUGCGAGAGCCACUAAAGAUUGUAACCAUGGUCUUCUACCUUGACCCAAAGAAAAAGAAAACUAUUUACACGGGAAAGCUCCCAACAAGCAAAAGAAGAACAUGAAAUCUUUUGGGGUUUUCUCAAGCUAAACACACAAGAAGAAAGCGAGGAAAAGAAGUAAACUAGCAUGGAUGAUACAGUGGCAAGGUGUGAACACCGACUAACAAAGUGAAAGAGUGAGCGUGAAUAUAAAGUCGGUGAGAAACACGUACUGCCGAAAGCUUAGGCUUUUGGCCUAACUUGGUCUACUCCCAUGGCUGGUCCGGGCGAUAUCCAAAAUCAUAAUGGGGGUUGUACGGGAACGCGACAGCUACCGCCUGAAUAGCUGCCUCACAGAGGCGAGCAGCCUUCGCCUCCCUCUCAUACUCCUUUGCCUCUCCUUUGGUUAUGUAAUAUCUCCGUUUUACCUGAAAGUCAAAGAAGGCAGGAGCAGGAAGGGUAAUAUGGAAAACACGUUGUCGGUUAAAUAUUAACCGGUAUAGGAGGGAUUCGUUAUCCCUCCCAAGGAACUGAUAACGUGUCAUAGUGGCGCGAUCAAGGAAAGCUGUAUGGAGCGGGGGAUCUCCUUCGUGGAUGGGUACUCCAAGAAAAUUUGCUAUGCGAGUGGCAUAGAUCCCACCAAAGAAAUUGCCUUCAUUAGCAUUAUUAUUUAGCCUCCUUGCGAUUAUAGCUCCCAUGUUGAAACUUCUAUCACCCAUUACUGCGCUCCUAAGAAUACUAAGGUCAGGUGUGCAGAGGUGAAAAUGCUCAAUCUUGUCGUUAAUGCAUCUACCUAUGAAAAGGGCAAAGUAAUGCAAGGCAGGAAAAUGAAUGCUCCCCAUGGUAGGCUGCGUAAUAUCUCUAGUUUCUCUGACAGUUAUACUAGAGAUAAAAUCUCUAACCGAAGACUUAGGAGGAUCAUUGAGACUACCCCAAUUAGGUAUCUUGCAAAUUCUAUUGAAAUCCUCUAAAUCCAUGGUAUACGAUUUGUCAUAGAAAUCAAACAGUAUGGAUGUGUCACGGCCAGCUGAAAAUUUGAAUCUACGAACGAAAGAGGUAGUGAGAGUAGUAUACUGUUCACAUUUAUCGGAGAUGAAUUCUUCGAGCCCCGUCAUGAGAAUAACUUACUCAGCAUGGAAUAAAUGCCCUUCGUGAGAAUAACUUACUUAGCAUGGAAUAAAUGCCCCGUCACUCCAUGAGUGUUACGAGUGCACAAAACAGAUGUUUGUUUUAAUAUUUAGAGGUGGCACAUGCAAAUUUACUUGGAAUGGCAGGGUAAUACCGCAUAUAGUUAGGUAUGGUGGACUCGUGUGGAAUAACUUGGUUUUAAGGGUAUUGGAUGCACAAGCAGCAUUCCCGCUUAGUACAGGUGAAGGCUAGCAAAAGAUUGGGAAGUGACCAGCUAGAGAGCAACAACGGUCAUAAGCAUGCAUUGAAAAUAAUCAACUUUGGACAUAACAUGAGUAGCAUAUAAACACUCUGAAUUUAAAUAUCAUGAAGGCUCCAUUGGUUUUCAAUCAACUACAUGUUUGCACAUGGGCCAAGUCAAACCAUUCGAAUUACUCAGAGGGAAAUACCAUACUACUAUAUCACAUCAUAACCAUUUUAAUGCAUGUUGACACACAAGGUAAAUCAUUAUCAAAUCCUAGCUAUUUAAGCAUGGCAUGAAAAACUAUGAUCUCUAAUUGUCAUCAUAAACAUGUUCACUCAUGAUAUACUGAAUCAAGAUAGAACGAGCCAACAUAUUUACAAAAAUGAAGAACAAGAAGAGUUCAUACCCGUUUCCUUUGCCACGAUCACUUCAUCAAAUAUCUUCAUUAUUGCAUUUUACUUGCACGACCGAAUGAUGUGAUAAUAAUAAAAGUGAAAGGGUGCCAUGGACUAAACUGGAAUGUUCAGGGCACUUUUAAACAAAGGAAAAGACAUGGUAAUAUUUGCUCUUCGUUAGAUUAACAACAAAGCAUAUGAGAGACACUCAUUAUUUUCAUCGUGAUCUUCUUCUUUCAUAACUCAACGAAAAAGAAAAUAAAUUUAGAGAAACACGCUGGAAUAUUUUUGGGGUUUUUAUUUUGUAAGCAAGAAAAAUAAACUAAGGGAAAAACAAGAACAAAAAAACUAUUUACACAGGAAAGCUCCCAACAUGCAAGAGGAAAUAUUGUUGGGUUUCCUUUUAAUACUACAACUAGUUAAACAGGAAAAAACGAAAUGAAGCGAGAAGUAUUUUUGGAUUUUCUAAAGUUUUUCAAACACACAAGAAGAAAGCCGAAAAAUAAAGCUUACAUGCAUAUACAAUGAAAGAGGAUGAACACCGACAAAUUGUAUGGAGUGUGUGAACAUGAAUGAAAUGUCGGUGUGAAAUACAUACUCCCACAUGCUUAGGCUUUUGCCUAGCUUGGAUAUCACCAAUCAUAGUAACCAUCAGGUCGAGGAAAGUGUUCUAGCAGUGGCACCCGAGCAUCCCAAUCCUGGGCCUCGGGUUCUUCAGCCGCCAACAUGUCACGGUAUGCAAUUAUGUUUUCCGACAUGAUGAUGUAUCCGUUCCUAACAUGAAAAUCAAACAAAGAGGAUGCAAGCAACACAAUAAUAUCACGGGUGUUCUUUCUGUAUACUAAGUUAUACUUGAUGUCGUGCGAUAGCUCAGUUUCAGCAGUGAAGUGAUAGUCAAACAUAGAUUGGUGGUCGAGAUAAACCCGAGGUAACAAAUAAUCAGUAGGUCGUAUGGCAACAUUAAGACGCUCUGCCUAGUGCUUGACAUAAAUACAACCACAAAUCUUUCCUUUGGUUUAGUUAAUAUGUAAGCGAUGGGCAACCAUAGCUCCUAGAUUGUAAGUGUUAUCGCCAUAAAGUGCGCAACGGAAAAUAGCCAAGGUUGGGGCACUAAUACCACCACCCUGCUCCAUAGCGGUUAUGCAUUUUCCUAUAAACAAAGAGAAAUAGUGCAUAGAAGGAAAAUACAAACUAGUGGCCCUGGCGUUUGAUACGCCCUAGUCUCCUCCACAGUUUAGGUGAGGAGGAAACCCUCAAAUUCCUCAGGCUUAGGUUCGCGUAUCCCCUCGUCAUAGGGGAGCAAGCAAAUCUCAAAAAAUUCGUUUAAAGGCAAUUCAAAGUUUGUUGCAUAAAGAGCAAAGUGUACUCUGGGGGCACCAGGUGUGUUUAAGAAGUGAAAGUUUUCCACGAAGGAAUUAGUAAAGAGAUAGUAUUGGUCACACUCCUCCGCGAGGAAGUUGGUCAGCCCGGCAUUUGCAACGAAUUGCAUGAAUUCUUCAUAAAAACCAGUUUCACUGAUUAACGGUGUAUGUGGCCAUUCACAAGGCCUAACCUUUGUAUUGGAAAAACUGUUGACAUCGCGAUCUUGAGUCCUCCCAGCAGCUCCCUUGGGGCUAUGGCAAGAAGAACCUCUCCUCAAGAAAUUCAUUCUCCUAAGAACAAAUUUCUGAAAUUUUUGAGCCACAAAUUUAUGUCAAUAAAACUUCAUGGGAUAGAUAGCAACUACUCACAUGGAUAUUUAGAGGUGAUACGUCUCAAACGUAUCUAUAAUUUUUGAUGGUUUCACGCUGUUAUCUUGUCUUCUUUGUUUGUUUUAUGUACCCUUUAUAUCUUUUUUGGGAAUAACUUAUUAAUUCAGUGCCAAGUGCUAGUUCCUAUUUUUUUCCAUGUUUUUGACUCUUUUCAGAUCUGAUUUUCGAACGGAGUCCAAACGGAAGAAAAACCCCGAAAUGAUUUUUUCCCGGACGGAAGAAGAUGAGGGGGGUUUUGGGCCAAGCCAGGUGGGAUCCAGGGAGCCCACAAGCCCCCACUCCGCCACCAGGGGGGAGGCGGCGGUGGGCAGGCUUGUGGCCUCCCUGGCCACCCCUGACCUAGGUCUUUGGCCUAUAAAUUCCCAAAUAUUCCGCAAAAAAUCAGGGGAGACUCGAAAAUACUUUUCCGCCGCCGCAAGCUUCCGUUUCCGCGAGAUCUCAUCUGGAGACCCUUCCCGACACCGUGCCGGAGGGGACUUUGGAGUUGGAGGGCUUCUUCUUCAUCAUCAUCACCCCUCCAAUGAUUCGUGAGUAGUUCACUUCAGACCUACGGGUCCAUAGUUAGUAGCUAGAUGGCUUCUUCUCUCUCUUGGAUCUUCAAUACAAAAUUCUCCAUGAUCUUCAUGGAGAUCUAUCCGACGUAAUCUUCUUUGGCGGUGUGUUUGUCGAGAUCCGAUGAAUUGUGGAUUUGUGAUCAGAUUAUCUAUGAUAUAUAUUUGAGUCUUUGCUGAUUUCUUAUAUGCAUGAUUUGAUAUCCUUGUAAGUCUCUAUGAGUCUUGGGUUUUGUUUGUCCAACUAGAUCUAUGACUCUUGCAAUGGGAGAAAUGCUUGGUUUUUGGUUCUGCCAUGUGGUGACCUUUCCCAGUGACAGUAGGGGCAGCAAGGCACACAUCAAGUAGUUGCCAUCAAGGGUAAAAAGAUGGGUUUUUUAUCAUUGGUUUGAGAUUAUCCCUCUACAUCAUGUCAUCUUGCAUAAGGCGUUACUCUGUUUUUAUGGACUUAAUACACUAGAUGCAUGCUGGAUAGCGGUCGACGUGUGGAGUAAUAGUAGUAGAUGCAGACAGUAUCGGUCUACUUGUUUUGGACGUGAUGCCUAUAGAAAUAAUCAUCGCAUAGAUGUCGUCAUGACUUUGCGCGGUUCUAUCAAUUGCUCGACAGUAAUUUGUUCACCCUCCGUCUACUGGCUUUCAUGAGGGAAGCCACUAGUAAACACUACGGCCCCCGGGUCUAUUCACAUCCAUCGUUUACAUCUCCGCUUUUACUUUGCUUUGUUACUUUGUUGCUUUCAGUUCUCACUUGGCAAACAAUCUAUAAGGGAUUGACAACCCCUUCAUAGCAUUGGGAGCAAGCUUUUGUGUUUGUGCAGGAUCUUGAGAUACUCCUCCACUGGAUUGAUACCUUGGUUCUCAAACUGAGGGAAAUACUUACCACCGCUACGCUACAUCACCCUUUCCGCUUCGAGGGAACACCAACGCAAGGCUCCAAGGCCACGGGGGAAAUCCUUUGCAUACUUGCCUAGGAAGUCCCUUAAGGCGUAGCCGCAGUAGAAAGAUCAAGCCAAGUAUUCUCCCGUCGACGUGCCUAUUUCUGGCGCCUUUGGAAGGUCUUUUCUUGCAGUAGCAGAAGUAUUUCUCGCGCCGUUGCCGGGGAUACACAGCUGACAUCAAGAGGCUAUAUCAAGCAUUCAUACUACUUGGAACUCAAAGAAUUCAACAUGCAAGCUUAUUUUAUGUAGCACCAAGUGAAGCAAUUUAUGAGAAAUAUAAAACACUAAAGCAAAAACUAAUUGGAGGCAUAGAGGAGUCACAUUCCAAGGAAAAGUUUCCUCAAAACAGUUUCCGACACGAAGUUCCGAGAAAAGAGAUCAAAAGUUUUAGUUUCUAGUGGAAGAAUACAAAGGAGAGAGAGCUAAGGAAUUUUUUUCUCGAGGUAGAGGAUGAUGUGAGCUAAAGGGAUAAGGCAAGGGGGCCUGUGGGCCCCACAAGCCAUCAGGGCGCCGCCAAGGGGACCUGUUGGCUUGUGGCCCACAGGUGCGUCUCCUUGUUGUUAUUCUUAUGCCACAAAGUCUUAUUUAUUCCAGAAAAAAAUCAUGUGAAAAUUUCAUAGGAAAUAUAUGUAUUCUUCCACUAGAAACUAAAGUUUGUUAUAUAUAUCGAGAAUCUUUGUUAGUCUGUGAAAAUAUUCCAACGAAAAUUUCGUAGCAAACAUAUGUAUUCUUCCACUAGAAACUAAAGACUUCCAACAAAAGUAAAUCUUUUUAUAUAUCGAGAAUCUUCCACUAAAACCUUGAUAUAUAUAACAUAAUUUGUUAUAUGAAAAUGUUUUUUAUUCCUGAUAUAUAUAAGAGACUUCCACAAAGUCUUAGUUUCAUCCGAGCAAAGAAUUUGUUAUUCUAUCGAAACUUUUAAUUUUUGGGUCAGUUUUCUAUGGUACGAAAAACUCAGAAAACGGGGUAAUCAUGGCGUUUUAUUUUUCUUUAGCUAAUAGAAUAGAGAAUAAACUUGUGAUACAAAGAGUUGUGAAUACUCAAUUCAUCAAUCACAUGUAUUUUGAAAACGAUCCAUUAAUAAGGUGGAUCAAGUCUUAUUAAUAAUUGUUUCCGAUUAACAUGAAACCAAAGAAGUUUUGUAUAUCACUACGUUACCUCAAUGGGGAUUUGCAUCUUCCCAACAAAAAGAUUAUAGUAUUUCUUUUUAUUGGUAGUAAGUAGAGGGAUUGUAAAAUCUCUAACGAUGACCAUGGGAAUAGGCUCUAUGACAUUAAUAUUGUUAACGAAAGUGUGCUUCUUCGGAAAAUGCAUAGUAUGUUGCUUGCCAUUAAGACGAAAAAUGACCUUGCUUUUGUUGCAACCGAUAACAGCCCCUGCAGUAUUUAGAAAGGGUCUACCAAGUAUUAUCGACAUAUUAUUGUCCGCGGGUAUAUCAAGAAUAACAAAGUCUGUUAAGAUAGUAACAUUUGUAAGCACAACGGGAACGCCCUCGUAAAUUCCAAUAGGUAAAACAGUUUAUUUAUGAGCCAUUUGCAAACAUAUCUCAGUGGGUGUAAUCUUAUCCAAUUCAAGUCUUUUAUAAAGGGGGGAAAUGCAUAACAGAAACACUGGCUCCUAAAUCACAUAAAGCAGUUUUAACACAAUUUAUUUUAAUAGAGCAAGGUAUUGUGGGUAUACUCGGAUCUACUAACUUCUUAGGUAUUCCACCAUCAAAAGAAUAAUUAGAAAGCAUGGUAGAAAUUUCAUUUUCGGGUAUAUUUCGUUUGUUGGUAAUAAUAUCCUUCAUGUAUUUCGCAUACGGAGGCAUUUUCAAUAUAUCAGUCAAGUGAGUGCGCAAAAACACAGGUCUAAUCAUUUCAGCAAAGCAUUCAAAAUCUUCAUCGUCCCUACUUUUGGAUGGCUUUUGAGGGAAUGGAAUGGGUUUUUGAACCCAUGGUUCUCUUGCCCUUUCAUGUUUUCUAGUAAAAAAGUCUCUCUUAUCAUAACGUUUAUUUUUAGGAGGUGGGUUAUCAAGACCCUCAGACGGUUCUAUCUCCACAUAAUUAUUAUGUUUCUUAUUACUACCUGGUGGAUAUUCUACAUGAACAUCAUUAUUAUCAUUAUCAUUAUCAUUAAAUUCACGUUCACUACCAGAUUGUGUCUCAACAUCAGAAAUAGAAACAUCAUUAUGAUUCUUAGGAGGUUUCUCAAUACCAGGUUCACUAGGAGCAUGCAAAGUCCUAUCAUUUUUAUUUUUAUUUUUCUUCUUAGUGGGACGAGGGGUAUCAUCAUUAAUUCUCUCAGAAUCCUGCUUUAUUCUUUUAGGGUGACCUCCAGGGUAAAGAGGUUCCCAAGUCAUUCUACCUCCUCUAGUCAUUACUCUAACAACACGAUCAUUCAUAUUAUUAUUCAUUUUAACAAGAAAAUCAUUCUAUGACUUAGCUACUUGAUAUAGUUGGGUGUAAACCAUAGAGGCAUGUUUACCUAAACCUUUCACAUCAUUAGCAAUUCUAAACAUCAAGUCGCUUGAGCGGUUUAUCAUCAUACCAUUAUUUUUCAACCGAGUCUUAACAUAGUUACUGAAGUGCUCUUGCUUAACAACGUAAUUAUCAAAUUCAUCCAUGCAUUGAUCAGGAGUAUUAGCAUAAGGUAUAUCAUUUUCAGUAAGGGAACGGAGAGAGUUUACCUCUACUACCCAUGUCGGGAUAUCAAGUCCAUGUAUUUAUUCAAUCGGUGGUAAUUUCUUGACAUCCUCAAUUUUAAUACCUUUCUCUUUCAUAGUUCUUUUUUCUUCUUGCAUAUCUUCAAGGUCGAGGAAUAGAAUACCUCUCUUCCUUUGAAUAGGUUCCAGCGGUGGUUCAGGAAGUGUCCAAUCAUCGAUAUUUUGCAAUAUAUUAUUUAAUAACUCUUCUGCUUGUACAGUAUUCUUUCCCUCAAAACACAACCAGGACAACUAUGUAGGAAAUCUCUCAAAGGAGCUGUUAGUCCAUUAUGAAAUAUAUCAAGAAUUUCAUUCUUCUUAAGAGGACAAUUAGGCAAUGAUGUAAGUAACAUGAUAUGCCUCCCCAAGCUUGAGGGAUAUUCUCUUCUUUAAUUUGCACAAAGUUAAAUAUUUUCUAUAAAGCAACUUUUUUCUUAUAAGCAAGAAAUAUUUCCAAAGAAGUAAUAAAGCAUAUCCUGGGGACUACGCAUACAACGAGGAGCAAGAGAAAGGAACCAUUCCUUGGCCUUUACUUUCAACGAGAACUGAAAAGGCUUAAGGAUAUAAUGGUUGCGUAUCUUUUCAUCAUUGGUAAACAGGGUAGCAAUAUCAUUCAGUUUCAUAAGGUGUUAGACCACAGUUUCAUUUUCAUAGCCAUGGAGAGGAUCAGAUUCUACUAUAGGAAUUAGUUCAGGGUCUCUAGUGAAUUCAUAGUCCCGAUCAGUGAUAAAUAUACGAGAAGUAGCAAAUUUAGGAUCAUGUUUCAUUUUUUCCAUCAUAGAAUUUUCUUUUAGUUUGCAUAGUAAUCUCUUCAUCUCAUCUCUAUUAUCACAAGCAAGAAAAUCCCUAGCUACAUCACCAUCCAUAACAUAACCUUCAGGUACAUUAGGCAAUUCAUAUCUAUUAGGAGGACAAGGUGUAACAUGUGAUUCGUAGUCUUCAUCAGUUUCAACAUUUUCAAGUUCGCUAGCUCUAGAAAUGUGAGCAUCAAGUAAUUCACUCAGUGGUAAAGUUUCAGUUUCAAUAUGUGUAGUAAUAGUAUCAUGAUUAAUUUCAGAAGUAGCAUAUCAUCAAGUUCAUGUGAUGUAUCAGGACGAUUAACACUUGGUGGUGUAACAAGCUAAUUCAUAACAGUAGGUAAAUCAAACGCACAACUAGAUGGUUGUUGCUUACCUCCUCUCGUGCGAGAGGGGACGAUCUUAGUUUGAUUAUCUUCCAGAUUACUCAUAGUGGCAAGUGGAUAUCCUCAAGUCAAAACAACAAAUAGAGCUAUGCUCCCCGACAACGGCGCCAGAAAAAGGUGAAAGGACGUGGAUGUCGCCUAGAGGGGGGGUGAAUAGGCACUUUAAAAUAAUUAAGGUUUAGGCUUGAACAAAUGCGGAAUAAAACUAACGUUUAAUAUGUCAAGCACAAAACCUCAAACAACUAGGCUCACCUAUGUGCACCAACAACUUAUGCUAAGCAAGAUAAACAACUAAGUGAUAGCAAGAUAUAUGACAAGAGACAAUAUGGCUAUCACAAAGUAAAGUGCAUAAGUAAAGGGUUCGGGUAAGAGAUAACCGAGGUACGCGGAGACGAUGAUGAAUCCCGAAGUUCACACCCUUGCAGAUGCUAAUCUCCGUUGGAGCGGUGUGGAGGCACAAUGCUCCCCAAGAUGCCACUAAGGCCACCGUAAUCUCCUCACGCCCUCGCACAAUGCAAGAUGCCGUGAUUCCACUAAGGGACCCUUGAGGGCGGUCACCGAACCCGUACAAAUGGCAAACCUUGGGGGCGGUCACCGAACCCGUACAUGUGGCAACCCUUGGGGGCGGUUACCGGUACCCGUACAAAUUGCUCGGGGCAAUCUCCACAACCUAAUUGGAGACCCCGACGCUUGCCCGGAGCUUCACACCACAAUGAUUGAGCUCCGAGACACCACCAAGCUUCUAGGACGCCAAAGCAUCCACGAAGAACAAUAUCUAGGGUACUAAGUACCAAAGGUAAUAAGCUUCUCAAACUUCACUUCCACGUAUCACCGUGGAGAACUCAAAUCGAUGCAACCAAUGCAAUGGCAAGAACACACGAAGUGGUCAAGUCCCUCACACUCAAAUCCCUCCACAACAACGAAAGCUAUGGAGAUAUAUGAGAGGAAGAACAAGGAGAUCACAAAGAACUCCAAGAUCUCGAUCCAAGGGGUUCCCCUCACAUAGAGGAGAAAGUGAUUGGUGGAGAUGUGGAUCUAGAUCUCCUCUCUCUUUUCCCUCAAGAACAAGCAAGAAUCGUUGGAGGGAUUGAGAGUAAGCAAGCUCUAAGAAUGUCAACAAUGGUGGUAGAACAAGAGCUCAACAGAUAGAUAAGGCCAAGGGGAAAGAAGACCCCCUUUAUAUAGUGGGGGAAGGAAUCAGAACGUUACCCCCACUUACAGCCCGAGCCCAGCGGUACUACCGCUGACCCUCCGGCUAUACUACCGCUGGCUGCAGCGGUACUACCGCUGAGCCCAUGGUAGCGCAAAGAUACUACCGGGCCAACCACCGCCAAGAAAGUCUUCGCAAAAAUGUUCGACGCAGUACAACCGCAAAGAUGACGGUACUAAAAACUUGGAGCGUUACUACCGCUGGCCAGGGGCGGUACUACCGCUGGGACAGCAGUACUACCGCUACCUCUAGCAGUACUACUGCUAGGUCCAGCGGUACUACCGCCAACUCUAGCGGUACUACCGCUAGGUCCAGCGGUACUACCGCUAGGUCCAGCGGUACUACCGCUCGCCACUGAAACAACCAUAACUUUCACAUACGAGCUCCGAAUCGAGCAAACCCAAGCUUGUUGGAUUCAGGACGACAAGAACUAUCCAAACAGCGACAAUGAUAUAGAGAUGUGAGUCCUCUAUGAAUGAAGAACCGGCAAAAACUCCAACAUCGAAAACAUCAUAGUAGAUGCAUAUGGACUCCGUUUUCGAUGAACUCGAGCUUGUCAUGAAGAUGACCAUAAGCUCUUAAACUCACAAAGAGAAACACCAAACAAGAACCAAGAAGUAUGAUGCAAGGAUGCAAAUGGUUAAAGCUCUCUACAAACGAUACGAUCAAGCUACUCACUUGAGAGCCCCCCUUGAUAGUACAUCAAUCUAUCCUAAACAGAAAACCUAUCAAGGGAAAACCUAUACCUUGCACCUCGUCCUCUUGAGCUAAAUGAUGAUGACCUUGGCUUCCUCAAGAUGGACCACCUUUCUUGAUUGCAUUGGCUUGAUGAAGACUAGUUGAUUGCUCCCCCAUACUCACUAUGGGUGAGCCACUCUUCAGCAUAUCUUCACAAGUCCAUUGCCACCAUAAUGGACGGCAAGCUUCAAGCAUGAUAUCUUCGUGCUGAUCCACUUGAACUUGCACAUCGCAAUCUUGAUGACGAUCACAACUUGACGUCAUACUUCAUGGGUUGUAUGAGAUCUUCCCUUUGACGCAAGCCCAUGGAAACACACCAUACCAUGGGAUCACUUGAUCCCUCUCGGUACAUUCUUGUAGGCUUUGUGUGUUGAUCAUCUUGAUUUACUCUUUGUCUGAGAUCUUGAUCAACCAUGUGUCUCUAUGACCAUUCUUUGGAUAAUACCUUGAAUACCAUCUUGGUCAUCAUAUAAACUCCUUGAACCCAACAGAUGGACUUCAAGAAGUGCCUAUGGACAAAUCCUAUAAAUGUAACUUAAGGCAACCAUUAGUCCAUAGGAAUUGUCAUCAACUACCAAAACCACAUAUGGAGAUAUAUGCUCUAACAAAAGGUCUUGAUAACCCACAUGUAUAGGGGAUCGCGACAGUGUUCACGGGUAGUAUUUCACCAUAAUUUAUUGAUUCGACACAAGGGGAGCUAAAUAAUAUUUAUUGGCCUUGACAGUUGAGUUGUCAGUUCAACCACAUGUGGGAUAUCUAUCUUCAUCAAGGGUUUAGUAGCACAACAAAAGGUAGUAGUAACAGUAACAAUGAUAGCAACAAUUUUGGUAAAAGUAGUAACAGUAGCCAUUGAGCAGCAGGUGUGACAACAGCAGUAACUGUAGUAACUUAGCAAGAUUCAGUAUAUGUAAAGCGUAUGCACGUGGAUCGGUGAUGGAUAAUGAUUUAGAUGACAUUGAUCAUGUAAUAGUUACACACUAGGGCGACAGAAAACUAGAUCCAAUUCAUCAAUAUAAUGUAGGCAUGUAUUCCGUAUAUAGUCAUACGUGCUUGCGAUAAGAACUUGUAUGCCAUCUUUUUUCCUACCCUCCCAUGGCAGUGGAGACCUAUUGAAAACGAAGGUAUAUUAAGGCCUCCUUUUAAUAGAGAACCGGAAUAAAGCAUUAACACAUGUGAAUACAUGAACUCCUCAAACUAUGGCAAUCACCGAAAAUAAUACCAAUUAUUGUCACCUUGGGAUAUGCGGAUCAAGACACGUAAUAGGUAAUUAUAAAUUGCAAGAUAAGAUCCAAAUCACUAUUAUAUUCAUGAAAAUUUAAUAGAUUCAGAUAUGAAAUCAUGGCACUCGGGCCCUGGCGACAAGCAUUAAACAUAGCAAAGUCAUAACAACAUAAUUCCAGAACAUAGUGGAUACUAGGGAUCAAGCCCUAUCAAACUUACCUUGAUUACAUGGUCAAUAUCAUCCAAUCCCACCACCGUCCAGCAAUCCUACAAAUAAACUACUCACUCCCGGUGGUGAGCAUCAUAGUGGAUGGAGAAGGGUUGGUGAUGACGACGAUGAUGAAUCCCCCGCCGGAGAACCAAACUGACUCCUUAUCAGCCCUUCGGAGGAAGAAAAUGAGGUGGCGGCAACUCCUUCCCAUGAAACUUGAUGAAAACUUCUCUCUCAUUUCCCCCCCGAAGAUUUGAUUUUAUAUUAUUGGAAUUAGGGUCAGCGGAGCCACGUGGGCCCCAUAAGCCAUCAAGGAGCGGCCUUGGGGUGCGUUGUUGGCUUGUGGGUCCCUGACAGUGUUUCUCCGGCAGGUCUUUGCUCCAUAAUUCAUUAUAAAUCCCAAAAAUAAUUUACAAAAAUUUCCGUCCAAUUUAAAGAACUUUUAUUUCUACAAAAAAAUAAUACCAAGGUAGUUCUAUUGAAAACAGUGUCAGUCCAGGUUAGUUUCAUUCAAAUCGUGCAAAUUAGAGGUCAAAACUAGAGCAAUGGUAUUUGAAAAACUGUAUAUGUUGAAGACAUAUCAAUGGCAGCGAGAGGGGGAGGUCUAGAUGUAUACUGUAGCACCAGAGGACUCCGGAAAUGGUCAGAGUCGACCGGUGACAGUCGUCGGCAGAGAAGGUGAUCGAGCGUGAGGCGGUGAGCACAAGGAGAUCAAGAGAGAGGCGUCGAGGGGGCACGGGGCGUGGACCCUAGGUUUUGACUCAGUCACGUCGGAUGCAAUGUUGGGUCGUCCCAAGAGGCUGCUACUUCUCAAACAACAGCGCCAUAAAUUGACACGUUGACGGAGACUGGGCAUGCGUUGGUUUUUCCCUUGAAGAGGAAAGGGUGAUGCAGCACAGGGGCAGUAAGUAUUUCCCUCAGUUUGAGAACCAAGGUAUCGAUCCAGAAGGAGGGUCUCGUCAAGUCCAGAGUACGUGCGCAAACACAAACAAGCUUGCACCCAACGCUUCAAAGGGGUUGUCAAUCCCUUCAAGAUUAUUUGCAAAGUGAGAUCUGAAGGCGGAAAGUACAACGAAGUACAAAGUGUAAGGCUGAAAAUAUGGUGUGGAGUAGACCCGGGGGCCAUAGUGUUCACUAGAGGCUUCUCUCAAAAUAGAAAAUAUCACGGUGGGUGAACAAAUUACUGUCGAGCAAUUGAUAGAACUGCGCAAAGUCAUGACGAUAUCUAAGGCAAUGAUCAUACAUAUAGGCAUCAAGUCCGAGACAAGUAGACUGAUACUUUCUGCAUCUACUACUAUUACUCCACACAUCGACCGCUAUCCAGCAUGCAUCUAGUGUAUUGAGUUCAUAACGAACAGAGUAACGCCUUAAGCAAGAUGACAUGAUGUAGGGGGAUAAUCUCAAACCAAUGAUGAAAACCCCAUCUUUUUACCCAUGAUGGCAACAACAUGAUGCGUGCCUCGUUACCCCUUCUGUCACUGGGUGAGGUCACCGCACGGUAUGAAUCCAAAACCAAGCACUUCUCCCAUAGCAAGAAUCAUAGAUCUAGUUAGCCAGACAAAACCCACAACUCGAAGAGAAUUACAAGGAUAUGAAAUCGUGCAUAAGAGAGAUCAGAAGAAACUCAAAUAAGAUUCAUAGAUAAUCUGAUCAUAAAUCCACAAUUCAUCGGAUCUCGACAAACACACCGCAAAAGAAGAUUACAUCGGAUAGAUCUCCAUGAAGAUCAUGGAGAACUUUGUAUUGAAGAUCCAAGAGAGAGAAGAAGCCAUCUAGUUACUAGCUAUGGACCCGUAGGUCUAUGGUGAACUACUCACGCAUCAUCGGAGAGGUCAUGGUGUUGAUGAAGAAGCCCUCCGUAUCCGAAUCCCCCCUCCGGCAGGGCACCAGAACGUUCCCCAGAUGGGAUCUUGCGGAGACAGAAGCUUGCGGCGGCGGAAAAGUACUUUCGAUGAUCUUCUGAUUUUUUUGGGAUUUUUUGGGAAUAUAUAGGCGCAACCCGUAGGGCAGAGGGCGUCCAGGGGGCCCACAAGUCUGUGGGCCGCGACCUCCACCCUGGCCGCNCUUCCUUGGCUCUCAAGUCUCCUGAUCUUCUUCCGUUAUAGAAAAAUUCUCUUCGGGGAUUUUAUUCCGUUUGGAAUCCAUUUCAAAAUCUCCUUCGAAAGGGGUCAAAAACAUGGAAAAAACAGGAACUAACACUUGGCACUGAGUUAAUAAGUUAGUCCCAAAAAAUAUAUAAAAGGCAUGCAAAACAUGCAAAGUUUGACAAGAUAAAAGCAUGAAACCAUCAAAAAAUAUAGAUACGUUGGAGAUGUAUCAAGCAUCAACAAGCUUAACUCCCGUCCUUGAGUAGGAAAGUGAUAAACAAUGAAUUUUUGAUGUGGAAUGCUACCUAGCAUAGUUGUCCUUUGCAACUUCUUUCACGUGACAUGAAUGUUCAGAUUCGUAAGAUUCAAAACAAUAGUUUGCUAUUGACAUGAAAACAAUAAUACUUCGAGCAAACUAGCAAGGUAAUCAUGAACUUUCAAAAUAACGAGGCCAAGGAAAGUUAUCCCUACAAAAUCAUAUAGUCUGGCUAUGCUCCAUCAUCCUCACACAACUAAUGUAAAUCAUGCACAACUCCGGUAUUGGCCAAGUAAUUGUUUUCACGCUCUUACUUUCUCAAACCUUUUAUAACUAUCACACAAUACAUGAGCGUGAGCCAUGGAUAUAGCACUAUAGGUGGAAUAGAGUGUGGUGGUGGUUGUGAGACAAAAAGGAGGAGAUGGUCACAUUGACUGGCGUAUCAAAUGGCUAUGGAGAUGCCCAUUAAUAGAUAUCAAUGUGAAUGAGUAGGGAUUGCCAUACAAGAGAUGCACUAGAGCUAUAAGUAUGUAAAAGCUGAAAGGAGAACUAGUGGGUGUGCAUCCAACUUGCUUGCUCACGAAGACCUAGGGCAAUUUUGAGGAAGCCCAUCAUUGGAAUAUACAAGCCAAGUUAUAUAAUGAAGAUUCCCACUAGCAUAUGGUAGUGACAAAGCAAGAAGCUCUCAAUCAUGAAGAACAUGGUGCUAUUAGGAAGCACACGUGUGGAAAAAGAUAGUAGCAUUGUCCUGAUACGUCUCAAACGUAUCUAUAAUUUUUGAUGGUUUCACGCUGUUAUCUUGUCAUCUUUGGAUGUUUUAUGUACCUUUUAUAUCUUUUUUUGGGACUAACUUAUUAAUUCAGUGCCAAGUGACAGCUCCUGUUUUUUCUGUGUUUUUGGCUCUUUUCAGAUCUGAUUUUGGAACAGAGUCCAAACGGAAUAAAAUCCCCGAAAUGAUUUUUUCCCGAAGGAAGAAGAUCAGGGGGCCUCUGGGCCAAGCCAGGUGGGCUCCAGGGAGCCCACAAGCUCCCACUCCGCCAUCAGGGGGAGGCGGCGGUGGCAGGGCUUGUGGCCUGCCUGGCCGCCCCCUGACCUAGAUCUUUGGCCUAUAUAUUCCCUAAAAUACAGCAAAAAAUCAUGGGAGCCUCGAAAAUACUUUUUCGCUGCCGCAAGCUUCCGUUUCCGUGAGAUCUGAUCUGGAGACCCUUCCCGGCGCCCUACGGGAGGGGACUUUGGAGUUGGAGGGCUUCUUCAUCAUCAUCAUCGCCCCUCCAAUGACUCGUGAGUAGUUAACUUCAGACCUACGGGUCCGUAGUUAGUAGCUAGAUGGCUUCUUCUCUCUCUUGGAUCUUCAAUACAAAGUUCUCCAUGAUCUUCAUGGAGAUCUAUCCGAUGUAGUCUUCUUUGGAGGUGUGUUUGUCGAGAUCCGAUGAAUUGUGGAUUUGUGAUCAGAUUAUCUAUGAUAUAUAUUUGAGUCUUUGAUGAUUUCUUAUAUGCAUGAUUUGAUAUCCUUAUAAGUCUCUCCGUGUCUUGGGUUUUGUUUGGCCAACUAGAUCUAUGAUUCUUGCAAUGGGAGAAGUGCUUGGUUUUGGGUUCUACCAUGUGGUGACCUUUCCCAGUGACACUAGGGACAGCAAGGCACACAGUUAAGUAGUUGUCAUCAAGGGUAACAAGAUGGGCUCUGUCGUUGAUAUGAGAUUGUCCGUCUACAUCAUGUCAAAUUGCUUAAGGCGUUACUCUAUUCUUUUGGACUUAAUACACUAGAUGCAUGCUGGAUAGCGGUCGACGUGUGGAGUAAUAGUAGUAGAUGCAGAAAGUAUAGGUCUACUUGUUUUGGACGUGAUGCCUAUAGAUAUAAUCAUUUCCAUAGAUAUCGUCACGACUUUGCACGGUUCUAUCAAUUGCUCGACAGUAAUUUGUUCACCCACCGUCUACUUGCUUUCAUGAGAGAAGCCACUAGUAAACACUACGGCCCUAGGUCUAUUCACAUCCAUCUUUACACCUCCGCUUUUACUUCGCUUUGUUACUUUGUUGCUUUCAGUUCUCACUUGGCGAACAAUCUAUAAGGCAUUGACAACCCCUUCAUAGCGUUGGGAGCAAGCUUUUUGUGUUUGUGCAGGAUCUUGUGAUACUCCUCCACUCGAUUGAUACCUUGGUUCUCAAACUGAGGGAAAUAAUUAGCACCGCUGUGCUACAUCACCCUUUCCGCUUCGAGGGAACACCAACGCAAGGCUCCAAGGCCACGGGGGAAAUCCUUUGCAUAUUUUCCUAGGAAGUCCCUUAAGGCGUAGCCACAGUAGAAGGAUUCCUGGUGCCGUCGACACGACUAUUCUUGGCGCCGUGGCCAGGGAAGCACAGCUGACAUCAGAAGUAUUUCUGGCGCCGUUGCCGGGGAGGAGAGAUCAAGAUCUAUCCAAGUAGGUCUCACAAACUGAUCUCUUUCAUUUGCCUUUCUCCUUUGCCGUUUUCUUUUGCUCUUUGCCUUUUUGUCGUUCCCUUUCGCCCGCCCGCUCUUAGGUUUGUUCGUGAGAGACCUUUCCUCAUGGCCAAACCAAACUAUUUCAGAAAAUUCGAGGAGAUUGAAACUAAUGGCAAAGGUUUCAUGUCUUCUCGGUUUGACCAAAAUAGUUACUUCCGUAGGGAAUUAAAAGAGAAGAAUUCCUUUUUUGUCUGUUUGAAUAAAGAGGUUGAUGAUAUGGCCAAUGAUUUCCUUGCACUUAAUUCUCAUCUUGCUCACCUUGAAAAAUUGGUGGGCCAAAUUUCUGACAAGCAGGCUACCUUAGUCAAUAAGAUGGCAGCUAAACCUGAAAUUUGUGAUGCAAAUCACGAAGAUCUUAAAGUGCUUGGUGUGUCUCCUCUUGAAUCUUUGUUUUCGCGUGUCAAACCUAUUUAUGGAGGGGCUUGAUAUGAAUCCACUUUGGUUGAAAAACGCCCCAAUGAUUCGGAGUCCACCUAUCUUGAUCGAUAAAGGUGUGGAGAGUUGGAGUAGAAGAAGUCAAAAUUUUAGGUAGUAAUGAAACUCCCACUUUGGAUUUCAUGGAAUUCAAUUAUGAUAAUUGAUCCUUGUUUGAAUGCAUUUCUUUGAUGCAAUCCAUUGCAAACUCUCUACAUGCUUAUAGCCAAAGCAAAGCCUUUACCGCGCAUAUCGUAGAUGCUAUGAUGAAAUCUCUUCAAGAGAAGCUCGAACUAGAAGUCUCUAUACCUAGAAAACUUCAUGAUGAGUGGGAACCUACUAUCAAAAUCAAGAUAAAAAACUAUGAGUGCAAUGCUUUGUGUGAUAUGGGUGCUAGUGUUUCCGCGAUUCCAAAGUAUUUAUGUGAUAUUCUUGGUUUUCAUGAGAUUGAAGAGUGUUCUCUUAAUUUGCAUCUUGCGGGUUCUACUAUCAAGAAACCCAUGGGAAGGAUCGAUGAUGUUCUUAUUGUUGCAAAUAAGAACUAUGUACCCGUGGAUUUCAUUGUACUUGACAUAGAUUGCAAUCCUUCAAGUCCCAUUAUUCUUGGUAGACCUUUCCUAAGAACUAUUGGUGCUAUCAUCGAUAUGAAGGAAGGGAAUAUUAGAUUUCAAUUUCCUUUAAAGAAGGGCAUGGAGCACUUUCCUAGAAAGAAAAUAAGAUUGCCUUAUGAAUCUAUGAUGAGGGCUACCUAUGGUUUGAGCACCAAAGAUGACUAUACAUGAUUCCAUCACUUUUGCCUAGCUAAGGGCGUUAAACAAAAGCGUUUGUUGGGAGGCAACCCAACGAAUCUAUCCUUUUUCUUUCUGUUUUUUGUUUUCCACACUUUCAUAAUUCUGUUAUGAUUGUGUUUUUUGUGUUUCUUUUUGCGUUUGUGCCAAGCAAAACCGUUAUGAUUAGUCUUGGGGAUGAUCGUUUGGUCAUGUUGGAAAAGACAUAAACUUUGUGCUCACGAAAAGUAAUUUUCGUUUUUUUUUUUUUCUGUAAGAGCAUUUGAGUUGAUUCUUUUUUCUGCUGAUUGCUACGCAAAUUAUUAAGACUGUCGUAAUUGUUAAGAAUUUUUGAAGUACCAGAAGUAUGCGAAAUAUACAGAUUGCUACCGACUGGUCUGUUGUUAACAGAUUUUGUUUUUGUUGUGUUGGUUGCUUAUUUUGAUGAAACUAUGGAUAGUAUCGGGGGGUAUUAGCCAUGGAAGAUUGAAAAUACAGUAACACAACAUCAGCACAAGUAGAAUUUAAGUUUGCUACAGUACCUAAGGAAGUGGUGGUUUGCUUUCUCAUACUAAUGUUAUCACGAGUUUCUGUUUAAGUUUCGUGUUGUGAAGUUCUCAAGUUUUGGGUGAAGUUCUUAUGGACAAAAAGAUAAAGAGUGGCAAGAUCUCAAGCUUGGGGAUGCCCAAGGCACCCCAAGAGAUUCAAGGAUGCUGUAAAAGCCUAAGCUUGGGGAUGCCUCGGGAAGGCAUCCCCUCUCUCGUCUUCAAUCCAUCGGUAACGUUACUUGGGGCUAUAUUUUUAUUCACCACAUGUUAUGUGUUUUUGCUUGGAGCGUCUUGUAUCGUAGGAUUCUUUUAUUUUUUUGUGUCACAAUCAUCCUUGCUUCACACCUAGAGAGAGAUAGACAUGCACUCACCGUGAUUUUUGUCGAGCUUCACUUAUAUCUUUUGGUAGACAAUUCAGCUCACAUGUGCUUCACUUAUAUCUUUUGAGCUAGAUACUUUUUCUCUAUGUGCUUCACUUAUAUAUUUUAGAGGGCAGCGGUGCGUGGCUUGUUAGUUGAUCUAUGCUUUGAAAGUAGUCUAAAAAGGGGUAGUUAUCCAAAGGGAUACGAAAACUUCCACCUUCAUGUGCAUUGAAUAGUUAGAGAAGUUUGAUUCAUCUCAAUUAGUUUUGAGUUGUGGUUAUGGUAAUAUUGAAUUCAUGCUAGUAAGGUGUUGUGGAUCUAGAAAUACUUGUGUUGAAGUUAGUGAUUCCCGUAGCAUGCACGUAUGGUGAACCGCUAUGUGAUGAAAUCUGAGCAUGAUUGGUCUUUUGAUUGUCAUCCUUUGUGUGGCGGUUGGGAUCGCACGAUGGUUUAUACCUACCAACCCUUCCCCUAGGAGUAUGCGUUGAAUGCUUUAUUUCGAUUACUAAUAAAACUUUUGCAACAAGUAUAUGAGUUCUUCAUGACUAAUGUUGAGUCCAUGGUUUAGAUGCACUUCCACCUUCCACCAUUCACUAUCUUCUUAGUGCCGUGCAACUUUCGCCAGUGCACAAAACCCACCAUUAGCCUCCCUCAAAACAGCCACCAUACCUACCUACUAUGGCUUUUUCAAAGUCAUUCCGAGAUAUAUUGCCAUGCAACUACCACCAUGACAUGUGCCACCACGUCUACAUUGCCAUUGCAUGAUCGUAAGAUAGAGAGGCAUGAUGUUUCCAUUGAUGUCUAUGCAAUGGUAGAUCAUUGCCACGGUACACUACCGAAGGCAUUCCAUAUAGAGUCAUAGUUGCUCUAAGUUUUGAGUUGAAAGUGUGAUGAACAUCAUUAAUGGAGCAUUGUCCCAUGUGAGGAAAUAAAAGAGGCCAAAUAAGCCCACCAAAAUAAAUAAAAAAGAGGCCAAAGAGCCCACCAAAAAAAUAUAAAAAUAAAAAAAAUGAGAGAAAAAGAGAGAAGGGACAAUGCUACCACUUUUUCCACACUUGUGCAUAUUAAGCACCAUGAUCUUCAUGAUUGAGAGUCUCUCGUUUUGUCACCACCAUAUAGCUAGAGGGAAAUUUUCAUUAUAUAACUUGGCUUGUAUAUUCCAAUGAUAGGCUUGCUCAAAAUUGCCUUAGGUCUUCGUGAGCAAGCAAGUUGGAUGCACACCCACUAGUUUUCUUUAAGAGCUUUCACUUACUCUUAGCUCUAGUGCAUCAUUUGUAUGGCAAUCCCUACUCAUUCACAUUGAUAUCUAUUGAUGAGCAUCUCCACAGCUCAUUGAUAUGCCUAGUUAAUGUGACUAUCUUCUCCCUUUUUUCUUGCAACCUCCACCACAUUCCACACCAUCUAUAGUGCUAUAACCAUGGCUCACGCUCAUGUAUUGGGUGAGAGUUGAAAAGGUUUGAGAAAGUAAAGGUGUGAAACAAUUACUUGGACAAUACCGGGGUUGUGCAUGAUUUAAAUUCAUUGUGCAAUGAUGAUAGAUCAUAGCCAGACUAUAUGCUUUUGUAGGGAUAACUUUUUUUGGCCUUGUUAUUUUGAAAGUUCAUGAUUACCUUGCUAGUUUGCUUGACUUAUUAUUGUUUCCACGUCAAUAGCAAACUAUUGUUUUGAAUCUAAUGGAUCUGAACAUUCACAUCACAUAAGAGGAGUUACAAAGGAUAUCUAUGCUAGGUAGCAUGAAAGCAUCAAAAAUUCAUUCUUUAUCACUUCCCUACUCGAGGACGAGCAGGAGUUAAGCUUGGGGAUGCUUGAUACGUCUCAAACGUAUCUAUAAUUUUUUAUGGUUUCAUGUUGUUAUCUUGUCAUCUUUCGAUGUUUUAUGUACCUUUUAUAUCUUUUUUGGGACUAACUUAUUAAUUCAGCGCCAAGUGUCAGUUCCUGUUUUUCUGUGUUUUUGGCUCUUUUCAGAUCUGAUUUUGGAACGGAGUCCAAACGGAAUAAAAUCCCCGAAAUGAUUUUUUCCCAAACGGAAGAAGAGCAGGGGGCCUCUGGGCCAAGCGAGGUGGGCUCCAGGGAGCCCACAAGCUCCCACUCCGCCACCAGGGGGAGACGGCGGUGGCAGGGCUUGUGGCCUCCUUGGCUGCCCCCUGACCUAGGUCUUUGGCCUAUAUAUUCCCUAAAAUACAGCAAAAAAUCAGGGGAGCCUCGAAAAUACUUUUCCGCCGCCGCAAGCUUCCGUUUCCGCGAGAUAUCAUCUGGAGACCCUUCCCGACGCCCUGCCACAGGGGACUUUGGAGUUGGCGGGCUUCUUCAUCAUCAUCAUCGCCCCUCCAAUGACUCGUGAGUAGUUCACUUCAGACCUACGGGUCCGUAGUUAGUAGCUAGAUGGCUUCUUCUCUCUCUUGGAUCUUCAAUACAAAGUUCUCCAUGAUCUUCAUGGAGAUCUAUCCGAUGUAAUCUUCUUUGGCGGUGUGUUUGUCGAGAUCUGAUGAGUUGUGGAUUUGUGAUCAGAUUAUCUAUGAUAUAUAUUUGAGUCUUUGCUAAUUUCUUAUAUGCAUGAUUUGAUAUCCUCGUAAGUCUCUCCGAGUCUUGGGUUUUGUUUGGCCAACUAGAUCUAUGAUUCUUGCAAUGGGAGAAGUACUUGGUUUUGGAUUCUACCAUGUGGUGACCUUUCCCAGUGACAGUAGGGGCAGCAAGGCACACAUUAAGUAGUUGCCAUCAAGGGUAACAAGAUGGGCUCUAUCGUUGAUAUGAGACUGGUCGUCUACAUCAUGUCAUCUUGCUUAAGGCGUUAGUGUGUUCUUUUGGACUUAAUACACUAGAUGCAUGCUGGAUAGCGGUCGACGUGUGGAGUAAUAGUAGUAGAUGCAGAAAGUAUCGGUCUACUUGUUUUGGACGUGAUGCCUAUAGAUAUAAUCAUUGCCAUAGAUAUUGUCACGACUUUGCGCGGUUCUAUUAAUUGCUCGACAAUAAUUUGUUCACCCACCGUCUACUUGCUUUCAUGGGAGAAGCCACUAGUAAACACUACGCCCCCUGGGUCUAUUCACAUCCAUCGUUUACACCUCCGCUUUUACUUUGCUUUGUUACUUUAUUGCUUUCAGUUCUCACUUGGCGAACAAUCUAUAAGGGAUUGACAACCCCUUCAUAGCGUUGGGAGCAAGCUUUUUGUGUUUGUGCAGGAUCUUGUGAUACUCCUCCACUCGAUUGAUACCUUGGUUCUCAAACUGAGGGAAAUACUUACCACCGUUGUGCUACAUCACCCUUUCCGCUUCGAGGGAACAGCAACGCAAGGCUCCAAGGCCACGGGGGAAAUCCUUUGCAUAUUUGCCUAGGAAGUCCCUUAAGGCGUAGCCGCAGCAGAAGGAUUCCUGGUACCGUCGACAUGACUAUUCUUGGCACCAUGGCGAGGGAAGGACAGCUGACAUCAUGUCCCUUCUCUCUUUUUCUCUCCUUUUUUUAUUGGGCUCUUAGGCCUCUUUUUUAUUUUUUUAUUUUCUCUUUUUUCUUGUUUUUUGGGCUCUUUGGCCUCUUUUUUUCCUCACAUGGGAUAAUGCUCUAAUAAUGAUGAUUAUCACACUUUUAUUUACUCACAGCUCAAAGCUCACAAUGAUGAUGAGUCCAUAGGAAAUGCCUCCGGCAGUGUACCGGUACGUGCAACGAUCUAGCAUGGCGUAUGAUGUUGAAACAUCUCGCUAGCUAUCUUACGAUCAUGCAAUGGCAAUAUGAGAGUGACGGCACAAGUCAUGAGACGGAACGGUCCGAGUUGCAUGGCAAUAUAUCUCGGAAUGGCUAUGAAAAUGUCAUAGUAGGUAGGUAUGGUGGCUGUUUUGAGGAAGGAAUAUGAUGGGUUUGUGCACCGGCGAGAAUUGCGCGGCACUAGAGAGGGUAGCAAUGGUGAAAGGUGAAAGUGCAUCUAUACCGUGGACUGAAAUUAGUCAUGAAGAACUCGCAUACUUGUUGGGAAAGUUUUUAUUAAUAAUUGAAACAAGGUGCUAAACGCAUACUCCUAGGGGAAGGGUUUGUAGGUGUUAACCAUCGCGUGAUCCCGACCUCAACACAAAGGAUGACAAUCAAUAGAUUAAUCAUGCUCUGACUUCCUAACAUAGCGGUUCACCAUACGUGCAUGCUACGGGAAUCACUAACUUCAACACAAGUAUUUCUAGAUUCACAACACCCUACUAACAUAGCUCUUAAUAUUACCAAAUCCACAUCUCAAAACUAUUUGAGAGGAAUCAAAACUUCUCUUUCUAUUCAAUGCACAUGAAGAUGGAGGUUUUUGCAUCCUCUUUGGGUAUCUAUCACCUUUGGGACUACUUUCAUAGCAUAAGCCAACUACCAAAUCAUGCACCGCCGUGCUCUAAAAGAUAUAAGUGAAGCACAUAGAGAAAAAGUAUCUAGCUCAAAAGAUAUAAGUGAAGCACUAUGAGCAAAAGUAUCUAGCUCAAAAGAUAUAAGUGAAGCACUAUGAGCAUUCUAGCAAAAUCACGAUGAGUGCAUGUCUCUCUCUCUCAAAAAGGUGUGCAGCAAGGAUGAUUGUGACACAACAAAAAGAAAAGACUCCUAGGAUACAAGACGCUCCAAGCAAAAUACAUAUCAUGUGGUGAAUAAAAAUAUAGCUCCAAGUAAUGUUACCGAUGGAUUGAAGACGAAAGAGGGGAUGCCUUCCCGGGGCAUCCCCAAGCUUAGGCUUUUUGGUGUCCUUAAAUUUGGCUUGGGAUGCCUUGGGAAUCCCCAAGCUUGAGCUCUUUCCAAUCCUUAUAUCUUUGUCCAUGAGAACAUCACCCAAAACUUGAAAACUUCACAACACAAAACUUCAACACAAACUCGCGAUAACAUUAGCACAAGAAAACAAACUACCACUUCUUUUGGUACUGUAGCAAACUUGAAUUCUAUAUAUAUUGGUGUUGGGCUACUGUAUUCUCACUUUUCCAUGGCUAGUACCCCCGAUACUAACCAUAGUUUAAUCAAAACAAGCAACCAACUCAACAAAAACAGAAUCUGUCAAAAACAGACUAGUCUGUAGCAAUCUGUAUACUUCAUAUACUUAUGGUACCUCAAAAAAUCUGAAAUAUUAUGAAGGCCUGGGCAAAAGGCAUAUCAACUAGAAGCAAAAAGAAUCAACUCAAAACCUCUUUCUUAAUAAAAAAUUAAAAAUCAUCUCGUGAGCGAAAAGUUUCUGUCUUUUUCCAGCAUGAUCAAACAAUCAUCACCAAGACUAGUCAUAAAGGUUUUGCUUGGCUCAAACACAAAAAGAAACACAAAAGACACAAUAAUAACAGAAUUAUGAUGGUGUCGAUGCAACAAAACAGAAAGAACAAGAAAUAAAUUCAUUGGGUUGCCUCCCAACAAGCGCUAUUAUUUAACGCCCCUAGCUAGGUGUAAGGAUUUUAAUGAUGCUCACACAAAAGACAAGAAUUGAAGCACAACGAGAGCAUCAUAAAGCAUGUGAAAAUCACAUCUAAGUAUAACAUACUUCCUAUGCAUAUGCAUUUCAUAGGAGAACAUAUUGGCAAGACAACCAAUAGUUACCAAAUGCAAGGAAGAAGAAAGAGACAAUAGCAAUCUCAACAUAACGAGAGGUAUUUUGGUAACAUGAAAGUUUCUACCAUAAUAUUUUCCAAUCUCAUAGCAAUUACAUGUGGGAUCAUAUUCGAAUUUAACAAUGUAACUAUCACAUAGGAUAUUCUUUUCAUGAUCCACAUGCAUGCAAAGUUGACGCUCUUAAAAAAUAGUGGGAUUAUCAUCAACUAAAGUCAUGACUUCUCCAAACCCACUUUCAAUAUUAUUGCAAAUAUCAUAUUCAUCACAAGGUUUAAACAAAUUUUAAAGAUCAUAAGAAAAAUCAUUACCCAAUCAUGAUCAUUGCAACAAGUAGUGGACAUAGCAAAACUAGCAUCCCCAAGCUUAGGGUUUUGCAUAUUUUUAGCAUGAUUCUCACUAAUAGAAUUUAUAGUGAAACCAUUGCAAUCAUGCUUUUCAUCCAAGGAGCCCUCGUGAAUCACUUCAUAAAUUUCUUCCUCACAAUUUUCAGAUUCACACAUCUCAAGCAAAACUCCAUAAAGAUAGUCAAGUGCACUCAACUCACUAGCAAUUGGAUCAACAUAAUUGGAUCUCUUAAAGAGAUUAGCAAGUGGAUGAGGAUCCAUAUCACUAGAUUUUCAGCAAGCAAAGAUGCAAGCAUAUUGAAGGCACAUAGCACACAAGCGAACAGAAAGCAAGCGAGAAAAGGCAAAUUGGUGAAGUGGGGGAGACGAAAAUGAGAGACAACUGGCAAACAAAGUAAAUGCAAGAGAUGAGUUUGCGACACCUACUUGGAUGAGUUCUUGACUUGAUCUUCCUCCCCGGCAACGCUGCUAGAAAUUAUUCUGCUACUUCUCAAACAACAGCGCCAAAAAUUGACACUUUGACGGAGACUGGGCUUGCGUUGGUUUUUCCCUUGAAGAGGAAAGGGUGAUGCAGCACAGGAGCAGUAAGUAUUUCCCUCAGUUUGAGAAUCGAGGUAUCGAUCCAGAAGGAUGGUCUCGUCAAGUCCAGAUUACCUGCGCAAACACAAACAAGCUUGCACCCAACGCUUCAAAGUGGUUGUCAAUCCCUUCAAGAUUGUUUGCAAAGGGAGAUCUGAAGGCGGAAAGUGCAACGAAGUAAAAAGUGUAAGGCUGAAAAUAUGGUGUGGAGUAGACCCGAGGGCCAUAGUGUUCACUAGAGGCUUCUCUCAAAAUAGCAAAUAUCACGGUGGGUGAACAAAUUACUGUCGAGCAAUUGAUAGAACCGUGCAAAGUCAGGACAAUAUCUAAGGCAAUGAUCAUACAUAUAGGCAUCACGUCCGAGACAAGUACACCGAUACUUUCUGCAUCCACUACUAUUACUCCACACAUCGAUCACUAUCCAACAUGCAUCUAGUGUAUUGAGUUCAUGAUGAACAGAGUAACGCCUUAAGCAAGAUGACAUGAUGUAGAGGGAUAAUCUCAAACAAAUGAUGAAAACCUCAUCUUUUUACCUUUGAUGGCAACAACAUGAUGCGUGCCUCGCUACCCCUUCUGUCAGUGGGUGAGGUCACCGCACGGUAUGAACCAAAAACCAAGCACUUCUCCCAUUGCAAGAAUCAUAGAUCUAGUUGGCCAGACAAAACCCACAACCCGAAGAGAAUUACAAGGAUAUGAAAUCAUGCAUGAGAGAGAUCAUAAGAAACUCAAAUAAUAUUCAUAGAUAAUCUGAUCAUAAAUCCACAAUUCAUCAGAUCUCGACAAACACACGGCAAAAGAAGAUUACAUCGGAUAGAUCUCCAUGAAGAUCAUGGAUAACUUUGUAUUGAAGAUCCAAGAGAGAGAAGAAGCCAUGUAGUUACUAGCUAUGGACCCGUAGGUCUAUGGUGAACUACUCAUGCAUCAUCGGAGAGGUCAUGGUGUUUAUGAAGAUGCCCCCGUAUCCGAAUCCCCCCUCCCGCAGGGCACCAGAACAUGGCCUAGAUGGGAUCUCGCGGAGACAGAAAUUGCGGCGGCGGAAAAGUACUUUCGAUGAUCUCCUGAUUUUUUUGAGAUUUUUAGGGAAUAUAUAGGCGCAACCCCUAGGGCAGAGGUCAUUCAGGGGGCCCACAAGCCUGUGGGCCGCGGCCUCCCCCCUGGCCGCGGGGUGGGGGCUUGUGGGGCCCCUGGGCCCCCUGCCUUGGCUCUCAAGUCUCCCGAUCUUCUUCUGUUACGGAAAAAUUCUUUUCGAGGAUUUGAUUCCGUUUGGACUCUGUUUCAAAAUCUCCUCUGAAAGGGGUCAAAAACAUGACAAAAACAGGAAAUGGCACUUGGCACUAAGUUAAUAAGUUAGUCUCAAAAAUAUAUAAAAGGCAUGCAAAACAUCCAAAGUUUGACAAGAUAAAAGCAUGAAACCAUCAAAAAUUAUAGAUACGUUAGAGACGUAUGAGAGGCCCACUUCAAUAAAUUAUAAAAGAUUCAAAACAUAAAAAAUAAAGACUAAAAAUUCAAUAAAAAAUUCAAAAGAUAAAAGACUCGGAAUUAUAAAAAUACUCCAAAUAAUAAAAGACUUAAAAAUAGUUAAAAGACUCAAAAUAUUCAGCACGCCAUCAAUACAAUAAUCAUACGUAUGGCACCACUAACUUGUGACUGAUCUGUAUAGAUGGCCAUCAACUAGUGGCGUGGUAGAAAAUGCAAUGCCAAGACUAACUCUGUUAGUUUGGCAUACAAAAUAUAACAACGCCACCACAAUUUGAAAAACAAAUAAUGAUGGCGUUGAUUGAAAAUGAUGCGCCAUCAAUUAAAGUUAUGACUAGCUAUUUUUCUACUAGUGAUUGCUACAAGGAGCUAGUUGUCAACGAUAAGUGGGUAUGGAGAAACUACCUAACCACACCAAAGAGGACAAGAAUUAGCAUAUCCAUUGAUGUCGAUGAUGAGCAUGAUGAAAAUGCUCACGCAAGGCCUGAUGGGAAAAAUUACUGCAAAAGAAAAGAAGAAAAAUCGAUGCAUCGACACCUACAAAGAGGAGCUUUCUCAUAUGAUGUAGACAAAGAAAGCAUUGACGGCCGAAUGAAAAGAAGAGAAGGUGGCAAGGUGGACAAGCCAAAAUUCAUGGACGAUGAGAAGUGGGGAGCAAAGGUGACAGCCCAAAUAUGGAAGGUGGCGGCGUAGGAGCGUAGGAUCACACUUGAUGAGGAGAGGCUGGCAAAAGAGAAGAAGGAUGAAGAGGGUGUUGUAAUCUCAUGGUUCCGAGCUCGAUGGAUGACACGACAAAGCAAUAUUUGGAGCUCGCUCGUGAUGAAAUUUUCGUCAAUUGAAUGUUUGCCAUGGUGGUGAUGGUGGCGGCCAUGGUCAUGAUGGUAGAGACAGUGAUGACCAUGGUAGGGAUGGUGGCAGCUAUGGUGGUGGUGAUGGUGAGCAGAGUAGUGCUUGAGUUUGUGUAGUAUGACUUGAUAGGGACUAGUCCACGACAUAAAAUAUACUAUGUGGUUGUUUGUUUUCAUAUACUUAACCAACUUGGUGUCUUUGGGAUGAAAUAUAUGCAUGCUUAAUUCGAAUUGUCCAAUUGAAUGAACUGUAUGUAUUCACGUAGUUAAAUUGGUGCAUAUGAUGCAUUUGGACCAUUCAAAUGAUUAAUGAAAUAUCGCCCAAUUGUUUGAAAUGUAUGCCACAAAGGAUUGAGGAAAUAGUCCAUUUUUUUAGAGAGCUAGAUAUAGGUGUUCAAUUAGAUCUGGCCACCUUUUAACAUCUUCAUUUUUUUUGAGGUGACUAACAUCUCAAAUUUGAGAAGUUAAGUUUUGAGAGUGAGAGAAAUUGCAGCACGCAGGUGCGGACGCACAUAACCCCUUUUAUUCUCUUGCCUUUUUAUUUUCAAUAUUUCAUAUAAUUUGAACCAAAUGUUCAAAUUUAGUUUUGUUUAUAUAUUCGUGUUUGUUGUGGCGAGGGCUUUCAAAUGAGAUCCAUUUGGAAUACGUUUUAACGAAAUUUUAUAGUUUUGUUAACAUUCAAUUUCAUAAAGAUAAUACAAGCAACGUACAAAAUCACAAGUUCUAAGUUUCAAUUCUAGAACUUGGUACGAGUGCGACAAAGUCGUAAGUUUAAGCACGAUUAUAUUCUGAAACUUGAUAUGCUCUCGUGGGAGAUCCAACGACUUUUGAACCGUGAGGCAAUAGUACGGCUGGCGCAACUCGACAGGUGCAUGCCUGUACGAACUUUUGAGUUUUGAUGAUAGAACAUUUGAGAGUUAUAGAAUAGGGGUUUGGCUAGAGGCGCCCUGAUAUCAUUCACAUCACCUAUAACUAUGUUCUGUGUAUCCAACUCAAAAAAAGAAAUAAAGUACGUAUAUGAACAGUUGAGCCGUGAUGCUCGUGGAGUCGUGACGUGAAACGCUCGUUCGCGCGAGACCACCAUUCCAUCACUCAUGUCAUGAAGAUUGGGACAACGUGACGAGCAUUACAGUUGCAGUGCUACAAAAACCGCCCGAGUCUAAACUUCCACAUGCUCAUAUAAACAUAUUUUUCUGAAGGGCAUGUAAGAGUCAGUUUCACGGCUGAGGACGUGCGGGACACCGCUAUGCAUGUCUAACUAAAAUCAUGCAGGCAGCUUCCAACAAAAUACUCUCCACGUGGAGACGCCCCGUACGUCGACCGAUCGGUAACAGACACCAACUAUACACGUAUAUAAUACUCCGUAUAUGGUAGUGGCUGAGUUCAACCGAUGAGCCGGCAGCGACACACCACCGCGACGACCACGAGCCACCUUGUCUGCCAAGGCGACCGGCGGUCGAUGGAGAUGUCUGGAGCCCUUCUCCGGCCUCGGUUCCUCCUCCUCCUCGCCGCCGUGUUUUGGGUCGCCGUACUCUACUUCCGCCUGUCCGUGCUCGUCAGGGGCGUGGCAGUCGCGCCGAUGGAGCGCACCGUGUCGUUUGCACCGGGCUACGAGGGCCGCAGCGACGACGACGACGGGAACAUAGAUCCGUGCCGCGGGCGACGCGUGUAUAUCCAUGACCUCCCGCCGCGCUUCAACGCCGACAUCCUCAGCCGGUGCGGCAGCACGGACGGCCGGUGGCCCAGCAUGUGCGAGCAAGUGAGCAACGCCGGCCUCGGGAAGCCGCUGCCCGAGCUGCUGGAGGGUGAAGGCGAAGGCGAGGCCGCACUGUCGGGCGCCGGCGGCUGGUACGCCACGCAGCAGUUCGCGCUGGACGCCAUCUUCCACGGCCGCAUGCUGCGGUACGGCUGCCUGACCAACGACUCCUCCGAGGCGGCGGCGGUGUUCGUCCCGUUCUACGCUGGCUUCGACUUCGCGCGGCACCACUGGGGCUACGACAACGCGACGCGGGACGCCGCCUCGCUCGACCUGGAGAGCUGGCUCGUGAGCCGGCCGGAGUGGCGCAGGGCGGGCGGCCGCGACCAUUUCCUCGUGGCGGGGCGCACGGCGUGGGACUUCCGGCGCGACACCUGCCUCAGCCCGACCUGGGGCACCAACCUCCUCCUCCUGCCGGCCGCCAAGAACAUGACCGUGCUCGUCGUCGAGUCGUCCGCGCCCGGCCUCGGCAACGACAUGGCCGUGCCUUACCCCACCUACUUCCACCCACGAACAGACGACGACGUCCUGCGCUGGCAGAAAAAGAUCAAGAGCGCCGAGCGCCCGUGGCUCAUGUCCUUCGUGGGCGCGCCACGGCCGGGAGAUCCCCGGUCCAUCCGGUCGCAGAUCAUCGCCCAGUGCGGCGCCUCGUCCGCGUGCCGGCAGCUGGGCUGCGCCUUCGGCGCCAGCCAGUGCCACAGCCCGGGGGACAUCAUGCGGCUGUUCCAGAGCUCCACCUUCUGCCUGCAGCCGCCGGGGGACUCCUACACCCGGCGAUCGGCGUUCGACGCCAUGGUCGCCGGGUGCGUGCCCGUCUUCUUCCACCCGGCGUCCGCGUAUCUCCAGUACAGAUGGCACCUGCCGGGGGACCAUGCAAGGUACUCGGUGUUCAUACCAGAGGACGGCGUGCGCGCGGGGAACGUGAGCAUCGAGGAGACGCUGAGGAGGAUACCGGGAACGGUGGUGCGGAGGAUGCAGGAGGAGGUCAUCAGGCUCGUGCCGAGGCUGGUGUACGCUGACCCGAGGUACUCGCUCGACACGGUCAAGGACGCAUUCGAUGUCGCCGUAGAAGGUGUCAUAGAAAAGGUGGCGGCGGACAUGCGGAAAGUCGAAACGGACCGUCGGUCGAGCUGGCCAGACAAUAUUUGGGCCGAGUAAUAGGCUGAUCUACACCUCCUAAUGAAGCAGCGGUAGUACAAUUUUGUGGCAGGCUUUGAGUGUUUUGAUUUCACCGGCAAUUACACGCUUGUAAGGAAGGACAUACAAUUUUUUCUUUUCCUUUAAAAAUGAUAUAAAUCAAAAUCAAAAUUCAAUGAAACUACGAAGGACUUUAAACAUAAUGAAGGUUACAUUGAGACACAUAAACCAGCGAACCACCAUCACCACCACUGACACGCCUCUCACAGUUCCUCUAUUAGAAUUGGGUUGACCUUGUGAUGAUAGCCGAAAAGUCUUUGCGCACAUGCUCCUAGGACCAACACUUUGGAGGCGUAGUCAUGGUUAUUAAACCAUUGAAUAGAUAAAAAAUUUGUCAUAGUGCAUGCAUGACGAGAAACCGUAAUCUUGUCGUCCAAAGAAUACAACAUGAAUCUAUGUAGGAGAUCCCUUGACUAUGUAGAGACACACCAACUCGAGGAGGAUCAAAACCCAGAAGAUAAGUUCAAAGAAGAAGCACGACCAUUCAUCUGAGCGCCGCACACACAAGGACUAAAUGUUGGGGAAUGUUGCAUGUGAACAAAAAAAAUCCUACUCACACGCAAGAUCUAUCCAUGUAGAUGCAUAGCUACGAGAGGGGGAGUGUAUCUACACACCAUUGUAGAUCGCUAAGCGGAAGUGUUAAAAACGCAGUUGAUGUAGUCGAAAAUCUUCACGAUCCAAUCGUGAUCCGUCCCGGUCAAGCAUCAAACGGAUGGCACCUCCAUGUUUACCACAAGUGCAGCUCAAUGAUGUCGCCGCCAUCUCCAUCCAGCAAGCGAUGGCGGGGUUGUAGAUGAGUUCUCAGAUAGCACGACGGCGUGGUGGCAAUGGUGGAGGAGCAAUCUCACCAGGGCUUCGCCAAGCACUAUUGUAGAUGUGAUCGGAGGAGAAAAUAUGAUAGGAAGAGAGGGAGGAUUCCACCAAGAGCUUGCGUGCGGCUGCCCUACCUCCCCUCCACUAUGUAUAGGGGCAAGGGAGGGAGGCGACCCCUCUAGGUUUUCCCCUAGGGGUGGGGGCGGCGCCCUAGCGGGCUGCCUUGGCCCCCAAGGCAAGAGGGGCGGCGGUCACCCUAGGGUUUCUCACCCUUGGCCGCAUGGGCCUCAGGGAGGUGGGGGCGCCCAGCCCACCAGGGGAUGGUGUGCCUCCCCUCUCAACCCAUGGGGCCCUUCGGGGCAGGUGGACCUCCCCGGUGGACCCUUGGAACGCUUCUGGCAUUCCCCACGAAAACCCAGUAAAUCCCGAAACCUUUUUGGAACCCUAAUACCAACUCUCCAUAUAUGAAUCUUGACCUCCGUACCAUUCCGUAUCUCCUCAUCAAGUCUAGGAUCACAUCCGGGACUCCGAACAACAUUCAAUCACCAACAUACAUAACCCAAUAAUACUAUAUUGGCAUCGAAUGUUAAGCGUGCAGACCCUAUGGGUCCGAGAAUCAUGUAGACAUGAUCGAGACACCUAUCCGGUCAAUAACCAAUAGCGUGCCUAAAUUGGUUCUUACAUAUUCCAUGAAGACCUUCAUCGAUCGAACCACGAUGCUAAGGAUUCAAUCAAUCCCGUAUGCAGUUCCCUUUCUCCAUGGGUAUGUUUCUUGCCCGAGAUUCAAUCAACGGUAUCUCCAUACCUAGUUCAAUCCCAUUACCGAAAGUCUCUUUACACGUUCUGUAAUACAAUAUCCCGUGGCUAGCUCCUUUGUCACAUUGCCUAGUGGGCCACCCAGCCCACCUCUCGUGACCAUCUUCUAGUAUAUACUCUCUUUUCACCUGGAAAAAAUCAGGAGAGAACUUUCAGGACAAAGCGCCGUGGUCUCGAGGCGGAACCUGGGCAGGAGCACUUUUGCCCUCCAGCGGAGCAAUUCUACCAGAGGAACUUCCCUCUUGGAGGGGGAAAUCGAGGCCAUCGUCAUCACCAACAACCCUGUCAUCUUGGGGAGGCCAAGCUUCAUCAACAUCUUCAUCAACACCAUCUCCUCUCAAAACCCUAGUUCAUCUCUUGUGCUCAAUCUUGUACUCGAACCUCAUAUUGGUACCUGGGGUGUGACUAGUAGUGUUGAUUACAUCUUGUGGUUGAUGCUUUAUGGUUUAUUUGGUGGAAGAUCAUAUGUUCAUAUCCAAUAUGCUAUUUAAUACCUCUCUGAUCAUGAGCAUGUUUAUCACUUGUGAGUAGUUACUUUCGUUCUAGAGACCAAAGGAGAAGCCAUGUUGCAAGUAGUCAUGUGAAGUUGAUAUUCGUUCAAAAUUUUGACGAUAUGAAUGUUGUGAUUCCCUUAGUGGUGUUAUGUGAACAUCGACAACAUAACACUUCACCAUCUUUGGGCCUAAGGGAAUGCAUUUUGGAGUAGAAAUUAGAUGGUGGGUUGCGAGAGUGACAGAAACUUAAACCCAAUUUAUGCGCUAUUCUGUAAGGGGCUGAUUUGGAUCCAUAUGUUUAAUGCUAUGUCUAUAACUUAUUUUAAUACUUUUCUCGUAGUUGCGGAUGUUUGCGGAGGGUUAAUCAUAAGUGUGAGGCUUGUUCAAGUAAGAACAACACCCAAGCACGGUCCACCCACAUAUCAAAUUAUUAAAGUACCGAACGCGAAUUAACCCGACAUGACAAAAGUGACUAGAUAUGAAAUUCCCUUGUGCCCUCAAGAACCCUUUGCCUAUUAUAAGAAAUUGUUCCUGCCUAUCCUUUGCCUCACAAGGAUUGGGCUACCUUGCUGCACCUAUUGUUACUAUUGCUACUCGUUACUUGUUACAAUUAUCUUGCUAUCAAGGAACUUGUUACCGCUAUUUCAGUCCUUGCAGAAAUUACCUUGCUAAAAAUCGCUUGUCAUUUCCUUCCGCUCCUUGCUGGGUUCGACACUCUUACUUGUUGAAAGUACUACGAUCGAUCCCCUAUACUUGUGGGUCAUCAAGACUCUUUUCUGGCUCCAAUCCCGGGGAGUGAAGCGCCUUUGGUAAGCGGAAUUUGGUAAGGGAAAAUUUAUAUUACGUGCUGAAAUUUACUCAUAGUUGUCACUAUGGAAAGUAAUCCUUUGAGGGUUUUGUUUGGGGUAUCUUCACCUCGACCGGAAACAUCAAGAGUUUUCCCUCAACCUGUUGUACCUACUAAAAAUAUUUAUUAUGAAAUUCCUUCGGGUAUGAUAGAGAAACUGCUAGCUAAUCCUUAUGCAGGAGAUGGAACAAAACAUCCCGAUAUGCACCUAAUAUUUGUGGAUGAAGUUUGUGGAUUAUUUAAGCUUGGGGUUUAUCCGGAGAUGAAGUCAAGUAGAAGGUUUUCCCUUUAUCUUUUGGGGGGAAAGCAUUUACAUGGUAUAGGCUAUGUGAUGAUACACGGUCUUGGAACUGGAAUCGAUUGCAAUUGGAGUUUGACCAGAAUUUAUCCUAUGCAUCUUGUUCAUCGUGAUCGGAAUUUUAGCUAUAAUUUCUGGCCUCGUGAAGGAGAAAGUAUCACUCUAGCUUGGGAGACGCUUAAGUCAAUGUUAUAUUCAUGCCCCAAUCAUGAGCUCCCGAGGGAAAUUAUUAUUCAGAACUUUUAUGCCUGGCUUUCUCGUAAUGAUCAAACCAUGCUUGAUACUUCUUGUUUUGGUUCUUUUAUGAAGAAGACUAUUGAAUUUAGGUGGGAUCUUUUGGAAACAAUUAAAUGCAACUUUCAAUAUUGGGAACUCAGUGAAGGUAAAGAGUUAGGUAUAAAACUUAAGGUUGAUUGUGUUAAAUCUUUUAUGAAUAUCGAUGCUUUGAAUGAUUUUAGCACUAAAUAUGGACUUUACUCUCGGAUAGUAGCCUCAUUUUGUGAAACCUUUGGUACUCAUGUUGAUCUCCCUAAAGAGAAAUGGUUUAAAUAUCAUCCACAUAUUAAAGAAAAAGUUUAAUAACCAAUUAAAGUUGAGCAUGAAACUAUCAUUUACAAUGUUGACCCAGCUGUGCCUACUAUUUAUAUUGAGAAACCACCAUUCCCUGUUAGGAUAAAGUAACAUGCUAAAGCUUCAACCAUGGUAAACAAAAGUUAUGUUAGAACAACCAAACCCUUUGGGCAAAUGAAGGUAGAACCUAGUAUUGCUAUGGUUAAUGAUCUCUUGGUUGAUAAUAUUGAUGGGCAUUUUAUUUAUUUCUAUGAUGAAGCUACUAGAAUUGCCAAACCUGAUACUAAAGAUAAGAAUUGGCCUAUUGUUGGCAUGCCUAUCAUCUUAGUCAAAAUAGGAGAUCAUUUUUACCAUGGUUUAUGUGAUACAGAUGCUAGUGUUAGUCAUAUUCCUUUUACCCUAUAUCACGAAAUUAUGAAUGAGAUAGCACCCUCUGAAAUAGAGACACCAUCACACCACUUGCGAUUGUUAGAGAUGUUGAAGUCUUGUGUGGAACAGUAAAAUACCCUAGUGAUUUUCUAGUACUUGGCUCACCACAAGGUGAUUUUUGUCCCAUAAUAUUUGGUAGACCCUUCUUGAACAUUGUCAAUGCUCAAAUGGAUUGCCAAAGGGAAACUAUCAGUGUUAAUUUUGGUGAUUUGUUUCAUGAGCUUCAUUUCUCCAAGUUCAGUAAGCAACCCCAUGAUAAAGAAUUGCAUAGUAAAUAUGAAGUAAUUGGUCUUGCUUCUAUUGACAUUCCUCCUACUGAACCAUUAGAACAAUAUUUCCUAGAGCAUGAAAAUUUUGUGCAUAUGUGUGAAAGAAAUGAACUAGAUAAUAUGUUCUUUGAGCAAAAGCCUAUCCUUAAACACAACUUGCCUGUUGAAACUCUAGGAGGUCCUCCUCCACCCAAGGGUGAUCCUGUGUUUGAAUUAAAGCAAUUACCUGACACUUUGAAAUAUGCUUAUCUUGGUGAAAAGAAGAUAUAUCCUUUUAUUAUCAGUGCUAACUUAGAGAUCAUGAAGAAGAAAGAUUGUUAAAAACUUUAAGGGAGCACCGAGGUGCUAUUGGGUAUACUCUUGUUGAUCUUAAGGGCAUUAGUCCCACUCUCUAUCAACACAAGAUUAAUAUGAAACCAGAUGCUAAACCCGUUAUUGAUCACUAACUCAGACUGAAUCCCAAAAUGAAAUAAGUUGUAAGUAAUGAAAUAUUAAAUCUUCUAGAAGCAGUUAUAAUUUAUCCCAUAGUUGAUAGUAGAUGGGUAAGUCAUGUUCAUUAUGUUCCUAAGAAAGGAGGUAUUACUGUCGUCCCUAAUGAUAAAAAUAAACUCAUUCCACAAAGAAUUGUGACUCGCUAUAGAAUGGUAAUUGAUUUUAGAAAAUUAAACAAAGCUAGUAGAAAAUAUCAUUAUCCUUUACCUUUCAUAGACCAAAUGCUAGAAAGAUUAUCGAAGCACAAACAUUUUUGCUUUAUAGAUGGUUAUUUUUGUUUUUCUCAAAUACAUGUGUCACAACCUAAUCAAGAGAAAAUCAUUUUUGCUUGCCCUUUUGGAACCUAGGCUUAUAAACAUAUGCCUUUUGGAUUAUGCAAUGCACCUGCUACCUUUCAAAGAUGUAUGACUCUUAUAUUCUCUGAUUUUUGUGAAAAGAUUGUUGAGGUUUUCAUCGAUGAUUUUUCCGUUUAUGUAACUUCUUUUGAUGAUUGCUUAAGUUACCUUGAUUGAGUUUUGUAGAGAUGUGAGCAACUAACCUUGUCUUGAAUUGGGAGAAGUGCCACUUUAUGGUAAAUGAAGGAAUUGUCUUGGGUCAUAAAAUUUCCGAACGAGGCAUUGAGGUGGAUAAGGCUAAAGUUGAGGCAAUCGAGAAGAUGCCAUGUCCUAAAGAUAUUUAAGUUAUCCGUAGUUUCCUUGGUCACGGUGGUUUCUCUGUAUCUUGCAAUCAAAUUCCUCAAACUCUAUACUUACAUUCCAUAUCUUUAUCCCCGUUGAAAACUUAACCUAUUUGUCAUCAACCACCAAAAAGGGGGCGAUUGUAAGUGCAUCUAGUGCCCCUUAGUGAUUUUGGUGGAUUGAAUACUUAUAGUUUAAGGAACUGGUAAGUUUGUAAGUGUACAUAGGCUCUAUAAGUCGCCGAGGAGUUUGAGUUAUUCGAAGAAUAUCGACCCCUAAAAAUGUAUGUCUUCGGGUGAAGACUUUGGUCAUUCCUUGAAGACUUUGAUCGCGAAUAAAUUGCGAAGGAAAUGGUAUUCCUCAUGAAGAUAUUGAAGAUGAGGAAUUCGGUGGUUCCCGAAGAAAAUACUCUGAAGAUUUUGAAGCUUGAAGAUUUACUAUUUCUGUUUUAUUUUCUUCAUUCUUGAGUCAUAGGAACAUCGUACUAUUAAAGGGGGUCGAGGUAAAACUAUGGAAAGAAUUUCCUCAUGAUACUCAACCCAGACCUACACCUACCAAAUCCUCAAAGUGAGGAACAUGAGAGACAUGAGGACUUUCACAGUUGAAAGUUCCGACCGUAGCCGCACCAUGCGCCACCUGUCCCAUAUAUUAUCCACCCAACAGUCAUAUCAUUAAGGGAAAUUAUUUCAAAUCAUGUCGGGAUGCUCCCAGGCUAUAAAUAGACACCCCGACAACUACUAGCUGGUUGGCUGCUCUGGGAUGCUACCAUGAGUGUUGGUCGAGUACUGUGUGUUCUUAGCUCAAGGAGAAUAUGAUAGGGACUGUGUGUCCUUUGGUUUCAAUACCAAGCUGCUCCAAACCAGACGUACAACUGUCACAUCAGUUGGAACUUGGUCAGCAACAACUGUCUUCAUCGAUCUACUGGUUCUAUUUCCUCAACUCGUUUCAUUUCCUCAAUUGUAUGUUGAAGACUUUCAUCUGUACUAUUUGAAGAAUUUGACUAAAUACUUUCUCUAAAUUCCUCACCCCAAUUUCUUCACCUGAGUUAUUCCUCACCUGCUUAUCCUGUACUCGUGAACUGUGCAAACCGAUUCUCUUAAUUCACCCUGAGUACUUUGCUGUAGACAUUUUUGCACUUCUGACUAAGUACUAUUUCCGCUGCACCCAGUUCAUAACUGAGGAAUUUCCACACUAGGAAUUUCCUCAGUGAUGAAAUUGUAAAAAUCGCCUUUUCACCCUUCCUCUAGUUGAUAUAACACACUUUCACUGACGCCUCCCGUGAUCGAAUGGAGGAGGGUGGAGAUGACGGCUCCGCCGGUGUUGGAGCCUUAACUGUUACAAAGUCCGGCGAGGUAUAUAUAUAUAUAUAUUAAUUAAGCGUCUACUAACUAGAUGCAUUAAUUGUUUUGUAUGUGCAUAUAUUAACGCUUCUUUCUUCUUUUAGCCCUUCGAAUCGAGCCAAACUUCUGUAAAGAGACGAGUCCCAAAGAAAAGGUUGGGCGAGGAUGAAUGGUUCACGAUCGAAGAAGUUGCUCGAGAUGGCCAAACGAUUGGUUCCAAGAGGAGCAAAGACAAAUUUAUAUAUCACUGUGCAGUGAUUAUUAGGGACAAUGUCCCAAUCAGCAUCCAAGAAUGGAAUAAGAGGAAGGACGGUGAUGUUUCUUAUGUCGAUGAUAGAUAGAAAGAUAAGCUUUGGAACACGUUGAUCACAAAUUUCAGCCUACCGCCACAGGAGGAUCCAAAUAACCUAGUUAUACAACGACAAGUCAAGGCAUUCGCUCUUAAGAAGAUGGCAGAACUAUUCAAGUACUGGAAGACAAGAUUGAACGAGUUUGUCGAGAAAGACCAGACUCCAGAACUCACCCGUCAAUAUGCGAAGAUAAAAGAUCACUAGCCCGCAUUUGUGGCGUACAAGAAAUCGGAGAAAGCUAAGCAAGUGUCACAGGUAAAUAAGGAAAAUACUGCAAAGAAGAAGUAUCACCAUGUUACAGAGUCUGGUGGCUACCAGGUUUCCUGGACUACGCGGGACGAUGCUGAGAACGACAUGCUUGAUAAAGGGGUCCACCGAGUGACAUUGCACUAGCCCGAUAAAUCAAGGGCUUGGUUCUUCGGGUAUGGGGGAGCUUUGAACCCAGAAACAGGGAAGUGUGUUUUCAUGAAAUCUGAACUGAAAACACCAGUCUUAAAGAUUAUCAAAUCAAUCAAGGACACGGAGGAAGGGAGGUUCCAUCCCGACACAGAGAAGGACGAGUUGUCAAAGGCCCUCGGGAAUCCUGAACACCCUGGACGAACAUGAGGCACAUCAGGAUCUGUUCCAUGGAAGUAUGGGUUUCUGGCGAGCACUGAUUAUAGAAGCCGAGGGAGAAAGAAGAAAGAGGAAGGAGACCAGAUGCAGAUGAUGGAAGAAAGAUUAUCGCAGCACGAGAAGAAACUAGAGGCAUAUACCAGUCAACGAGCUUCUCAGUAGCACGAAGCUCCUUCAUUCGAUACUGCUCAUGAAGCUACCCCAUCAUCUCAGCGGAAAAGCAGUGUGGCUUCCACUGAGCACAUUCAACCUGAUAUCAUGGUUCCUCGCUGAUACGUCCAUAUUGCAUCAUGCUUUCAUGUUGAUAUUUAUCGCUUUUUGGGCUGUUAUUACACAUCACGGUACAAUACUUAUGCCUUUUCUCUAUUAUUUUGCAAGGUUUACAUGAAGAGGGAGAAUGCCGGCAGCUGGAAUUCUGGCCUGAAAAAGGAGCAAGUUUGAGAUACCUAUUCUGCGCAACUCCAAAAGCCGUGAAAAUCAACGAGGAUUUAUUUUGGAUUUUAUAAAAAAAUACUGGGCCGAAGAAGUACGAGAGGGGCGCCAGCAGGAGGCCACAAGCCUGCUAGGCGCGACCUCCCCCCUUGCCACGCCUAGGGGGCUUGUGGGCUCCCAGCUGGCCCUCUAGCCCCCCUCUUUUUCUACAAGAAGGGUUUCGUUCCAGAAAAAAAUCAGGAGGAGGCUUUCAGGAGGAAUCGCCGCCGCCACGAGGCGGAACUUGAGCAGAACCAAUCUAGAGCUCCGGUAGGACGAUCCUGCCGGGGAAACUUCCCUCCCCGAGGGGGAAAUCGUCGCCAUCGUUAUCACCAACACUCCUCUCGUCGGAGGGGACUCGUCACCAUCAACAUCUUCAUCAGCACCAUCUCAUCUCCAAACCCUAUUUCAUCUCUUGUAACCAAUCUCCAUCUCGCGACUCCGAUUGGUACUUGUAAGGUUACUAGUAGUGUUAAUUACUCUUUGUAGUUGAUGCUAGUUGGAUUACUUGGUGGAAGAUUAUAUGUUAAGAUAUUUGAUGCUAUUCACUACCUCUCUGGUCAUGAAUAUGAUUAUGCUUUGUGAGUAGUCACUUUUGUUCCUGAGGACAUGGGAUAAGUCAUGCUAUAAACAGUCAUGUGAAUUUGGUAUUCGUUAGGUAUUUUCAUGUGUUGUAUGUUGUCUCUCCUCUAGUGGUGUUAUGUGAACAUCGACUACAUAACACUUCACCAUUAUUUGGGCCUAGAGGAAGGCAUUGGGAAGUAGUAAGUAGAUGAUGGGUUGCUAGAGUGACAGAAGCUUAAACCCUAGUUUAUGUGUUGCUUCGUAAGGGGCUGAUUUGGAUCCACUAGUUUAAUUCUACGGUUAGACUUUGUCUUAAUUCUUCUUUCGUAGUUGCUGAUGCUUGCGAGAGGGGUUAAUCGUAAGUGGGAUGCUUGUCCAUGUAAGGGCAGUACCCCAAGCGCCGGUCCACCCACAUAUUAAACUAUCAAAGUAGCGAACGCAAAUCAUAUGAACAUGAUGAAAACUAGCUUGACCGAAUUUCCCAUGUGUCCUCGGGAGCGCUUUACCUCCUAUAAGACUUUGUCCAGGCUUUUCCCUUGCUACAAAAUGGAUUGGGCCACUUUGCUGCACCAUUGUUACUUUUGUUACUUGCUACUUGCUACGAAUCAUCUUAUCACACAACUACUUGUUACCAAUAAUUUCAGUGCUUGCAGAGAUUACCUUGCUGAAAACCACUUGUCAGAUCCUUCUGCUCCUCGUUGGGUUCGACAAUCUUACUUAUCAGAAGGACUACGAUAGAUCCCCUAUACUUGUGGGUCAUCAAGACUCUUUUCUGGCGCCAUUGCCGGGGAGUGAAGCGCCUUUGGUAAGUGGAAUUUGGUAAGGAAACAUUUAUAUAGUGUGCUGAAAUUUAUUGUCACUUGUUGCUAUGGAAACUAAUCCUUUGAGGGGCUUGUUUGGCAUAUCUUCACCUCGAAUGGAAGCACAUGUAGAUUGUCACUUGUUGCUAUGGAAACUAAUCAUUUAUAUAGUGUGCUGAAAUUUAUUGUCACUUGUUACUCCUCAACCUACUGCACCUACUGAAAAUAUUUUCUAUGAAUUUCCUUCGGGUAUGCUUGAGAAAGUGCUGGCUAAUCCUUUUACAGGAGAUGGAACAUCACAUCCCGACUUGCAUCUAAUCUAUGUAGAUGAAGUUUGUGGUUUAUUUAAGCUUGCAGGUUUGCCCGAGGAUGAGGUCAAGAAGAAGGUAUUUCCCUUAUCUUUGAGGGAUAAGGCGUUGACAUGGUAUUGGCUAUGUGACGAUACUGGCUCAUGGAACUACAAACUGUUGAAAUCGGAAUUUCAUCAAAAGUUUUAUCCUAUGCAUCUAGUACAUCGUGAUCGGAAUUAUAUUUAUACUUUUUGGCCUCGUGACAGAGAAAGCAUCGCUCAAGCUUGGGGGAGGCUUAAAUCAAUGUUAUAUUCAUGCCCCAACCAUGAGCUCUCGAGAGAAAUUAUCAUUCAAAACUUCUAUGCUCGAUUUUCUCAUGAUGAUCGCACCAUACUUGACACUUCUUGUACCGGUUCUUUUAUGAAGAGAGAUAUUGACUUCAGAUGGAAUUUAUUGGAAAGAAUUAAACGCAACUCUGAAGAUUGGGAGCUUGAUGAAGGUAAGGAGUCAGGUAUGAUUUCAACUUUGAUUGCGUUAAAUCCUUUGUUGAAACAAAUACCUUUUGUGAUUUUAGCGCUAAGUAUGGUCUUGACUCUGAAAUAGUAGCUUUUUGUGUGAAUCAUUUGCUGCUCAUAUUGAUCUCCUCAAAGAGAAGUGGUUUAAAUAUCAUCCUCCCUUAGAAGUCAAUGUAGUUAAACCCAAUCCAGUUGAAGAAAGAGUCAUUGCCUAUAAUGAUCCUAUUGUUCCUAGUGCUUACAUUGAGAAACCACCUUUCCCUGUUAGGAUAAAGGAUCAUUCUAAAGCUUCAACUGUGAUACGUAGGGGCUACAUUAGAACACCUACACCCCCUGAGCAAAUUAGAGUUGAACCUAGCAUUGCUAUUAUAAAAGAUCUCAUGUCCGACAAUGUUGAUGGCCAUGAUAUUCACUUCUGUGAAGAUGCUGCUAGAUUUGCUAAACCACAUGCUAGAGACAAACAUAGGCCUGUUGUUGGCACGCCUGUUGUUUAUGUUAAGAUAGGAGAUCAUUGUUAUCAUGGUUUAUGUGAUGUGGGUGCUAGUGUUAGAGCAAUACCUCAAUCCUUAUAUGAUGAAAUUAAAGACGAGAUUGCAACUGUCGAGAUAGAACCCAUUGAUAUCACUAUCGAGCUUGCCAAUAGAGAUACUAUCUGCCCUGUGGGAAUUGUUAGAGAUGUUGAAGUCUUGUGUGUUAAAGCGAAGUAUCCUGAUGAUUUCCUCAUUCUUGUUACCACACAAGAUAGCUUUUGUCCCAUCAUAUUUGACAGACCUUUUCUCAAUACUGUCAAUGCUCAUAUUGACUGUGAGAAGCAAACUGUCACUGUUGGCUUUGAAGGUGUGUCACAUGAGUUCAAUUUCUCCAAGUUUGGUAGACAACCUCAUGAAAAAGGGUUGCCUAGUAGGGAUGGAACUAUUGCCCUAGCUUCUAUUGUCGUGCCUCCUACUGAUCCUUUAGAGCAAUACUUGCUUGAGCAUGAAAAUGAUAUGCAUAUGGAUGAAAGGGAUGAGAGAGAUAGAGUUGUCUUAGAACAAUAUCCUAUCCUUAAGAAUAAUUUGCCUGUUGAACUUCUUGGAGAUCCACCCCCACCAAAGGGUGAUCCUAUGUUCGAGAUUAAACAGUUGCCUGAUAAUCUUAAGUAUGCUUAUCUUGAUGAAAAAGAGAUAUAUCAUGUUAUAAUUAGUGCUAGCCUCUCAGAGCAAGAAGAAAAGAAGUUACUAAAAACUCUGAGGAAGCACUGUGCUGCUAUUGGAUAUACUCUUUAUGAUCUUAAGGGCAUUAGUCCCACUCUUUGCCAGCACAAGAUUAAAACUGAUCCUUAUUCCAAACUAGUUGUUGAUCAUCAAAGCGGAUUAAAUCCUAAGAUGAAAGAGCUAGUAAGAAAAGAAAUACAAAAGCUCCUGGAAGCACGUAUUAUCUAUCCCGUUGCUCAUAGUGAUUGGGUGAGUCCGGUGCAUUGCGUCCCUAAGAAGGGAGGUAUUACCGUUGUCCCUAAUGAUAAGGAUGAAUUGAUCCCACAAAGGAUUAUUACUGGCUAUAGGAUGGUGAUCGAUUUUAGGAAAUUGAAUAAAUCCACUAGGAAAGUGAUACGUCUCCGUCGUAUCUACUUUUCCGAACUCUCUUUCCCUUGUUUUGGACUCUAAUUUGCAUGAUUUGAAUGGAACUAACCCAGACUAACGCUGUUUUCAGCAGAAUUGCCAUGGUGUUGUUUUUGUGCAGAAAUAAAAGUUCUCGGAAUGUCCUGAAAAUUUACGGCGAUUUUUUCUGGAAUAAAAGAAAAAUACAUGCACAAAGAUCCAUCGAAGGAGGUGGACCAGUGAGCCAAAAGCCCACAGGCCGCGACCACCCCCCCUGGCCGCGCCGUGAGGGCUUAUGGGGCCCACGUGGCUACACCGCCCCCAAACUCAGCUCUAUAUCUUCCGUCUCGCCCGAAAAAAAUCAGAGAGAAGGUUUCAUCGCGUUUUCGAUACGGAGGCGCCGCCACAUCCUGUUCUUCAUCUGGAGGGCAGAUCUGGAGUCCGUUUCGGGCUCCGGAGAGGGGAAAUCAUCGCCAUCGUCAUCAUCAACCUUUGUCCAUCGACAAUUCCAUGAUGCUCUUCAUCGUUCAUGAGUAAUCUCAUCGUAGGCUUGCUGGACGGUGAUGAGUUGGAUGAGAUCUAUCAUGUAAUCGAGUUAGUUCUUGACGGGGAUUGAUCCCUAGUAUCCACUAUGUUCUAGACUGAUGUUGCUACUACUUGGCUAUGCUUAAUGCUUGUCACUAGGGCCCGAGUGCCAUGAUUUCAGAUCUGAACCUAUUAUGUUGUCGCCAAUAUAUGUGUGUUUUAGAUCCUAUCUUGCAAGUUGUAGUCACCUACUAUGUGUUAUGACCCGGCAACCCUGGAGUGACAAUAGUCGGAACCACUCCCGGAGAUGACUAUAGUAUGAGGAGUUCAUGUAUUCACCGUGUGUUAAUGCGUUGGUCCGGUUCUUUAUUAAAAGGAGAACCUUAAUAUCCCGUAGUUUCCAUUAGGACCCCACUGCCACGGGAGAGAUGGACAAUAGAUGUCAUGCAAGUUCUUUUCCCUAAGCACGUAUGACUACAUACGGAAUACAUGCCUGCAUUAGAUUGACGAACGGGAGCUAGUUACAUAUCUCUGUGUGUUAUAGCUGUUACAUGAUGAUUCACAUCCAUAAUACUCAUCCAUCACCGAUCCACUGCCUACGAGUCUUUUACUACUGGUCCUCGCUACGUUACUUUGUCUAGGCUUGUCCCUUGUUACAAAAGGGAUUGGGCCACUUUGCUGCUACUGUUGCUACUGCUGUCACUUUGCUGCUACUGUUGCUACUGCUGUUACUUUGUUGUUGCUGCUACUGUUGUUCCUUGCUACUCCGCUGUUACUUGUUGCAAGAUCUUUUACGACACUGUUGUCGGGGAAGAUUAGUUACUCGUCAACGUACCUUUUUCUGGCGACAUUGAUACAACAGUUAGGAAUAAUCUGCCUUGUCAACUGAUCGUUUCUGGCACCGUUGCUAUCAUACUACUUUGCUACUCAUACUUUGCUCGCAGACACUGUUUCUGGCACCGUUGCUAUCAUACUACUUUAGCUGCUAAUACUUGAGAAUAUUCUUUAGCUUCCCCUUGUGAGUGAAUCAACAAAUUUGGGUCGAAUACUCUAUGCUCGAAAACUGGUGCGAUCCCCUACACUUGUGGGUUAUCAAGACCUUUUUCUGGCGCCGUUGCUGGGGAAGCACAGCUAUAUUCUCUGAGUCACUUGGGAUUGACGUCUGCUGUCCACUAUGAGGAAUCCGAAAGAUCCAAGAACUAAAAUCCUGCCUUCCACUACGAGGAGAAGUAAGGAACUGCCAUCUAGCUCUGCACUUGAUUCACCUUAAGUUAUGAGUAAGUUUGCGACUUCACCUCCUCCUAGAAAUGUUGAUAUGUUGCCUGUGCUUGAUGAUGCUACUUCUGCUGCCCAUGAUGCUUAUGAUGAUGCUAUGCUUGAUACUAUGCCUGAUGAUGCUAUGCUUGAUACUAUGCCUGAUGAUGCUAUGCUUGAUACUAUGCCUCAUGAUGCUAUGCUCAAUACUAUGCCUCAUGAUGCUAUGCUUGAUACUAUGUCUGCUAUGCCUGAUACUUCUUUGCCACUAGGUGCAUUCCUUGAUGCACAAAUUGCUAGGGCUGCUGCUAGAUGUGAUGAUACUUCUGAAACUGCUGAUACUAUUGAAGUAGAACCUGCUACUAUGCCUGUUAUGCCUGAUACGCGCUAUGUUAUGGAGGGAGAGAUAGCUGAGGAUUUUCUUGCGUGCAAGGAUAGCUAUGAUGUUGAGAAAUUAUUGCGCAAGUGGAAAGAAAAAUCUCUGAACGCUAGGAUGAAAUACGACCCGAAGUUUGCCACUUCGCCUAUCUUUGUGACCGAUAAGGAUUAUGAAUUCUCUGUCGACCCUGAGUUAAUCACUCUGGUCAAAUCUGAACCUUUUCACGGUUAUGAGUCUGAAACGGUUGUAGCCCAUCUUACCAAACUGCACAAUAUAGCCACCCUAUUCACUAGUGAGGAAAAGAUCCGCCACUACUACAUGCUCAAGCUGUUUCCUUUCUCGCUAAAAGAUGAUGCUAAGACUUGGUUCACUUCUCUUGCUCCUGGUUGUGUGCGUAGUCCCCACGACAUGGUCUACUACUUCUCUGAAAAAUAUUUCCCUGCCCAUAAGAAGCAAGCUGCCUUGCAGGAAAUAUACAACUUUGUUCAAGAUGAAGAAGAGAGUCUCCCACAAGCUUGGGGAGGCUCAUCCAGCUACUGAAUGCUUUGCCUGAUCACCCUCUUGAGAAGAAUGAAAUACUUGAUAUCUUCUAUAAUGGACUUGCCGAUGCUUCUAAAGACCACCUAGAUAGCUGUGCCGGUAGUGUUUUUAGGGAACGAACUGUAGAACAAGCUGAGAUCCUACUGAAUAACAUCUUGUGCAAUGAGAAUGUUUGGACUAUUCCCGAACCACCUCGUAAGCCAACUCCAAAGAAAAGAGGUAUUCUAUUCCUCAGUCCUGAAGAUAUGCAAGAAGCCAAGAAAUCUAUUCGAGAGAUAGGCAUUAAAUCUGAAGAUGUCAAAAAUCUACCACCUAUCGAAGAGAUCCAUGGUCUCGAUAACCCGAUACAGGUAGUAUAAGUAAAUUCUCUGCGUAGGUUUGAUGAGAGUGAUAUUCCUUUUGAUAAACCUGCUAGUUUAUGCAUGGAUGAAUUUGAUAACUUUGUUGCCAAACAACAGAGUUUCAACGAUUAUGUUAGCAGACAAUUGGAACAGAAUGCUCAUAUGCUUAGUCAUUUAAGUGCUUGUGUGGACAAAAACGUCAAUGAUCUUAAGCUCCUGAGUAAACAUGCCUCUAUGGUUACUACUCAGGUAGAACAAGUACUUAAAGCUCAAAAUGACUUGCUCAAUUAGUUGAAUGACAAUUCUGUCAGAGUCGUAAAUAGAGGCGGUAGAAUGACCCAGGAACCUUUGUAUCCUGAGGGUCAUCCUAAGAGAAUUGAACAAGAUUCUCAAGGAGUUAGCACUGAGGCACCUAGUCAUCCUAGAAAGAAGAAGAAAGAUGAUAGGAACCUGCACGCUAGCAACCCUGUUCCUGCUACACAUGAGAGUCCAAACGAUGCCUCUGUCUCUGAUGCGGAAACACAAUCUGGUGAUGAACAUGAGCCUAAUGAUAAUAUCAAUAGUGAUGUUCAUGAUGAUGCUCAACCUAGCAAUGAAAAGGAUGUGGAGAUUGAACCUGAUCUUGAUAACCCACAGCCUAAGAGUAAGAGAUACAAUAAGAAUGACUUCACUACUAGGAAGCACGGUGGGAACCAUGGGUUCAGAAACCUAUGCCCUUUCCUCCCAAACCAUCCAAGAAAAGGGAUGAUGAGGAUUUUGAGCGCUUCGUUGAAAUGAUCAGACCUGUCUUUCUGCAGAUGCGUUUGACGAAUAUGCUGAAAAUGUCUCCGUAUGCUAAGUAGAUGAAAGAUAUUGUGACUAAUAAGAGGAGGAUACCUGAUCUUGAGAUCUCCGCCAUGCUUGCUAACUAUACCUUCAAUGGUGGAACUUCGAAGAAACUAGGUGAUCCCGGUGUGCCCACUAUACCUUGCUCCAUUAAAGGCAACUACGUUAGAACUGCGUUAUGCGACCUUGGAGCCGGUGUUAGUGUUAUGCCUCUCUCUCUUUAUCAUAGACUUGAACUGGAUAAGUUGACACCCACUGAAAUCUCUCUGCAAAUGGCUGACAAAUCAACUGCUUUCCCUAUCGGCAUUUGCGAGGAUGUGCCUGUUGUGGUUGCUAACACCACUAUCUUAACAUCUUGGAUAUUCCCGAGGACGAUGCCAUAGCUGUUAUCCUUGGAAGACCCUUUUUAAACACCACAGGGGCUAUUAUAUAUUGCAACAAAGGCAAUGUCACUUUCCAUGUCAAAGGUAAUGAGCAUACGGUGCACUUUCCGAAGAAACAGUAUCGAGUACAUUGCAUCAAUGCUACCGAAAAGACUUCAUCGACUCUUAUUAGGAGCUUUGAAUGCCCUAUUCCUCGUGUCAAGAUGAAGUAUGAUUUGCUUGUUGGGGAGAUACACAUCCCCAUUGAGGCAACCUAGUGACUAUUCGAAAAUUCUCCGUUCUCUUUUGCCAUUCGAAAAGGUUUGUCGAGGGGAUUUGAUCAACCCCAUUGACGGAUUUAUUUCGAUGACCAUGAGAUGGAUAAAUCAAGGAGUCACAAACCUCUGUUCCAAGCUUUCACCUUAGGUUGCUUCGAAGAAAAAAAUGUUAGAUUUAGUUUAGUUUUCCCUCUUUUCUAUUUUAGCGUCCAGUAGAAAAGAACCCCGAAAAUAAAAGUUCUCUGAACGUCCUAAAAAUCAAGUAUGAUUUUUUCUGGAUUUUUUGAAAAAUACUCGGACAAAGAGUCUGUCUGGGGGCCACACCCGUGGGCCACAAGCCCUAGGGGCACGGGCACCCCCUGGCCGAGCCACCUAGGCUUGUGGGGCCAACAGGCACCCCCUCCACUCAUUCUUGCUCUCAUCUGGUUCUCCUACCUCCAGAAAAAAUUGUUUUGCAGCUCAAACCCGUGUUCUUGCUCCUCUUGCUGGGAUUUUCUAUCUCUUUGCUCAAAUCACCGUUCUCCGAACUGUUUUGGGGAAUUACUCCUUGGUAAGUGACUCCUCCAUUGGUCCAAUUAGUUUUUGCUCUAGUGUCUUAUACUCCGCGUAUUUUUGUUGCCUUGGUGACCAUGUUCUUGAGAAUUGCAUGCUGAUUCUAGCUAGUCCCAAGUAGUUUUGAUGCGUAAUGUGGUCUCUAGGCACUUUGUUGGAGUAGUUGCUACGAGUUUCGUUGAGCCUUGUUCAUUUUUCCUUAGAACCACUAAAAAUUUCAGAAAUUUUUAGAGAUAGAAAAGGGAAAAGAUGAGGAGGUUCUUAAGAUGCUCGUCAAGUCGUGACCCCAAGGAUGAUGGGAGUGAGAAGAACCAAAGUAUUUGGUCCCUCGAGUCGCAGAAGUUCGAGCGUGCGAGUGGCCAAGCGACGUGUUCUUACGCGCCGCUGGAAUUUAUGAGGACUUUUAUCACUUAGUGGAGAACGCAGGUCUUACCGCCUUCGUUGAAGAUAAGUGUCCGCAAUACCUCCUCCUCACUAAUAUCUUCGUACAAAGCUUUAACUUCUAUCCGAGGAAGAGUCCUCCUAUGGUUGAGUUUAAACUUUAUGAUAUCCCCCAGCGCAUGUCACUCCAGGAUUUCUGCAAUGUUUGCAAAUUACCUUACGUUGGGGAUAUUCAUGAACCUCGUCUACGGGACUUGGAAGCUUUCAUCGAUACAAUUGUUGUAGGAGAGGAGAGAGGAGUGUCUUGCGCUAGAGCAGCUAGCAUUUAUUUUCUCGUGCUUCGGUACUUCUCACUAUUUGUGGGAAAAUGUUUGAUCGGCCGUGGGAAAGCUGGGUCACUUAGUUCCCUAGAUCUUGCGGUCUUGCGCGAAGCCCUUUAUAACAAUAAAACUUAUAGCUUGGGCGCUAUAGUAGCUCAACGGUUGAACCUGAACCGUUCUAAGGGUGUUGUCUAUGGAGGUAUCUACGCUACUCAUAUUGCUAGACACUUUAAGAUACCUAUAAGACUGGAGGAGGAAGAAGAGGUUCUUCUUCCCGAUAGAUAUCUAUAUUAUGAUAGCAUGGUUCGCCAUGACUUUCUUGAUAGAGAUAUAAAUAGAAGGAUGAUUUAUAACUUGGUAUUUAGUCAGGGUACUCGUGAGACUAUUACUUUGCCUUCUCCUUCUUUGUUCAAUCUUCAUGCAGGCAGGUACGCUAUUAUGCCCCCGGACAUCUACGCAUAUUGGGGCCUAGCCCAACCACAGGUGCCCGUGCCCGAGCCGGCAGUCGAAUACCACACGCCAGUUUAUCAGUGGGAGCCAGAGGAGCUCACACAACAAUGGCAUCCUCAGUCCACUUCGGAGUACACCGGAGCUGGUUAUUUCCCUCCUUGGGAGUAGACCAAGUUAGUCCAAAAGCCUAAGCUUGGGGGAGUACGUGUUUCUCACCGACUUUACAUUCUUGCUUAUGCUUUCACUUUGUUAGCCGGUGUUCACACUUUGCCACUGUAUCAUCCAUGCUAGUUUAUUUUCUUUUUCUCAUUUAUUUUCGUGUGUCUAUCUAGUUUGAGAAAACCCAAAAAGAUUUUGUUUUUCUUCUUUUGCUUGUUGGGAGCUUUCCCGUGUAAAUAGUUUUCUUUUUCUUUGGGUCAAGGUAGAAGAUAUUGGUUACAACGUCUAGUGGCUCUUGCAUGCAUACAUGUUUAGCUUUCAAAGAGCCAUAUUACUUUGUCUUCUCCUUUGUGUUUGCCUGCAGAUUCCAGCUUUAGUCUAAUGCAUGAUCACUCUUAUUAUUGUUCAAUCAUUCGGUUGUGCUAGUGAAAAGCAAUAGUGACGAUAUAUGAUGAAGUGACUGAGCCUGGAAAAGCUGGUAUGAACUCGAUCUAUUUUGUUUUUGUAAAUAUGACUAGUUCAUCAUGCCUGAUUCAGCUUUGUUGUGAGAGAAACAUGUUUGCAAUGACAACUUAGAGAUCAUAGUUGCUUAUGCCAUGCUUACUUAUCUAGGAGCUUAUAAUGGUUUGCCUUGGUUGCCAACAUGAAUUUUGAGAUGACUAUGAUGUAGUAUGAUAGGAUGGUAUCCUCCUUUGAAUGAUUCAAGUGGCUUGACUUGGCGCAUGUUUACGCAUGUAGUUGAAACAAAAUCAACAUAGCCUCUAUGAUAUUCAUGUUCAUGGUGAUUUAGGUCCUACUCAUGCUUGUACUCAAUGUUAGUUACUCCCAAUGCAUUUUUAAGACUGUUGUUGCUCUCUAGUUGGUCGCUUCCCAGUCUUUUGCUAGCCUUCACUUGUACUAAGCGAGAAUACUGCUUGUGAAUCCCCUUCCAUAAACCCAAAGUUGUUCCAUAUGAGUCCACCAUACCUACCUAUGUGCGGUAUCUACCUGCCGUUCCAAGUAAAUUUGCAUGUGCCAUUCUCUAAAUCUUCAAGAAAUAAUCUGUUUUGCAUGCCCGAACCACUCAUGUGGUGACAUGGGGCUAUUGGUAUCUUCCAUGCUAGUCGUGUUAUCCUCGAUAUGUGUUUAUUCACUAUCAUUCAUGAGAAAGGGGCCGGUAAUUGGAAUUCCCAGUUCCAUGCUCAAAUCGAAAAGAUAAUUGCAAACAAAACUCCCCUAGAAUUGAUGUUGGUAUGGACGGUACCCGAGGAUUCGGCUAGCCGUGGAGUGUGAUUGAUUGGUGGUGGGGAGUCAAAACUUUACUUUUCUGUUUGGGAACCGCCUAUAGCAUGUGCAUCGUGGAAGAUGUUGAGAACUCUUAGUCAUUGCGUUGACAAUGAAAGCAUGCCACCCAAAAUUAUUAUCUCUGUUUUCAAAGCUUGAGCUCUGGCACCUGUUGAGUCAUCCUCCUCUUACAAAAGCACCAAUUAGAGAGCACCUCUGUCAUUUUUCUGCUUUGCUUUUAACUGUGUUGAGUAUGACUGUGACUGGAUCUUCAUUGCCUUGAAUUACAAUGUUUAGUCAGCCCUUGGUCUUUGAAGGUGCUCUACAUUUAUGUUUUGCGGUCUUAGAAAGGGGUAGCGAGAUACCAUCUAUUCGUACCGCUUCAUGUUGUUUUGAUUGAAGUGUUGACAUUUGAGGCUUAUUAUUAUUUGCUCGCUAGUUGAUUAUGCCAUUGAUAUGAGUUUACCAUGAGACCUAGAUGUCAUUUGCUUAUGUGGUUUGCUUGUGAUCUUGCUGAAACUCUGGAUAUCAGUUAGACAUAGUUGCAACAACAAGAUCAAACAGAGUUCGUCAAAGUUUUUCUUUUGUCUCUUUCAGUUUGUCAACUGAAUUGCUUGAGGACAAGCAAGGCUUUAAGCUUGGGGGAGUUGAUACGUCUCCGUCGUAUCUACUUUUCCGAACUCUUUUGCCCUUGUUUUGGACUCUAAUUUGCAUGAUUUGAAUGGAACUAACCCGGACUGACGUUGUUUUCAGCAGAAUUGCCAUGGUGUUGUUUUUGUGCAGAAAUAGAAGUUCUCGGAAUGUCCUGAAAAUUUACGGUGAUUUUUUCUGGAAUAAAAGAAAAAUACCUGCGCAAAGAUCCACCGGAGGAGGUGGACCAGUGGGCCACAAGCCCACAGGCCGCAGCCACCCCCCUGGCCGCACCGUGAGGGCUUGUGCGGCCCACGUGGCUCCACCGCCCCCAAACUCAGCUCUACAUCUUCCGUCUCGCCUGGAAAAAAAUCAGAGAGAAGGUUUCAUCGCGUUUUGCGAUACGGAGGUGCCGCCACAUCCUGUUCUUCAUCUGGAGGGCAGAUCUAGAGUCCGUUGCGGGCUCUCGAGAGGGGAAAUCGUCACCAUCAACCUUUCUCCAUUGACAAUUCCAUGAUGCUCUUCAUCGUUCGUGAGUAAUCUCAUCGUAGGCUUGCUGGACGGUGAUGAGUUGGAUGAGAUCUAUCAUGUAAUCGAGUUAGUUUUUGACGGGGAUUGAUCCCUAGUAUCCACUAUGUUCUAGAUUGAUGUUGCUACUACUUGGCUAUGCUUAAUGCUUGUCACUAGGGCCCGAGUGCCAUGAUUUCAGAUCUGAACCUAUUAUGUUGUCGCCAAUAUAUGUGUGUUUUAGAUCCUAUCUUGCAAGUUGUAGUCACCUACUAUGUGUUAUGACCCGGCCACCCCGGAAUGACAAUAGCCGGAACCACUCGCGGAGAUGACUAUAGUAUGAGGAGUUCAUGUAUCCACUGUGUGUUAAUGCGUUGGUCCGGUUCUUUAUUAAAAGGAGAACCUUAAUAUCCUGUAGUUUCCAUUAGGACCCCGCUGCCACGGGAGGGAUGGACAAUAGAUGUCAUGCAAGUUCUUUUCCCUAAGCACGUAUGACUACAUACGGAAUACAUGCCUGCAUUAGAUUGACAAACGGGAGCUAGUUACAUAUAUCUCCGUGUUAUAGCUAUUACAUGAUGAUUCACAUCCGUAAUACUCAUCCAUCAUCGAUCCACUGCCUACGGGUCUUUUACUACUGGUCCUCGCUACGUUACUUUGUCUAGGCUUGUCCCUUGCUACAAAAGGGAUUGGGCCACUUUGCUGCUACUGUUGCUACUGCUGUCACUUUGCUGCUACUGUUACUACUGUUGUUACUUUGCUGCUGCUGCUACUGCUGUUUCUUGCUACUCCGCUGUUACUUGUUGCAAGAUCUUUUCCGACACUGUUGUCGGGGAAGAAUAGUUAGUCGUCAACGUACCUUUUUCUGGCGCCAUUGAUACAACAAUUAGGAAUAGUCUGCCUUGUCAACAGAUCGUUUCUGUUACCGUUGCUAUCAUACUACUUUGCUACUGAUACUUUGCUUGCAGACACUAAUCUUUCAGGUGUGGUUGAAUCUGGUAAACUCAGCUGCUAAUACUUGAGAAUAUUCUUUAGCUUCCCCUUGUGAGCGAAUCAACAAAUUUGGGUCGAAUACUCUACCCUCGAAAACUGUUGCGAUCCCCUACACUUGUGGGUUUCAGAAAGAUCAUUACCCUUUGCCUUUUAUCGACCAAAUGUUAGAAAGACUGUGUAAACACACACACUUCUGCUUUCUAGACGGUUAUUCUGGUUUCUCCCAAAUACGAGUUGCACUAGCUGAUCAGGAGAAAACCACUUUCACCUGCCCUUUCGAUACCUUUGCUUACAGACGUAUGCCUUUUGCCUUAUGUAAUGCACCUGCUACCUUUCAAAGAUGUAUGAUGGCUAUACUCUCUGACUUUUGUGAAAAGAUUGUUGAGGUUUUCAUGGAUGACUUCUCCGUCUAUGGGUCUUCUUUUGAUGAUUGCCUCAGCAACCUUGAUCGAGUCUUGCAGAGAUGUAAAUACACCAACCUUGUCUUGAAUUGGGAGAAGUGCCACUUUAUGGUUAAUGAAGGAAUCGUCUUAGGACAUAAAAUUUCCGAAAGAGGUAUUGAAGUCGAUAAGGCUAAGGUUGAUGCUAUCGAGAAAAUGCCAUGCCCCACAGAUAUCAAAGGUAUAAGAAGUUUCCUUGGUCAUGCUGGUUUCUAUAGAAGGUUCAUUAAAGACUUCUCUAAGAUUUCUAGGCCUCUUACCAAUCUCUUCCAAAAGGAUAUUCCUUUUGUUUUUGACGAUGAUUCUGAGGAAGCCUUCGAAAUACUUAAGAAGGCCUUGAUAAUUGCACCUAUUGUUCAACCACCGGAUUGGAACUUACCUUAUGAAAUCAUGUGUGAUGCUAGUGAUUAUGAUGUUGGUGUUGUCCUAGGGCAAAGAGUUGAUAAGAAGUUGAAUGUUAUUCACUAUGCUAGUAAAACUCUAGACAGUACCCAAAGAAACUAUGCUACUACUGAAAAGCAUUUUUUAGCAGUCGUGUUUGCAUGUGAAAAGUUCAGAUCUUACAUAGUUGAUACCAAAGUCACUAUUCGCACUUAUCACGCUGCUAUUAAAUACCUUAUGGAAAAGAAAGACGCUAAACCUAGACUUAUCAGAUGGGUUCUCUUGCUACAAGAAUUUGAUUUGCAUGUUGUCGAUAGGAAGGGUGCUGAUAACCCCGGAGCAGAUAACUUGUCUAGGUUGGAGAAUGUUCAUGAUGACCCACAACUUAUUGAUGAUAGCUUUCCUGAUGAGCAACUGAACGUCAUCAAUGCUUCACGUAGUGCACCGUGGUAUGCUGAUUAUGCAAACUAUAUCGUUGCCAAAUAUAUACCACCUAGUUUCACAUACCAGCAAAAUAAGAAAUUCUUCUUUGAUUUGAGACAUUACUUUUGGGAUGAUCCUCACCUUUAUAAGGAAGGAGUAGAUGGUGUUAUUAGACGUUGUGUACCUGAACAUGAACAGGGACAGAUCCUACAGAAGUGUCACUCCGAGGCCUACGGAAGACACCAUGCGGGAGAUAGAACUGCACACAAGGUAUUGCAAUCAAGUUUCUAUUGGCCCACUCUCUUCAAGGAUGCCCGUAAGUUUGUCUUGUCUUGUGACGAAUGUCAAGGAAUAGGUAAUAUCGGUAAACGUCAGGAAAUGCCUAUGAAUUAUUCACUUGUCAUUGAACCAUUUGAUGUUUGGGGCUUUGAUUAUAUGGGACCUUUUCCAAAAUCCAACGGGUAUACUCAUAUCCUAGUAGUUGUUGAUUACGUCACUAAGUAGGUAGAAGCUAUCCCAACUAGUAGUACUGAUCACAACACCUCUAUCAGGAUGCUUAAAGAAGUUAUUUUCCCUAGAUUUGGAGUCCCUAGAUAUCUAAUGACCGACGGAGGUUCACAUUUCAUUCAUGGUGCUUUCCGUAAAACGCUUGCUAAGUACGAUGUCAAUCAUAAAAUUGCAUCUCCCUAUCACCCUCAGUCCAGUGGACAAGUAGAGCUAAGCAAUAGAGAGAUUAAACUAAUUUUGCAGAAGACUGUCAAUAGGUCUAUAAGGAAUUGGUCUAAGAAGCUCGAUGAUGCACUGUGGGCUUAUAGAACUGCCUAUAAGAAUCCCAUGGGCAUGACUCCGUACAAAAUGGUUUACGAUAAAGCAUGUCAUUUACCUCUCGAGCUUGAGCAUAAGGCUUAUUGGGCAAUCAAAGAGCUCAACUUUGAUUUCAAACUUGCUGGUGAGAAGAGGUUAUUUGAUAUUAGCUCGCCUGAUGAAUGGAGAACUCAGGCAUAUGAGAAUGCCAAGUUGUUCAAAGAAAAGGUUAAGAGGUGGCAUGAUAAAAGGAUACAAAAACGUGAGUUCAAUGUAGGUGAUUAUGUCUUGCUAUAUAAUUCUCAUUUAAGAUUUUUUCCACGGAAGCUUCUCUCUAAAUGGGAAGGUCCUUACAUUGUUGAGGAAGUAUAUCGUUCUGGUGCCGUCAAGAUCAACAACACGGAAGGUAAUUUUCUGAGAGUGGUAAAAGGGCAGAGAAUCAAGCAUUAUAUCUCAGGUACUCCCAUAAAUGUUGAAAGCAAUAUUAUCAAUACCAUAACUCCGGAGGAGUACCUAAGGGAUAUUUAUCAGCCUGUUUCAGACUCCGAAAACGAAGAGGUAUGUGAUUCGGUAAGUAAACAGACUCCAAAAGUUUUCCAGUAGGAAUUUUUCUCCGUUUUGGAAUUUUUGAAAAAAUAGAAAAAUUUAAAACAGUCCGGAAAGCGCACCAGGAGCCACAAGCCUGUCAGGUGCGGGCCACCCCCCUGGCUGCGCCUGGGGGCUUGUGACCACCUCGUGUGCCUCCCGGACUCCGUUUUCUUGCGGAGUACUCCUUCUGGUCGGAAAAAAAUCUUUAUAUAUUCUGCCGAAAGGUCUGACCCUCGUAUCACGCAAAUUUCCUCUGUUUUCGUUUCGAGCCUGUUUCUGCCGCAGAUUUAGAGCAAGAUGUCUUCUCAAGAUUCAGAGGGGGAGAGCUAUGUGGCUGAUUACCUUGCUAAUCCCAAGGUCUAUGGGGAUUUGGAUCACUAUGGUUGGACCACUCAUGAGGAAGAAGAUUAUGACCCCAAGGGGAAGGAACGAACAAGCUCCGAUGAACAGGAGGCUCCUCUACCUCAACCUGGAGACACAUACAUGGAGUUCAAAAAGUCAAGCCUCUCUGACUCAAGGAACAAGCCUAAGAUUUUGUUUAUCCCUUCUCGUCUUUUGCAGGAAAGUCAACAAGAAUUAUGCCAAAGGGUGUUGAAGCUUGAAGAGGAAAUCAACGAUCUGAAGGAGCGGAACUUUGUGCUCAAGAGGAAAUUAAACAAAUUCAAGAACUCUGCAACAACUCCACCACCAUCACCUUCAAAGGAAGACAACUAAGCAUGGGUAUGGGCAAUCCCCUUGGAUUAUGCCAAGCUUGGGGGAGUUGCCCCGGUAUCGUAUCACCAUCACAUCUUUUGCCUUUACCUUUUCUAAGUUCGAUCCUUUUUGGUUUUAUCUUUCUCUAGUAGAAUAAAGGUCUUAGUGUUUUAGGCUUGAGUUUUUAUUUGUGUCACCCCCGAUAUAUUCGAGCUCGUGAGCCAUAUAAUAAAGAGUGUCUUAGUUAAGGGCAUUGCCUCAUGCCAUGAUCAAGAGAAUGAUAAAAGAACAAAAGCAUGAAAGAUCAUGUAAUGAUCUUAUGGGAAGUGAUGGAUUCACAUAUAAAAAUAAUGUUGAUUGAAACUUGUUGAGGGUAGACAAACGUAGACCUUGGCCAUUGUUGCAAUUAAUAGGAAGUGAUAAAGAAGUAGAGGUUCACAUAUAAAUAUAUCAUCUUUGACACCAUCUAUGCUUGUGAACACUCACUCAACUAUUACAUGCUUAGAAGUAGAUGUUGAACAAGGCAGACAACAUAAUGAAUUGUGUUUGCUUGGUUCCGAACAAUGUUAUAUGAUUAGAGAUCCCUUAGCAUGUGAUGAUUGCUUCCACCUCAUAUUAGCCAAAACUCCCGCACCAAGUAGAGAUACUACUUGUACAUCCAUAAACCUUCAACCCAGUUUUGCCAUGAGAGUCCACCAUACCUACCUAUGGAUUGAAUAAGAUCCCUCAAAUAAGUUGUCAUCGGUGCAAGCAAUAAAAAUUUCUCCCUUAAUAUGUAUGAUCUAUUAGUGUGUGGAAAAUAAGCUUUAUACGAACCUGUGAUGAAGAAGACAUAAAAGCGACAGACUGCAUAAUAAAGUUCUUUAUCACAGGAGGCAAUAUAAAGUGACGUUCUCCACACUAAGAGGACACACAUCAAAACCUCAAAAGCACAUGACAACCUCUGCUUCCCUCUACGAAGGGCCUAUCUUGUACCUUUACUCUUUUGCCCUUGAAAGAUUCAUGGUGAUCUACACCAAUUCCUCAUUUCGCCUUUUUCUUGGCUAACGUCAUAUGCUAGGGAAAGAUCUAUAUUCAUAUGUCAGCUUGGAAGUAAGUAUUCACGAAUUAUCAUUGUUGACAUUGCCCUUGAGGUAAAAGGUUGGGAGGCGAAACUAUAAGCCCCUAUCUUUCUCUCUGUCCGACUAAAACUUUGAUCUCAUGAGUACCACGUGAGUUGUAGCAAUUGUAGAAGACAAAAGGAUGAUUGAGUAUGUGGAUUUGCUUUACAAGCUCUUAUUUGACUCUUUCCGAUGUUGUGAUAAAUUACAAUUGCUUCAAUGGCUAAAGGCUAUCGGUUGUUAAUGCUCCGUAAGGCUCUUGAUCCAUACUUUACCUUGUGAAGGAAUUGUCACUUUAGCAUAAGAGUUCAUAUGGUGGUAUUGCUGUUCUGACUAGGAUCAUGAUGCCUGCAUGUCCGUAUCUUGUUUUGUCAACACCGCUCUCUCUAAACAUGUGGGCAUAUUUAUUGAUCUCGGCUUUCGCUUGAGGACAAGCGAGGUCUAAGCUUGGGGGAGUUGAUACGUCCAUUUUGCAUAAUGCUUUCAUGUUGAUAUUUAUCGCUUUUUGGGCUGUUAUUACACUUCACAGUAUAAUACUUAUGCCUUUUCUCUCUUAUUUUGCAAGGUUUACAUGAAGAGGGAGAAUGCCGGCAGCUGGAAUUCUAGCCUGAAAAGGAGCAAGUUUGAGAUACCUAUUCUACGCAACUCCAAAAGCCGUGAAAAUCAACGAGAAUUUAUUUUGGAUUUUAUAAAAAAUACUGGGUCGAAGAAGUACCAGAGGGGCGCCAGCAGGAGGCCACAAGCCUGCUAGGCGCGGCCUCCCCCCUGGCCGCCCCUAGGGGGCUUGUGGGAUCCCAGCUGGCCCUCUGCCCCCCCCCCCUCUUUUGCUACAAGAAGGGUUUCGUUCCAGAAAAAAUCAAGAGGAGGCUUUCGGAAGGAAUCGCCGCCGCCACGAGGCGGAACUUGAGCAGAACCAAUCUAGAGCUCCAGCACGAAGAUCGUGUCGGGGAAACUUCCCUUCCUGAGGGGGAAAUCGUCGCCAUCAUCAUCACCAAUACUCCUCUCGUUGGAGGGGACUCGUCACCAUCAACAUCUUCAUCAGCACCAUCUCAUCUCCAAACCCUAGUUCAUCUCUUGUAACCAAUCUCCGUCUCGCGACUCCGAUUGGUACUUGUAAGGUUGCUAGUAGUGUUAAUUACUCCUCGUAGUUGAUGCUAGUUGGAUUACUUGCUGGAAGAUUAUAUGUUCAGAUCUUUGAUGCUACUCAUUACCUCUCUGGUCAUGAAUAUGAUUAUGCUUUGUGAGUAGUCACUUUUGUUCCUGAGGACAUGGGAUAAGUCAUGCUAUAAGUAGUCAUGUGAAUUUGGUAUUCGUUCGGUAUUUUGAUGUGUUGUAUGUUGUCUCUCCUCUAGUGGUGUUAUGUGAACGUCGACUACAUAACACUUCACCAUUAUUUGGUCCUAGAGGAAGGCAUUGGGAAGUAGUAAGUAGAUGAUGGGUUGCUAGAGUGACAGAAGCUUAAACCCUAGUUUAUGCGUUGCUUCGUAAGGGGCUGAUUUGGAUCCACUAGUUUAAUGCUAUGGUUAGACUUUGUCUUAAUUCUUCUUUCGUAGUUGUGGAUGCUUGCGAGAGGGGUUAAUCAUAAGUGGGAUGCUUGUCCAAGUAAGGGCAGUACCCAAGCGCCGGUCCACCCACAUAUCAAACUAUCAAAGUAGCAAACGUGAAUCAUAUGAACAUGAUGAAAACUAGCUUGACAGAAUUUUCCAUGUGUCCUCGGGAGCGCUUUACCUCCUAUAAGACUUUGUCCAGGCUUGUACCUUGCUACAGAAGGGAUUGGGCCACUUUGCUACACCGUUGUUACUUUUGUUACUUGCUACUUGCUACGAAUCAUCUUGUCACACAACUACUUGUUACCGAUAAUUUCAGUGCUUGCAGAGAUUACCUUGGUGAAAACCACUUGUCAGAUCCUUGUGCUCCUCGUUGGGUUCAACACUCUUACUUACCGAAAGGACUACGAUAGAUCCCCUAUACUUGUGGGUCAUCACUCGCUACCCCGUGGAUUGUAUCACGGAGAGGGAACAUUGCAAGCUAAUUGCUAAAUACCAAAACCUAACAUUAAAAGUGGCGGUCGGCUAUGCCUUACCUCGUCGACCUGAUGGAACUUUUCAUUUCAAUCCGAUUCCAGAUGGUGGAUUUGAGGGGUUGGAGCUUGAAUACCCUACAGGUGAAGGGGAGAUUCAUCUGGAAAAUGCCUUAAGGACUAAGUGUCUUUGGACAAAGGAAAACAUUCUGCUUCCAAAAUGGACGCCGCCUCAGCAGACUCAGGUGGAGGAGGCCCCUCGUCUCUCUCCGCCGCAUCAACAGACUCAGCCGGAGGAGUCCCCUCAGUUGUCUCUGCUGCGUCAGCACACUCAGAUGGAGGAGGCCUCUCAGUUGUCUCCGCCGCAUUAGCAGACUCGGCCGGAGGAGGCCCCUGAGCAGAAUCCUCCUCUACGUGAGUUGUCUCUGCCAUGUCAGCGGACUCCGCCUCCUCUGCCGCGUCAGCUGACUCCGCCUCAUCAACAAUGACAGAAGAGACCUGCUGCCGCUCCGGCGGCUAGCAGUACAAAAACAAAGAAAUAUAUAACACUUCCAAGAGUCAACAACGCUCCUCCCAAGAGACCCUACGACAUGACUAAGGAGGAAAAUGUGGAAAUCGUGGAUGCCCAAGUUAAGACCCAUUUUGCACCGAAACAUCCACCUCCAAAGGAUAAAAUUGAUUCGGUAAAAGCGAAGCGCUGUCUAUAUGCCCUUAAGCGACCACCACCGCGUCCUCUGCUAUCACACUAUGAGCAAACUAUUGAAAAGACAUAUGUUGAAGCGAAGGAGUAGGGAAUCUUAAGUACCAGUGGUGCAAUAAGUGGGAAAAAAAUUCCCCAGCUCGAUGAACAGGAGAAGAAAUCGUGCCCCCGCUCAAGGUGUUUACCGAUGUCGCUGAUAACCCACAAGUGGAUCGCAACAGUUUUCGAGGGUAGAGUAUUCAACCCAAAUUUGUUGAUUCGACACAAGGGGAAGUAAAAGAAUAUUCUCGAGUAUUAGCAGUUGAGUUGUCAAUUCAACCAAACCUGAAAGACUUAGUAUCUGCAGCAAAGUUUCAGUAGCAAAGUAGCGUGAUAGCAAUGGUAGCAAUGGUAACAGUAGCAGCAGUGACAACAGUUGCGGUAACAGUAUUAGCAGUGACAGCAGUAGCGGCAAAGUAACGUAGCAAGGACCAGUAGGAAAAACUCAUAGGCAUUGGAUCGGUGAUGGAUCAUUAUGUCGGAUGGCAUUCAUCAUGUAACAGCUAUAACAUAGGGUGAUAUGUAACUAGCUCCAGUUCGUCAAUGUAAUGUAGGCAUGUAUUCCGUAUAUAGUCAUACGUGCUUAUGAAAAGAAAUUGCAUGACAUCUAUUGUCCAUCCCUCCCGUGGCAGCGGGGUCCUAAUGGAAACUAAGGGAUAUUAAGGUUCUCCUUUUAAUAGAGAACCGGAACAAAGCAUUAGCACUUAGUGAAUACAUGAACUCCUCAUACUAUGGUCAUCUCCGGGAGUGGUUCCGGCUAUUGUCACUCCGGGGUUGCCGGGUCAUAACACAUAGUAGAUGACCACAACUUGCAAGAUAGGAUCAAGAACACACACAUAUUGAUGAGGACAUAAUAGGUUCAGAUCUGAAAUCAUGGCACUCGGGCCCUAGUAGCAAAGUAGUAGCAACAUCAAUCUCAGAACACAGUGGAUACUAGGGAUCAAACCCCAUCAAAACUAACUCGAUUACAUGAUAGAUCUCAUCCAACCCAUCACCAUCCAGCAAGCCUACGAUGAGAUUACUCACGAACGAUGAAGAGCAUCAUGGAAUUGGCGAUGAAGGAUGGUUGGUGAUCACGAAGGCGUCGAUUCCCCCUCUCCGGAGCCCAGAACGGACUCCAGAUCUGCCCUCCAAAGGAAGAACAGGUGGUGGCAACGGCUCCGUAUCGUAAAACGCGAUGAACUCUUCUCUCUGAUUUUUUUCUGGGCGAAAGAGACUAAAUAGAGCUGGAAUUGGAGGCGGCGGAGCCCCGAGGGCCUCACAAGCCUGCCAGGCAUGGCCAGGGGGGCCAUGCCUCCUGGGCUUGUGGGCUCCUCGCUCCGUCCCUCCAGGAAAUUCUUGCGGCAGUAUUUUUUAUAUAUUCCACAAAAAAUCAUCGUAAAUUUCCAGGUCAUUCCGAGAACUUUUAUUUCUGCGCAAAAACAACACCAUGGCAAUUCUGCUAAAACUAGCGUUAGUCCGGGUUAGUUCCAUUCAAAUUAUGCAAAUUAGAGUCCAAAACAAGGGCAAAAGAGUUUGGAAAAGUAGAUACGAUGGAGACGUAUCAACUCCCCCAAGCUUAAAGCCUUGCUUGUCCUCAAGCAAUUCAGUCGACAAAAUGAAAGAGACAAAAGAAAAACUUUUACGAACUCUGUUUGAUCUUCUUGUUGUAAUUAUGUCUAACUCAUAUUCAGAUUUUCAGCAAGAUCAAAAGCUAACCACAUAAGCAAUGACAUUUUGGUCUCAUGGUAAACUCAUAUCAAUGGCAAAAUCAACUAGCGACCAAUAAUGAUAAGUUUCAAACGUCAACACUUAAUCAAAACAAUCAACAAGCAAUAUGAACAUAUGGUAUCUUGCUAGCUCUUUCUGAGACCGCAAAACAUAAAUGCAGAGCACCUUCAAAGACCAAGGGCUGACUGAACAUUGUAAUUCAUGGCAAAGAAGAUCCAGUCACAGUCAUACUCAAUAACAAUUAAAAGCAAAGCAUAAAAAUAAUGGAGGUGCUCUCUAAUUGAUGCUUUUAUAAGAAGAGGAUGACUCAACAGAAACAUAAAUAGAUAGGCCCUUCGCAGAGGGAAGCAUUGAUUUGCAGAGGUGCUAGAGCUCAAGCUUUUAAAAUAGAGAAAAAUAAUUUUGGGUGGCAUGCUUUCAUUGUCAACGCGAUAACCAAGAGUUUUCACCAUCUUCCAUGCUACGCAAACUAUAGGCGGUUCCCAAACAGAAAAGUAAAGUUUUGACUCCCCCACCACCGAUCAAUCACACUCCACGACUAGCCGAAUCCUCGGGUGCCGUCCAUACCAACAACAAUCAAGGGGGAGUUUUGUUUGCAAUUAUCUUUUCGAUUUGAGCAUGGAACUGGGCUUUCCAAUUACCGGCCCCUUUCUCGUGAGUGAUAGUGAAUAAACACGUAUGGAGGAUAACACGCCUAGCAUGGAAGAUACUGAUCGCCCCUUGUCACCACAUGAGCGGUUCGGGCAUGCAAAACAGAUUAUUACUUGAAGGUUUAGAGAGUGGCACAUGCAAAUUUACUUGGAACGUCAGGUAGAUACCGCAUAUAGGUAGGUAUGGUGGACUCAUAUGGAACAGCUUUGGGUUUAUCGAAGUGGAUGGACAAGAAGUAUUCCCGCUUAGUACAAGUGAAGGCUAGCAAAAGACUGGGAAGCGACCAACUAGAGAACGACAACAGUCAUCAAUAUGCAUUGAAAUUAAUCAACGUUGAGUGCAAGCAUGAGUAGGACAUAAAUCACCAUAAACAUGAAUAUCAUAGAGGCUAUGUUGAUUUUGUUUCAACUACAUGCGUAAACAUGCGCCAAGUCAAGCCACUUGAAUCAUUCAAAGGAGGAUACCAUCCUAUCAUACUACAUCAUAAUCAUCUUGAAAUUCAUGUUGGCAUCCAAGACAAACCAUUAUAAGCUCCUAGCUAAUUAAGCAUGGCAUCAAAAACUAUGAUCUCUAAGUUGUCAUUGCAAACAUGUUUCCCUCAUAACAAAGCUGGAUUAGGAACGAUGAGCUAGUCAUAUUUACAAAAACAAAAUAGGUCGAGUACAUACCAGCUUUUCCGGGCUCAGUCACUUCAUCAUAAAUCGUCAUUAUUGCCUUUCACUUGCACGACCGAAUGAUGUGAAUCAUAAUGAGAGUGUUUGUGCAUUGACUAAGCUAGAAUCUGCAAGCAAACACGAAGGAGAAGAGAAAGUAAUAUGGCUCUUUGACGGAUAAACAGAUAUGCAUGCGAGAGCCACUAAACAUUUUAACCAUGGUGUUCUACCUUGACCCAAAGAAAACGAAAACUAUUUACACAGGAAAGCUCCCAACAAGCAAAAGAAGAACGGGAAAUCUUUUUGGGUUUUCUCAAUCUAAACAAACACACGAGAAGAAAGCGAGAAAAAGAAAGAAACUAGCAUGGAUGAUACAGUGGCAAGGUGUGAACACCGACUAACAAAGUGAAAGCGUGAGCAAGAAUAUAAAGUCGGUGAGAAACACGUACUCCCCCAAGCUUAGGCUAUUGGCCUAAGUUGGUAUACUCCCAAGGUGGGAAGUAGCCGUCUCCGGGGUACUCCGGAGUGUACUGAGGGUGCCACUGCUUGGUGAGCUCCUCUCGCUCCCACUAACAAACUGGCGUCUGGUACUCGACUGGUAGCUCGGGCAUGGGCGCCUUGGUGGCGCUAUGCCCCAAUAUGUGUAGAUGUCCGAGGCAUAAUAAUGUACCUGCCUAGAUGAAGAUUGAAGAAAGAAGGAGCAGGCAAAGUAAUAUUCUCACGAGUACCCUGACUAAAUACCAAGUUAUAAAUCAUCCUCUUAUUUAUAUCUUUAUCAAGAAAGUCAUGGCGAACCAUGCAAUCAUAAUCUAGAUAUCUCUCGGGAAGAAGCAUCUCUUCUUCCUCGUGCAGUCUAAUAGCUAUCUCAAAAUGUCUAGCAAGACGGGUAGCAUAGACACCUCCAUAAACAGCACCUUUAGUACGAUUCGUGUUCAACCAUUGAGCCACUAUAGCGCCCAAGCUAUAAGUUUUAUCAUUAUAAAGAGCUUCGCGCAAGACCGCAAGAUCUGGGGAGCUAAGGGCUCCAGCUUUCCCACGGCCAAUCAAACAUUUUCCCGCGAAUAGAGAGAAAUACCGAAGCACGGGAAAAUGUAUGCUAGCAACUCUAGCGCUAGAUACUCCUCUCUCCUCUCCUACAACAAUAGUAUCAAUGAAAGCCUCCAAGUCCCGUGGAUGAGGUUCAUGAAUAUCCCCAACAUAAGGUAAUUUGCAGACAUUGCAAAAGUCCUGAAGUGGCAUGCGCUGGCGGAUAUCAUAUAACUUGAACUCAACCAUAGGAGGGUUCUUCCUUGGAUAGAAAUUAAAGCUUUGCACGAAAAUAUUAGUGAGGAGGAGGUAUUGUGGGCACUUAUCUUCAACAAAUGCGGUAAGGCCUCCGUUCUCCACCAAGUAAUAAAAAUCCUCAUAAAGACCGGCGGCACGUAAGAACACAUCGCUUGGCCACUCGCACGCUCGAACUUCUGCAACUCGGGGGACCGGAUACUUGGGUUUCUUCUUUUCAUUUUCAUAAUCCUUGGGGUCACGGCUUGAAGAGCCUCUUAGGAACCUCCUCGUCUGUUCCUUUUUCUUUCUCUGAAAAUUUCUGAAAUUUUUAGUGACUCAAAGGAAAAGUGAACAAGGCUCAACGAAACUCAUAUCAACUACUCCUACAAGUGCCUAGAGGCCAUAUCAUGCAUCAAAACUACUUGGGACCAACUAAAAUUAACAUCCAAAGUUCAAGAACAGGGUCACCAAGGCAGCAAUAAUACGCAACGAAUAAAGCACUAGAGCAAAAACUAAUUGGACCAAUGGAGGAGUCACAUACGAAGGAACAAUUCCCCCAAAACAGUUUGGUGAAUGGGGCUUUGCACAAGGAGAUCGAAAAACGCAGCAAGAAGAGCAAGAACACGAGUUUGAGCUGUGGAAUGAUUUUUUCUGGAGGUAGGAGAAGGAGAUGGGAGCUGGAAUAAGUGGAGGGGGCCACGUGGGGCCCACAAGCCUGGCAGGCGCGGCCAGGGGGUGCCCGCGCCUCCUGGGCUUGUGGCCCACUGGUGCAACCCCCUGACUAGCUCUUUAUCUCAGAAUUUUUCAAAAAUUCCAGAAAAAAUCAUACUUGAUUUUCAGGGCAUUUGAAGAACUUUUAUUUUUGGGACACUUUUCUAAGGGAUGCAAAAACAGAAAACAGGAAAAACUAAAGCUAAAUUUAUCAUUUUUAUUCUAAACAACAGAAAAUAAAAGCUGGGAACAGAAGGUUGUGACUCCUAGAUUCAUUCAUCUCAUGGUCUUCAAAAGAAAUCCGUCAAUGAGGUUGAUCAAGUCCCCUUGACAAACUUUUUUCGAAUCGCAUAAAACCGGAGAAUUUUCAAAUAGUCACUAGGUUACCUCAAUGGGGAUGUGCAUAUCCCCAACAAGCAAAUCAUACUUCAUCUUAAUAGUAGGUAUAGGGCAUUCAAAGCUCCCAAUAAGAAUCGAUGAAGUUUUUUUAAUAGCAUUGAUGCAAUGUACUCGAUAUUGUUUCUUCGGAAAGUGCACCGUAUUCUAAUUACCAUUGACAUGGAAAGUGACAUUGCCUUUAUUGCAAUCAAUAACAGCCCCUGCAGUGUUUAAAAAGGGUCUUCCAAGGAUGACCGCCAUGGCAUCAUCCUCGGGAAUAUCCAGAAUAAGAAAGUCCGUUAAGAUAGUAAUGUUAGCAACUACAACAGGCACAUCCUCGCAAAUGCCGAUAGGGAAAGCAGUUGAUUUGUCGGCCAUUUGCAAAGACAUUUUAGUGGGUGUCAACUUAUCCAAUUCAAGUCUACGAUAAAGAGAGAGAGGCAUAACACUAACACCGGCUCCAAGAUCGCAUAAAGCAGUUCUAACGUAGUUUCCUUUAAUGGAGCAAGGUAUAGUGGGCACUCCGGGAUCACCUAGUUACUUAGGAGUUCCACCCUUGAAGGUGUAAUUGGCAAGCAUGGUGGAAAUCUCAACCUCAGGUAUCUUCCUUUUGUUAGUCACAAUAUCUUUCAUGUACUUAGCAUAAGGAGACAUUUUGAGCAUAUCUGUCAAACGCAUUUGUAGAAAGACAUGUCUAAUCAUUUCAACAAAACGCUCAAAAUCCUCAUCAUCCUUUUUCUUGGAUGGUUUGGGAGGAAAGGGCAUGGGUUUCUGAGCCCAUGGUUCUCUUUCUUUACCAUGCUUCCUAGCAAUGAAUUCAUUCUUAUCAUAUCUCCUAUUCUUAGGUUGUGGGUUAUCAAGAUCAACAAGUUCAAUCUCCACAUCCUUAUCAUUGCUAGGUUGAGCAUCAUCAUGAACACCACUAUCGAUAUUAUCACUAGGCUCAUGUUCAUCACCAGAUUGUGUUUCGGCAUCAGAAACAGAGACAUCGUUUGGAUUCUCGGAUGUAACAGGAGCAGGUUUGCUAGCAUGCAAGUUCCUAUCAUCUUUCUUUUUAUUCCUAUUACUAGGAUUACUAGGUGCCUCAGUGCUAACUCCUUGAGAAUCUUGUUUAGUUCUCUUAGGAUGACCCUCAGGAUACAGAGGUUCCUAGGUCAUUCUACCACCUCUAGUGACGACUCUAACAUAAUUGUCAUUCAACUCAUUGAGCAAGUCAUUUUGAGCCUUAAGUACUUGUUCUACUUGAGUAGUGACCAUAGAGGCAUGUUUACUCAAAAGCUUAAGAUCAUUGACAUUUCUAUCCACACAAGCACUUAAAUGACUAAGCAUACGAGCAUUAUGUUCCAAUUGUCUGCUAACAUAAUCAUUGAAACUUUGUUGUUUGGCAACAAAGUUAUCAAAUUCAUCUAGGCAUAAGCUAGCAGGUUUAUCAAAAGGAAUAUCGCUCUCAUUGAAUCUACGAAGAGAGUUUACCUCUACUACCCAUGUCAGGUUAUCAAGACCAUGUAUUUCUUUGAUAGGUGGUAGAUUCUUGACAUCUUCAGAUUUAAUGCCUUUCUCUUGCAUAGAUUUCUUAGCUUCUUGCAUAUCUUCAGGACUGAGAAAUAGAAUACCUCUUUUCUUUGGAGUUGGCUUCGGAGGUGGUUCGGGAAUAGUCCAAGCAUUAUCAUUACUCAAGAUAUUAUUCAAUAGAAUCUCAGCUUGUUCCAUAGUUCGUUUCCUGAAAACACAACCAGCACAACUAUCUAGGUGGUCCCUAGAAGCAUCGGUUAGUCCAUUAUAAAAGAUACCAAGUAUUUCAUUCUUCUGAAGAGGGUGAUUAGGCAAAGCAUUCAGCAACUGGACAAGCCUCUCCCAAGCUUGUGGGAGACUCUCUUCUUCGACUUGCAUAAAGUUAUAUAUAUCCUGCAAGGCAGCUUGUUUCUUAUGGACAGGAAAAUAUUUCUCAAAGAAGUAGUAGAUCAUAUCCUCGGGACUACGCACACAACAAGGAGCAAGAGAAGUAAACCAAGUCUUAGCGUUAUCCUUUAGCGAGAAAGGAAACAGCUUAAGGAUAUAGUAAUGGCGAAUAUUUUCCUCACUCGUGAAUAGGGUGGCUAUAUCAUCCAGCUUGGUAAGAUGUGCUACAACCGUUUCAGACUCAUAACCAUGAAAAGGAUCAGAUUCGACCAAAGUGAUUAACUCAGGAUCGAUAGAGAAUUCAUAAUCCUUAUCAGUUACAAAGAUGGGGGAAGUAGAAAACUUAGGAUUGUAUUUCAUUCUAGCAUUCAGAGAUUUUUCCUUCCACUUGCGCAGUAUAUUCUCAAUAUCAUAGCUAUCCUUACAAGCAAGAAAGUCCUCAGCUACCUCUCCCUCCAUAACAUAACCCUCAGGUAUAUCAGGCAAUUCAUAUCUAGGACCGCUAGUUCUAACAGGUGAAACAACAGGUUCUACUUCAAUAAUUUCAGCAGUUUCCGAAUUAUCAUCACAUUCAACAGCAACUCUAGCAAUUUGUGCAUCAAGGAAUGCAUCCAGUGGCAAAGCAGUAUCAAGAAAAUCAUCAUAAUAAGCAUCAUGGAUAGAAGAAGUAGUAUCAUCAAGCACAGGCGACACAUCAGAAUUUCUAGUAGGUGGUGGUGUGACAAACUUACUCAUAACUGAAGGUGAAUCAAGUGCAGAGCUAGAUGGCAGUUCCUUACGUGUCCUCGUAGUUGAGGGCAAGACUUUAGUUUUUGGAUCUCUCGGAUUCCUCAUAGUGAUCAACAGACGUAAAUCCCAAGUGACUCAGAGAAUAGAGCUAGGCCUUCCCCGGCAACGGCGCCAGAAAAUAGUCGUGGUAACUCACAAGUAUAGGGGAUCGCAACAGUUUUUUAGUGUAGAGAAUUCAACCCAAAUUUGUUGAUUCGACACAAGGGGAAGUAGAAGAAUAUUCUCGAGUAUUAGCAGUUGAGUUUUCAAUUCAACCACACCUGAAAGACUUAGUAUAAGCAGCAAAGUUUCAAUAGCAAAGUAGCAUGAUAGCAAUGGUAGCAAUCGUAACAGUAGCAGCAGUGACAGCAGUAGCGGUAACAGUAGUAGCAGUGACAGCAGUAGCGGCAAAGUAACAUAGCAAGGACCAGUAGGAAAAACUCGUAGGCAUUGGAUCGGUGAUGGAUGAUUAUGCCGGAUGACAUUCAUCAUGUAACAGUUAUAACAGAGGGUGAUAUGUAACUAGCUCCAGUUCGUCAAUGUAAUGUAGGCAUGUAUUCCGUAUAUAGUCUUACGUGCUUCUGAAAAGAACUUGCAUGACAUCUAUUGUCCAUCCCUCCCGUGGCAGCGGGGUCCUAAUGGAAACUAAGGGAUAUUAAGGUUCUCCUUUUAAUAGAGAACCAGAACAAAGCAUUAGCACUUAGUGAAUACAUGAACUCCUCAUACUAUGGUCAUCUCUGGGAGUGGUUCCGAGCAUUGUCACUCCGGGGUUGCCGGGUCAUAACACAUAGUAGGUGACUACAACUUGCAAGAUAGGAUCUAAAACACACAUAUAUUAGCGACAACAUAAUAGGUUCAGAUCUGAAAUCAUGGCACUCGGGCCCUAGUGACAAGCAUUAAGCAUAGCCAAGUAGUAGCAACAUCAAUCUAGAACAUAGUGGAUACUAGGGAUCAAUCCCCGUCAAGAACUAACUCGAUUACAUGAUAGAUCUCAUCCAACCCAUCACCAUCCAACAAGCCUACGAUGUGAUUACUCACGAACGAUGAAGAGCAUCAUGGAAUUGGCGAUGAAGGAUGGUUGGUGAUGACGAAGGCGUCGAUUCCCCCUCUCCGGAGCCUAGAACGGACUCCAGAUCUGCCCUCCAUAGGAAGAACAGGUGGUGGCGGCGGCUCCGUAUCAUAAAACGUGAUGAUCUCUUCUCUCUGAUUUUUUUCCGGGCGAAAGAGACUAAAUAGAGCUGGAGUUGGAGGCGGCGGAGCCCCGAGGGCCUCACAAGCCUGCCAGGCGUGACCAAGGGGGCCCGCGCCUCCUGGGCUUGUGGGCUCCUCGCUCCGUCCCUCCGGGUAAUUCUUGCGCCAGUAUUUUUUAUAUAUUCCACAAAAAAUCCUCGUAAAUUUCCAGGUCAUUCUUAGAACUUUUAUUUCUGCACAAAAACAACAACAUGGCAAUUCUGCUGAAAACAGCGUUAGUCCGGGUUAGUUCCAUUCAAUCAUGCCAAUUAGAAUCCAAAACAAGGGCAAAAGAGUUUGGAAAAGUAGAUACGAUGGAGACGUAUCAGUCGCUAAUAUUGAUCUUGGGGUAGUGGCCGCUAAUCAUUGUGUCACUAUUGGUGAUUUCUUAAGCGAUGAUGUAUAGUUUGAAACUGCUUAGGUAGUAGCCCUUAGAUACGAGCACGGGAAUCCUCUCGUCAAACCUGAGCAGUUGACGAAACUAUCAACGAUGAUGUAAAGACUACAUGACUAGUACUUGAAAAUCUGCAAGGAUGGGACCAACAAUAUAUACGUGGGAAUUAAAGAUGAUCACUACUUCAAUGAAGACGAGCCAUUGUACAUUGAAUUUGAAGAAUUAUUUCAGUUAUACAAUCAUGCCCUCGACAUAUCGCUUGUCGGUUCCUAUUUUCUGUAAGUAUUAUUUCUGUAAUUAAGUCUCUAGCUCAGCUCAUUCAUUACAUGUAUAAUUAUCCUCACUAUAUUAUGCAGAUUGAAGAUCCUCGAAUGCAAAGGAGGACAAAUAUAUGACAUUGGAUUCAUUAACCCAAAUACCAUAAAUGCACAUACGGUACUGAAGAUGACCGUGGAUACAGAGAACUUCAUGCUAAGAGCGAUACUUCGACAACAUUACAGAAGGGAAAUACUAUUUCCUUACAACUUUGAGUGAGUGUUACUAGUUGCCUUCUGCACAUUUUGUUUCGCUUACUCGAGGUUAAGUGUAAUUGAUGAGUUAUGUGUGUGCAGCUUUCACUUUUUUUUGCUAAUCAUUAGGCUUGAGGAGGGACUAAUUAUUGUCUUGGAUCAUUAUACAAAGACCCUAUAUAGUUGGUGCCGAUUAUGAAAAUGCUUCACAAGUAUGUUCAGUCAUUAUCUCACCAUAUCGACAACUUUCUUUCAUUUCCUGAUAUCAAGUAAUCAUUUUCUUUGCUGUGCAAGGUUUGGAAAAAGUUCACCCGCACCGCUACGGGUGAAUGAAAUAAGAAGCUGAGAUUUUCCUUCGCCAAAGUAAGUAGUACUAGCUAGUUCCGCACAUCUCUCAUUCAUUCUAGUUUCAAUACCAUUAUCAUGCUUGAUCAUUAAUUUGAUUGAAUUCUAUUCUUGUGAAGUACUGCUCGAGGCAGCGAACCGGGAAUAAUUUAUGUGCAUACUACGUUUGCAUGUGGAUCCACCAGACGACCUCUGAGCAGGGCGAAUUGGCGGGAUUCUUUGUUGAGCAUGUCAUACCUACACACGGGGAAUAUCAUCAGGAUUUCCUUAUCGAUUUUGGUAGAUAGAUAUUAGCUAGUUAGGGAACGCAAGAGAUGUUAUAUAUUGUAUAUAUGCAUGAUCGUAUAAUAUAUGUAGUAGCGUCGAGUUGUUCGACCAAGCACGGAGAAAGAGAGGUCACUUCUCUCUAUAUAUGUUCAUGACGAUGUUGUGUAAUUAAUGGUCCCUUCAUUGCUAUAUGUAGUAGCUAGAGUCAAGUUGAAUGAACAAUAUAAAAUAAAAAUGAAACCCUAAAUGUAAAAGAAUUGAAGGGUAAACACAAAAAGAAAAAGGGUGAAAUACAAUAUGAAACUCCUAAACCCCUCCUUUAAAAAAAACAGAAACCCAGCGUCUAACAGCUGCUGACGCGUAGCUGCUUUUUAGUCACGGUUGGUGUUACCAACAACGGUCACGUGAAGCAUCUUUAGGCCUGGUUUGUAAUACAAUCGAGACUAAAAGUGUCGAUCUUUUGUCCCGAUUAUUUAGUCCCAGAACUGGGAUUAAAGGACUGAAGCCCUUUUGUCUACUAGUGUUUUGUGACAUGCAUUUUCCUUAUGCCGUGGCCCUAACAUUACAAGGUCAAGUCUCUAGCCACCAACGUGAGAGAGAGAGAAGGGGGAACACGGUAUGAGAAUAUAACCAAAUUGCAAUGGUUACGUGUUUGAAAGUGCGUGUCGAGGAUUCGAGGUGGGAUUGCAAGUAGAAAUGGAUAGGACAAGAAAAAUAGUUUUUUUUCGGCUGGCAAGAGAAUUAAUGAUACAAUAGUAAAUGAAAGUUGACAAUUUCAUAUAGAUGCAUGAAUAUCUAUAUGUUACCUAUACUUCUUCCGUUUCUAAAUGUAAGCCACUUUAAAGAUAUCAAUAUGGAUUACACACGGAUCUAUUUUAAAGUCUAGAUUCACUCAUUUUAUUAUGUAUGUGGUCAAUAUUAAAAAUCUUUAAAACGGCCUAUAUUUAGAAACGGAGGGAAUAGACAAAUUUAAAACAAUUUUUUUAAAACGAAAGGAGAAUGAUGUUGAAUUACUCGAAUAUGCCCGUUGCAACGCAAUGAAAAAGAAAACACAAAUUUAAGAAACAAUUUUUUGUGUCGGUGAGAGUAUGAUGUUGAAUUACUCGAAUAUAGCCGUUGCAACGCAAUGAAAAAGAAAACAUAAAUUUAAGACAAAACUUUUAAGACGGAAGGCGUAUGAUGCUAGUGCCCGUUGCAACGCAAUAAAAAACACAUAAUAAUAUGGACUUUGAAACACAAUGAAAAAGAAACAAAAAGAUCCACCGUAUACGUCUACACGGAUCUGGCAAUGGUAUAGCCUGGGAAUAACCCACUAGCAGCCAUACUUCACCGCGAUCAUAUAGCCUGGGAAUAUAACCCACUAGCAGCCAUACGUCGACCUUUUACCUCCGCAAACCCGAUGAAUCAGGGCGCUAACUGAAUUCGGGAGUACAUCUUUGGUGACAAAUGAACGAGUAAAAGUGUAUUUAAAUCGUGAAGUUCGCACCUGCGCUCGCCGUGUGGUACUAAACUAAAUUCUGCGAACCGAGCGGCGUGCUAAGAGGGUGUUUGUUUCCAGGGACUUAUUGGUUUUGGGACUUAAAAAAGUCCCUAUAAGUCUCACCUAAACCAAACACAAUGGACUUAUUGGGACUUAUUAUGGUUAUUUGGGACUUAUCAAAUAAGACUCUCUAAUAGGAGCUUAUUGGGACUUAUUCUGGUUAGGCCCGCGGUAGUCUCCCGAUGCAGUGGCCGCCGCCCUGCCCCGAUUAACGCUCGCACCGCCCCAAUCGUCGCCGGCCGCCCCAAUCACCGCCGGCCGCCCGCCCCGUCGCCGCCCCACCCGCCCGCCCCAUCGCCGCCCAGUCGCCGCCCCGCCCCGUCGCCGCCCGGCCUCCGCCUCGUCACCGCCCGGCCGCCGCCUCGUCUCCCUCGGUUCGUCUGGUCCAGCCGCCGCAACAUGGACUUAUAAGUCCCUGUAAACAAACAGGUAGGGACUCGGGACUUAUAAGUCCAUAUAAACAAACAGGUAGGGACUUAUGACUUAUAAGUUGGGACUUAAAAAAAGUCGUAGGACUUAUGAAACAAACAGGGCCUAAACGCUCGCUGGCCACCCACGUCCGCGGUCCACCAGCUAACGACGCUCGCAGUGUGGUACUAAACGUACGGGUGAUUUUCUCGUUGACAACGAGCUCGUCCUCCCGGCGCACGACUCAGGAUGCCUCGCCGGCGGGGACGAGGUUGCCCUGUCCAAGAUCUUCCCCACGCCCCGCGUCGACAAGAAGCGGAAGAGAUCGAUCCCCGGCAGCGCAAGGACGACCGGAGCCGCCUCCUCUCCGGCAGGCGCCCGCCUCGACUCUGGCGGCGCAGGGGGCCGCCGCAUCUUCGGCCCCUUCCGCCUCCUCUGCGCCUUCUCUCCGGCAGGUGCUCGCCACGUCUCCACGCCCUCCAUCCUCUCUGCCUCCUCUGCGGCAGGAUCCCGAUACAGCCAAGCGGGUGCUCUUUCUGAAGGUGGGGGACUCCUCCAGACUCCAGAGCACGGGAGUUGUCCAAUUUUCGAAAAAUUGGUAGAGAACGAGGUGGGCAAUAUUUAUGAGAAGUUGGGAGUGGUCAAGGGGCAAUAUAUAUCCAGGCCGAAUCGACCAGGAUUUUGAUCGGGAACACAUGAACUCGUGCGUGAUGAGGAGUUCGACCAGAGGAAGGAGAUGGAAGGGCGGGCCCCAUGCGCCAGUGGGCAGAGGGGCGUGAAGAAAUAAAAAGGGAAGGUAACAUUUGUGAUGCACUCAUGAUCCGUACUUCUUCUGAUCUACAACUUUCAUAUUGGACUUGGCUUCUUCCUGGCCCUCAACUACAGGACGUACACUCUCCAGAAUGCAACCAUAAAUUUAUUUUACUAGUCGUGAAUCCGUCCAUUCGCAUGGCCUGGUUAUCUAACCAUUUAAAAUAUGUUUAAUCUACACAAAUUCGUUACGAUCAAGCAAUUUUAUUUUCAUUUCCCUAAACAGUUUUUCUUGUAUUAUGAAUGUAUAUUGUAAGGCAAUUUAAACAAUCGAAAAAUAGAACAGUAGUAGUAUUCUUAUGCUUAGUAAAUAAAAUUUGCACAUAAAUUUCUCUAAAUUUAGAUUACUAAUAUACAUAAAGGUUUCAAAAUGCUCGAGUGAUAAUACAUACCAACAUCGAAAUUUCAUGAAAAUGGCAUGAUAAUCCUAUAACUUUAUGAUGCUUAACAUUUACUUUUUGAAUAUCCUAUAACAAAUAUUAAAGGAAAAGAUUGUUGCUUGUAGUUAUGUAAUAUCUAUGUCAGAAACGUCUUCAAAUCUUGUACUUGAAGGAUGAUUUUGUUUCAUUCCAUAGUAAACAAUUAAUCUUUCAUCAAACUUCUCGUAAGAAUGUAAAUAUAUAGUGUAUAACUUUAUGUAUGCUUAUAUUCCCUUGCGAAAAUAUUUAAAUAUACCAUGAUGUGUAAAAAAAUUAGUUAGUUUAGAAAUCCAUAUUGUCUAGUAAGUAAUACGUAAGAAAUUUGAUUGUUAAAUAAUAUGCUUAAUAAAAAAUGUAGAGUUACAAAAUGAAUAUCUUAUGAAAACUUGAUAAACAUGCCAUGAUGGAUCAAGCAUCGAGUAGCAGUUUUGGCUUAUUAUAAUAUAAAAAAUAAGACAAAAUGGAUGUUGUUAGAGGUAGGCAAAUGAUGACUUACGUCCAUGACAGUCAAACCAUAUAAGAUAAUAAACUGAUGGAUUCCCUAGAAAACUAUAAUGAAACUGUAGAGGACGAAAGUGAAACAAAAAAACAUUUGUUGGGAACUGUAUAUUAGCAUGCAAUUUAAAAAGCAACACCAUAGCCAUACAACAAUGAGAAAAUAGUGUGCUACUCAAAAAUAAAGUAGUGACUCAUAUGGGUUGAGCAGCUCAUUCCCAUAUGUAGGAGAUAAUUAAAAACCAGUGUGAUUUUUUACUUAUUACUUUUGGUCAAGGAGAGCUAAUUGGAGCACAGAUAUGAGUGGAAGAGUAGCUAAGUUUAGAAUGGUAAUGUCACAACAUCAGGAUGUGAAAUCAAGCUUCUUAGGCAAAAGAAGGCCGAGCGGCAGCGUGUGCUAGUGUAACUUCUCAAACUGGUUAAGUUUUCAAACCCAUCUUAAAAUAAUAUCUAUUGUGUUGUUCACGGUGAAAUAAGCAGAGACAUACGAGUUUAAUAACAAUUGUUUCACUCAUUUGGAGAUUUUCCACACAAAACUCCGAGUAUUAAAGUUAGCGACAAUUGUGGAUUCCGCUAUACAUUUCACAAGUCCUGCCUUUGUACUCACAAUCUUUUGAUAGCACUUAUUUCUUUCAGCAUGAGGCUGAUAUCCUUGACUCCAUUCCAUUGAUUUAUAUAUGGACUGGACAUUGCCAAAACAAUCCAGAUAUAUACGUGAACUGCGUCAGGGUAAUAUAUUGAGCUUUCAACAGCUGAAGCAUAUGGUACCAUAUCCGUUUACAAUCUUUUCUUAUUAACUUUUGGAACACCAUAGUUUCCAGUUCCAUUACCCUUGACUAUAAGAACAGGCGUAGGUUUUUUCGUAUGCAUACUUUAGAGAUCUUUUUUAGCAUGUCCAUGCGACAUUCCUAAUACCCCCUUUUAUUCUUUUGAACUUUGAGGACAAGAACUUCUUCUCUCCUCCAGCAGUAGAUUGACAUCACCACUAGCAAGUAGGACGUCAUCCACAUGCAUAGGAAUUGAGAAACGAAUUUCCCAUUCUAUAACUUUGCAUGAAUACAAUUGUCCUCUCAUUUUCUUUAACCCAAGACAACAUCUGAUUCUUUUAACUUCAAAUGUCACUAUCUAGAGACUUGCUCUAGUCCAUAAAAGACUUCUUGAAGCAGUGUUCCUUGUGAUCUUUACUUUCAUCUGAUGUUACCUUAGAUCAUGAUGUGCCACUAACACUCAUUGUUAUCUAUUCAUUUUCUUUGCACAAAAUCUUUCGAUUUAAGUCAUGUUUUACACCUUUACAUAUUUCCUUUGGAGUCACAUUUGCCUUGUAGACCCUUCAUAAAGUCUAUGUUAGUGAAAUUCAAAUGGUGGAAUUUCACUAACAUAGACUUUAUAGUAAUCACAAGUAUCUGAUUUUCACAUUCCUAGAGACCAUCAAAAUCUCAAGUACUGACACUUCUUUCAUAUGGGGUUGCCGUUGCUCUCUCAUUGCCAAGAGGAAAAAUAAUUCUAUAGUCACCCAUUUCCAAAAAGGCAAUAGGUUUUACAGGGACCUGUAUCACAAGAUCCCUUGUAGAGCUAACAACAGGUGUUGUAUAGGUCAUAUAACAUGCUCCCCCAGAUUACUCCAUCUUCACUAAAGAAAUGGCGUAUCUUUAAACUUUAUCAUUUGGGUUUAUUCUGUUAAAACUUUAUUCUUUAUGGCACUUUAAGCACCAUUUUUGUAUUCCUUGGUCUACUUUCGGAACUAUAAAAGAUCCAGAAAUACAAUUGUUUCUUUUCUUUACGGGUAUCAUAAUGACGGUAUUAUAAUGACUGUCGUACUCCCCUUGACAAUCACAUUCUUCAUUAAUGGAUCACUUUAGAUGCAUAAUGUGCAUCACAUCAUCUAAAGUAGAGAGGAGUCAUGAAAUACAAUGUAUUUCAUAUCUCUUUCUCCCCCUCGAAAUGUGGCAAGACCUUUUCUACCACAAUUUCGAAACCCAUUCAUAGCUCUUGUGAAUUGUGGAAACUUUGAUUAUCUAGUUCAUUCAUCUUAUCACUUCAUGCAAAAUGAAGUUACAUGUUAACUAGUAUGGCAGUACUUUUUCCUCAUUUCAUUUCAGAAACUCAACAGAGUUCUUUACAAUUGUCACUUUUGCAAGUCACACUUGCAUAUCAUGUUACUUUUAUCCUCUUUGGAUUUAUUGAUUGCUUAAUGACCGUUACACAUAAGGUGUACGGUUGAUACUAGGAAAGCUUAAUAGCUACUCCAUACUUUUCUUCCAUAGUGGGACACAUUAACCGCACAUGAGUCAUCAUAGCUUUUUCCUGUCAUACAUGAUAAGCCCUUUACCAAAAUUUCUCUCGCUAUACACGGACUAUUGACAUAAUACAAUGUCAACUUUACCCAGUUACGCAGGUAUUUUCCCAGACUUCUCCCACCAUGCAGGUAAUUUCCUGUAAGGGACAUAAAUGUCAUCAUUGGCUCUUUUGACUGCAUAUUCAAUCAUCAAAUUCAGAAAUAAAUCUGAAUUAUCUUUGACAAACAUGCUUGAUCCGACGUUGGUCAAAUUAAACAUGCAUGUUGCAUGUUUCAUCUCAAUCAUGUUGACUGAAAAGGGAGACUUCUUCAUAGAGAGUACAUGAAAGACAUUCGUCAACCAAGACUCUCAAUGAUCUAUAUCUUUUCUUUUCUUGAAUUAAUAUCCAAGAGUUCUUUUCCUUUGAAGCCAUUCCUUAGAGAGAACAUAUUCCCUCAAGUUAUGACCUUUCUUGUUCAUCUUUCGGGUCACUAGCACCCAGCCAUUCGCUUUCAUGAAUGAAAACAUAAAAAACUUUCAGUCUGAGAAAACUUAGCCAAUAAACAACAAUAAUGGACAUAAAAAUAACCCUACAUUGGUCUGGUUGAAGUUAUGCACAUUAAACCUUUUUAAAACUUUCUUGUAUAUGCUAAAUCAUCGUUGUGGCAGAAUUAGAAUAAAACAUCAUCCUUCUACAUUAAUUUCAUAUCACCCUUGGACAGAAAUGGAAAUAAUGCAUAUAACUCAUAAUCAAUGUGAUGAUGGUAUUUCUAUGGAACAAGAAAUAUACAUUUCUCUAUCUGUUCUGUGAAAAUUGAACACUUUGAUACAAAAUUUAUCAGAGAUUUGAUCUUUGAACAUAAGAUGACUCAUAGAAUUUUAGUAUUGUUGUCGUCAACGUUGAUCAGAAAGCAACAAUACCAUAUUUGACUUUAAAACAAACAUUUUUCUUUUGUCAUAGCAGAAACUAUUUGAAUCUUAUUUCACCCACACGGAAAAAGCAUUGCUAAGAACAGUUCUUCCAAUUAAAUUUUCCCGUUGGUUCCAAUUUAAUUGGAGGAUUAAACUUUUACUUUGUAGCAUAAAACGUGAAUAUAAAAUUCAUGCACCUUUACAGAAAAAUAUUCUGUUAAAAUUAAAAAUUCACGAACUUUAUAAUCCCUUUUAUAAAAUCCAUGAACUUUUUUUUUCUGAAAAUCUUCUUUUAUUUUCAGAACAUUUUAUUUUUCUUUUCAGAAAAAUUAUGUUACUAUUACAGAAAAAAUAUUAUGUCAUAAUUAAAAAAUUCAUGAACUUUACAAUCCCUUUUAUAAAAUCCAUGAACUUUUCUUUUUCUGAAAAAACUAUUUUAUUUCCUGAAACUUUUAUUUUUAUUUUCAGAAAAAUAAUAUUACAGUUCUGUCUCAAUUUACAGAAACUUUGAACUUUUAUUUUCUCUUUUCUAAACAUAUUUUUCAUAGAAAAAAUAUGCAUAGAGUAAAUAUUUUGAAUCUGCCUAAAAAGGACAGAGAUCAAAAAUUUCCUCUAAAAAGAAAAGGCCGGCCUGGGCCUGUGGGGCGCCUCCCUGCGCCCGUGUGUGCCUCGGCCUGAGGGCCUCGCAUCGGCCGGCCUGAGGCCUGGCGCGACGCGCCUCUGUGUGGCCCAUCAGCCUGCGUCGCCCUGGGGCUUCGGCCUGGUGGCCCGCAUCUCCUUUAGGUCAUCGCCCUAGACCGUCGGAUCUAAUCCGACGGCCGGGCGCUAUUAUCGUUGGGAUAAAAUCCCUCUCGCCACCGAGCCGAAACCCUAGCGCUCAUUUUCUUUCCCUCAGGUGCCGCUCUCUCCUGUGGUCACGCCGUUCUACUCGCGAGACAGAGAGAGCUCUCGCCGCUUUCUUCUCUCCUUCCCCGAGCGCUCCGUGGCGGCUGUGCCUCGCGCCGGCGGCAGCAAGUCUACCUCGCGCCGACGGCUUGCUGCCCCGCCGAGGAGGGUCCUCGGAGCCCCUUUCCUUGCCUCUCUCGGCGCUCCCCCGUGCGGUGGUUUUCUUGCCUCGCCGAGGAGAGCCCAGAUCUGGCCACCGACGUGGGGCUAAGCCCCCCCCCCCACACACACAGCCGGUUCUCUUCUUCCCCUUCUUUUGCCUUAGCUCGACCAGCCUCUCCUCCCCCUUCUAAAUUUUGGACACAGAGAGUAAUGGGCGUCGGUGGAGCAGCACUUCGUGGCUCCGUGGCCUUCCCUUUCACCGGUUCCGCGUUCCCUUUGCGGUGAGCAUGCCGCCGUCGAGUGGGUCGGUCGUGGUGCCACUUCUUCCUUUCGGUCCCGCAGCGGCAUGACAUGGUGCUCCACUUCCGUUCCUUUGUCGGCGCGCGCGAGCACCUUCAAGGUGAACGUGUCACCGUGAAGGGCGUGGUGGUGGUGCCCUUUGCCCCGUUUGGGGUGUUUCCUUUGCAUGUUGAGGAGGUAGGUUCUUCUUCCUCACACCUCGGCAUGCCGAUGCGUGUGGGGAUCGAGAGGAACAGGCGCUGCCUUGCGGCGGCGCUUCUUUGUCGGAGAGAACUUCGGUGAAUCUUUGCUUUCUUUGAACUUUGCCCUCCUCGGGUUCAUAUCGGGGAGGGAAAAUCUUUUCUUCUACAUAUUUCAACCGAAAACACAUCUAAAGCCUCGUUGCUCUGAUAUCAUUGAUAGAUCCCGUGGAUCGUCAAGGCUAGAUGUGUUCGAUGAGAGUAGUAGUUUAUUACCUUGUAGUGUACUCGAUGAGCUCCCUUCGGUGUCCAUCGUUAGGUGGUGACGACGGUGGGGAAGGAGAGAGAUGUGGUAGCGGCGGCGGUGGACUUCCCGUCGCUUCAGCGCUACCCUCUAGAUCGGAUUAGGGUUAGGAGUGGGGAACCAGUGACGGCGGCGAACCUCGUCACAUGUGCCAUGGUCCCCACCUCCUCUAUAUAGCAAUGCACGACAGGGACCCACCAGCCUUGUUUGGAUUGGACGCCCCCGAUCAAGGCGUGGGUCAAGGUUCCAAUGGGCCGUUGGACCCACUAAAGAAGAGCUCAAUCUAACAGUACAAACAUAGAAGCCGAAAGCACUCAAGUCUAUACACUAAUAAAUAAAUAAAUAAAAAUGAGAAGAAGUAAUGCAACAAACAUAAUGUGCUUGCUUCAAAUAUCAAAAGAUUGCUGCGAUAAAACAAACCUUCGGACGGCGUAGCACUCACAUGAUUUAGGUCGUCUAUUAUUCCUUUUUAGCCUCAGUGCGCCAACAAAAACCAUUCAUUGGCGCAGGACUCGUAGAUGUACGGCUACUUUUCUUCGAUAGAAUGGCCAUAGUAGUCAAAUCGGCUGAGAUUUUUAUGGACAUAUAUGUACUACGCACACAUACAAGCUUGCUUGUUCAACCGGACACUUUUAUGAAUGUAUGACAAUGAAUUCAUUUGUAUCGUGUUGUUUCCGCGGAACGGAUCAAUGAGAUUGUCAGAUUUGAAUGGUAUACGUGCAUCUCCCGUCUGAAUCGAUCCAGCAACGUGCUAGCUUGCAUAUCGAUCCAGUAGCCUGCUAUCUUGCAUAUUUGUGUAUUAUGCGAUAAACUAUCAUCUGCUCGUAAUACAAGCUGGAUCGGAAGUACUCAAGCUAACCUUGUAUGUGCUUCUCCUGACAGAAUCAAUCCAGCAGCCUGCGAGUUUCUGUAUGACACAUGUUUCAUCGUAUAUUCUCAUAUCCUCGCAACACAACCGGCAUGCCAAUAAUCGAUCUAGAACACUCGUUUGCGUGGUUGAGGUGAGCCUUAUUAGACAAUAUUUGAUUUGAUAGAAAGCGCUGCAACAUUGGUGAUGAACAACCAAAGUGUCAGAUAUCAUCAAGGUGUAGAGGAGGCGGACUUGAGGGCAUGCACGAAUGCUAGGGCUUGAUUGCAAGCCGAUUGAUACCGGCACCUAGCACUCGAAAUCCAUUGGCCACGUUGCUGUUCUAGCCUCCUAAUUUUUUAUUGAUGGAUGAUCUGCACAUGACGGUUCCGUAUAAAUAACCUGUACCAUCAUGUGCAAUUGUAUGGCUAUCUUUUUUUUUCCUUUUUCCUGUAAAUAGAGUCUAGAUCUAAACCGGUCCAUGCGAUUCCGUGGCUCACCAACUUGUAAUAAAAAUCAAAAGCCAUAAAAAAUAAUUCCAACAUUUUUGGAUGGAAAACACAAAAGAAAAAAGUCGAUCCAGAAUUCCAAUAUGAGAAGUACCGGGGUGGGGAAGUAUUCUGAUGGCUGGACGAAAGAGAGCUACCAAAAGCUACCAGAUACCAGUUAUGAAAAGAAUCUUUGCGUGCAUAUGAAUGUUAUAGUCACACAUAUAUGUUACCUCGUUCAUUGUCAGACCUUUGUGAUAAUAAGUACUCACCUGUCCUAUGUAGGCACUUGAAUCACCAGUGAUCAUGAUCAUGCGUCCGUUCAUGUAGGUCUACACAUGCAUCCAUCAAAUUAACAAUUUCAGCUUGUAAUUAUCUGCUGACUGCUGACAUGCAACUGUCAAGUGGACAAACCUAGUUCUGACUUCUGAACCCAGCAUACACAUUGUCCACGAUGUGCCUUCUGUUAAUCGCUUGACGUCCGUGAUUUUCGCAAUACACACCAUAUAAACUAUGAGUCCUAGCACGCAGGAAAGAUAGAUCGCAUAGAUAGACUCUGGAUGAGAGAACAUGUUUGGUUUCUGUCAUGAUGGUAAACAAACCAAGACGGUAAGUUUACACUCAGAUUGACUCGUUGAGUGGUGGUGGAAUUGGUCUUGGGGAAGAAGCAAUGGCAGGGAGAGAGGGGAUACCAGAGAAUGCUUGCUACCCGAUGAAGAAGAAGAAGGGGCGGUCGAGGCGACACACAGGGCAAGAAGAGAAAUUGGGCCAUGAACGGGAUGAAGCCUUGACCGAGGAGGAUUAGGUCUUGACCGCUCAAGGAAGAGAUGGGGGCCAGGUUACCUUUUUUUUUUGAAGAAUCGGGGCCAUGGUACCUUGGAAAGAAGAAGCCAUAUCUCCUACGUGUAGAAAAAGAAGCGUACAAUCUAAACUAAUAUUAAAAACAAAAAGGCCUAACUACCUUUCUUUUACAUUCAUGCGUCUAACUUAUUGAUGGCUUACUGGUUUAUUUAUGAACUCAUAUGUGGUUUUUUUACUAUAAUAUAAAACAUAUCACUACUAUUAAAGGGGAUCUGCCGUCGUCGUGAUGGUUCGACCUCCAGCGAUCCCCCUCCUACCGUUAGCCUUUUCACCAUUUCAUCGAUUUUUUUUCAAUCCCUCCAUAAACCGGGCGAUAAACCAACCGAUUAGUUCAAUAAAAAACCCUUAGUAUUAAAAGGAGACCUGCCCAUACGAUCCCCACCUUCUUCGUUCGAUGCCCGCAGCCCGCCUCCUCUUCCACCGCUUGUAAAAAAAUCACCCCCCACGCAACCCCAUCUCCACUCGAAACAAAGAAAAACUGUCAAAGGUACACACGUCUCGCCUCUCCCCAACCCCUCGCUUUCGUCUAUUCUCGCUGCCUUCGAUCCCGUAUGGAUCUUUGGGGCGGAGGAGGAUGACUCCGAUCCCGUAUGGAUCUAGGGGAGGAGGAGGAUGACUCCGAUCCUGUAUAGAUCUAGGGGAAGAGGAUGUUCUUGCUGCGUGUGAUCCCAUAUGGAUCUAGGGAAGGAGGAUGCCUCCAAUCUCGUGCCUUCCGCCCGCCGAGGGGGAGCUAGGAGAGAGGGAGGACCGCAGCGACGGUGCGGGGCUAAUUGCCCACACACAAAGAGGCAGCCAUGGUUCCAGCACAUGGUGCCGUGGUUGGGAGGCGCUGCUGCUAAGACGGUCUUGGCAAUGGAUGAAGCAACCCACCCCACACCCUCCUCUACAGGAUGCCCCCACCUUUUCCGGUGCCAUCCCCGUCGCAUGCCCUUAUGACGGCAGCAGGGGGCGGCCGCCCCGGGCUCCCAAGAUGCAAGGGGCCCUCCCCAAACACGUGUCUACCCAUGGGCUUGUUCCGCAGAGAAGCGAAGAUCAGGGACGCGACCACACAGGUUUCCUUCAAUAAAGCAGAUGCAACCUUCCUCCAAUCCUGAUAUGCGGAGGUCACAUAUACCCAUUACCUCGCGACUGUAUAUCCUUCCAAAUACAGGUCCCUGUUUCCUAUUCCCGAUCCCCAAUCGUGAGUCGAUGUUGUCGUUUCUCUCGCUGGUAGAAAUCAACGAGUACGAGUUGCUUAAGGCCAGGCAAUCUCUAUUCCGGGCCCUCAUCGCUGGAUGACAAUGCAUAGUCCAGCGUCGCUGGAUGCCAAAUCGUAGUCCAGCCCAUGAUUGACAACGAUCCAACCGAUUCAGGUACACCAUAUUACCUUACCUACCCCACACACGUAUAUUGCUAAUUUAGUAUUUUACUUUGGCAUUCAUGAUGAAUACCUUGCAUCGUUCUAACAUAUGUAUGUUGCCACUAUUCGUGUACAAUCCAUGGUUCCCAGCGCCAUGCUUUUCGCUUUGUCCUUUCUUUCUUUUACUUGAACAUCUGCAACUUUCCUUCACUCCGUCUUCAUCAAGGAAAAUAUGCACCUGCUGCAUUAUAGUAAAAAAAAAAGGGUAUGUUGAUUUGUGCCAUUUUCGUAUUUCUUGAAUUCAUUAGAACCCCAAUUCACCAUAGUUACAUGCUACUGCCACAAUGCCUCAAACAGAUACUGUCCUAGGCAUUGGCUGAUGGGUCUCGCAAGAUGAUCACGCUCGCACAACAGUAUUGAUCAUAUGCCUCUGUUUCAAAAAAAACUGUGUAGAUCAUAUGCCAGCGCAAAUGAACGAAUGGAAGCUCGGUAUAAAUAUUGUAUUAAUUACUAUUGUUAUAACGAUUGUAUCAAAAAGGCCCUAAAUUUUAUUUCGCCACGGCCCCCGAAAUCUCAGGGCCGGCCCUGAGUCUCGACCGCCGUCGUGCUUGCCGCGGCAUCCCGCGCGAAUAUGAAUUCAAUAGAGGUGCGGGCGCGGCGGAGACACACAUGGCGACGGCGUAGGGGAUGGCGCGGCCUCGUCUUCUAGGUAUGUUAUCCAUCCAUGUCUGCUAAUUUCCGUUCUUGGUAUUAUUUUCUGCUGAUACAAAUACUCAUGUUGAUUAUUGCUGGCAAUUUCUUUUUGCACACAAUUAAGCUUUUUAGUAGUAUUGAGUGAACACCAGGAAUAUAAAUAGUCUCAGGAAUUACAUAUGUUUUUAAGAUGCUUUGAAUAGUCGGCAUCACUGAAUUGUACAUCUAAAAUUCAUUUGCAUAAAUUGACUGAAGACUGUUACAAAUUUUGUAUCAUAUUCAGGUUAAGUUUAGUUCAUAUAUGCCAUUCAGUGAGCUUUGGUCGACCAUUCUUUUUUCUCCUAUAUUGUUCGUGAUCUCAUUAUGAACAAAAAUCCCAGUUUUUGUUUGGGUCAUCUUAAUCAAAUAGCCAUUGUACUUGAAUGCAAAAUAAGUUCAAAGUAGGCUAUUCAUUGUCAUCUUUCCAUAUUAUUAGUUCUAAUGUUUUUUGUAUUUGUAUAGUAUUGGGCGCUUACAUACAAUAUGUUAAUAGAGACUAACAUUAAGUUUGUUUCAGCCUUUGGGUCUACUGGAAAGUUCCUGGUACUCGGAAUAUUUUAUCACAGCAUGUGGGAAUAAAAAAACCAAAAAAUUCCUAGACAUAUAAAUAGUUUGUUGUAAAUCCAUUAAACAGCGCCUGCCAGGAGUAAUAUCAAAGGCUCUUCUCUCCUUCUAUCCAGAAGAUCAGGCCGGAACCCUAGCUAUCUAGCCCGACGCCAUGGAGACCACAGGAGGACCUAAACCCGACCAUGGAUGGCGUGGAUCAAAUCGACAGGAGGUGGAUCCUCCAAGACCUAACUCCUCCCCCAUGCAUUUUUCGGUAUAAAAGGUUGAUCACUGCAUAGCAGUUGCGUUUCUUUGGGUUUUGGUGUCUGAUUUUAUCAUGUCUUUUUGCCAGGCACUGGAUUUCGUGGUGAGCGAGGCAAGAAGGUAUAAGAUGCGGUUAAUACUGUCACUAUGUAAUAUUUGGGAAGAUUAUGGAGGGAAGGCACAGUAUGUAAGAUGGGGCAAGGAGGCUGGCGUGGAUCUUACUUCUGACGAUGACUUCUUCUCUGAUCCAACACUUAAAGGGUACUACAAAGCUUUUGUUGAGGUAAAUUUCGGGUUCCUUACCUCAGAUAGCCAUCGGAAAUGGGUUCUUGAUAUCUAUCAUGUUGCGUGACCAAUGGAAAUCAUAAUAUGCUUAGCUAUAUGAAAUGAUACCAGCAAAUUGUUAUUGCUAAUUGAGGUGUACUUAGGUAGACCCAUCCCCCCUCCACAAAACAUAGAAGGGCAACGUAUACCCACCUCGUACUUUACACUGCAGGCCGUCGUACGUACGUAAUACGAGGUGGGUACAAUGUGAGGUAUGUACGACGGUAUGUUAGUGUACAAUACGAGGUGGGUAUACGUUUCCCCUUCUAUGUUUUGUGUCUAAGUGUUGCUAAUUUUAGUUUGCCAUCUCUGAAUUCUAUAGUACUGUAUUCCUGUUAUACCACAGUUCCAAUACUGUGCAUAUGGUUCCGUGAAACUUUCAUGCACACAAUGUACAACAAUUUAUUGGGCUCUUGGGAGAGUGGAAUGGUUGGACGAGGCUGCCUUCUAUGGCAGCUCUUCCGUGAAGGUGCAGAACACAUGGACGAUGGUUAUGUAGUUAUUUUUGCCAAAUCACCAUCCACAUUCAACCUACUUGCAAAUCACUCAAGGAAGCUAGAAUGAUGAGAGCAUGCUCCUUCCCCUUCCCCUGCUACGGCUCCGUUCGGUAUACAGGAAUGUCGCAGGAACUUUUAAAUGACCAGUUUCCGUAGGAACUUUUAAAGGACCAGUUCAGUAUGCAUGGUUUUUGAAGCCAAGAUUUUACUAUAAAGUUGAAUGCCUUAUGUAUAUCAUGUACCCUAAUAGCUGGUCUCUGGUUCAAAAGAACGUGAUACCAUGAAAAAAGGUAGAGAUUGAAUUGUGCAAUAAAAAUUUGCCCCUCCAUCCUGCACAUAAUAUAUUUAUGGCAUUUUGUUUCCAUUUUAUGUAUGUAUUUGUUUGUCAUAUAUGGAUAUGCAAAGAAAGUCACGUUGAAUGGUACCCUCCAUCUCCAGAACGUUGGGUAAGUGUAAUAUUGCAUUUGGUAUUGUGGUAGAACGUUAAGGUUUAAUAAAGAGUGUGGAUUCAUGAGCACAUGGGCACAUGGCCAUAUAUGUUUAAUAUGUCACUUGCCCUGUCAUGCUUAUAGUUUUCUAUUUUUGUUUCUCAAUUAUAUUACAGAGGCACGUCUCGAGUGUUUCUACUGCAGUUGUAGUUCUGCAAAUGUUGUUUCUUUAGAAAAUUGUGAAUGUUGUGCUCAUAGUAGCAAAUGCACAGCUGGAAUUUUUCACAUAUACUAUCCUCAAAUUGUGCAGAUGUACAUUAAAGAUUCCCUGAUUUUUUUUUCUGCAAAUGCACAGCUGGAAUUGCGUUUUUGUGGUUUAAAUUCCAUUUGUUAGACAAGCAUGUACUAUUGAUCUUUAGUUUCUAUGUAUCAUCAUCAGAUUUCGGUAAGAGUUCCAGCAUCUUUUGUUUUCAUUUUCCAGAACCAAUAUGUUUUGAUGCGUUUGCUUUGACCAGACAAUGUCAAUGAGUUGAGCUUAAGAAAAUCAAACGAAGCAUUUAUUUGAAUAGCCUGGUAGUCCGAAAUCCAAGUAGUUCAAAAAUGCGCACCUACAUAUGAGUGUUACCAAUCCAUAAAUCAACAAAUGACAAGUAUAGCAAGAGCUAGCUUAUCACGUCAUAGUGGAAAUGUAUGAAUUGAAGUAGAGUGGUGAUACCAAAGCUAGAGCAAGGAGUGGACCGAGAAUAAAGAGGGCAAAGGAAUAGCAAAGUUUGUCUUGUUAGUUCAACGAAAGAAACAUUGUUAUGUUGUCCCGUGGCAACGCGCGGGCAUUUAACUAGUAAGAGUUUAAAAUGAAAAUAACAUGGGUUAAUCUAGACCGUUAUCAUUCGGUCCCAUCAGAUUAACGACUCAUAAUUUUCAAUUGACACGGUAAUUUUUUGGGAGUCUUAAAUUACUAUAAGUAUAGAUAUAGAUUUGUUACAAGACCAUACGGUCUUAUAUGGUUUUAUUAGCUAGCAUUGAAAUUUUAAAAUAUGCCCAACAAACAAUUCAUCAUCGCACCAAGAGUGCAUAUGAUUAGCAUCUAAGUCUAACGAUAUGUGAUAUGUCUGAUAUAAGCAUCUCUCUUUUUUCUUCUCUGGGGAUCAUAUAAGCAUCCAUCUUUUUUUAGAGCAUAUAAUUAAGCACCUAUCUGGUUCCAAUGUGACAUGGAAGCUUUACUCCAUUUCUAACGCGCAAUGCAUCAUUGAGCGAUGGCCCAAGGCCACAUUAAUACUUUUAUUUUUCUGAAUGGCCCCAUCAUAGCUUAAUUUGUCCGAUUAGUUGCUAAUCAAGAUUAGGUACCUAAAUUUCGUUACGUCUGCUAGUAACAUGGUAUGCUUGAUGCACGAUCACGGCGAGGUGGUUAACCGACGAACACACAAGUAUGGAACUGAAUGAAUAAUGGCCAACUGAAAAAUAAAUUAUGAAAUGGUCGAGAUUAGCGAGCCAUCAUGAGUGGUGGUGCCUACGUACGUACGUGUCACCCGAUUGGAAUAAACCACUUAAUCUUUGUUUUGCUGUAGGCUUAGAGCAUCUUCAGUGAACGGUUCAUAUAAAAAAUAAUUAAUUUUUGAAUUUUCUGAAGCAAAAUACAACUCUCUAACAAAUGGUUCAUAUGCAAACAAAAUACAUCUCGGCAUUCUUAAGAUGUAAAAUUCAACGCCUCACGAUACAAAUUUACAUCUGAGGCAGGAGAUGUAAAAUCGUGGCCGUGCGCCAACCCACAACCGCUAUUCAUUUCCUUUCCCUCCUUCUUCCUCCGCCACCGCACCGCCGCAUCUCCCCGCUCGGCCGCAGCUCCCCGACGCCGCCACGCUGUAGAUCCAACCCCCUGCCGCCGAUUCCACCCCGCCUGAGCCACCGCUUGUCGUCAUACGGGCAGAUCAGGCCGUUGCCGCACCGCGCCGCCCCGACCACGUCCGCCUCCACUCUGGCCGCCUCCGUCCUGCCCUGGCCCCGGCCCAUCAGCCUCCUUUCCAGCUGCUUUCGCCUCUGCUCUGGCCUCCGCCCGCCCCCGCCCGCACAAUACGUCGCCGCCCGUCCUUGCCCGCACCGCACCCGCCGCCCCAUACUGCCCGCUUCCGCCCCGCGCCGCACGCCACCGACCGCUCCCCGCUCGGCUGCCGCCCCAACUCGCUCCCCGUUUGCCCGUCACCCGCUUCCCGAUGGCGCCGAAGAAGACGCCGAAGGGCAAGUUAGGUUUCUUCGACGUGAGGGUGAAGCCCUCCGGGAACUUCGGAGUGGAGUUAUCCGACGAUGCGCCGCGUUGGUGGCUCUAGACGUAUCCCACCGUCGAUGAGGCCGCGCAUGCCUAUGACGUGGCGGUGUGGCGUGCCGGACGACCGAAGACGGUCCUCAAAUUCCCGGAGGUCGAGACCCGUGCAGUGGCGGAAUGGCUCAUGCCGCAGGGCAUCCGGAUGGAGUAAAUGCCAGCGAAGAAGGCGAAGAAGAGAUCGGCGGUUGUCGUCACUCCCAACGAGCUGGAGCAUUACUGGAAGUGUGACGUCGAGGCGGAAAAGAAGGGGGUGCAGAAGGAGGACGAGGACGGCCCCUCAACUGUGAUCCCUAUCAAGUCAUCGGAUGAGGACUAGGGUGGCUCUGACGAGGAGGACGAGGGGUGCGAAGACCCGGACAAGGACGAGUUCUGGAAGAAGUUUGUAGCUCCGACGAUGAGGAGUAGUUUCAUCUAGUAGUUCGAAUAAGUACUAGUUGAAUUUAUGUAUGAAACUAUGUUGAAUUUGAUGUUUGAACUAUAAAGUAGUAGUUGGUCAUUUUCAGAAUUUUACAUCCUUGUUUUGGAUCAUUUGUUGAAGUUGCUCUUUUAUAAAUCUCUAUUUUAGAUCAUUUGUUGGAGUUGUGCAUUUUUCGAAGAUGUAAAAAAGACUUUUUAAUGCUUCAAAUUUAUACAUCACCGAUUUGGAGCAUCAGAGCAUACAUCAUUUAUCGGAGAUGAUCUUACUCAGUGGCCGGUUCCACCACCCAAUUUCUGGGUCCCACAGUAAUGUAAGUGCUACUUUAUUAAGGCACCUUAUCAACCACUGAUGAAGUACGUAUGAACACCCGAGAGAUUAUGGCAGAUUGUACCCAUGUGCACCCGAAUAAUUGCAACGACCUUCACGCCCACCAGAUCGAUAAUGCAUGAAGUUUCAAAAAAGAAAAAAAGAUCGAUAAUGCAUGCAUGCAUGCAAAAGAAGAAAAAAAGGUGCCCUCAUGCAUGAAGAAGCAGAGGCACAGCAGCAGCACCACGCGCUAUAAAACCGCGACAUCUCCCGUGCUUCUUCCCACCACACACAACACACCACAAAGCACUCCACUUUGGAGCUCAAUUGAUUCCAAGAAGCUCUCUAGUCCACCAGGACAUCCACCAUGGCACAGCGCUUUCUGGCUGUGCUCGCCGUCGCCCUGGCGCUCUCGCAGGUCGCCUCAGCUAAGUCCUGGCUCGAUAAAAGGUUCAACACCGACGGCACCGUCCGCACCGGAUACGACGCCUCGGGCCAGCAGGUGGUUAUGCUCAACCUCAACCAGCAAUCCGGCGCCGCCGGAUUCAACUCCAAGCAGCAGUACCUCUACGGCGAGUUCAGCAUCCAGAUGAAGCUCAUCCCGGGAAACUCCGCCGGCACCGUCUCCUGCUUCUACGUAAGUCCACUUAUAUAUUUGUUCCGUUGAUCAGCCUCCGAUUGACAUAGACAAAAACCUCCCUCUACCGAUCUUGAGCUGAACCAGCGUUUACUAUUAAUGGCAGCUUUCUUCCGGUGACGACGAGUGGCGCGACGAGAUCGACAUGGAGUUCAUGGGCAACUCCAGCGGCCACCCGGUGGUGCUCAACACCAACGUGUGGGCCAACGGCGACGGCAAGAAGGAGCACCAGUUCGACCUCUGGUUCGACCCAGCCGCAGACUACCACACCUACACCAUCAUCUGGAACCCGGAGAACAUCCUCUUCAAGGUGGACAACCUCUUCAUCCGAUCCUUCAAGCGCUUCGCCGGCCUCCCUUACCCUACCUCCAAGCCCAUGAGGCUGCACGCCACGCUCUGGGACGGCAGCUACUGGGCGACCGAGAAGGGCAAGAUCCCGAUCAACUGGUCCAACGCGCCAUUCGUCGUCUCCUACCGCAACUACUACGCCAACGCCUGCGUCAGCGGCGGCGCGUGCCAUGCCGGCAGCGACAGGUGGAUGAGGAAGCAGCUCGACGGCGACGAAUGGGGCACCGUGAAGUGGGCGGAGCGCAGUUACAUGCGCUACAACUACUGCGAGGAUGGGUACAGGUUCCCGCAGGGGCUUCCCGCCGAGUGCAACCGCUACUGAUCCUAGCUCUGAUCCAUCCACACCGGCCGUGCAUCCAGUGUUGACAUUGAUACUACCUUUUUCUUGGAUACAGUACAUGAUUCUUGUUCUUCUUUUGUGAAUUUGUGAUUACAAAGCAGCCCUACAGCAAUGUGUGGGCGAUUGUUUGUAGAGUUGUUGUUUUUUUCCUAAAGAAAGAAGCAUGUAAAUUUUAUUGUGCCUUUGGUUACAGCAAUAUAUAGUACUUUUAUGAGGGGAAAGGUGUGAUAGCAUUCGGGUGUCUAGACACACUCUAUGAACAGUAAAAUCAAAAGAAAUAGAAAACAAAAUUAAAAAAAUCUAAAACUUUACAACAUAAAAGAUGAUCAAACUUUGUACAUAUUUGCAAAUUAUCAUGUACAAAACAUCUUGUAGAGAAAUAUGUACAAACAAGUUUCAGAUUUUGAUGCUAAAAGUGCUCAAAACUUCAAGCACUGAAAUCUUUUUCGUGUGUAGAGCUCCACGAAUAGUUUUUUGGAAUGAAAAUUUGCAAACACCUACAAAGUUUCGUCAUCAUUGAUGCUGCAAAGUUUCAGAAUGUUUUGAUGUUGAUUUCUAUUUUUUUUCAAUUUUACUGUUCAUGGAGGGUGCCUAUUCAUAGAGGGUGCCUAGGCACCCGGGAGCUAAAAAUCCACUCUCCUUUUAUGAGCUAUGAUCGAUAAUUUUAUUUUGGUGUCACUGAGCAAACAAAAUAAAAUCAAAAUAGUAAUCCUAUACUAACUCCCAUAAACAAAUGUAUAACACAUAGGACGCCCGAAGAUACACAAUGGAUCCUUGGUCAGGCGCACCCUAAUUGAAAAUAAUAAUUAAAAUGGUUAAAGAAAUUCAAAUAAUUUUGAAACUUUUUGGCAACAUACAUUACUGAGCAUAAUAACCACGUAAAAGUUUCGGGAUAAAAUGACUUACGCCGUAUUCCGAGCAAAGUACAACAUGAUCAAUACUAUAUGAACGCUAUUAUUCAUGAGUUUUGCAGCUGCACUUUUGUUUUUGUUUUUUUGUCUUGAAACUUUAAAUGUGAGUAUUAGCUAGACUAUGUUUGUCGCAAAAAAGUUUCACAUUUUUUCUAAACUUUUAUUUACUAUUUUUACUUCCUUCAAUCCAAAAUAAGUGUCACAAUUUUAAACUAAGAUUAGUUCAAAGCUGCGACACUUACUGUCCAUUGGAGGAGUAACUUUUUUAUUGCUUAAUUGGGUGUGCCUACUCCCAUGUUUUAAAAUUAUAAACAUAUAAUUUUAUGCGCUUUUAUCACAUACAUUACACAGUACUUUUGUACAAAACACAAUCUUAAUGGUAAGAGAAAAAUUCGGGUAUGGGAUUACCCAACACUGUACUACCGUACCCCAUAUUCAUAAUAUUUGAUGAAGACUUUUUUUAAUUGAUCUGUUAUCUCUGUGCUAAAUUCCAAAACUAAUUGUGCUUUUCAGUUUUUGUACUGUCAUGACAUCUAAAAAGUACACACUCAGAAGAAAUUGUUGGAGGCGACUGAUAUUUACUAUCAUUGGUGAUUUUGCAUCUCCGAGAAAUUUUUAAGGUGCAAAUAUUAUCUGAUAUAUGCAUAUUAAUUUUGGAUGCACUUAGUUUUUUGCCCUCAAAAUUUACAUCUACAUUCGUUGAUUAUUAUUUAGACAUUUACACAAAAGGCUUCGGAUUUUAGUUUCGCCUCGGGCCCCUAAAUACCCAGAACCGGCCCUGCGCCGGAGGAGUAACUUUUUUAUUGCUUAAUUGGGUGUGCCUACUCCCAUGUUUUAAUAUUAUAAACAUAUAAUUUUAUGCGGUUUUAUCACAUGCAUUAUACUCACUCCGUUGCUAAAUAUAAGUCUUUAAAGAGGUUUUAUUAGUGGACUACAUACGGAUGUAUAUAGACAUACUUUAGAGUGUAAAUUCAUUCAUUUUGCUUCAUAUGUAGACUCCUAGUAAAAUAUCUUAAAAGACUUAUAUUUAGAAACGGAGGGAGUACAAUACUUUUGUACAAAAUGCAAUCUUAAUGGUAAGAGAAAAAUUCGUGUAUGGGACUACCCAACACUGUACUACCGUACCCCGCCAAAGAAAAAAACACUGUACAACCGUAGAAUGCAAUGCAUGCGCACUAGUGCUGCGCCGCAGAGCAUGUUCGGUCAGUCAGUAUUGAUAUAUAGACACGUACGUUUGCUUGUCCAAGAAGACAAACAGCGCCUUGUAUCACGGUUUUUUCACUGUUCUGACCUUUACAGAUAAACAUGAGCAUAAAAUAGUAUUUUCGGAUCUGAUCCUUUUUAAAAACGUCAGAGUCCGUGACGUUGCAGCUACACGUAGAAACGCCAGUCUACCUUGACGUUUCUGCUCCAAAUACAGACGCCAGUUUACAGAACGUUGGGGUGGCGUUUCUGUGCAUGCUGCAACGCCAUGCGAUCUGGCGUUUCUUACCUACGGAAAAGAGCAUGGCCAGUCUUGCUCAGCGAUCAGUAAGUGCAUGCGAUGAGGAGACCGAGUUCCUUCACUGCGGAGAGAGAGACAAGAGACGACAAGUACUCGCGUGACGGAUUAAUCAAGCAGCAGAUGCAUCUCAAGUCAGGGGAGGCAUUCAAUCGAGUAGCAGAUGCAUGCAGACUUGGCACUAGCUAGCGUGAUGGGUGCAUGGAUGGAUGGCAGCAGCCAGCUCCCCACCACUUGAUGUGAUUGAUGGUGAUAAAUAUGCGUCAAGUGGCAGUUGUUGUUGUCCUGCACCUAGCUAGCUAGCUCCCCUGCCAUGUUGUUGUUGUCAUGCCCUAGGCAGCAACGUCAAGCUGCAUGGCGUUCCAGGCUGUAUAGAAACGCCAGCGUUCAUGGCGUUUUUUAUUCGUCGCGUCGCAGUAGACUCAUGUUUAAAUGUAGAUAGAAACGUUAGAUUGACGUUUCUACGUGUAACCGCAACGUCACGGACUCUACCAUUUUUAAAAGGAUCAGAUCCAGAAAUAUUUUUAAAAUAAAUUCAUUUUGUGUUCAUGUUUUCCUAUAAGGUUAGAACAGUGAAAAAACUCCUUGUAUCAUGCAUGCAUCUUUAUACCCGACCGUGCCAGCCACAAUAAUGCAUUUUAGUCCCGCGGGCAUAUGUCUAUGUAUCCUUUCGGCACUGCGAACUGAAUGAUCGGUCUGCAUGUAUAUACUUUUGUGCUGUCUUCCACUGAUAAUAUCGGUUGGUGCUGUUGAUAGUAUAUUAGUGUCAAGAACUACUCCCUUCGUUUUUAAAUAUAAGUCUUUUAAAAUAUUAUACUAAAGGACUACGUACAGAGUAAAAUGAAUGAAUCUACACUCUAAAACAUAUUUGUUUGAUAAAGAGUAUAUAUUAAUAUCGAGGAGAUAUUAGUUACACCCACCCUCUGCAACAACUCAAUGCCCUAAUGGCAUGACGGAUGCACACAACCAAAAAACGAAGAAGAAACUAAAAAAGAAAAGUCCCGCUACAGAGUUUCAGUACUUAUAACAGCAGCACAAUCACCAUCAAGACAACACCUAUUGUUCAAGUACUCCAAAAAUGACGCCUCCAAGAAGAAAACAGUGGACAAGCAUCGUCGUCGCCCGAUCGUAAAUCUUGGGUUUUCACCCUGGAGAUAAUGCCUGCUCUUAAAACAAUGUCUUCAAUAAAAUCAUUGCCACGCACAAUCAAUUAAUGCAGACCUUGGAUUUUCAUCCUCAAAGGUAAUAUCUUGAACUUUACAUUCCACUGCUACGAAUCCCGAAACUCCAAGCAAAUACCUCAACGCCGUAGGCUAUAAUCACCACUACUAGUCCUCUAAUCUUGGCUUUCAUGACAUUCUCCGCCUCUCACUUUACCAUAGAGUAAGAUAUCUCCUGAUGGAACCAGAUAGCAGAGCUUCUCGCCGCUCCCUCCUUAGUGGAGAACCAAUGGGCACAACCGAAUUCCACCCGAUCCAGCAAUCUCUAGGCAUAACGUCCAUGGGAGUUCGCCGGCGGAGCCUUCCGGAACCCGCCACUCCGACCAGAUCAGAAAGUUCGUGUUCAGGCAGAUCUUUGUCUUGGCGCAAGAGGAAUACUAGGACCGUCGCCUUUAUUCAAGCUCGCCAGCAGGCCCCACCAUUGCCAUAGGUUUGCACCAUCACCUUCGGCCAUGACCGCCCGUCCGUCCCUGACAACCCAUCCACGUCUCCCUUCGGCGUGUCGACAGACGCCACGCAUGGGCUAGCGUCACCGCCUCGCUGCCAGACUUUCACUGCGCCGCUAAGGAGCCGAAUCCCCCGCUCGAAGGGAUCCAGCAGGCUACGCAGAAGAAGCAGCAGCCGGGCGGAGGAAGGGGGCACCACAACCGGCUGGAGAAGCCCCAGAUCCAAUCAGGGUGGACGGGGAUGGCGUCCCAGGAGUUGGGGCGAGGCCACCCACGACAGCAGCUAGUCGGGGAAGAGGCCACUGAGGAGUCGCUGGGGAAGGUCGCCUAUGUCGCCAGGAGCGAAUCUGGGGAUGGGGUGGGUCAAGAGAGCAGCUGGGUGCGCGGGAGGGGGGAGAGGGGAAGAACCGCCCCGCCGCCGCCAUCACAGGGCUCGACGCAGCUUCACCGGCCGGCCCUCCAGCGACGACGCCGCGGGCUAGGCUGGAGGAAAGGUGGCUGGCCCCGGCGGCUGGGUUCCCCCCGAGUCGCCCGGGGCGGACGGUGCGAGGGCAGAUGGGGUGGGCUUAAGACGUAGAAUGGUUGUCUAGGCUGGGGCGGCAUACUCUAAAAUAUAUCUAUAUACAUGUGUAUGUAGUCCCCAAGUGAAACCUUUAGAAAGACUUAUAUUUAGGAACGGAGGGAGUAUUAGUCUGCAUGACAUACAUCCUAGCCUAGCACAUACUUUCUCCGUUCCUAAAGAUAAGUCUUUUAAGAGUUUUUACUAAAAAAACUACCUACGAAUGUAUGUAAACAUACAUUAGAAUAUACAUUUACUUAUUUUGCUCCAUAUAUAGUUCUGUAGUGGAAUCUUAAAAAAUAAUUAUAUUUAGGAAUGGAUGAAGUAUAUCGUCUCACUAGUAGAAAACAGGGCUAUCGUUCGGCCCUGGCCAGCCCAUUAGUCCCGGUUCUUCAAGAACCGGGAUCAAUGGGGGGUAUUAGACCCGGUUCGUGAGCCCAGGGGACGGCCGGGGCCUCGUGGGCAUUGGUUCCGGUUCGUGUAGAACCAUUUGUCCCAGUUCGAGCCACGAACCGGGACCAAUGGUCCUCGUUGCUGGCCCACAACCAUUGGUCCCGGUUCGUGGCAUGAACCGGGACAGAAGGGGUGGCUUUAGUCCCGGUUCAUGCCAUGAAUCGGGACAAAUAACUUGCCUAUAUAUACCCACCGCCGCGGCAGAGCACUCCACAGUGCUCUGUUUUUUCAAUCCGGCGAGGUUUCUAGUUCACCUCCUAUGCACAUGAGAUGUUUGAUGAAAUGCCCGAACCACACUAGUUAAGCUUUCUCCUCUCGAAGCUCGACCUAGGAGCUCCAUUUUUUCGAGAUUUGUCUAGAUUCAGGGGUCCGUCACGCCCCGUCCAUGUUUUCGCCGCCGUUGAUCGCCCGCGCCGAUCUCGUCGCCGGCACCACCGUGGUGAGCCUCUUGUUCUUAUCUUCUUUAUGAUACUUGUCUGAUUUUCUUACUUUAGAUAGAUAUUUGUCUGAUUUUUUUAAUUUUGACACACAUAAUUAUAUGUAAUGCACGCAGAUGAACCGGCAAUGGAUGUAUGGUGACAGACACACCUCCGAGUACAUUAAGGGCGUGCAUAUUUUUCUCGAAGUGGCCGAGGCAGACAAGCAGAAUGGUUUUAUGUGUUGUCCAUGCAGUAAAUGUGGGAAUACGAAGUCUUACUCUGACCGGAAAAUUCUUCACACCCACCUGCUUUACAAGGGUUUCAUGCCACACUAUAAUGUUUGGACGAGGCACGGAGAAAUAGGGGUUAUGAUGGAAGACGACGAAGAAGGAGAGGACGAUGACAACUAUGUGCCCCCUGAAUACGGUGAUGCUGCAACGGGGGGAGUUGCUGAAGAUCAAGAGGAACCAGACGAUGUGCCGGAUGAUGCUGCAACGGGGGAAGUUGCUGAAGAUCAAGAGAAACCAGACGAUGUGCCUGAUGAUGAUCUCCGCCGGGUCAUUGUCCAUGCAAGGACGCAAUGCGAAGGUCAAAAGGAGAAGCUGAAGUUCGAUCGCAUGUUAGAGGAUCACAAAAAAAAGUUGUACCCCAAUUUUGAAGAUGGCAACACAAAGCUGGGUACCGUACUGGAAUUGCUGCAGUGGAAGACAGAGAAUGCUGUGCCUGACAAAGGAUUUGAGAAGCUACUGAAAAUAUUGAAGAAGAAGCUUGCAAAGGAUAAUGAAUUGCCCGACAGUUCGUACGCAGCAAAGAAGGUCGUAUGCCCUCUAGGAUUGGAGGUGCAGAAGAUACAUGCAUGCCCUAAUGACUGCAUCCUCUACCAUGGUGCGUACGAGGAUUUGAACGCAUGCCCGGUAUGCGGUGCAUUGCGGUAUAAGAUCAGACAAGACGACCCUGGUGAUGUUGACGGCGAGCCCCGCGGGAAGAGAGUUUCUGCGAAGGUGAUGUGGUAUGCUCCUAUAAUACCACGGUUGAAACGACUGUUUGGAAACAAAGAGCAUGUCAAGUUGAUGCGAUGGCACAAUGAGGACCGUAAGAAAGACGGGAAGUUGAGAGCACCCGCUGACGGGUCGCAGUGGAGAAAAAUCGAGAGAGAGAGUACUGGGCUGAGUUUGCACGUGACCCAAGGAACGUAUGGUUUGGUUUAAGGGUGGAUGACAUUAAUCCUUUCGGGGAGCAGAGCAGCAAUCACAGCACCUGGCCCGUGACUCUAUGUAUGUAUAACCUUCCUCCUUGGAUGUGCAUGAAGCGUAAGUUCAUUAUGAUGCCAGUUCUCAUCCAAGGCCCUAAGCAACCCGGCAACGACAUUGAUGUGUACCUAAGGCCAUUAGUUGAAGAACUUUUACAGCUGUGGAAUGGAAACGGUGUACGUGCGUGGGAUGAGCACAAAUAGGAGGAAUUUAACCUGCACGCGUUGUUGUUUGUAACCAUCAACGAUUGGUCCGCUCUCAGUAACCUUUCAGGACAGACAAACAAGGGAUACCACGCAUGCACGCACUGUUUAUCUGACACCGAAAGUAUAUACCUGGGAAGCUGCAGGAAGAAUGUGUACCUGGGCCAUCGUCGAUUUCUUCCGACCAACCAUCAAUGUCGAAAGAAAGGCAAGCAUUUCAAAGGCGAGGCAGAUCACCGGAAGAAGCCCGCCAUGCGUACCGGUGAUCACGUACUUGCUAGGUCAAUGAUUUACACGUAAUCUUUGGAAAGGGUCCCGGCGGACUAGCUGUUCCGAGUGACACUAGGGGACACGCACCCAUGUGGAAGAAGAAAUCUAUAUUUUGGGACCUACCCUACUGGAAAGACCUAGAGGUCUGCUCUUCGAUAGAUGUGAUGCACGUGACGAAGAACCUUUGCGUCAACCUGCUAGGCUUCUUGGGCGUGUAUGGGAAGACAAAAGAUACAACUGAGGCACGGGAGGACCUGCAACGUUUGCACAAAAAAGACGGCAUGCCUCCAAAGCAGUAUGAAGGUCCUGCCAACUACGCUCUUACCAAAGAAGAGAAGGAAAUAUUCUUUGAAUGCCUGCUUAGUAUGAAGGUCCCGACUGGCUUCUCGUCGAAUAUAAAGGGAAUAAUAAUUAUGGCAGAGAAAAAGUUUCAGAACCUAAAGUCUCAUGACUGCCAUGUGAUUAUGACGCAACUGCUUCCGGUUGCAUUGAGGAGGCUUCUACCGGAAAACGCCCGAUUAGCCAUUGUGAAGCUAUGUGCAUUCCUCAAUGCAAUCUCUCAGAAGGUGAUCGAUCCAGAAAUCAUACCAAGGCUAAGGAGUGAUGUGGUGCAAUGUCUUGUCAGUUUCGAGCUGGUGUUCCCACCAUCCUUCUUCAAUAUCAUGACGCAUGUCCUAGUUCAUCUAGUUGACGAGAUUGUCAUUCUGGGCCCCGUAUUUCUACACAAUAUGUACCCCUUUGAGAGGUUCAUGGGAGUCCUAAAGAAAUAUGUCUGUAACCGCGCUAGGCCAGAAGGAAGCAUCUCCAUGGGCCAUCAAACAGAGGAUGUCAUUGGGUUUUGUGUUGACUUCAUUCCUGACCUUAAGAAGAUAGGUCUCCCUAAAUCGCGGUAUGAGGGGAGACUGACUGGAAAAGACACGCUUGGAGGGGAGACAAUAAUAUGCAGGGACGGAUAUUCUUGGUCUCAAGCACACUGCACAGUUCUACAGAACUCUACCUUGGUGACACCUUAUGUCGAUGAACACAAGAACAGUCUACGCUCCAAACACCCGGAGCAGUGCGAUGACUCGAUUACAUGUGAACACAUCAGGACUUUCAGCAGUUGGUUGGAAACACGUCUCAAAGAUGAAAACACUGUUUGUGAUAAGCUGUACUCGUUGUCCAGGGGACCAUCUUCGACUGUUACGAUUUGGAAAGGAUACGAGAUAAAUGGAAAUACAUUUUACACGAUCGCCCAAGAUCAAAAGAGCACCAACCAAAACAGCGGUGUUCGCUUUGAUGCAACCAUCGAGAGGGGAAAGGACACAUAUUAUGGUUACAUAGUGGACAUAUGGGAACUUGACUACGGAGUAGAUUUUAAGGUCCCUUUGUUUAAGUGCAAAUGGGUCAAUCUGUCAGGAGGCGGGGUACAGGUAGACCCGCAGUACGGAAUGACAAGAGUGGAUCUGAACAAUCUUGGGUACACUGACGAACCGUUCGUCCUAGCCAAUGAUGUGGCACAGGUUAUCUAUGUGAAGGACAUGUCUACCAAACCGAGAAAAAGAAAGAAUAAGGAAGCGAAUACAUCAUACGAUGAGCCAAAACGCCACAUAGUUCUUUCAGUAAAAAGGGACAUCGUGGGAGUGGAGGGCAAGACAGACAUGUCCGAAGAUUAUGAAAAGUUUCAUGAAAUUCCUCCCUUCAAAGUCAAGGCAGACCCAAGCAUCCUGAUAAAUGAUGAAGAUUAUCCAUGGUUACGGCGCAAUAAGGAAAGGACACAAGCGAAGAAAAAGUUAACACUUUCUCCACAACUAUUAUGAUGAUACCAUGCCAACUUUCAACCUUUUUGUAGUUCAUUUGAAAUGCACGUUGUAACACGUUUCCGUAUGAAAUGCUGAUACUUCGAAAGAGAUUGUCCGUUUUGUACACGAAGUUCAUCCAGUUUUUGCCGUAACCCUCUCAACUUUCUUGCAUAUGCUAUGUGGAUGAAAUGAUGAUACCAUGCCAAAAUAAAAGAGAGGCGCAAUGCUCACCUGCACGUUGCUUAGCUUCAGGCCAACGUGCAGGUGAGCAGUGCGCUUCUCCCUUCAUCGUUUCUACACUCAGGGCUUAUAAACCGCCGCGAGUGCCUCUCGCUUGGCGAGGUGGAACUAAAAAACAGCUGCAGAAAGAAACAACUAAAAAACUAUUUUACCGGUUCAUGCCACGAACCGGUACUAAAAGGUGCUCGUGGGGCCCAGCCUUAAAACUUGUACCAAAUAAAAUGCCUUUGUAACAGCCUUAGAACUGGUACUAAAGGAAUCAACUAAAAAGCUUUUAUAAACCUCUAGUAUUAUUGAAACUAAAAUUAUAUAGAAUUUUGUUACAAACUUUAAUAGCAAAAAGAAUUAUCAUAAAAGAAAAUAAAUAAGUAAUUAGAAUUUUGUUCAAAACAUUAAAAGCAAAAAGAAUUAUCAUAAAAGAAAAUAAAUAAGUAAUUAGAAUUUUGUUACAAACUUUAAUAGCAAAAAGAAUUAUCGUAAAAGAAAAUAAAUAAGUAAUUAGAAACAAAAAAGAAAGCAAAAAAUAGGAAAAAAAAAGUGCCACCUACAAAGCCACAACGGCCUGCAUACGACUAGAAACCCAUUAAUAGGGCCAGUAUGCAGGUCCGCAGUAGGCCCAAUAGGCCCACAAGCAUAGAGAGUGCUUUUAGGCCCGUAAGCCUGCAGUGGAGACGAGCUCGAAGUGGUUGGUUUGGCAGGGCUUAUAAACCUCGCCGAGCCCCUCUCGGCUAGCGAGGUGGGACUAAACAUAGCACCGCACCGCGCCAGCACACGCGCUUUGGUCCCGGUUGGUGCCACCAACCGGGACCAAUGCCCAUCUUUUGUCCCGGUUUGUGGCACCAACAGGGACCAAAGGUCCUUGUUUCCCGCCCUUUGGGCUACUGAAAAAAGGCCUUUGGUCCAGGUUGGAGGGGUGCAUUGGUCCCGGUUGGUGCCAUGAACCGGGACCAAUGCUGUGCCUAUAUAAGCAGCACUCGCGAAAAUUUGGUUCAUUUCGUUCUUCCCCGCCGCCUGACGCCGCCAGGCUGCCCGUCCGUCUCCGCCUCGCCGUCGCCGUCGUCGCCCCGCGCCGUNNNNNNNNNNNNNNNNNNNNNNNNNNNNNNNNNNNNNNNNNNNNNNNNNNNNNNNNNNNNNNNNNNNNNNNNNNNNNNNNNNNNNNNNNNNNNNNNNNNNNNNNNNNNNNNNNNNNNNNNNNNNNNNNNNNNNNNNNNNNNNNNNNNNNNNNNNNNNNNNNNNNNNNNNNNNNNNNNNNNNNNNNNNNNNNNNNNNNNNNNNNNNNNNNNNNNNNNNNNNNNNNNNNNNNNNNNNNNNNNNNNNNNNNNNNNNNNNNNNNNNNNNNNNNNNNNNNNNNNNNNNNNNNNNNNNNNNNNNNNNNNNNNNNNNNNNNNNNNNNNNNNNNNNNNNNNNNNNNNNNNNNNNNNNNNNNNNNNNNNNNNNNNNNNNNNNNNNNNNNNNNNNNNNNNNNNNNNNNNNNNNNNNNNNNNNNNNNNNNNNNNNNNNNNNNNNNNNNNNNNNNNNNNNNNNNNNNNNNNNNNNNNNNNNNNNNNNNNNNNNNNNNNNNNNNNNNNNNNNNNNNNNNNNNNNNNNNNNNNNNNNNNNNNNNNNNNNNNNNNNNNNNNNNNNNNNNNNNNNNNNNNNNNNNNNNNNNNNNNNNNNNNNNNNNNNNNNNNNNNNNNNNNNNNNNNNNNNNNNNNNNNNNNNNNNNNNNNNNNNNNNNNNNNNNNNNNNNNNNNNNNNNNNNNNNNNNNNNNNNNNNNNNNNNNNNNNNNNNNNNNNNNNNNNNNNNNNNNNNNNNNNNNNNNNNNNNNNNNNNNNNNNNNNNNNNNNNNNNNNNNNNNNNNNNNNNNNNNNNNNNNNNNNNNNNNNNNNNNNNNNNNNNNNNNNNNNNNNNNNNNNNNNNNNNNNNNNNNNNNNNNNNNNNNNNNNNNNNNNNNNNNNNNNNNNNNNNNNNNNNNNNNNNNNNNNNNNNNNNNNNNNNNNNNNNNNNNNNNNNNNNNNNNNNNNNNNNNNNNNNNNNNNNNNNNNNNNNNNNNNNNNNNNNNNNNNNNNNNNNNNNNNNNNNNNNNNNNNNNNNNNNNNNNNNNNNNNNNNNNNNNNNNNNNNNNNNNNNNNNNNNNNNNNNNNNNNNNNNNNNNNNNNNNNNNNNNNNNNNNNNNNNNNNNNNNNNNNNNNNNNNNNNNNNNNNNNNNNNNNNNNNNNNNNNNNNNNNNNNNNNNNNNNNNNNNNNNNNNNNNNNNNNNNNNNNNNNNNNNNNNNNNNNNNNNNNNNNNNNNNNNNNNNNNNNNNNNNNNNNNNNNNNNNNNNNNNNNNNNNNNNNNNNNNNNNNNNNNNNNNNNNNNNNNNNNNNNNNNNNNNNNNNNNNNNNNNNNNNNNNNNNNNNNNNNNNNNNNNNNNNNNNNNNNNNNNNNNNNNNNNNNNNNNNNNNNNNNNNNNNNNNNNNNNNNNNNNNNNNNNNNNNNNNNNNNNNNNNNNNNNNNNNNNNNNNNNNNNNNNNNNNNNNNNNNNNNNNNNNNNNNNNNNNNNNNNNNNNNNNNNNNNNNNNNNNNNNNNNNNNNNNNNNNNNNNNNNNNNNNNNNNNNNNNNNCAGACCGACAAUGGGCUUCGCAAGCUGUGGGACGUGGAGGUGGCGUUCGACACCGAUGGAAGCAUGUACCUAGAUCGUGGCUGGAAGCAGUUCGUCCGUGCCUACGACCUGCGGCACGGGUACUUCCUUGUCUUCAGGUACGACGACAACGCCACGUUCGUCGUGAAGGUGUUCGACACGACUAUGUGUCGGAGGCGCUACCAGGACGACGACGAUGCCAAUACGCUCUGUCUCUUCUUCCUAUCCAUUAGGCUAUGUCUCACACCCAUUUUUAAAAAACUUUUUUGCAUUUGGCAAGGAAAUGGGACCAGGAGCAGCGAGUACUGCGACAGGUGCUAUGUCUACGGCAGCAGCGACUCUGGCUAUAGCAAAAGUAGCAGCGACUCUGGCUACAGCAAAAGUAGCAGCGACGAUGGCCUCGCGAUGGUGAUCCCACAGCUGGGCGACAGGGCCAUGCCAAUUCUGGUAGAGGAGUACAUCCCACAGCCUGGCCUGGGGCUUCGCCGGUCUAAGCGCAUCAGGAUGAUGAAGGAGAAGGUGAAGAAGCAGGAGUGAAGAUCUUAAGAACCUGAUGGAGCUUUAAUCUUUAUAGUGUAAACCUUUUAAGUACGAUAGUGUUGAACUGCUACUGCACUUUUAAGUAUGAUGGUGGUGUGCCUCAUGAAAUUUUGUGCAUGCUCAUGGAUGCUCAUUGAUGAAAGAUAAAAUUAUUUCUUUUUGUGCUUGCUCAUGGAUGCUCCUUGGUUGGUAUAUAUAACAACCUAAAUUAACCCCUAAACCAGCCCCUUUCAAAAAAAAACUCACCUUCAGCCAGGUGCUGACGCGUCGAUGCCUUUUGGUCCCGGUUGGUGUCACCAACAGGGACUAAAGGCCCCCCUGCCUGGCCUGGCCGUAGCGGCCACGUGGAGGCCCAUCUGUCCCGGUUGGUGUAAGAACAGGGACUAAAGGCCGAGGGCAUUAGUAACGACCUUUUAGUCCCGGUUCCAAAACCGGGACAGAAGACCCUUACGAACCGGGACAAAAGGCCCUUUUUCUACUAGUGUCUCACCCGUUGACGCUUUGGCCAAAGUCUGGCAGCCUCUUCGCUCGAGAGUGGAGAGAUCACUGCUUUUUGGGGUAUCUUCACGUGCUUUCGCAUUAUGUUCGCGUCCGUCAUCAUCGCGUUUAUUGAAUAUGGCCGAACGAACGAAGUAGCCAGUAUGCCGCCCCACGUCCACCGCAUGUACUACGCCGGGCGGGCUAGGCAAAAUUGACAAAAAUGACCCCUGGGGGAAAGAACUCACGGAGUGAACCCUCGGGGGAAAGAUUUCACGCGUCCGACCCUUUUGUGUGAUGCCCGACACCUAGGCGCCACACUACACUGUGCGACGCCUAACCGUCGGCGCCACACGCCCCGCCCACCUGGCAGAGAGGGCCCACCCCCCAGGCAGUGUGACGCCUAAGCCUCAGGCGUCACACAUUGUAAUGUGUGGCGCCAAACGCUUAGGCGCCACACGUUGACUUAUACAGCCACGGGCCAGCCCCCCUCCCCACCCCCUCCUCAKUUCCCCUCCCCCAUCCCCCUCUCCCAGCCACGGGCCCCUCUUCAAAUCCUUCUCCAAAUCACCAAAUCUGAAGGUUUGGACAGGGCAUUUGUUGUCCAAUCACUCCCCUAAGGUAAUCCCCACCUCUCCCCUCAUUCUCAUCCAAACAAAAAUAUCUUGUGGUCAUUUUGUUGCAAAUUUGAGAAAACCCUAGUUUUUCAUGAAAUAUGGGAUGUAUAUGAUAUUGUUGUAUUUGUUUGUAUGUUAGGAUAAGGGGUAUGAUGGGGUUAGGAUUAGGGUUGUUUGGAUGUUUGCAUUAUGGUUGUUUUAGGGUUAGGCUAGGGUUAGGGAUGUUUGGUUCUGUUAGGGUUAUGAUGGGGUUAGGGUUAGGGUUAGUGUUAUGGAUGUUUGGAAGUUAGGAAUAGGGUUUAUUUUUACUAAGUAAAUAUUGUAGUUGUAUGAUUGCUUAUAAAAAAUAUUGUUGAUCACCAUAGUUGUAUGACUACAUCAACCGCAUUCUUUAACGCUUCUACUUAGCGAUCUACAAGGGAAUGUGGAUCCACUCUCCUUCUCGUAGCUUGUUGAUCUCCAUAGAUGAUCUUGGGUGUUCGUAUAAUUUUUUUUGUUUCCCAUGCAAUGUUCCCCAACAGGAGCAAGGUAGGGAAGUGUAGGCAGGAGGGAGGAGGGAGGGAAGUGGACGGAGGAGCUACCUCGUCGGGCGACGGUGGAGGGCGACACCGGCGGGUGCGGAGGGCCGCGGUGUCAGGCGCGGGAUCGAGGCUGAUAGCUGCGGGCGGAGAGAGUGGGAUUGCAUGGAGAAAGGAGACGAAGAGGAUAAGGCAGGCUUAGCAGCAACGCGGGACAGGGACCACCGCUAUUGGUAAUAGGCUUAAUUAGCAGUAACGCAUUUAGAGGACCAACACUGGUGCUAAGUGGGGCAGGAAAGCUAGGGCCGUGCUGUCAAUAGUAGCAACACAGGGCGUAGACCCAGGCUACUACUAGUUGUCUUAGCAGUAGCACGGGGAUAUGUGCAGCGCUUAUAUAUUGCGGCCACCACAGGGGCACUGUAUGGCCCCGCUUAGUAGUAGCAUCGGUUUCCCUCCACGCGCUACUGUUAAAAAAAUCAGCAACAGUGCUUAGUUUUUCCCCGCGCUACUACUAGUUAGCAGUAGUGAAUCCUGUUAACCAGUGCUUAUGAUACCUCUCUACCUAUAGGUUGUUCCCUAGUAGUGUGAAGGUGCCUUGGAGGAGGCGGACUCCUCCCUUCCUUGUGGAGGGAGGACUCCUCCCUAGCCGCCGGCUCUCCUUGGAGGAUGGGUCAAGGCUGCGCCCCAACCCUGCCCCUUGCCUCCUAUAUAUAGUAGAGGAGAGAGGAGGGAUGCACACAACAAUUCCCACGCCUCCAGCGGCAGCCCUCUCCCUCCUGUUACUCCCUUACUUCGCAGAUUUGUUUCAGUAAUGAUUGGCGAAGCCCUGCUGAAACUGCGCCACCACCAUCACCACCACACCGGCAUGCUGGUCGUGAUCCCAUCUACUUCUCCUCCCUUACUAGCCGAAUCAAGAAGGAGGAGGCGUCAUCAAGCCACACGUGUGUUGAACGCGGAGGUGACGUCCGUUCGGCGCUUCAUCGGAUUGGAUCAUGGUUGUAUCGUGACGUACUACUUCAACCGCAUGAUACAUGCUUCCGCUAAACGGUCUAUGAGGGUACGUAGACAUGCUCUCCCCUCUCGUUGAUAUGCAUCUCCAUAGAUAAAUCUUAGGUGUUCGUAGGAAAUUUUGUGUUUCCCAUGCAACUUUCCUAACAUCCAUGUGUUGCCCGAAUAAUUGCAACUGCCUUGGGGCAACAAGGACCACUCACAGUCAAUAUCGUUUCAACAACCUAACUUGGCUACCAGAAUUUAUAUCAAGUUAGGUAUAUAGGGUUUAUUCAUUCAAUAAAAAGAAAGCAUAUGAACUUUGCUUUCAAGUUCUACUAUGAACCAUUAACAUUGCUAGUUAGCAUAUUUAUAACUCUAGAACACAAGCAACAUUGAGUCAAUAGUUCCAAAAUUUCUAUAAGCAGAAAGCUAACAACCUUACAAAUCCAGGUCCACCCUUUCGUCCUGAUGGGCCAAUAGUUACCACCUCUGAUGUCCUAGUUUUCGAACAAAGCUAACCAAAAACACUCACUCGCCUGGAAUUUUUGGGCCAGGCCAAUGUCCCAAUGGGUACUGUUGGCCCAUUCCCAUCUUUAUUUCAUAGUACACUUGCUUUAUGGUUGGUCCCCAGCUAUAAAAUGUAUACUCUCUAGUGCAACCAAUAUUUAUUUUAUUUCUUAAGAGAUCACACUAGUCUUAUAGUGUUUUACAUUGGAGUAUNUCAUCUAACGAGAGGUUUAGUAUAAGCAUCUGUCAGGUUCCAAUGUAUAUAUUCAUUGAACAAGUGGCAUGCAAACUUUACUCCAUUUCUAACCCGCAAAAUACGUCAUUGAGCAAGGCGAAGUGGUUAACCGACGAUCAUGCAACUAUAAUAUAUGACGAUCAAUGGUCAAGAUUAGCGAGCAAUUAUCAGUGGCGGUGCCUACAUGUCCUUUUUUUAGGGUCGGGGUGCCUACGUGUCACUCGAGUGGAUUCCACCACUUAACCUUUGCUUUGCUGAUGGGUUUAAUCAGUGAUGGACAGGUUCCAGCACCUAAUUUCCGGGUCCCACAAUAGUCCAAAGUGCUCCCCUUAGUUAAAUUAGGACACCUCAUUGAACAGCUUGUUGUAUUGAGUUGAUCUUGCACUCUUGUAGUUUUGAGUUGAUCCUCCGGACUGACCAUGUAACAUAUGUUAUACUUGCCUCGCAAAAAACAAACAUAUGUUAUACUCGUCUACUUCCCCUUUACACAACUUCCAAAUUGAACUUAGCUUCUGCCAAGUCCCCUGCAACAGAAUGUACACUCUACGUUGCAACACAAUUUUAUGUUAUUUCUUACGAUCAUACUAGUUUUAUACGAUUGUGUUGUUGUUGUUGUUGUGUUUUUUUGUUCUUUUGAGAAAAUGUUUUUGUUGUAUUGAAACGUUAAAGUUGUUCCCGACAAACAGUCCAUCAUUGCACCAACCACACUUGAGUGACAUGAUUUUGAGCAUGAUUAGCAUCUAUCCGGUUCCAAUCUACGUGCAAACUGGUGUAUGAACAACCGAACCGAGAGAUUAUGGCAGAUUGUGAGUACUAUAUGAUUGUAUCCAUGUGCUGCCCGGACGAUUGUAACGACCUUCGCGCCCACCCUAUAAAAAAUGUGCCCCAUGCACAAGACGUGUGUGGCCUGCCCCGGCACCAUCAGUAUAAAGCCGCGCCAUCUCGUGUGCUUCUUCGCACCACACACACCAACCGCCCUUCACUUUGUAAGCUCAUUUCCAAGAAGCAGCUCUAGUCCAGGGGCAGCCACAAUGGCACUGCGUUCUCUGGCCGUGCUCGCGGUCGUCUUGGUGGCGCUCUCGCAGGCCGCCUCGGUCAAGCCCUGGCUCGAUGACAAGUUCAACACGGACGGCAAUGUCCGGACGGGAUACGACGUUUCUGGGCAGCAAGUGGUGACGCUCAGCCUCGACCAGCACUCAGGCGCCGGCUUCAACUCCGAUGAGCAAUACCUCUACGGUGAGUUCAGCAUCCAGAUGAAGCUCAUCCCGGGAAACUCGGCCGGCACCGUAUCCUGCUUCUACGUAAGUUAAUGAGCUAUCUUAAUUUCG